rnacentral:lncRNA from 1 species
GCCAUCUUUCCAAGCCAAACUUCCAAAGGUAAAUUUACCACUUCUUUGGUAAGUAGAUGUGAUCUUUACCUUAAAGGAGAUCUUCUUUGUCUUGGCAUUAAACUUCAACACAUUUGGAGUUACUUUAAUAUCAACGUUUCUUGGAGGUUUAACCACUAAUUUGUAUAUAGAGUUAACAUUCCCAACAUUAGUAACAGUUCUCUUGAUAGUAACUGAAUCCUUGAGAUUUGGAAUUGAUAUUGAAGGGAGAUUCAUAUCCAACCUUGAUGGUACUUCUUUGGGACACACAAUGCCUGAUGAAGAAGACGAUUUUUUCGCAUCGGAAUACGUAGUUACAUUAUAAACCCUAUCUUAACUAUAGCCCAAACUGCAAAGAUAAUUCGAAUAAUCAUUUUUUUCCAUAUCAUAGAUUAAACCAGGAUCUGCAGCUCCAUUAGGAUUGCAUAUGCCACCUCCAAAAUCGAAUGGAUUAGCAAGUUUUCCUCCAGUUCCUUCUGCAUAAAUUUCAGUUUCAUAUGUGUCCUCGUUCCAUGCUACACAGUUAACAAAAAAUUUAAAACUAUUAGUACAUCUUUUGUAAAUUUUGAUGUCUCCAAAAAACUUAAAAAUUACUUGAGUAAACUGCCUCUUCUAUUGUUCAUACAAUUAUAUAUUUAUGCCCAGAGUACCAAUGUAGAAUUACUUUGUCUGUAGAAAUGUUGUAUCAAAAGUCAAAACAAAAAUAAGUUGAUACAAUGCUAUUAAUUUCAUUUAGUAGAUAGAUAAACCUUUUGAGCACGAUGGGAUUAAUUAAAGUGACGUAUAACAGAAUGAAAUUAAUAAUAAUAAGCUUAGUUUGGUAAUUUAGAAAAUAAUGUAAACAAUAUUUUAUAAUAGGUUAAAAUAUGUUUGACAGUAUAAAAAAAUAGAUGCAAGUUAAAUCAUUUUCUCACUAAAACUUGGAAGUAGGUGUGUUCAUGGUUUGGUUAAAAAUCAAAUCGAACUGCAAAUUAAACCAAAUCGAUUAAAAAAAUCAAUAUUUGGUUUGAUUUGAUUUUAAAUUUUUAAAAUCGAUAUUUAUGUGGUUUGGUUUUACUCUAAGAUAACCAACAAGAUAACUAAAUCGAACCGAUAAAAAUUAUAUAUAUAUAUAUAUAUAUAUAUAUUGUUGUUGUUGUUUCUAAUGUUUAUUGUUGACUCUAUAAUAAAUGGUGAUGAUCAUAAUAGAGUCAUUCCUCCUGAAGAGAAGUAAAAGGUUUCUGUCAAAGAAACACUCUCUUUAAUAUUUCGAUUUGAAGACGAGGAACCCUUCCCCUCGGAGAAAGAAUACUGAGAAAAUGAAAUGGAUAAUCUUUUUUAUGUAAUGGACAUGUGUACCUUUGUAUCAAAUAGUAUUAGAUUUACAAAUCCAUUUGUUUUGCCAAUGCCGAGUGGACAAACAUGUGGCUGUCAGACACGGACCCACCAUCUUUUUCUAGAUGAACAAAUUUGACUUAUCUAUAGAGUUUGUUCCCAUGUGGUUUAUAUAUAGGAAAAAAGAAUUGUUUUUACCUCAAAUUAUAUAAAAAAAGCUUAAGCCACAUUAAAAUUAUAUUAGUGAUCUAUUAUACACUUAAGUUAUAAUAAACGAUAUUUUUUAUAUUUUGUAAAAUAUUAUAUCAUUUACAUGUAGUGUCGUGUAUUACAUGCGUCUAUCACGUCAGCUCUACAUCAACUAAUACAAUUAUAGACUUACACCUCACCAAUCUCAGUUAUAGACUUACACAUCACCAACCACAACCUCUCCAAAUUCUUUGCCUCACCUAAAUAAGUAGCACCCACAUUCUUCAACUUAGUAGCAUUUGACAAAUCAAUCUCAGUCAAAUUCUCACAAUUCAUAACUAAAUUAGAUAAUCUCAUAUGAGUAAAAAACUUACUUUGAAAAAUUAACUGACCUCAACAUUUCUUUACAUAAACUAGCUAUAACUGUUAGUGUUCCAUUUGUAAUUCUUGGACAAAGGAAAAGAUCAAGAUUGAUAAUUUGCGGGUAUCUGUUAAGAAUUUUUGUUAAUUGUUCUGGCCUAAAGGGUUUCAAGGUUUUCCUAUGGUGAGAUUCAAUAGCAAAAAAUGAUUUACAAACAAGUGAGAAUGAUUUUUUUGUCAAAUGAGUUGUCACUAAGACAAUCAAGAAUUGAAAAGACAAUUUCUUCAGAUAGAAAAUCAAAUGGGUUGUAAUUGAAUUAUGAAAUUUGCUUUUGCUUUUGCUUCUUCACUAUUUUCCAAGAUUGGACCUUUAUUGUUCUUGCAAGCUAAAUUGUGAAUUAGAUUUGGAUAAAAAGAAAUUUUUAAAGGAAGAUUGGGCGGUGGAGAUGUAAUAUUGUAGUUUUCAUGUGAAUUUGAUGAUAUAAAGAAGUUUAGGAAAAUUAAGAAGCAACAAUUUAACAGAAAAACACUGGCCUAAUUGAGAACAAACUGAGCGAGGAAGAAGAUGAGAAGAAUGUUUCAAUUAUUUUAUUGUCCUUGAUGUUUUUGAGGGAAACAGUUAUUCCAUAAUCCAAUUCGUCGAAGUGAAAACAACAAAUUCAAUUUGAAUUUUGGCCAGACUGUUUAAGCUUAGUUCGAAAUUAAUGAUUCAAAUUUCGUUUUGAGAUUUUGAAAUUAGUGAAAUCAAUUUGAUGGAGUUGGAGUUUGGGGGGGGGNNNNNNNNNNNNNNNNNNNNNNNNNNNNNNNNNNNNNNNNNNNNNNNNNNNNNNNNNNGAUGAAGAAGAAGAUGGUUUAAUUUGGGGGUGGGAGGUGAUGAAGAAGAUGAUGAUUUGGGGUUGGGGGUUGGGUAGAGGAGUAUUUUAUUUUUUUAUUUUUUUGUAUUAAUUUUUAAUGUAGACGUGCCUUAUUUAAAUUAAUUAAUUAUAUUUUUUUCACGUCAGAUCUAGGGGAUAAAAAGUAUCACUUUAUAUUUUAGGUGUGUAAUAGGUCACUUAGAUGGUUUAGGUGUGACUUAGACUUUUCUUGUAUAAUUUGAGCUGGAAACGAUGCCUUUUCCCUUAAAAUUACAUUUUAAAUUGUAAUUUUGAACUUAACUUUAGCCAUAACACUUUUAGUCAUAUGUCUUCAUCUAAUUGAUGGUACGUUAUGAGAUAUUAUAUGAUUUUUGCAUUUUGAAUGAUAAAUGAUACUAAUUGUGAAAAUUAUCUUGUUGUCUAUGGGAUUUUAUAGGUGAGUUUCAUUAAACCAUAGAUAAUCACUAGUUUUGAACUUUCUUUUUGGUUUCUAUUGAGCAAAAAAAUUAUGUGUUUACUUUUUGGGGGGUUUAUCAUAUUAUUCUCUUAUAUGUGAUUCUAAAUAUUUUUGUAGAAUCGUUCAUAUGGUGUUGUUCGUCGUUUUGCCUAAGUAUAACACUAAAUUGACAUCUUAGUUUCAAAGUUGAGGAACAACACUCAGUUGACAUCUCAGUUGGAUUUGAUUUUUUUAAGAAAAAUUUCAAAUUUUAUCAUUAAUUAAAGUUAUAAAUCGAAAAAAUUGAACCAAACUAAAUCAACAAGAAUCGAACUACGAUUAUUUUUUGUAUUGGUUUAGUUUGAUUUUAAAAAUUUAAAAAUUAACUAAGUUGAUUUGAUUAUGAUUUUGAUUAAUAACCGAUCCAAACCGGCUGAUAAACACCCUAAUUGGAAGGUUAUCAUAUAGGAGUAUUAGUUAUAUGGACAGACUCUCAUGUGUUCCUUUAUGCUAAAUUGAUGCAUAAAAAUGGGAACUUUUUUGUAGGAAAUUUGAUAUGAUAAUUUAGUAUACUUUAAUAAGUUAACUUUUAAGGAAAAAAUAUAAAACAUCCUAAAAAACUUUCAUGUAUAUUAAAUACCACCCCCAAAAUAUAAUACCAUUUUUACUGUGAAGAGUGCAUUGUACAUGCACCACGUUUAACCAAGUUAAAUAUUAUUUUAGUUUAGUUUUUUUAUUUUUUUCCUUAGCCUCUUCCUCUCCCAUGGAAGUAAAAACUUGCAACUUUAAUUUUGAUUUUUUCAUUGCCAAAAUUUGAAAUUUGUUAAUGUCAAUCAAUUGAAAAAUUGAUUAAUUCCUCAUAGUAUGACUUUGAGAUUGCACCUUUAGGUAAGUAUUUAUUCAGGAAUUUAUCAUCAUCUAAUUUUUAUUUUUUUUUUAAAUUUAUCAUCUUCUUGUUUCUUCUAAUUUCUCUUCUCAGUUCUCAUAGAGCCUUUUUAUUUUAAAUGGAUAUUCUAAAUUGCAUAUUUGAAAAUUCUAAUAAAGAUUUUUUGAAGCAAAAUGAAAGCUUUGUCUUUAGGCGAUGAUAAAGAUUUAAAAAAGAAGAAAGAGAAAGGGGAGGAUUCGAAGGAAGGGGGUGGAAGUUUGUAGAAGAUGAAUGAAGGGGGUUUGGGUUCGAAGAAAAAGAGGGGGAAGGCAGGGAUGGGGGGACGGUUAGAGAAGAUGGAAGGGGGUGGGAGAUUUUUGAAGAAGAUGAAAAGGUGGGCUAGGGGAUGUUUUUAUUUUUUAUUAUAUAUUAUUAAAUUAGUAGGACUUUCACCAUCUUUUUUUUUUUUUUAAGUGUUCUUUAUAAUUUGUUUUGGUCACGUCAGCUAUUAAGGUGGAUAUAUAAUUCACGCGAAAGUUAUUUAAGGGGUUUUUUAAAUAUGUGUAAAGCUAAAGUAUUAAAAUAAGUUAUGCAUUUCCCUGUAUUUUACUAUCAGUAUAUAUAAUUUAAAUUGAGAAAAGUCUUAAUUACCCCCAUAACUUUAAGGUUUGAUUUAGUGUACACCUAAACUAUCGGAUGUCUUAAAUACUCCUCAAAACGUGUUAUUUUAAUAUGUCAAUAACCUCCUCGUGGUCCACCUGGCAUGAAAAGUGGUGGAAUUAAGCAUUUGCCACAUCAUCAUUUUGCAACCGUAAAAAAUAAAAAAAACAUCAUUUUUUAACAUUGUUGUCAUAGUUUCAAAGCCCCCAUCUCUCUCUUCUCUUCCUAUUUAUUCUCUAGUCUCCUCUGUGACUUUUAAAAUUUCUCAAAAUAAUUUUAUUUCAAUAUGAUUUCUAUACUUUAAAUCAAAUCCCUAAUUGAAAUAGUAUUCGGAAUGUAGUAUGCAACAUCAAUUGAAAAAAAUAACUUCAUAUUUUAACACAAAGAAAACUAACAAUUUUUUUUUUUUCAGAUAACAUCUUACUUAAUUGAAGAAAAUUCAAUUUAGAAAUUAAAUAUUCACUCAAACCUUCAGCUUUUCUCUAUUUUAAUUUGGAGCAGAGAAAAACUCAAAAUUUUGAUCUUUCUUCUUCACUAAGAGUUUAUGCAAUAGCUUCUAGGGAGUGAAAGUGAGUGAUUUUUGAUAUAGGAUAAAUAUGAAACAGUGUCUGAUAUGAUUUAUCCACAUACACAUAGGCCAUUAUUUCACCGUGUAUGCGCGUGUUUCAAUUGUGGUCUUUGAACCACAAUGGGGUAUGCGAAGUAUUGAAAUAACAAGUUUCGAAUUUUUUUUAAGACAAACAAUAGUUUAGGUGUUCACUAAACAAAAUUUUACAAAUUCAAGAUUUUUCUAAAACUUCUCUCAUUUAAAUUCAUACAUUACCUGUAGUCGUAAGAGCGGACCUAAUAGCUGCUGGAGACCAAUCAGGAUGUGCAGCUUUGAGAAGUGCAACAAUUUCCGCGACAUGAGGGGCUGCCAUGGAUGUUCCUGACAUGAGUUUGAAGCCAUUAUCUCCUCCGAGAUGAGAAGGAUAUGCUGCGAGUAUAUUAACACCAAGAGCUGCAAUAUUGGGCUGUAAUAAUAUUUAAGUAAAUUUAUAAAUCACUUUUAAAAAUGAUAAAAUAAUUCAACAAAAAAAUUGCUAAAUUGGAGAAGAUAUGAAUCUAAGAUUUAAGUUUAUUGAGUUCAACUUUUAAGGUGUUGAUGCUGCAUUCAUAAUAAAUUUAAACUUAAAAUUCUGAAGUUACUGCUUCUAUAAUAUUUACUUAAAUUCUAACGACAACAACAAUAUAUUCAAUAUAUCUCAAACGACAUAUAAUUCUGUAUUUACCUUUAAAAUUUCUGGGGCAAAAGAAUUAGGGCCUCUUGAGGAGAAUUGAGGCACCUUUAUGUAUGUCUCCUUGCCCUCAAGAAUUUUAGCUUGUCCAUAUUUAAUAAUAGGAUCUUGAUUGCUGUUAUAAAGCACGAAAUAAUUUUCAGUGAUCUAUAAUAUAACAAGAAUCUAGCAAAAUUAAUUAUUUCUCAGAUAAUAUAUAAUUCUCUCAAAUUAAAAAUGUUAUCUCGUAUUUAGUUAGAGAGUGGAUAAUAUUUUUUAAAAAAAAUUUAAUUUGAGAUUGAUAAUAAUAUUAGCACGGACAAUGUUUACCAAAAAAGUAUACUCAUUAUUGAAUAUUACUAAUAAUGUUUAUGUGUUGAUCGAAAAUAAUGACAUCAAGAUAAGAUUUGAGAUAAUUAUAUGUGACUUCCCUUCCGACAGCAAAGGAAAACCAUUUUUUCCUUUUUAUCUCCGGGGGUAAUUUUUUCCCCACUUUUUUUAAUGACUUAACUUCUAAAAAUAUUUUUCCUAAAAAAAAAUAUAUCUUAAAAUAUUCAAAAAUACGAAAAAGCGCAAAAACAAGAAGGAGAAAGAGACAUAUAUGCUUACUUCGAUAUACAUUGUUGAAAAUAGUCAAAAAUUUGAUUUCCUUGUUCGAGAUCUAUCAUGAAGAAUGGUGUAGGAUUUUGUAGCAAAAAUAUAAGCCAAAACUCCUGUAUUGUUAAGUUUCAUCAAAGAACGAAAUAUAUCCUUUUUGUUUGGAAAGAAAAGCAUUAUAACUUUUCCUUUCAAUCCAUUGGCAAUAGAUUCCAGGUCUUCAACUCUGAAAUUGAAAAAUACUAAUGUUAACAAUUAUAGAUAAAUUUCGACAAAUAUAGUGUCGGACAGUUACGACAUUUGAAAAGAAAAGAAUUUUACAUAAAAAAACCCUCCGGAGAAAAAAUAUAUCUUGAGAUCCUUUAUAUAUAUCUCAAUCCAUUCCAAUGGCUUAACCAAUAAUCAUUGCAAACACUCAAAAAUCCAUUUCAUAAAUAUUCGAAAGUUCAAAAAGUGAGCGGUAUGGUAUGUUACAUCAAACUUCUAAAACUAACUUGCUUUCAAAUUUCUUUUUUAAAAAAAUUCUUUCCAUGAGAACAUUUUGUAUUUGACUAACAAAUUUAAAAAAUCACCUUUGACCAGUCAUUAGUAUUUGACCAAGUAUUAAAAACACUUCAAAAUUUAUUUUCAAAAAAAUACUUUUGUAGAAAAAUUAAUUUAUUUUAGCUUCUUAAAAAAUAAUUUUUUUUUCUCCGAAAAGCUUAACGAAACACCUCGUUUUAAAAAAAAUAUCAGCAAUAAUCCGUUUAUAACAAAUCAAAAAUACUCUCAUCCAAAAGAACUGAUAGCUUAUAUUGAAUACUAAACUGUAAUUACAAAGUAGUUACCAAUGAUACUAAGCAAAUUCAAUAAAAAUAAAAAUAAAAAAGGAAAUGAGAUAUAAAUAACAGAUGAGAGAGAACAUUGUUCACAUCACAAUACACACAUAAACCAUUCUGUUUAAUUCAAAGUUCUACUUAUCCAAUUGUUAAUUGGCUAUGAUCCCAAAUAAAAUUUUUCAACAUAUCAAUCGGCCCAAUAAUCUCGACUGUAUCAAAAGGAGGAUAAACAGAAGGUUUAUACUUUUGACAUCUUGAAAACUUGGCCAAUAUUAAUAUCUUGUAAACUGUAUUAAUUGGAUGAUGCAAUAUACAUUUCACUUACCACGUUAUAUUUGCAAAAGUGACCAAAGGAGCAAAGGCUUGUUGCAUCCCUUUAAUAAGUCCUGCAGCCUACAAUCAUUCCAAAGUGUAAAAAAAAAAUUGUACUAGAAUCGUCACGUUUAGAUUGCAAAUCCCUCCGAAGAUUGAUUAUUUAUUUAUUUUAAAUGGAAAUAAGACCCCAGGGGUUGUUUUUGUUUAAAAAAAUUUAAAAAAUUGUCGAGUGUAAAUUUUAAAAAUAAUAAAAUCUUAGCCAAUACACACAACAAUAGUCUAAUGAUAAAACUGUAUUCUACCAUACUAUAUAUGAUAUCAUCAAUCCUACUUCCAAAGCAACCAUUUUCAUAUUUGUCAAACCUCUUUCUUGGAGGAAAGGUUUUGAAACUGUAUAAAUAGAAGACCCACUUCUCAUACCAUAAUACAUAUAGAAUCCACAAUGUAGUCAUUUAAAAAGUUUUGUUUAGGAGGAGAUUUUCUCUCGAAUAGUUUUAUGCUUUCUUUUAUAUUAGGUUUUUAUAUGUAGGCCAAUUGACCAAACUAUAUAAUAAUUAUGUUAGUAUGUUUUUCUUUUUGUCUGAAUUAUCGUCUCAUAGUUUGCAACUAUUAGCUUCCUCAUGACGCCCUCUCGAUUCCGAACCCAACAUUAUUGACAUAUUUUUCUUCAAAUUAAAGUUUUAAGAAAACAAAAGAACUUACUAGUAUCGUCUUGUUAUUGCCAAGUGUUAAAGGAGUAACAAUUUCUCUGUCGGAAUUGCUACUAGCCACACUUAUCACCCAUGGAGAAGUAGCACCAACUGUGUAAGAGUCUGGUCCACUAUUUCCUCCACUAGCAAUAAAAGAUAUGCCAUAGGAUAUUGCAUGAAAGGAUCCUAUUCCAAAUAAUUUAUCCUCAUCAAUGUCAGCAAUGUUGAUAACACCACCACCAAUAGAUAUUGAUAUUAUAUCAACUCCAUCUUUUAUAGCAUCAUCAAUAGUAGCAAGAACAUCGAUAUUACUAAUUUUUGUUCCAUUUAUACCACUUCAGGCCACCUGUUAAAAAUAUUAUAAAUAAGUGAAUAUAAUUGUGUUUAGAUUCUCUAACAUCUUAAACUUUUAGAGACAAGAAUUAGAGCUCGGAAAAAAAAGUUUUGGGUCCAACUUUCACCUCUAACCAUUAGUUAGAGAUGAGAAUUGUUGAACAUAAUAGGUUUAUAGAUUCUACGUAGUAAAUUUGAUUUAUUGAAUUCAUAAUUUAUUAUUUGCAGUUAUCAUUAUAAAAUUUUAAAUUGAAAUACGAUGUUUGAGUCAAAAUUAUUGGAUUUGAAUGAACCCAUAAAAUAUAUGCUAGAUUCAUCAAUGUAUUAUUUAAAAGCUAAGAAUAUUGAUGUGCUUGGUUAGUAAAAGAGAAUAAAAUCUAGACGUGUUGAAAUUAUGAUUAAAUAUAUUUAUAAAAUUACUUUAAACGUUUAAUUGAGAAGGAUAACUACACAAGCAAUUUAAUGAUGAUACCUUAUAAAUAGCUAACCGUGCACGUGGUGCUCCUCCUCGUAUUGUUCCCAUAUUAACACCAUAGUAUUACAGAUUGUUAACAUAAGAACCAGCAGCUGUAUAUGCAACAUGACUACCAUGCCCUACUUUAUCAUCUAAUGGUGAUAAAUCAUUUAAUUUUUUAGCUGUUGUUUGAUUUAAUUCAUUAGCUUCUAUUGCUCCUUUUAUAUACCAACGAGCUCCAAUCAUUUUUCGAUUACAAUAUUUUGCAGUGGUGAAAUUUCUUGCGGAUUUGCAGCUACCUUUCCAUCUUGAUGGAAUUGGACUAGGCCUUUAUCAUUAAAAGCUUCCGAAUUAUCUCCCCAUGCAAUACCUACAAAAUAUUGGUAGUUCUUUUAGAGUUUAAACUAUACACAAACAUGUAACAUCAUGAUGCUUGAAUAUAAUUUGUUGUAUGAUUGUAGACUGGAAGAAAUAUUAAAAAUUAACUUGAUAAAGUACAUUAUUAAUGUAAAAAUCUCCUUACUGUCUAAAACAAUACCAAUGAAAGAAGAAGAAUAUCAUAGAGAGGGAGAAAAUAGUACUUAUUUCUCAAGAGAGAUUGUGUUGAGAAUGAAUUAUAAUAAAGAAAAUCUCUUUUAUUUAAAGAAAAAAUUGACUUGAUCCCAAAGUUAGGUUUCCUAUCUUUUCUCCAAAGAAACAUAAAAGAAGACAUUUAUCAAUGAUAAUGUGUUUCGUUAAAAUAUUACUAGAAAAAAAUCUAGUGAGAGAAAAAAUCUUGUCAACAAAAAAGAGUACACAUGUCUAAUAAUACGUAUUUUGAUUGCUUUAUUAAAAAUCAUUAAAGAAAAAUUUAGUGGGACAAAACUUUGUGAGGGAAUAAGAGUACAACAUGUAUUAACUCCUCCCGAUCGAAAGAUCAAUUCAAUACUUAAAUCUUCACAUUUCAAUUUUGUGUACCAUCUUCUAAAAUAUUGUAGUUAGUAGAAAUUUGAUCAAUAAAUUAGUCAUAUUGUCACAAAAAAAGAGUUUGUUGCACAUUGAUGUCACCAUUCGUUUGAAGUUCAUGUGUAUAGAAAAUUCUAUUGAAGCGUGCUUCAUUCUAUCUCUUUUUUUAUGAUCCGUCUCUUUAAUUGGGUUACACAUAAUGCAUAAUCUUCAUAUAAUAUCAUGAAUUUGUUACAUUUGAAAUCAUAUUUUUCUCAAAUGAGAUGUAUAUAUCAUUGCCUAAGUAACACACAUUCUCAGCUUGCUUCAUAAUUAGCUAUUAUCUAAGCAUAAUUUGAAUGUCAUGUACAACAUGUAUGAUCCUUCAUGACAAUAGAUAAUAUUUCUGUAUUAAACCUUUAAGUCGAUCAUAUGAUAUCUUAUAUAUUCAAGAACUUGACAAUAGUCAUUAAGAUAAAUUUAUUUCUAUGAGGCCUUUCAUUUGCCAUAUGCAAGUGAUCAUAUUUCAACAUUUCUACAGAAAGUAAACUAUUUUAUGCACAUAGUUAUAGCAAGAUGUAUAAAUACAUUAAUUGCACAAGAUAUGGUACUUAAUUUCCAAUUCAAAUUGGCAAGAUUCUCAUUUCAUCCAAUAAUCUAUAACUUUUGUAAAAUCUUUAGAAGUUUCAACUAUAUUCAAAUAAUCAAUUUAUGACAUAAGGAUUAGGUUAAAGGCAUCGAUAGGCACUCAAACUUGUUGCCAAAAUUCACUUAGACACCUAAACUAAGGUUUGUUCCUAUCAGACCCCUACACCCCCCGAAUUUUGUUUUAAUUAGGCAUUUUUUGCCUAAUCAGCAAUAGGCAUAGAGUGUGUGUGAUACACUCGCCUGACGUGGCAAAAAUGGUCGAUACUAAAAAAAACACGUGGCAACGAUUUUUUUUUAAAAAUUAUAAGUUAAAAAUCUAAUUAAAUCCAAAAAUUCUGAAAAAGAUAAUUAUUUUAAAAUUAAAAAAAUUAACCCUCCCCCCCUCCCACGUCCCCGCCCCNNNNNNNNNNNNNNNNNNNNNNNNNNNNNNNNNNNNNNNNNNNNNNNNNNNNNNNNNNNNNNNNNNNNNNNNNCUAGUUCCCCCACCCUGGCCCCCACCCCCCUUCCACUUUUUACUCCAGUUUUAAUAGCAAAGCUAUUAAAUACUCAAGUUACAAUCAAAUUAAGAAUUACAACCAUCUCAAAUUUGUAAAUCAACAAUCAAAUUACAACCAUCCCAAAUUUGAAAUUCAACAAUCAAAUUACAACCAAAUUUGAAAUCACAAUCAUCUCAAAUUUGUAAUUCAAAAAUCAAAUUACAACAAUCUCAAACUUGUUUCGAACUUGUACUGGUUAGAGCGUAAUCUCGUGAAGAAGACAUCACAUAACUCCAUUGACGAACAUUUGAGCUUUGAGUUUGAAUUUGCAGACUGUGAGGUUUCUAAAUUAUUUUGGUUGAGUGUUGUUUCAAAAGCAUGGUACACCUUAAGGAGCUUACAAAUCAAAUUUGGAGCUAUUUGUUCGAGAUUAGAAGUGGUUUUGACAUACUUUUAAUGGUAGAUGAACAAAUUAAAAUUUAAGAAAAAAAAUGAAGAAGAUUGGGAGAAAGAUGAGCCAGAGGUAUCGGGGGAGGGGGGUUGUGGGGAGGCUUUGUUUUUUAAUUCUGUUUUAUUAAAAAGAAAUUGGGGCCCUCUAAUACUUUUUGUUUUAUUAAAAAUUGUUUUGGGGUCUUUAGUGUUUUAAAAAAAUAAAAUUUUUGUUUUAUUAAAAAAAUUUGGGGCCCUCAGUGCCAUUUGACAUCUUUCUAUUGGUGAAUUAAUAAGAAAAAACACUUUCACGCGCCCUCUGCGUUUGCAUUGCACACACAGUGCCACGUAGGCAAAAGUGCAUAAUUGAAACAAAAUUUGGGGUGUUUAGGUGCCUGAUAGGAACAAGACUUCGUUUAGUUGUCUAAGUGAAUUUUGGCAACAAGUUUGAGUGUCUAUCGAUGACUUUGACCUAAGGAUUAUAAGUAAAAUUUUUAGAAACUUAUAUAUACUUCAGGAAUUCUUUGAUCCAUUUUUUCUAGUGAAAUAUUCAAUAUUUAAUGUAUGACACCUUUUAGAGUAUAGACUAUAAAUCAAAUAAUUCUUACUACGAUGCAUCCUUCCAUCACUUGACAAAAAUUUGUGUCAACAUUCUUACAUAAACAUAGUACUCAGAUCCUCAUAAUCUUUUAUAAUAUUGUGUUAUAAUGUAUUAAAGAUAUUGUUAAUGAUAUAUCAUUUUAUAUUGGUUCACAGUGAGAGAUAACCUAUUGAAAUCUCAUCGCUUCAUUGUUUUUCUUAGGUUACUCAAUUUCUCAUAAGGUUUAAUGAAAUGUUAUGUAGUAGGCUAUUCAAGAGUGUAUUAACUCUUUAUUAUGAUUAUUUACUUUUUUUUUCUCAAAGAUUAUUUCAUUUCGAACCGAUGCCUUACCAUGCUUCAUUGGUAUCGUAGAUUUUGCCCUUUAGGGACAUCUAAUUAGAGCAUUUACAACUAAUAUGAGAUUAAUUUUAGGUCUGAAAUGUUCCUAGCAUUUGACUUGAAUUAUUUUCGAUUGAGGAUCAUAUCGAUGAUAAUUCACUACAUAUUUAUUAGUUGCUUAUUAUCUCCCCCUUAUUUUAGUAAAACUAACAUAUAUAACUCAAUCUACUUUAGAGAAUCAUCUUUGUGCAUCAUGAUAUAUUCAUUAAUCAUAUACCACACCCAGAAAAUUGUUAGAUGAAAUAAUUGGUUCCUGACCUUGAACCAAUUGAGAAGGAGGGUUUAAUUACAAUUUAUUAGUGUAGUGCAUACAAGUGUCACGAUCCACAAAUAGGCAUGUGAUGACACUUGUCACACCCUCUGGACAAUUAAGUCCAAACCAACCCAAGGAAUAAGAAUUAAAGUUAGUCAAAAAAUGAAACAAAAGGAACAAAAGAAUCCUAAUAGUGUGUGUGUAUAUAUAUGUUUAUAUAUACACACACGAGACCCAAGUCUUAAAUACAUUCUAGAUCUAGUUGUCAUCAGUACAAGCCUCUAAAUAUAGAAUGAUAGCAAUAGCUAAAGUAUCUUAAAUGGGAGUAAGUAUAAGAUAAAUAAAGAGUAAUUCGGGUAAGUUUGAAGUUCGCCAGCACUACGUCGAUCUCCACAGCAUCAAUGCUGGAAGAAAAUAAUCUACAAAAUGCUAUUCGGUCCAAUACCUUCAUGGGGUGUAGAAAACAAAAAAAAAAAAAGAGAAGAAAGCGAAAGUACGAAACCACUUGUACUCAACAAGAAUCAUUGAUAAUUGACUCUAAUCCAAAAAUUUAGCGAAGGUACAAACCGACUCAACCAAUACAAAAAUAAGGUCCAAAUCCAAGAAACAUCAUUUUAAAGCUUUACUGCUGAAAUUCAAAAAUUGAAUUUAAAAAUAAAAAAUUUUAAAAUGAAUUUGUAAAGAAAUCAAUGAAAGAAAUUAUAAAUAUAAGUAAACAUACCCACGAAUGAAAUCUUGAAAAUCCCAAUAGAAGAACUCAAAUACAAGCUCUCUAGUUCAAAAAUGGUGAAAAUGAUGGAAUGAGGUUUUGAAUGUGAAAUUUGGUUAGGAAUAAUGAAAUACGAAAUGAAUAUUCUUGAAAAAUGAAAAAAGUGAAUGUAAAAUCACAUAGUAAAUGGUUAUACGAGAAAAAUACAUCUAUAAACGCCAAAAAUGGAGCUUACGAGCUCACAAAAUAUCAAAAAUAUAAAAUGAGCUAAAAUCUGAAAUUUAUAUAUGUCAAGGUACGAUUCCAUAGCUAAAAUUUAUGUUUCGUAGCUAAAAGUCUAUUUUUCCACAGCUAAAGGUGUGGACCAACAACCUUUUACACCAACAACUUUUAUAUUCUCUAAGAAGGCCAUAAAUCCCUCGUACAGUAGCGAAAUGCACCACUUCUUUUUUUUCAUAAUUUUAAAAUAAUGAUACGAAUCUAAUCAUUCAGUUGUGACUCAAUUUCAUGCAUGUUUGCCCAGUUAGAUAUUAUUUGUACUUGUUAAAGAAUUAUUUCAUAUUUCACGAUAAAAUUGGAUCUUAUCGAAAUUACACCAAACUCUUCAGAUCAAUCCUAUAAUUCAUGCAUGACAUUCUAUAAAUUUAAAAAUAAUUUUUUGAUCGUUAAAACUAAUAAUGAACCUUUUUGCCGAAUGUUUCUACUUAAACGGGGCCAAAAACACUCAAAAUAUUCAAAAAAUUAUUCAAAACUCAUCCGGAACCUCCCAAACCCAAACCAUAUAUGCUAAUAGCUUGAGAAAGUCAUUCCACACUUAGCAUUCAUUGAGUUUAUGAAAAGAGGCCGUUUACAAUAAAUUAACCCCCAAGACCUCUUAUAGGAUAUUUAAACUAAUUUCUGAAUAGAGGAUCAAAAUAAAAAAUAAAAGUUUCAAAUUCGAACCAACCCCGCUACCAAUUGAAAUUCGAUCUUUCUGACCUAAUGAAACUAUCAGAAUCACCAUCUGAUACUCGAAUCAUGAAAUAUUGAUCGAAGUCAAACUAAUCCCUCUAUGGAUAUUCAAAAUCAUAAUCUCACAUAAGACACUUCCGAAUUUAUCGGGGAUCGUUCCAACCAUUCCCGCAUCUCAUAAAUGAGAUAAAACAAUCACAAGGAAGGGUAAAAUAAUCAAAACACAGAAAAUUCUAAUUUCAAUAUAAGGGUCAUUACUGUAUCCACCAUUACAUUUCACAUUCAUCUUUGAACAUACAAGAAGGGAAAUCCAAGACAAUAGAAAAUAUCCUCGAGAACCUCAAGUAAGCACGCAAAAGUGGAGUCUAAACUAUAAAAUUAUCGAUAUACUGCAGAACCAGAUAUCUACCACACAAUGACUUACAAGGUUACAACACUGGCAUCUAAAGCCAAAUUCUCAAUGAAGCCGAAUUUCCUUAGUUUUGAACUUACUUAAUACCCAAUGAGUCAAUUAUGCUAGAAAUUCUAAACUCAACCAGCUAACCUAAACUUGGCCAAGACACCAUAAGACACUGAUGGCACCACUAAACAAAAUUCAUCAUUGGACUCACAAAAAGCCAAGGAGUUCAUGAAAUCAUAUAACCAUCUACUAAUAUACUGAAUAAACCCAUUCAAGGUCGAUACCACAAUUAUCAACUUAGAUAAAAUUAUAUCCCCAAACUAACACAGCUUAGUUAGAAGUCAAUAUCAAAUUCACAUAAAACCUCAAAAGCCACACUUAUCAUUCUUAAGACACUAUAACAUAGUCAAAUAUUUAUGUUCAACCCUCGUAGGCAAUCGAGAAUUACCAUAAAACUCCAUAUACCAUAGAUAUGAUCACUCAAAAAGGGACCAAAAUCUUAUGUAACUCAUCGUAAUAACCCAUGUAGUCCUCUACACUAAAGUAACUUUAAUCAACCAAAAAUUCUUAAUAAUCUAGUAGAACAAAGAGUUUAUAUUGACAACACACAUACGUAAGUUGUCAUAUAAGGGAUGACUAACCUAUAAAAGAAGAACAAAAAUCAUCAUAUCACACUUGUGGACGUCUAAAUUAUAACUCAAAUCUUAGGAAAGUCACAAGUAGACUCCUCAUAGACACUGAAGAACUACACAUGUUAAGGCUUCAAAUUUCUAACUCAAACCCAUAAUAAUUUCUGAUAUACCAAAAUUCCUUAUGUACAAGUUCUUUGUACCUUUCUUAGUUCUCAUUUAGUAUUCCUCCAGGAUAAAAAUCAUGAAAUAAUAAUACAUACUCUAAAUCAAACUCAUGAGCGAAAUAUUUCAUUAAGUCGUUUUACUUCCAAAGCAAUAAAUGCUACAAAUUAGGCACCUUUUCCAUUCAGUAUAUUUUUAAAUUAAAAGGCAAGGAUCUUUAUAAAUCAAUUUUUUUUCAAGUCUAACUGAUGUGUGAUCAAUAUCUCUAAGUUUUUUCAUGCAAGCAAAGCUAAUCACUGAGAAAGUAACAAAUCAUAAAACAAUAACUCUAAAAAAUCAUCCCUUAUCCAACCAAAAAUAUUUACUUGAAAACCUUUUGAAUAACUUACCACAAGUCCAAUCCAUUCUACAAUUUGAAAGUAUAUCCAAACCUAGAAUUGAUACAUUACUAUGCCACAACAUAACCAUCAAGAAAAUCGUAUUCAAAUACACCAAAAUCCACAAUACUCAUAACAUUAAAUCUAGUCCAGUGAUAUACUUUAAACAAGUCACAACAUAGGAUCAACAUACCUGAUCCACCACUAAGAAAAUAUUUAUAGGAUAGAAAAUAUCAACAAAUCCAACAAAGCUAACUAAUCAUAUCAAGACUCAAUGCCAAAUAAAUAAGUAUGUAGGAGAAUGUAAAACCCUACUCAUGAAUCACUACUAAAACAAACCAAAGGAGUACCAAAACCAUACUUGUGGCUACUGUACCAUAGACUCCUGCCUCGAGUCCUCCUGUGAAACAUGACACUAAAAUAUGUCAUCUCUCAGAGCAAAUGGUGUAGCAUCUCUCUGUCUGAGUUGUGAGCAAUCCCUUCUAUAAUGCCUGAGAUCUCCACAUAAGAUGCAACCCAAAAAGGUAGGAGCCCACUGGGAUAGGACCGAAGAACCUGAACAACCACUAUGAUCUAAUCUUCUUCAAGAAUAACUAUGAGUAUUCAGGCCUCUACCAAGAAUAUCACCAUCAUCAUCAAAUCUGCAAGGCCUCUGGUCCACAAGCUCUCAUGUCUCUAUACAAACUCCUCUAGAAACUCUUGAGCAAACUAAUCUCAUUUGAGAAGAGGUUAUGUAGUCAGUCUGCUCUCUACCAAAGUUCUCCAACACUGUCUAGCUGGGCCAAAGAACUAAAAUAAAGUGAAAUCCACCCUAUUAGAAUCCACCAAGCCCAAUUUGUGCAACCUCUUAUUGCAACCAAACAAGAACAUAUAAGUUUUAAAUUUGGUAUCUCCUUCAAAUCGAGGUGGAUCUAUCCUCAUUAACUCUGUAUAUCUACUUUAUCCCCUCCAUGGACAUAAAAUAUAAGGUCACUAGAUAUAGGUCAAUCUCUGGUUAAGCUCAUCAACCCUAGGAGAACAUGUAAUCAAAUGUGCAUUUGGAUCCUGAAGUCUUAAAGUAACAUGUUGAAUCAAAGUAGAAUCCACCCUCUCAAGGAUACCCAAUACUCGUACUAAAUAAUCUUCAAGCAUAAGUAUAGUCCCAGGUAGUGUCUGUACUAGUCUAAACCCCUAUAUCUCAAAAGUCCUAACAUCACUAGCAACUCUCGAAUCUAAAAAGUUAACUAAACCUAACCUCUAGCUGGUCUGGAUAUUCUAAUCCAACCUCUGCUCAUAUAAUACAUUGAAGGCACGAGCACUGUAACUCUAACUAAGAAAAAAUGCAUACUCAUCAUAUAUUCGAGAGUGAAUAGGAAAUUUUGGAGUUAUUUAAGGUCGUAACGCAUGAAAUAGAAUAAAGAAUUGGAUUUCUCCAAAAGUUGUGUAGCCUCUUGAAGAUAUAUAAUAAGCGUCUUUGUAUCGAUCCGCAAUACUCUUCUCAACUUGGCUUGUACUAAUGAGACUAAUGAACCUAAGGCUCUGAUAUCAAUUUUUCACUAUUCAAAAAUAGACACGGGAUGACACUUGUUACACCUUCUGGACAAGUAACCCUAAACCAACCCGAGGAACAAGAAUUAAAGGGAUUCAAAAAUGAAAAUUGAAAAAACAAAAAAAAAACCAUUAGUAUGUAUAUAUGAGAUCCAAGUCUCAAAAAUACAUCAAAAUUUGGUUGUCAUCAGUACAAGCCUCUAAAAAUAGAAUUAUAGCAAUAACUAAAGUAUCUUAAAUGCAGAUAAUCAUAAGAUAACUAAAGAAAGAUCCGUCUAAGCUUGGAGUCCCCCAGCACUACCUCGAUCUCCAUAAUGUCAAUGCUGGAGAAAAAUAAUCUACAAGCUACUACUCGAUCUAAUACUUGCAUAGGGUGCAAAAAAUAAGAAAAAAGGAAUAGAAACAAGGGUGAGUACAAAAUCACUUGUACUCAGCAAGUAUUGUUGAUAACCUAUCCUAAUCCAAAGCGAUAGCGAGAACCACCACACAACCUAUCCAGUGUAUCUCAAACAACCUAUAACCCACCAAAUGUAGUACUUCAUUCUAUCACGAUAACCUAAUAUAACGAUCCACAGGUAUAUCAAUACAACAUAGAUAUAUUAAUCUAGGUGAGUCAACACUAUUCAUUUUGUAUUAAAAAAUUAUAGAUGUCAUUUAUGAAGAAAAUUCACCAAUGCGAUAUAUCAAGAUCAGUCAAUUAUAACUAACCAAUAAUAUGAGAUAAAACAAGAAGGGUGAGCAUAUAUAAGGGUGUAUUCCAUAGUACCAAAAGAUGCUACCCAUCUAUCUUCUCGAUCAAGCCACUGCCACACUUCACGUCUCAUAAUACCUUAACCUCCCAACCUAUAUAAGAUAAAAUAAAAUAAUAUAAUAAAGUUAAAUGAAUGCUCAAAUACAAUAUCACAAACAAGGUGCUAUCAUGGUAAUACAAUAUAAGAGUAAAUACUAUCAUACCAAGGAGUGUUAAUGCAAUAUAAUUGAUGAAAUAUAAUAUAGUGAUGAUGAUGAAUGAUGGAAGUCAUCCUUUUUGUAUACACCCAUCGAGCUUGCAACUUUUAGUCAAGACCUCUAGGAGGUUUGCAAUCUAUAUACUUAUAUAAUCUCAAUCUAAUGUCUCAAAUCAACCUUAUCGACACAUCUCUCGGUAUAGGCAUUUUAUAAGGCAUUUUAUUUUCUUUUAAAAAUUAGAUGUGUCCAUGGUACCAAUAUCUCAUAAAUAUGCAUGCAUGAUAUGAGGAUGUAAUGUUCACAAUCAAUUGGUACAAAGAUUCAAAUCUAUUUAAUACAUGUCUAAGUGGGCUCAGAAUCCGCUCAAUGCAUCAAUAGUUCAUAAAAUUAGUUUUCACUUGGCCCUACCAGAAUAAAUAGUCAUACAGUAAUCAAAAUUAUCAUUCCCAACCCCUCACUCGGGUAUCAUUGUAAUUAACAUGCUAUUAAAUGCUCAUAUAAGACCUACAACAUCAAGUCAAGCCCCCACUCGAAUGACACAAUAGUAAAUAAGGUAUUUAAUGCACAAAAAUGACCACCAAAGUUAAUUUUCCACUUGGGCAUCACAAUAGUAUGUCCUCUCAAAUCAAAAGCAAUAUGCAUAUAAGCCCCCACUCGGACACAUGACAUAAAUAAUUACUCAAGUCCAUAAUCAAGUUCACAUAAGCCCCACACAGGCAUCACAAAAUAAACAACAAUCCCAAUAAUAAUAAAUGGAGGACUACCCAAACCUAACUUGGUCUAUUUAUUAAGUCUCAUCAACUAUUACAAGUAUAUUCAUACUCUAAUUAUUCUCUAAAACUCAAAUAUUUCAUUAAUAAUAACGAUAAUAACAUAAUUAUACCCUAACAAGACAUUAAUCCACAAUCAUCACAAUAAAGUUCGCCAACAAGAUUCAAGCUCUAAUGGCAGUGCAAUAUGAAUUAUUCGAGAAUCAUUAGUUUAUUUAUCUACAUUCUACUCUAAGGAUAUUUAAGAAUAUUAAUACUAACUAAUCAAGACAAUAAUCUAAUUAUAAUCCAUCAAAGACUCCGGUACCCAUGGAGAUGCUCUCCAUUUUCACCUAAGUGGGACCACUAAUCCUAAGUGAUAUACAAAAUACUAUAAAUAAGCACACAACACCUAUACACUUUGAAAAAAUCUCGAGGUACGUCUCAGCUUGCCUUAAACGAAGAUUCGCAAGUCCAAGUGCAAUACAAAAUCUCAAGUGGAAGCUUAACCCUUUCAAAUCAAUACCAAAUGCAUCCAAUCUAAUCAAAUAUAUUAGCUUCAAGUUGUAGACACCUAAUUUUGUCUCUCCCGAAACCCAAUUCAUCCACUUUUCACCUCACGUUAUCAUACACCCUCACCCAUGUGAUUAUACCCCACAAAAUUCAAAAAAUAACCAAUUUCAAUAAAUUCCUAACAUAUCAAAUUCCUUAUAUUAUUUAUCCUAACAAACUUUAUCCUAACUACUACCCCACCUUACCCCUAGACAUCCCCCCUCCCCUUACGUUGUGAACACAUAUAAACACAGUAAAAUAAGGAAAAAAGGGGAGGUCCCACAGUAAAAACAAAAAAAAAGGCAUACAAAAGAGGACCUAUCUUUUUCUUCCAAGAGGGACGAACACAGCAACAAUAGAGGAUCUUUUAUUUUUUUUCACGCGACAUCAAAGUAAAAGGGAGAAAGCAUAUGGAGCCAUUAAUAAACACACCAAUACACUCACAGAGCUGACCGUAAACAUACGCACGCACAGCCACCAGAAAUACUCACACACACACCCACGUCGGAGGGAAGAAAGGGAUUAAGAUUAAAUUGGACGGAGAGAAAACCAGAUUGAGAGAGGGAAGGGUAACAUGGAGAGAGAGAAAGAACACAUAUUUUGGGUUUUGGUUAUCGUUCCGGUGACAUACUCGCCGAAAAUGCAUCAAACGUCAUGAAACCCAUUCGAAACCAUCACAAAAAGGGGCUAUGGGUUGGUAUCUGAACCCCGAAUCCACCAACACCACUAAGAUCCAUCAUUGAUUCACAUAUGUUGGUUGAUUUUUUGAUGGGUUUGGCCAAAAAAUGGUGAAGCUGCGUGUCUAUUGCUCUGUUGCAGUAUGUAAAAAUACUAUUAAACGGGCGAAAUUCCAAAGUUUCUGUUUGGGGUGCUUGUUUGGUUCUUCACGGGUCUUUAAUUCGAGUCAGAUUUUGGGUUUCGUUAUGGAUUCGAAUUGGUCGUUCUUAUUCGGGUUGAUUCCGACAAGUUUAAACUGGUUUUAUCAAUUGGUGAGUUCGAAGUUGAGGUUUUCCAUUUGAGGUUUCCUGGUGUGGAUUCUUUUUAUUCGAAUAAUAUUAUAUUCAAAAGCUUCAAAUUGAGGUCCAAUUCUACUUUUCACCCUUUUUAUUUCAUCAUUUAUUAUAUUCUGAUGCAUUGAUUUCAAUAUUGUGUGUUGGUUGAUUCGUGAUGAUGUGAAUUGUUGUUGUUUUGAUUCAGUGUUUGAUUUUUUAAUUAUGGAUUGAUUAUGGCUAUGGAUUGUUGAAAUGGUGAUUGUGAAUUGUGGAAAUUUGUUUUAAAAAGGAAUGUGAGGUUGGAUGGUAGCAAUUGAUAAAAAUGAAUAUUGUUUAGUCUUGAUUUAUUGUCGUUAGUUGUUUUGGAGUAAAUACGAAGGCUAAACGUGAUAGUAUCAUGAUAGGAUGAAAUUGGUAGGAAAAUGGUAGGCUGGGUAGGCAAAUUUAGGAAUAACGAAUUGUUGAGCGUUUGAAUAUAUGUGUGAAUGAUUUGUUCUAUUUUAUCGCACAAAAAUUGAAAUUGUACUCAUUUUACUAGAAAUGCCCCAAGGAAUUUGUAUUGAUUUAUUCGGGGAAUGCCCGAAGUAUCAUGUACGUAGAUGAGGCUCGUGAUCAAGGCCCAAGGCUUGGGUAAAGCCUUGGAGCAUAGUUUAGGAUUAGUGUAGGUUUACUUUUUAGUCCUUUUUUUAUUUCAGGUUGUAAUAAUUGGAUUAGAUACUAUAAUUUUGGAUUUGUUUUGUUUGUUUGUUUGUUUAUUUGAUUGGUUUGUGUGUUUUUGUGUGGUUUAUAUAUUCAUAAUGUCAAAAUUAGCCGAUACGCUCCACCAAGAUACUGUGGUCGAACUACGAGAUCGAGGGGUGCCUAACACCUUUCGCCCGAUCAACAAAAUUUCUUAUCCGGAAUCUCUGUUCGCAAACCAGUUUUAAAGAUUCAAAUCAUUUUGAAAAGGAAUUUGCAAAGGUGACUUGGCACACCGGAUUAUGUCAAGUGGCGAUUUUGAGUUUUGAAUAUAAAAAGUCCUUUUCGAAAUAAAUUUUUCAGCUUUUGUCACUUAAUAAUAAAAACCCUUUUGAAAACUUAAAAUGAAUCUUUUUUGAUUAAAAAUGGGGGUGUGAUAGCAGUCAAAAGAAAGCUAAUGAUACCCAUACUGGCACUAUUUAAUAUGAUUCCAAAACGAGUUAAAAAAAGAAAAGGUUGAAACCAAUUUUUUUUUUUUGAAAAUACUUUUCCCAUAACGUUAAAUACCUAUAACUGAAAACCCGCGCAUAAAUGAGGUCCAAAUCAAAGAAAAAUUAUUUUUAAGAUUUACCGGCACAAAUCACAAAAUCAAAUUUAAAAUCAAAGAUUUAAAGAUGAAUUUGUAUUAAAAUAAGUGAUAAUAAAUACAAGGUUUAGAAAUAUACCCACGAAAGAAAUCUCAAAAACUCCUUUGGAAGCACUCAAAUCCAAGCCCUCAAGCCCCAAAAAUGGUAAAAAAUUGUAGAAUGAGAAUUUGAAUCUCAACUUUGAUUCAGAAUUGUGAAAAAAGUGAAUAUUCUUAAAAAAUGGGAAAAGUGAAUGUAAAAUCACAAAGUAAAUGAUUACACGCGAAAAUGCAUCGAUAAUCGCAAAAAAGGAGUGUUUUAGCUCUCAAAAUGUCAAAAAUAUAAAAUAGAAUGAAGUCUGUAAUAUAUUUUCAGGUAUAAUUAUCGUAGCUAAAGCCCAUUUUUUGUAGCUAAAAUUCCAUUUUUCAGAGUUAAAAGUCUGCAUCAACAAAUUUAGUAUUCACUAAAAGAAUCAUAAACCUCUCAUACAAUAGCAAAAUUCACCAAUUCUUUUUUCUAUAAUUUCAAAAUAAUGAUACAAAUCUACUCAUUCAAUCAAAACUCUAUUUUAUGCACAUUCACCCAACUAGUUAUUAUUUUUACUCGUUAAAGAAUUAUUUCAUGUUCUGCAUAAAAACUGAAUCUCGACUUAUCAAAAUUACACCAAACUCUCUAGAUCAAUUCUAUAAUUCAUGCAUGAUAUUUCAUAUAUUUCGUAAUAUUUUUUUGAUCUUUAAAACUAAUAAUGAACCUUUUUUUGUUGAUUGAUUUUACUUAAAUUUGACCAAAACAUCCAAAAUAUUCAAAAAUUUAUUUCAAACUCAUCUGGAACCUCCCAAACACAAACCACAUAUGCUAAUAGUUUGAUGAUCAACUCUGUGAUCAGUUAUUAGAAUCAAUAGAUCUUCAAAUUGUUCAUUUCCAAAAAAUAAAACCUUUCUUAUUGGACGAUCAUUAUACUUCCUAAAAAUUGAAAUUCUUGAUCAAUGGAGGAACAAUAUCACCAUUUUUGUUCAAUAAGAUACCAAAGUCAAUGGUUUACUAAUAAUAAAAUUUUAAACUCAAUAGAAUCAUCAAAUUUAUGAAAAGAGUUCGUUUACAUUAAAUUAACCCUCGGGUCCCCUUACACGCUAUUUAAACUAGUUUUCAAACGGAGAGUUAAAAUAAAAAAUAAAGGUUUCAAACUUGAAUCAACCCCGCUACUAACCCAAAUUUGACAUUUUGAAUCUAAUGGAACUAUCAGAAUUAUCAUUCAAUACUUGGAUCAAGAAUAAAAAUAAUCCCUUUAUAGAAGUUCAAAACAAAAUCUCAUAUAAAAUACUUUCGAACGCAUUGAGGAUCAUGCCAACCAUUUCUACAAUUUAUAAACGUGAUAAAGUAACUUUAGAGAAGGGCAAAGCGGUCAAACUGUAAAAAAAAUUAAAUUAUACUACAAGGGUCAUUACAACAAGUGCGAUGUACGUAAUAUAUCAUAUUUUAGACCAAAACAUGAAACUUUGUUCUCAUAAAAAAUGCCUGAAGUAUUUAUUGUAGUCAUUCAACGCCAAAUAAAUACUCUCAAGAUGAAUUGUCUUGAUUACAUAAUCUGAAAGAUGUACUCUUUACUCAAUUAUUUUGAGCAAACAAUUUUGUAAAUGUCAAACUGCAGGUUGACAAUCAAUGCACAUGUAAUCAUCUUAUAAAUUAAUCUAUUCAACAUAUCACAUAGAAAGUGAAUGAGCCUUUAUUCACCUUCUGUUCUUUUCAAAAUUUUAGGGAAUUCAAUCCCAUCAUUAGCUGAUCUAAUCAACUUAUCACGAGAACAAACAACAUGAAAGAAUUAUGGAAGAAUCUUCUAAUUCUUCAGUAAAUGUUGAUGGUUAAUAUGCACAUCUCCAGGAUGACAAAGUUAUUCACUCCAAUAGAUAAAAUUAUUUUUACUAGUAAACUUAAAGUUUAUCAUGGUACGUGCAAUUUGGUUAAGGAAAUUUGAGAGUUUUACUAUUUUGAGAGUAGUUCGCAAGAUUUUAAUGUUGCACCGUAUUACUACAUUAGGAGUAAGUUUCAGAGUAUAUACUUCAGAUUUACUACUUCAUGAACAAAUUUUCAAGUUCUAUCAUUUCAAGAAUAGAACACAAAAUAUUUGAGAUAUUUCUCCUCAAUUAAUUAACCUCUUUUAAAGGUGGGUCAUGAUAUCUUCGUAACCAAAAGUACGUUUAUUUUUAUAAACUUUACUAAAUAUAGUCACAUUGACUUCAGAGAAUGAAUUUGUACUUAUAACAACUGAAAUUCUCAUUUUCCAGGAGUAUAAUAUAAUAGUUUCUUAAUUCUAUCAAAUUGAUACGGGUGUCACGGGCUCGAGACCAUUUACUAGAAGCCAAGCUCGGGAACUACAAAGACUUCAAGGCGCGUUUAUGAAAAUGAACGCAGUUGACCUUGUUGCAAACUCGCCCAAGGGAGUGUACGCCUUGAAGAGUGAGGGCUGACCUUAGGUGCUCAAAAUACACCCCAAGUAUGCCCCAAAACACUCCACACCUGCCAUCCCUUCAUUAAGGGUAAAGGGGUCCUUUUGCCAACCUUUUGUAAUAGACUAUUUAAAUUGUGUCCUUUAGUCUUGUUCCUUAGUUAGAUUAUUUUGAAUCAAGAUUAUUACAUUGAAACACGAUCCUCUCAAGAGAUAUUAGACGACCAUUGCCAUCACAAGAAAUGCUUUUCUUCUUGUGUUGUGUGUAUCGGCUAGAAACAUGAGUUCUUGAGUGAACCGAGUUCCUCUUGGGUUUGUGUAAGAACUUGGUGCUUGUUAACUUGUUUUGUAGAGGUUUUAAAGUUUGAUACACUUUUAGUUACUACCUAAUGAGUUCUCUUUGCGUCAAGUUACCUAUCCUUUUAUUGUUCUAAGUUUGUGUUUGCUUCUUGUAUCGUAUUGUUUCUUGUUGUUGCAGAUUUAGUUGUGUUGUUGAUGGCUCUUUGCAGACUGUUUUAGUGUUGUAGAUACUGUUUAGUAUAAGAGCGAAGUCUUGUCGUGUUCUUACACCACCAAUCUUGGGCUCUUCUAGUUGAAAAUAAAAAAAAGGUGUUGAUGUGUGACACGUGUUUGGCUAGGAAGUUGUCUAGAUUUAGAUGUUUUUGCUUGUCUUAGUGAUUUCGUAUGUUAACUUGUUAUUCCCCUAGCACAUUUGAGUCUAAGGUCCAAGAUUUGAGUUUCUGUUAAGUGCAGUUGAAGGGUUGGAUGAGUAGAUAUUGUUGUUGUUCAUAUUGUUCUUGAAAUGAAUGUUGGACAAAAGUCUUGUUGAUUUGAAAAAAGGAAGAGAGAGGCAAAGUCUUGUGUUUGUAUUGUAAUUAAUUUCAAGACAAACACCAAAGAGACAAGUAAACAAAAGACCUCCCAAAAUAUUACUUACCAAAACAGUGUCAAGCUUUUUUCAAAAAGAACCAAAAGAGGAAAGGGACAAGCCAAAGCAAAAAAGUGUUUUGCCAUUUUGGUGUAGGUUGGUGAAAAGUUGAUUGACACCUUUGACCUUUGGAAAGAGAGUCCAAAGCCUUGUGUUGUUACUCCAGAACCUAAAAUUCCUCACUAACAAACAAGAUUAAACAAUUUAAGUCUUGAAAACAUCAUACUCCACUUCAACAACAGUAUCAACAACCAAAGAAAAAAAAUCGUAGGCCAUGCCAACAACCAAAAACUCAAGUUUUUGGACAUCCAUAGUUUCUUUCCCUGUCUCUACUAGUUUAUUUCUAUUGACUCCUACACUAGUUGGAAACUAAGUAACAACCUACUAAGUUGUGAACUAGUUUUCGAGUUCGUCUUUCGUGUUAACAUUCCUUGUGAUGCUUUUCUCGUUUAAAAUUCGCCGUUGUUCUUGGUUCAAGUGCGUACACAACUUUAUUGAGUCUUUCAAACUGAAAUCCAUUCUAACUCGAGAGUAGACUCAUUCCCAAGCACUCACAAGUUGAUAGCCGUCUUACAAUACUUGAAGGGUCAAGUGAGAAAGCCAAGUGUGAAGAGUGUGUGAGGAUAUUUUAAACUAAUGUUUGCUUGUUUUGUAGGUACAUUUGCAAAUGGAACCCCCACACAUGGAACCCAAAACUUUCAAUGCACAAACCUUGGAUCAUAAUGUUAUGAAUGCCCUUGUAGCUAGUACUGAAUCGUUGUCUUAGGACGUGGCUAGAGUGAAUGCUACAGUUGAGAAGAUGAAAGUAGAAAUGGGCUCUAUUAGUGGCCGAGUAGAAAGGGUAGAAAGCCAAUAGAGUUCUCGUCCCUCAGCUCCUUAAAACACAUCCCCAAUCAUUACCCCCGAAUCCAUGCGUCAAAGAAUGUAUCCACCAAAUGCCAUGCCUUAAGCCAACUAUUACUCAAAAGGUCGAGGCCUUGAUAGACCUAGCCAUUCCCCACGCCACCAAGUCCUAUAUGAAGGACUUGGAACCCAAAAUCUACCCUUAAAUCCAAAUCCUCCAAACUAAAAUCCUCCAAUCCAAAGACCUCCUCCACUAAAUGCCAAUUCACCAUACCAAAUUCAACUGUCCAAAACCCACCAAUGCAAGAAGAGGGAUAUAUUAAGGAAAACCAAAGAGGAGGGUAUGGAAUGUAUGAUAAUCCUUAUUUGAUAGAAGAUGGGAUAAGAGGUAGAAGGGUAGAACCAAGAAAAAAUUGAGGGCUUGAAGGUAGGGGUGGCCAAGGUGUUCGGAAAAGGGAUGUUGGUCUUAAAACUAUCAAAAUGGGACUUUCGAUCUUUAAGGGAGAAAGUGAUCCCGAAGAGUUUCUUCCAUGGCAAUCCAUAUGCAAGAGAGUCUUCAAGUGAACGAUCUCACGAAGGAGAAGAAGAUUUGUUACGCCAUGACUCAUUUUGAGGGAUAUGCUACCACGUAGUAGGAGUAUGUCAAAUAUUUUGGCAAAGUCUUGAUUGAAGGGCAACCCCCUCCUUGGUUUCGGUUAAGGUAUCUUAUGAGGCAAAAAUACCUUCUCGAAAGCUAACAGAAUAAACUCCUUGCAAAAUUGUACAACUUGAAGAAACAAAACAAGAGUGUGGCAGCUUACUAUGAUGAGUUUCAACAACUCAUUUUGAAACUUGAUUAUAGAGGAGAGCAAGUGAAUCACGAUAUCAUCCGGUUCAAAGUCGGCCUAAACAAAAAAAUAUCUACGCAAAUGGUACUUCAUAAGUUUGAAACUAUUGAAGGAAUCUUUCAAGCGGCUUUAGAGAUUGAACGAGAGAGCAAGGAAAGGUCUGCAUACAAAACCAAAGCAUACCAAGACUCCUCGGGUUGGACCAAGGGGAAAGAAGUGAUUCCAUCAACUUCGGGGUGGAAUAAUUCUAAACGACAACCAACCAAGGCCCUUUCACCUUUGAACAAGGUUGCUCAACCACCUUCUUCACGAUUUGAAGGCAAGCCGAAUAUUACUCCCAAUUCUAAGGGAUUCCAAUGCUUCAAAUGCCAUGGAUGGGGACACAAGACUAGUGAGUAUCCUAAUCGGAGAAAUAUGAUAUUGAGAGAAGGGAAGUUGUAUUUCUUGGGAGAAUAAUUAGAGGCUGAAAUAAUUGGAAAUAAAGAAGCCUCUCAAUAUGGAGAGAGAGGAGAGGUCGAUAGGCCUAGUGAUGAUGAUGAAUAGGAGGUUUGGCCUCAAGAAGGUGAACUUGAAGUACCUAAUUAUGUGGUACGGAGAGUUAUGAUUAGUAAAGCGUUGGAUAAUCCUUGCCAAUGGGAAAACCUCUUUCAUACGAAGUGUAUCAUUAAGGGGAGUGUGUAGUCUUUGAUUAUUGAUAGCAAAAGUUGUGCUAAUGUGUCUAGUGCCUCAAUGGUAGAUCACUUGAAGUUGCCAACUACUCAACAUGCGAGUCCGUAUAGACUCCAAUGGUUGAACGAUUAUGGAGAGUUGAAGGUAACCCCCAAGUGGUGAUUUGGUUCAAAGUUGGAAACUAUGAGGACGAGGUACUUUGCGACAUCAUUCCUAUGCAAGCUUGUAAUCUCUUGUUGGGUCGGCCAUAGCAAUAUGAUAGGUCGACCUAGUAUGAUGGCUGCACUAACUACUACUCCUUUGAGUUCAAGGGUCGAAAGUACAACCUCCGGCCACUAUCAUUAUCACAAGUGUGUGAGGCACACAGACAAAUGAAGAGUUUACAAGGAAAGGGAAAGAAGGAGAAAGAAUCCGCUGGAAAGGGGGUAGAACUUGAGAGUAGAAAAAAUAAGGGGGAAGAGGGAGUUUCAGCUUUAGGGAUAGGGAUUCAAUGGUAAUGUUGGCUCGAAAGGACAACCUCUUAAAAGAGUAUGAGGAUGUUACUCCCAUGCUACUUUUGGCCCAUGUUUUGAAUGCUAACUCAUCCAAUUCCCCUAUCCCGUCUUCUAUCUCUAAUGGUUUUCCGAAAUUUGAUGAUGUAUUUCCUAGUGCAUUGCCACAAGGACUUUCUCCAUUUCGAGGAAUUGAGCACGAAAUCGACUUUGUUCUGGGGUCGCAAUUGCCAAACAAGCUGGCUUAUAUGAGCAACCCCACGGAUACAAAGGAACUCUAACGGCAAGUUGAGGACCUCCUCAAUAAAGGAUUCAUCAAGGAAAGCAUGAGUCCGUGCGUGGUCCCGAUGUUAAUUGUGCCGAAGAAGGAUGGGACGUGGAGAAUGUGCAUAGACUGCUGAGCCAUAAAUAAAAUUACGAUAAAGUAUCGUCAUCCUAUUCCUAGAUCAUAUGAUAAUCUUGAUGAACUAAAUGGAUCUUGUGUUUUUUUUAAGGUUGAUCUUAGGAGCGGAUAUCACCAAAUCUUUAUGCAACCGGGUGAUGAAUAGAAUACCGCAUGUAAGACCAAGUUUGGUCUAUAUGAGUGGAUGGUCAUGCCAUUCAGUCUUACCAAUGCUUCUAGUACCUUUAUGCGGCUAAUGAAUCAUAUGAUGAAGCCUUUUAUUGGCAAGUUUGUGGUUGUGUACUUUGAUGAUGUUUUAGUUUAUAGUAAGUCACUUAAUAAAUAUGUAUUGCAUCUAAGGAGUGUGUUUGAUGUUCUUAGAAAAGAAAAGUUGUAUGUUAAUAUUGAAAAAUGCUCCUUUGGUAUUGAUAAAGUUAUGUUUUUGAGAUUUGUUGUAAGCUCGAGAGGAGUAGAGGUAGACAAAUCCAAGAUAACCGCCAUUUAAGAUUGGCCAACCCCUAAAACCGUGGGUGGAGUUCGGAGCUUCCACGGGUUGGAAAGUUUUUAUAGGAGGUCCGUUAAAGGAUUUAGUACCAUUGCAGCCCCCUUGACCGAAAUCAUCCGAAAGGACCAACCUUUCCAGUAGGGUGAAGAGCAACCUAAGGCCUUUAAGACCUUGAAAGAUAUGCUCAUUUUGGCACCAUUGUUGCAAUUGCCUAAUUUUGACAAGAUGUUUAAAAUAGAAUGUGAUGCUAGCAAAGUGGGCAUAGGCGCGGUUUUGAUGCAAGAAUUAAAGCCUAUAUCUUUAGCGAAAAGCUUAAAAGAGAAACUUUAAACUACUCUACGUAUGGUUUGGAGUUAUAUGUUUUGGUUAGAGCGUUAGGCAAUUAGCAACACUAUCUUUGACCCAAGGAAUUCAUAAUCCGGACGAAUUAUGAAUCUUUGCAGCACCUUCGGGCACAAGACAAACUUAACAAACGGCAUGCCAAAUAGAUUGAAUUUCUUUAAACCUUUCCCUAUGUGAUUCAAUACAAAAGGGAAAAGGAUAAUGUGGUAGCCGAUGCGUUGUCUAGAAAGAAUGCUGUUGUGUCCACUUUGUCAUCCAAGUUAAUGAGGUUUGAGAGCCUCAAGUCUUUGUAUCCCAAGGACCCCUACUUCGCUCCUAUAUUUAGGGAAAGUGAAGCCGCGGGUAGGGACAAGAGACAAUCGGAUUCCAGCCCAUAUGCCAUGUUUGAUGGAUAUUUGUUUCGGGGAAGAUGGUUGUGUGUACCCUCUAGCUCUUGGAGAGAGUUGUUUGUGAGGGAGGAACACGACGACAGUCUCAUGGGUCACUUUGGAAUUGAUAAUACCCUCGGAAUAUUAGAGGAACAAUUCUAUUGGCCAAGGAUGCGCAAAGAUGUUGUCAAAGUUUGCGGCCAAUGCAUGGAUUGUGGGAGUGCUAAGUCUAGGCUCCUUCUUCAUGGGUUAUACACCCCACUUCCCACUCCAUCACGCUCGUAGAUUGAUAUUUCUAUGGAUUUUGUGUUGGGUCUGCCACAGACUCAAAGGGUUCGAGAUAGCAUCUUUGUUGUUGUUGAUCAUUUCUCCAAAAUGGCAUACUUUAUUCCGUGCAAAAAUAGUGAAGAUGCGGCUAGUGUAGCUUCUUUGUUUAUUAAAAAUAUUGUUAAGUUACACGACAUCCCAAGGACCAUUGUAAGUGAUAGGGACUCCAAGUUCCUUAGUCACUUUUGGAAGUCAAUGUGGGGUAGUCUCGAAACCAAAUUGUUGUUUUCUACGUCUUGCCACCCAUAAACCGAUGGCCAAAUAGAAUUAGUGAAUCGAACCUUGGGUUCUAUUCUACGUUCAAUGGUUAAAGGUAAGUUGAUGUCUUGGGAAGAUAACCUACCUCUCAUUGAAUUUGCUUACAAUCGGGUGAUCCAUUCAAGUACAAGCAUCACACCCUUUGAAUGUGUCUACAGCUUCAAUCCCCUAACACCCUUGGAUCUAACUCCGUUUCCAAGUGAUGUUGUUGUUAGCUUAGAUGGAAACAAGGGGUACGAAGCUCUGAAAGGCUUUCAUGAGAAGGUGAGAUUGCGGCUUGAAACGAAGAAGCAAGAGGUGGCCAAACGAGUCAACAAAGGAAGAAGUCGUCUUGUGCUUGAGCCGGGAGAUUGGGUGUGGGUACACCUAUGGAAAGACUGGUUUCCCAACCAAAGAAAGGGAAAUUUUAUUCCAAGAGGUGACGGUCCAUUCCAAGUUCUUGAAAGAAUCAACAAUAAUGCUUACAAGAUCGACUUGCCAUCGGAAUACCAAGUACAUAACACGUUCAACGUGUGUGAUCUCUCAUGGAUUGAUACCAUUGAAGAUGAAGAACUCGUGAGAUUGACAUCAUAAGAAAUAGUUUUCUUCUUGUGUUGUGUGUAUCUGCUAGAAACGUGAGUUCUUGAGUGAACCGAGUUCCUCUUGGGUUUGCGUAAGAACUUGCUGCUUGUUAACUUGUUUUGUAGAGGUUUUAGAGUUUGAUACACUCUUUAGUUGCUACCUAAUGAGUUCUCUUUGUGUUAAGUUACCUAUCCUUUUAUUGUUCUAAAUUUGUGUUUGCUUCUUGUAUCGUAUUGUUUUCUUGUUGUUGCUAGUUUAGGCGUGUUGUUGUUGACUGUUUGCAGACUAUUUUGGUGUUGUAGAUACCGUUUGGUAUCACAAAUUAGGAUAGCUUAUAAUCUCAUCUAAAGUCGUACCUCAUCUAAAGUCGUAUUACUUCAAAAGCAAAUCGAAGCACAUAUGAUGUAGAUAAUUUUUUUCUCUUACAUAUCUUUCACUUCUGGUGUUUAUAGACGUAAACAAAUCUCAAAGAGUUAUAUAUACAUAUAAACUAAUCAAGUGCUUUGUCCAGAAGAGGUAUUCCUCAGCAGCAUGACUCAUCAUGAUUGUUAAUUAAACUAGUAAAUACUUGUAUAAAUUUGCAACACUAUCAUUAUUGUUAAUUAAACUAGUCAAUACUUGUGUAAAUUUUGCAACGUAAUAUAAUUUAUUAAGGCUACAAAUUUUGCAAAGAACUGUGAACAUACCUUUUGUCAUCACAAAUACCUGCAUGAAGUCGGUGUUUUGCCAUUAAUACACAUAAAUAAAAACUACUUUAUGCAAUUCAACAUAGUAGCUGUUGAAGUGCGUCUUUAUUCAUUCUUUCGUCCCAAAAGUGUUUCAACAAUCUUUGGAACGACAGACAAAAAUCAUUCAACAUUUUUUUUGCUACUAUUCAAUUUCUCGAUUGGUCUGAAUCUUGUGUUGAUAAUAUGUUAUGAAAAAAUAGAGAAUGGAUGAGAUUAAUAAGGGUGAGUGAGGAGAAGAUAUUUCUUAUUUCUCUUUAGAGUUUGUAUUGAGGAAUGAGUUACAAUGACGGAAAACUCUUUUAUAAGGGAUAUUGGCUUGGUCCCAAAAUUAGAUUUCCUAACAUUUCUCCAAAGAAACAUGUAAGUAUACCUUCAACAUUGAUAUGAACUAAAAUAUAAAAAUGAAAAUAAAGCGUGGAAAUCGAAAGAUAAUAAAGAAGAGUAUAAAUAGAUAAACAUAAGAAGAGGAAAAGUAAGCAAACCAAAGAUAUGUUAAACCAAUGAUCCUCAAACAACAUCCUACAAUGAACACCUAACUCAUACGAAUGUCGUGAGGAAAAUUAAUCUACUCAUAAUCAAUGUAUUUAAACAAGUCAACAAAGCUCCCUACAAGCUUAGAAAACACUCUCAAGUGUAAAUUCAUCCAAAAUCAUCUAGGCCUAAGAAAAGAAGAAAUCUAGCUAUUUGUAGUCAUGGGCUAUUUAUUACAAAAUGAAUUCAAAAGUGAUCCUAAAUGUCAAAUGGGCCCAAAAGUGAUACAAGGUGCUAAAUACUCAAAGGGAGAGACUCCUCCAUCGCCAAAAAUAUUAUGGUGGGUCGCAAUACCCCUCUCAUCUCUAAAACAGUGCCAAUUAUCUUGAUUGAGAAUCUUUGGGGUAUUUUGGGAUGUAUAUCCUCUCCUUAUUGAAGAGAAUUUUUCCUCAAAUUCAACAGAUCAUCAUUUUUCAAGAUCAACACUAUCGGGGAAGUCGUUGGCAUGGGAGGAUUCAUAACUUGCUUAACCAAGUAAAGUGGGAUUCUAAUCUCUCCUUAUUGAGGCAAAACCUUUUCAAUUGACCCUUUAUUUGCAUGAAUAUUUGGGAUGGUAACAUCCUGAUCACAUGGAUCUUUUACCCUUCGCAUUCUCAUCAACAUUAUCAACCCUUCUACAUGUUUCUCCUCUUUCUCCACUCCAUCCUUAUAGUAGGGGUCACCUUCUUAGCGUAUAAUUUCUUUAUGAGUUGGGAACUUACUAAUUCCUUGAACCCAUCCUUAACAUUUCAAGAAUUAGGCACCCUUAAGAUUAUGAUUACCUGCUUCUCUAGGGGAUACCUUGGAGCAUUCUUUCAAUGGACUUCUUCUCAAAAGACCUCUGGAAAUCGGAGCCUUGAGCCCAUGUGGAUGAAACUUGAGUUAUGACCUUAGGAUUGUUGGAUCUCUCUUCCUUGAUAUGUCACUCAACAUUAAUAGCCACUUCUAAAUGAUUAUCCAUCUGAGCAAGUUUAUGUAUUGACAUUUUAGAGGCGAUUUCUCGAUUUAACCCUACUUUGAAUCAGAUCUUGGUGUUCUCUUCAUCCUUAUUGUAAUCAUGCUUCAAGAGCAAGUUUUGAAAUUCAUUAUAAUAUGCUUUAACACUCUUGUCGUCUUGCCUUAGAUUGUAUGACUUGGCAAUCAAACCUUGCGUAUACUCUUCGGCACAUACUUGACUCUCUGAGGGCUUUCAUUACUUCUCAUGGUGGAUAAUGCCUCUAUGAAGAACUUUUUGUAUUCUCUCAGACGAUUCUCACAAAGUCAAUGCAUUUACUUCAAAUUGAUCACUAAUAUUGGUUAUAUUCUUAAAAUCAGACAAAUCAUUAUUAUCUUGGAAGGUCCUAUCACAUUGCGACUUUCAUUUGAGGUAUUCUUCGUAAGCACUACCUCCUUGAAAACUAGGAAGAGUGACCUUGAUAGAGCUGAGGCCCAUGUCGCAACCUCCAUAUCCACCUUGAUCCCUUGGACCAUUUUCUUGAGUGUCAAAUCCAUAACCUCCUUCUACAUGUCCCUCAAACUUUUCUUAAACUCCUAUAGUUUAGUUGAGUGGCAUUUAGUUAAGUAGAACUUGGUAAGGUGGGUUUGGAUUUUGUGGUCUUUAGUAGUAUGGUACUUGGACUUGUGGUACUUGAUAGGGUAGGUAGUAGGGUGGGUUGAGACCUUGUGGCAUUUGUUAGUUUGGGACUUGGUUUUGCAGUGUUUAAUAUGGUGGAGCGAGAAUUUAUAGAGCUUGAGGUGGUGGUGAGUUUUGGAGAAUUGGUUGGGGUGGAAUAAAUUUUAAGGGUCGAACUAUAUUUCAUGGAGUUUGAUAGGUAGUUGUAGCAUAAGGUAAGGAAGCAUUACCUUGUUGGUAAGGAUAAAACACAUGGUAGAGAGUUCUAGGAGAAAUGGUAGUCGAAGUCUCUUGGACUUGUCCACUUUUGGAUGCUUGGAAAUUUUGUUGUAGAGUAGCAUUUGAGGAGUUAAGAUUCCUCUUCGCACUCACCAUCCUUCCAUUUAUAUUUUUCACUCUCUCUUUCAUAUUUGAUGUCUUCUCAUUCAUGUUUGACAUCUCUCCCUUUACCACUUUUAUAUCUUGUCACAGCCCUAUGAUGGCCUCGACCAAAGUUUCUAAAUUUACCUCACUUUUGGUAGGUUAGAUCUCAUCUCCUGUUGAUAUGGUACCUAUCAGCAAGACACUCAACACAACUAACAAUCAAGGUUAAUGCUAUUGAAACCAAAUAUCACAACUACUAGUGUUUUCACACUUGAAUUUCCUCAUAAGUAGCUCAAUCUUAUAACUUGCUUUUUCACAUUGGUAUAUGAAGUGCCAAUUUGCUUCUCACAUUUAGAAUGGAUUCUUGUUGAGAAAAGACCGUAUGACUCGAUUAAAAACUAAAGAACUUGAAUUAAAUAAGUUAACUAAGAAAUAAAUAAUAAAAAUACACAAAGAAAAAAAGGACAAAAAAGAAAAUGGACUCAAGAACUAAUCAACUAAGUAGAGGGAUUACUAGUUGUUAAUUAGUGAAAGAAUCAAGGAAAAGAUAAUGACGAAUCAAAGAAAAGAAACAAAGAAUAUAAACUUGAGCUUACUGAUUUUGGUUCUCAAGGGGCGGCCCGUCAAGUUGAUAGCGGUCAGUUAGCCUUCUCGUCCCACCUUAAUCAAUGUAGGUGUUAAGGGGCUUUGGGGUAAUGAUUAGGUGGUGAGCCAUCAACCUCUUUGUGGUUCGUUGCCCUACCCAUCACACCUUAUCUGGAUUAGGUGUUAAGUUGGAUUGGGUUGACAAUUAGAGUGGGGAAUUGCUAGGGUUGUGGCUGGUCAUCAAGGGUGUUACGAAACCCAAACAAAAUGUUGGCUAGCUUCUGUGCUGGUGAUGGCUUGGGUUGGCGGACCGUCGCUAGCUUCGUGAUCUGUCACUCAAGUUGUCAACAACAAUCAAGUUUGGUGUAAUUUGGACUCCAAAUUUCGAGGUUGAUUUCUUUGAUUCUGUGACUUCUUGGCCCCACUUCACCUCAUAUUUAUCCUUUAUGGGUUGAAAAAUAUUUUUUCCCAAACUGUCACCUAGGGUUUUGAAUCAAAUUCUAUUUUUUGCUUUUUCUUCACCAUGAACAUCAAGAACAAAGAUGAAGAUUUCAAAAAUCCAACUCACUCAUUUCAACUUGGAUUCACACAAAUUCAAGAUCCAAUCUCCUUUUUGAUAGGUUACAAACCCCAAUACUUUUCAACCCUCAAUUUCACUCCAAAAUAUUCAGAUUUAAAGACCCAUUUUUAAAUUUCUUCAAGCUCAAGUCAUUAAUGGAAGAAUCAUCAAUUCCACUCCAAUUAAGCUCAAAUUUAAGAUUUAGACUGAAAUAGUACUAGAGAACAAGAAGAGCGAUAGAAGCUUAAGAAAACACAAAAAUCAAAAACUCAAAAUUUGAAAAAUGACCCAAAAUGUGAAACCCUAUUUUUUUUUGUGAUUUUUAAUUUUCUUCAAUAAAAAAAUCCAAGAUUGAAUUUGCGAGAACAAAUCCAAACUCGACUCUGAUAACAAAUGAUAGGAAUCAAAAUAUAAAAAUGAAAAUAAAGUGCGGAAAUCGAAAGAUAAUAAAGAAGAGAAUAAAUUGUUAGAUACAAGAAGAGGAAAAACAAGCAUACCAAAGGUGUAUUAAACUAAUGAUCCCCAAACGAUAUCCUGCAACGAGCACCUAACUCAUAUGUAGAAUAGAGAAAAAUUAAUUUACUCACAACCAACGUUUCUAAAUAAGUCAAUAAAACUCCCAGCAAACUUAGAAUACACUCUCAAGUGUAAGUUCAUCCAAAAUCAUCUAAUCCUAAGAAAAGAAGAAACCUAGCUAUUUAUAGUCAUGAGCUAUUUAUUACAGAAUAGGCCCAAUAAUGACUCUAAAUGCUAAAUGGACCCAAAAGCGACUCAAGGUGUCAAAUACUAAAAGGUUGAGACCCCUUAAUCUGCAAUACUACUCCUCAUCUCUAAAACGAUGUCAAUUACCUUGAGUGAGAAUCUUUGAGGUAUUUUGAGAUGUAUCAAGUAUAGUGUAAAUAUAUUUAUAACAUUUACAAUAUUAUUGUUCAGAAAAUUUAAAUCCUUUUUUAACAAGAUCAUUAGUUGUUGACAAAUUGUAUUGACUUAAGGAAAAAAAGGAAAAGUUAAAAAGAGUAGAUACUUAACCUGAAUCUAUUAUGCCAAUAAUUACUCCAUCGCCCUGAUUUGUUUUGUUCACAAGACUAUUGGGAUCGUGUUUAGAAAGACCCAUAAAGUCCCAACUCCUCGAUGUAUGAGUCUUGUAAAGGUGAUUUGGUAUAACAUGAACCACACCAGGUAAUUCUGAAAUACAAGUAUAAAAAAUAUAUCAACUAAGAAUGUCAUGAAUAAAAUUUUUAAUUUUUCAUAAAAUUAUUUAUUUUCUUUAAUUUUUUUUUAUAAUUUUUCUACUAGAAUUUAAGAUAAAAAUUGUAACAAUGGAGAAUUCAAAUACCUCCAAUUUGUUUGGCUUGAAAGUCAGUGAGCUUAGCAGCGAAUCCAGAGAAACCAUGUCUAUAACUAUAUCUCAUAAGUUUUUUAGCUUCUUCCUUGCUGCAAUGACAAGAAAAUGCGAUUUAACUUUUAAAUAAUGAAAUAUACAAAAUAAUAUUUUCGCAAUGAUAUAUAGUUAUAAACAUGGUAGGGUAAUUAGAAGUAAAUAUUUCUAUGAUAAGCAUUAAUAAGAAAUUUAGUCAAAAUAUGAUCUACUACUACAUUUCAUUGGUUAAAUUAAAUUACAUUGAUUAUAUUAAAAAUAUACAUACCUCCCGACCACUUGACUUAAAAGUUCAUGAUGUGAAUCGGUGAUAAGUUCAUGAUUAUUGUGUGGUUUGUGUCCCAAGUAGACGGCGUAAAGCUAUUGACCAAAAGAAUACGAUUAAAAUAAUAAAGAAAAAAUCAAUGAGAGAUUAAUAUUCGUUACGGUCAUUAAACAAAUGAAAGCAUAUUUAUAAAUCAGAUUAAAGCUAACUUUUUAAAUCACCCAUUCACUUGAUCAAAAAUAUUACUCCUCUUCCACUUUAUUUUUUGCGCUUAUAUAUUAAAAUUAUUAUUUAUAUAUACCUAUAUUUUUAGAAAUUUAAAAAUUGAAUAUUUUUAAAAUUUAUUUUAGUUACUCUAUCAAAUAUUGAUAGGUUAAAUGAUGAGAGCAAGUAGAAAUAUGAUGAGGUAAGGCUGCAUAGAAUAAACACUUGCGUUUGGCCCUUUUCUGACAUUACAUAUAGUGAGAGCUUCAUCUAUUUUUUUUUUUUAAAUAUUAAAAAAUUGUGAAAUUUGAAUAAUAUUAAAUUCAAGAAUAUUUAAAAUGUACCUUAGUAUCAGCAACAUCUGCUCUUGCAGUUAUUUUACGUAAACAAAUAAAAAAUAAAAAUAAAAAUAAUUUAACAAGAGAAGAAGUUGGAUUAUUCAUUAUUUUUUUGUUUCCCUCCUUUCUAUAGAAAAUGUGAAAGGGGGAAGAUAACCCAACCUCUUGGUGAAUUAAAAAAUAAUUUGGUUAAUGAAAUUAGAAAGUACUUUCAAUCUAUUAAGUGUUAAAUAGCUUAACCUCACCACACAAAGUAGAAAAACAAAUGUGUGGCUAGUAUAUUAAUUCUAAAUUGUAGCCACUCACUCGAAUACUAAGUAGAUUAGUUAUUCUACUUUUACUCCUUUAAAAAUGGUAACUUUUUUUUAUAAAAAAUAUUUUAGACCGUAUACUUUCUGUUUUUAUUUUAGUGAUAAAUAAAAGGAUUUUGAGUUCUAACUUCUAACAUUUAUCUCCUUAUAACAAGUGUAACUACCUCUAUGACUAUUACAAUAAUUUUCUUCCCUCUUUCUUUCUUUAUUUUUCAUAAAGAACUAGUCAUAAUUACUUUUUGCGUCUCAAUUUUUGUCAAUUUAUUAUUAUUUGUGGAAUCAAAAUGAAUUUUCUUGGACUAUAUUUUCUUCAUCUUUUAAAUUAUUUUAAACUAGAUUUAGUUAAAAGGGUAUGUAGGUUAUCGAGAACCCAAUAACUGUUAUAUUGAUUCUAUAUUUUAUAAUGAAAAUUCUAUCAAAUGUAUAAGAAAUAUUUGUUGGAAAUUCAUUAACAAAGUAGAUUAGAAGCAAUUGUUGGCUUCUUGGAUAAUGGUUCGAUUCUCCUUAGCAUUACUAAAUAUUCUUAAAAGAAUUUGAGAUUUAUGAGUAUUUAUUCAUUAGUUUCGAAAUUGGACAAGUAUUAUGCAUACAUUGUAGAUUUAUUAGUUAGUAAUUUUAUCAUAUCACUUUUUGAAUAUAACUAAUUUAUUAUUUUAGAAAAUGCAUUGCAUAAUAAAUGAUAUUCAAUACCAAGAGCAAAAUGGUACAAGUGGAUAUAUUAUUUAUUGAUUUUCACAUUGAACAAGUAUUAUUGAACAUUUGUUUUUACUGUAGUGAACAAGUAAAAAUAGAUGAAGGAAGUAAAAGGUGAACAGGACUUGACCAAUAAACAAGAAGUCUUGUCAUGAAUUUAUCAAAUCAGUGCCCAAUAUUUUUUACGUCCCCAGAUCAAAAUUAUUUGUUAUUUUUUUACUUGACACACUCACUAAGAAAAUAAUAAUUGACAUAAUAUAUUUACCAUAUUACCCCUAUUGAUUGGUACUAGUUGAAAUUGACCAUUUAAAAUUUGAAAAAGUGCAAAUAAUUUAAGGGUAAAACAAAAAUUUUCUUUUUUUGUUUUUUUGUUGAUAUUAUAUGUCAAAAUAAAAAGCAAAAAUAAAAAGUAAAAUAAAAAUAAGUGCUAAGUCACUUUGAACAUAGAGAGAUUCAACUUGCGGUCAUUAGUCAAGUUCAAAUACCCCACACUUGUAACAAGGUAAAUAAGACGACAAACUGUCCAGCAAGCUUCGAAAAAAAUCUAAUUUCUCAUUAUUUAGAUGAAGAUAAUAUUAUAUUAUUAGAUUCAUCUCUCUUAUAUUUUUCAACUCUAAAAAUUAUGACGACUAUUUAGGGAUCGAUAAUUCGAACCCAAUUCCUACAUCUGUUUGAUUUUCAAAUAAUGUUUGUAUUAUUUAUUACUAUAUAGAAACGCUCUGCUUUCAACAUAUUGAAUAUAUGGUAGUAAUUCACUAGCCAAAAUUAGGCAAACAAUAUAUAGUGUACUCCCACAGGUUGAUUUUGAGAAGCAAAUAUUGAUGUCUUCAACUAUAGAGAGGAGUUGCUCAGAUGGUCGGUAAACACUUUUCACCCCCAAUCUAAGAUUGUGGAUUCGAGUCACCAAAAAGCAAAAUAUGAGAGUUCUCGCGAACAAAUUAAAAAAAAGUAUUUACGACUUAAACAUGAUUUCAAGACCACAUGGAACAAGAGUGAUUCAUAAACUCCAAAAAGACAAAUAACAUUCCACGAUAUUUCAUAUAUUUUAAAGUCUAUCUUUUUUAAUUAUUCACUUUUACUAUUCAAAAUUAAAAACAUGGAGAGGAAGAACUAGGGGGAGAGGAAGUUGAACAGCAUACGCUCACCGUGCUUGGACAUUCACUUGCUAUCUAGUGAAAAAAUCAUACUUGGAAUAGUAAAUACAGUAAAUCAUACUUUGAUAUAGUAAAUAAAUAAUCAAAAUUUUUACUGAGGGAGUUUGAAAAAUACAAAUAUAGUGCUUGGAAUUUGAAUUUGAAAUCUCAAGUCAAUUUGGAAUUCCCUAAACCAUUAAGCUAAUCUCUAGUCUUGUGUUGAGGGGACUCAAUAUCUAUGUAUAGACAAUGUAUUCUUAUGUCGAGAGGGUUCGGAUGAACACCCUCGCCCCCCUAAAUCCACCCUUGUACAUUAUGACCAAGUCUUUUUCCUUUGUAGCAUGAUUUAUGUCAUCGCUCCACCUCAUACCUCCCAAGCUAAGUUGGUGCAUUUUCUUUAUCCAUCUACUUUCUUCAUCACAACAAUAGGAAUUCUAACAAAAUUCUUGCCAUCACUCCAUGCCAAACUUCCAAAGGUAAAUUUACCACUUCUUUGGUAAGUAGAUGUGAUCUUUACCUUAAAGGAGAUCUUCUUUCUCUUGGCAUUAAACUUCAAGACAUCUGGAGUUACUUUAAUUGCAACAUUUCUCGGAGGUUUAACCACUAAUUUGUAUAUAGAGUUAUCAUUCCCAACAUUAGUAACGGUUCUCUUGAUAGUAACUGAAUCCUUGAGAUUUGGAAUUGAUAUUGAAGGGAGAUUCAUAUCCAACCUUGAUGGUACUACUUUGGGACACACAAUGCCUGCUGAAGAAGACGAUUUUUUUGCAUCGGAUUUAUAGUUAGUGUCAUUGUAAACCCUAUCUUUACUAUAACGCAGACUACAAAGAUAAUUCGAAUAAUCAUUUUUAUCCAUAUCAUAGAUUAAGCCAGGAUCCACUGCUCCAUUUGGAUUACAUAUGCCACCUCCAAAGUCAAAUGGAUCAGCAAGUUUUCCUCCACCUCCUUGUGAAAAAAUUUCACCUUUAUAUGUGUCCUCGUUCCAUGCUACACAGUUCACAAAUAAAUUAAAUACAUUCAGUAAAUACAUGAAAAAAAAAAUGCUCAAAAGAAGGAAAGACUAUUUUGUUCAAGAGUUUAAUUGAUGUACGAUGACAGUGUAAAGUGUAAACCUUUUGUGCAUGAUGGGAUUAAUUAAAGUGAUGUAUAACAUCAUGAAAUACUAAUUUAAGCUUAGUUUGGUAGUAAGCAACCUGUGGUAGUAGGUUAAAAUAUGUUAAUAGUGUAAAACUAAUAAAUGUAAAUUGUAAGGUAAAUUAUUUUCUCAAUAAAACUUGGAAGGUUAUUAUAUAGGAGUAUAAGUUAAGCGUAUAUGCAUUGACAGUAGAUGCGUUCUUUUAUCUUAAAUUAAUGAAUAACAAUGAGAAUUUUUCAUUAUGGUAAUUUAGUAUACUAUAAUAAGUCGAAUUGUGCUAUUAAUGUAUAGAAUUUAAAUUUAUAAGAUAUUACCUGUUGUCAUGAGUGCAGACUUGAUAGCUGUUGGAGAUCAAUUAGGAUGUGCAGCUUUGAGGAGUGCAACAAUUCCUGCGACAUGAGGGGCUGACAUGGAUGUUCCUCACAUGAUGUUGAAUCCAUUGUAUCCUCCUAGAGCGGGAGGAAAUGCUAUGAGUAUAUUAACUCCAAGAGCUGCAAUAUCGGACUGUAAUGAUAUAUAUUUUAGUAAAACUUAUAAGUCACUUUCAAAAAAUAUAAUAAAAUAAUUCAGUGAGAGAAAUUAUCAAACUAAAAGACGAUAAAAAUUAUUAAAUCAUUUUUAUAUUUACCUUUAGAAUUUCUGGGGCAAAGAAAUUGGGGACUCUUGAGGAGAAUCUAGCACCUUUAUGUAUGCCUCCUUGCCGUCACGAAUUUGAGUUUGUCCAUAUUUAAUUAUUGGAUCUUGAUUGCUGUUACAAAUGAUGAAUCAAUUCAGUGAUGUAUAAUAUAACAAGAAAACUAGAGGUACCUUGGCAUGAUAAAAGUCAUUUUAUUUUAUUAUUUUUAAAAGUUAAUUGUUUCUCAGAAAUUAAAUCAUUUCCUCAAAUUUAAAAAGUUCUCUUGUGUUUGGUCGGAGAAUGGAUAAGGUUUCCAAGAAAAUAAUAUUUAUUAGAGAUUGAUAAUAAUAUUAGCACAAGAUAAUACUCCCCGUCCCAUUUUAUCCGUCUCAAAUUGGGAUGAUACAGCUAUUAAGAAAAUAAUGAUUGGUAAUGUAACUUUAUCGUUUUGCCCCUCUUAAUUGUGUCUUGUUGUUAGUUUCAAUAUUGAUGGAUGACCAAUACCAAAACACCAUUUAUAUUCUUAAUGAUGUACUUUUAAUGGUACUCUUUUUUGCAACAUUUUUCAAGAAUACUAAUAACAAGGAGCAAGCAAUUACACUAAGGGUAUAAUGGGAGAAAAAAUUGUCUUGUCUUGAUAAGUAAAAAAGGAUAAGUAAAAUGGGACACUAAAUUAGAAAAUUUGGAAUGAAUAAAAUGGGACGGAGGAAGUAUUUAACAACAAAGCAUAAUUAUUACAUAUUACUAAUAAUAUGUAAGUGUUGGUUAAAAUUAAUGACGUGAAGAUAAGAGUUAGAGACAAUUGCAUGCGACUUCCAUCCAAGAGCUAGGAAGGUCAUUUUUUUUUUUUUUUGGUAAAAUAAUUUUCUCCAUUUUUAGUGAUCUGACUUCUAAAAAUAUUUUUAACUCGUAUCAAAUAUACCUUAAAAUAUUCAAAAAUAGGAAAAGAAAAGAAUAAAAUGAAGAAGGAACGGAGCAGGAGAAAAAUAUGUUUACUUUGAUAUACGUUGUUGAUAAUAAUCAAAAAUUUGAUUUCCUUGCUCGAAAUCAACGGUUAAAAAAGGUUUAGGAUUUCGAGUAAGUUCAGUGACGUCAAGGAGUUGAUCAGCGGGAACUGUAGCAAAAAUAUAAGCCAAAACUCCUCUAUCCUCUACAGCCUCUACACAUUCAGCUAUAUCUCCAUUUUUUUUGAAAGAAAAGCAUUAGAACUUUUCCUUUUAGUCCACUAGCAAUAAAUUUAAGGUCUUCAGCACUGCAAUAUUUGAAAAUGCAAGUAUUAGCAUGUAUAGAUAAAUAUUUUAAAAAAUGGUUUUAGUGAGAAACUACAAUAACUCUCGGGCCUUUAUGCCAAAAAUAUUCUUUAUCUAAACUAUUUUGUCAAAUACCCACAAGUUUUAAAUUCUUUGUCAAAUACCCACUUAAUUCCCCCUCACCACCAACUUUUCCAACUUAACAAUUUCAGCCUCAACCUUUAUAAUAAUUCACUUUAACUCAAUACUUCCAACUUAAUAAAUUCACCCAUAAGUUUCUAAUAAUACACUUCAACCCACUCCAUUAUCCACCACUAUAUAUAUAAAAAUAAUAUCUAGGUUUUCAAAAAUAUUAAAAAAAAUAAUUCCAAAAGCUAAAAAUAGAAAGUGGUUAUUUUUUCCACCAAAAAGCUCCGAAUCCGGCCACUUUUUCAGUGUUAUUUUCCGGCGAUCAGCUAUAAAUUAGUCCAGAAACAUCAUAAGCUUGUCCAUUGCAUCCAUUGUUACCCCAUUUGUUUCCUAUCUUCCCAAACACACUUUCCACCAUUGUUAAAAAGCUUUAAAUCACUCACAUUACUCAAAGCCACUUUAGAAAGUGCAUUACAGCAGCUCAGGUGACUCCAAGUUCAUUUCUUUAUUCCACAAACCCAACAAUCAUUGAUUACAAGUGAUAUUUGCAAUUUCAAGUAAUUGUACGAAAAUCUGCGCAAUCAUCGACCCAUCUUGGCCAGUCAUCGACCGUGCAUACAACACGACAUAGACCAUAAGCAUAAUCUACCAUCGACUGAAGCUUAAUUCUAGGAUGUCUAUUCCAAAAUUUGUUCUGGUUUCUGGUGAUUUCAUGGGAGAAUGGGUGGAGACUUCGAAAUGUUGGAAAUGGAGAUCAUUUACCAAGGUGACAAUUCCCAUUCCUGUUCGCCGCAACAGUUCGUACGAGGAAUUUGUUACAAGCGUAAUGCAGAGUGGGGAUCUAGAUUGUGCGCCGAGCGCCGUGGUGAUUAGUUAUGUAAUGCAUUCGAGGAAAAAGGUGAAUCAUACGAUCAUAAAUAGUAAUGUACGUGCGCUGACGUACAUAAUGGAUGCUGAUGUAGAUGACUUUAGGCCAAUUUUGAGGAUAAAUGUGGUUGAGAGGUCCUUUGAAGAACCGCUGAAUUCAUCAGCACCCCCACUGCGGCGCCCGGCAGUUGAUGAUGAUUUGAUCGACGACGAUUUGAAUGAUUACGAGAACGAUGUCGAUGAUACAAUUAAUAUGGAAGAUUAUUCUAUGCAUAUGGAAGACUUUUCAUCGGACUCGCAAGAUGAUGAAGAAGACCGUGAAACAGAAUCAUAAGCAAGACACUCCUUCACUGAUGGAACCAAUUUAUGUUGUGGUCAAACAUUCGCUGAUAAAAAAGAGCUGAAAAUGCAACUAGACGCAGCAGCGGCGAGGCAGUCUUUAGAUUAUUAUAUGGAGAAGAGCUGCACAAAAUUGGUGAAGGCGCAAUGCUUAUCUCAUGGUUGUGACUGGCUGUUGCGGGCAAAAAAGUACGACACCUUGGACAGAUUUUGCAUAUAUAAGUAUGUCGGGAUGCACACGUGCAGUGUUGAAAAUGCUACCCACAGGCACAAAAAAGUCUCAUCCGAAUUGAUUGCUUCAGUAUGCAUAAAUCAUUUUCGGGAUGGUAAGGGUCCAAGCAUAAGAGAAAUUCAAAGAAUUGUAUUUAAGGAGUUGCGUUGCAACGCAAGCUAUUGGAUGUGUUGGAAAGGAAGUGUAAUUGCGAAGAACAUCAUUCGCGAGACACCAGAGUACGGAUAUGCUUGCUUACCGGCUUUUUCCCACAUGGUAGAGUUAUUGAAUCCCGGGUCUUCUUACUCUAUCAUGGUAAACCGGAUGGAUAGAUCAUUCGUUUACUACUUUUUAGCAUUCGGAGCUUGCAUACGAGGAUAUACCCACAUGAGAAAGGUAAUUGCUGUCGAUGGCACACAUUUGUAUGGCAAGUACGGGGGCGUUCUGCUGAGCGCCGUUGCACAGGACACCGAAAAUCAUAUAUUUUUUAUUGUCUUUUGUGUCGUCGAUAAAGAGAACGAUGCUUCUUGGACCUUCUUCUUCCAGAAGCUGAAGUCUAUCAUAGAAGAUGAACCAGAUCUAUGCGUCAUCUUCGACAGGCAAAUUAACAUCGCCAAUGCCUUCUCCCAUGUAUACAGUCGUGCACAUCACGGACUUUGCAUGAGGCACCUCGCUUAAAAUCUUCGCGUAAAUCAACACCGUGGAGAACAUCUUUAUCUAUUCUACGCUGCAGUAAAGGCUUAUUCCUUUGAUGAGUUUAGCGAUAAUUUUGUGGAAUUGAAGAGCAAAUUCCCCGAGGUAGCUCAUGUCCUUGAAAAUGUGCUUGGUUUUGAAAAAUGGAGUAGAGCACACUCUCCGGGCAAUAGGUACGAUGUGAUGACCACAAACAUCGCCGAGUCGCUCAACUCGAUUUUGAUGGAUGAACGGGAGUACCCCAUGUCGUACAUAUUCAAUUCAAUUACUAAAAAAUUUGGUGAAAAAUUUAGGAGCGGCAUGCAUUUGUCGGUGAUAAAGAGAACAUAUUUGUGCCUUCGGCGGAAAGGAUCCUAAGGGAUAAUAAGAGUGCGAGCAAUUCCUUGUAUAUGGGUAAUCCAAACGGGAUUCUCGACGAGUAUAUGGUGUUCGGCAACGGCGUUACUGCCAAGGUCAAUCUCUUGGAGAGGAGCUGUUCUUGUCAGAAAUUUGACUUGGUGAAAAUACCGUGCGAACACGCAAUGGCAACUUUGCGAGAAAAGUACGACGAUGGCGAAGAGUAUGGUAACUCCAUCUACGACUACUCUUCGCCAAUUUAUAAAGCUGAAAGUUACCUCCUCGCAUACUCGAAAGCAAUUAACGUGGUCCCUCCUGAGGCUGAAUAGACUGUGUUACAGGAAUUGGUAGACACCAAAAUUUCUCCACCCCCGUACGAUCCCAAACUCAGAAGGAAGAAAGUUAAACGCACUAAGGGCGCCGGUGAGACAUUCAAGUUCAAAAGGAGGAAUAGGUGUUCAAUAUGCGAGAAAUUUGAAUACAAAAGAACCACGUGUAGAAUGGGCAUCAAUCAUAAAUAGUCUUUUUUUAGCUUCAGUUGUAAAGCUACUGUUUUGAGGGAUGAAUGUGCAUUUCUGUAGAUUUUAACGUUCAGUUGUUAUCGACCUAAAGCUUUGUCUACGAUAGACUAUCUAUAGUCUACGGUAUAUAUAAUAUAUGGUCUAUAAAAUAUUAUGUAUUGAUUAUAUUAUUACUGAUCUAACAUGUUAUGUUGGUCAUUUUCCUGGCUUAUUUCUCCAAUCGAUGCAAUGAAUCAUUAUUUCCCUUAUUUUCCGUUCCCAUUUAUUAAAAAGCUGCACAAAACGUCUCUUCACGAGGAAAAACAGCUGGUAUAUGCAUACAAAAUGUUUUCAUGGAUGUAUGAACGGAUGCAAUCUACAGGUCUAUAAGUAUAGGCCCUCUUUCUACGCAACCCUUCAGUUUUUUCUAAACCGAAAAUAUCAGAAAUCAUCUCUUUUUCUUCUUCACGCAAAUAAAAAAAAUCCUCCAAGAAGGAUACCCCUGUGCCCCAUCAGACGUGUUCCUCCUAGGCACUACGACCUCCUCCCCCUAAGGAAUGAUUUGGACUGGCUUUUCUACGUGCAGGGUCAAGACCGCAUCUACCUGGAGCGGGAGCUCCGUCGAAUUGCUCGUUUCUUGAGGGCAAUUCUGGAAAGGCUCGAAAUGGAAGACCCUGACUACAUCACCCCCCACCAUCCCCAUAAUUUAGUUUAAAUGUUUUAUUUUAGUAUAUGUUUUUAAGUUUUUUUGAUUUGUUCAUUGCUGAAGAAGCUUUCUUUGUAGGAUCUUGUUAGAAGAAAACUUCUUUCAUUUUUCCCUUUUUGAUGUAAAUUUUAUUAUGUAAUGCAAUGAACAAUUUUAAUACAACUAUGUUUCAGUUUCUUUUAACAUUGUGUGCUUGCCAUCUUUGUUCUGAUCCCUUGUUUGAAAACUCGAAUCAAAUAUGUCUGCCUUUUCAAGUUACAGUAUUGUGGCUUGACUAAUUUCCUGGAGUAAAAUCUAAUGUUUAGAUUUUAUACAAAGUAUUUCAUCGACUGUACAUAUAAGUCGAUCGUAGACUACAUGAAUCGAUGGAUCAUCGGGUAAAUUAAAACAAAUAAUAACAGAUUUUCAAAAAAUAAUUUAAUUUUAAAAGAUUUAAACAAAUUAUCACAUGUUAUGUGGCUGGUGGAAGAAAAUAAUAAAUUAAAAAUAAUUUAAAUAUAUAAUCACAUGUUUUGGGAAUUAUGAAAGACAAUUAUUAAAUUCAAAAAAAAUUAAAUAGAUAAUAGUAACAUGCUUUGGGGCUGGUGGAAGAAAAUAAUUAAAUAUAAUAUGAUUUAAAUGGAUAAUCACAUGUUUUGGGGUCAGUGGAAGAAAACAAUUACAUUAAAAAUGAUUUAAAUAGAUGAUCUUGGACUGAUGGUGACACUUAAUACACCGUCGUUGAUCAUGCACUAUGUCAUCCAUCGAUCAGUCUGGUCUAUUGUAGACUUACACGUUUAUUAUCGCAUCGACUGAUAUCAUGAUUAAGCGUAGACCACGAUGAUCUAUGUACAAGGUUAUAUAGAUCAUCACUUGGAUGUAGUUAAAAAAUUAUUAAAUAAAUUAUAAAUAAACCAUCCACACACUUCUUAAUUCACCCUUCCUAAUUUGUCUAAGCUCUAAUAUGAUUAUGUGACAUGUUUACACUCCUUCAUAUGUGUAGAAAUCCACACCAUAUUUAUUUAUAAUUUAUUUAACAAUUUUUUAACUACAUCCAAGUGAUGAUCUAUAUAACCUUGUACAUAGAUCAUCAUGGUUUACGCCUAAUCAUGAUAUCAGUCGAUGCGAUAAUAAACGUGUAAGUCUACGAUAGACUAUAUAGGCAUCAAAUAUAAUACAUAUCCUAUAUGAAUACUUUGCUUUGUUUAAACAUUACUCUUAUGAUAUUGAGCAUUCAACCACUAACCAUCCACACACUUCUUAAUUCACCCUUCCUAAUUUGUCUAAGCUCUAAUAUGAUUAUGUGACAUGUUUACACUCCUUCAUAUGUGUAGAAAUCCACACCAUAUUUAUUUAUAAUUUAUUUAACAAUUUUUUAACUACAUCCAAGUGAUGAUCUAUAUAACCUUGUACAUAGAUCAUCAUGGUUUACGCCUAAUCAUGAUAUCAGUCGAUGCGAUAAUAAACGUGUAAGUCUACAAUAGACCAGACUGAUCGAUGGAUGACAUAGUGCAUGAUCAACGACGGUGUAUUAAGUGUCACCAUCAGUCCAAGAUCAUCUAUUUAAAUCAUUUUUAAUGUAAUUAUUUUCUUCCACCGGUCCCAAAACAUGUGAUUAUCCAUUUAAAUCAUAUUAUAAUUAAUUAUUUUCUUCCACCAUCCCCAAAACAUGUUACUAUUAUCUAUUUAAUUUUUUUUUAAUUUAAUUAUUCAUUUUUUAACUACCUCCACGUGAUGGUCUAUAGAUGUGUACAUAGAUCACGGUAGUCUACGCAUAAUCAGGAUGUCAGUCGAUGCACUAAUAAAGGUGUAAGUCUAUGGUAAACCAUACAAAUCGAUGGCUGACAUAGGUCAUGAUCUACGACAGUCUAUUUAGUGUCACCACCAGUUCAAAAGAGAAAAAUNNNNNNNNNNNNNNNNNNNNNNNNNNNNNNNNNNNNNNNNNNNNNNNNNNNNNNNNNNNNNNNNNNNNNNNNNNNNNNNNNNNNNNNNNNNNNNNNNNNNNNNNNNNNNNNNNNNNNNNNNNNNNNNNNNNNUUGAGGACGUCACGCACGGAUUCAAAUCCAGGUCACAAAUUUUAUAAUUGUGCAAUUGCAAAGGUGAGGUGUGCGUGUUUUUUUAAAAGAUUUAAGUUAAUGGUUAUGUAAUUUUUUUUUCCUAGGAUAAUGGCGCAUGCUCGUUUUUCCAAUGGCUUGAUGAGUUAUCACCUCCAUCCAGUCCAUCAACGUUUAUUUCGGAACUCGAGACAUCAAAUUUUCAAGGCUUGGCAAAAUUUAAUCUACUACAAAGGCUCCAACAAUGCGAAGAAAAUAAAGAUUUUCUCAUGACUUUGUUCAAAGAAGCCGGAGAACAGAGUGAUCACUUUAAACUAUUGCUACAUGACACCCAAAUAGAGAGGGAUCAACUAAACGAAAAAUUGAUUUUGGCCGAAGAAAGAGAGAAUGUCCUAAAAAUGAUGUUAUGUGCUAUAAUGCUAGUAUUCAUUCUUUGGAAAAGUGUAACAUGAAUGUAGUGAUAUUGAAUGAAUAAUAAUAGUUCUACUUUUGUAUAAUGUAAAAUACUAUUUUUGAUAGAACCAUAGUAGAUUAAACAACACGUCAACUUAAAUUCGACCAGCAGGGUAAUGAUAGACUAUGCAUACGGUAUAUGGAAUAUUAAGUAUGCAUUCUAUGAUAUCAAGCAUACAAUGUACCAACUAUGACCACGCCCUGCAUAUUCAAAUUCCAUGCCACAAAUCAGUUUGAUAGAAACUGAUUCAGCUCAGAAUCAUAACAAGUUUCAUAAAAUAAAAGAAUAAUUGUCAUAUCCUACCACCAGAUCCUUCAAACUUCAUAUUUGUGAAAUAAAAAAAAAUUUAUCAUAUCCUAAUAACUCAUCAUUUAACAACAAAUUAAACAUCUUAGCAUUUAAAUGUCUCUUUCACUAAGUUCCUCAUCAACACAAGUGUUACUGUUGAUUUCAUCAACAAUGUCCAUGACCACAUCUGUUUGGACAGCUUCAACUUCUUUUUUCUCAACAAUUGCAGCUGCUUCUUCAUUCUCACCUUCUUCUCCUUCUUUUUUCAGCAUGUGCAUCAGCUGCUGCUUCUUCAGUUACCUUUUCUUCCACACCUUCUUUUUUUACUUCACCUGCAAUAGCUGUUUCUUCCUCAGCUUCAGCAGCUGUUUCUUCCUCAGCUUCAACAGUUGUUUCUUUCUCAGUUUCUUCUUUUCGUUCACCUGUUGCUUCUUCUCAACUUCUUCUUUGUCAGCUUUGUCGGCUUCUUCUUCAACAGUUUUUCCUUUUUCCGCGCCUCCUUGUUCAUCUGCUGCCACUUCUUCUUCUACUGCUGCUGCUACUUUUCCACCUUCUUCUUGGCUCUUAUCUUCUUCACCAUCAUUUUUUUUUUCUUCUUUUUUCCUCUUCUCCCACAACAACGGCCAACUCAUCCAUUUGCUCUUUUUUUCUCCUUCUUCAUUCCUCUCUGAUUCAUGCACAUGCACUAUUUCAUAAUAUUAUGAAGUGUUACUGAUAUUUAAAGCUGAAUAUUCAUUAACAACAUCAAUUAAUGAAUGAAGUUACCUCACUCAUGUUGUCGCUCAUCAUUUUCCUUUUUCUUCAUUCUUUUCUCUUUGAUAUAGGCAGCAAUAUCCAACACCGCUUCCUCGAGCGCAGCCACACGCUUAUGAAGAUCCCCGGGGGCUGAGGUUCCCGCUCCAUCUUUGGAGGUGCUUAAAGAAUCAUCAUCACCAACACAUACUCCAGCGGGGUUACCACCCAAAUCCCCGUCAUCAUCACUGUCCUCAUUUGAAGUGAGGACAGUCACCCCUUGUAAUUCUUUCUUCAAGCCAUCGAGAACGUUAUUCUUCAUCUCGUUCGUAUAUGGCUCAAAUGUAAUCAUGUAAUCCAUCUUCAUCUCACGAACAGUAGGGAUGAUGUACGGGUGCACGUUCUACCAAGUAUCAAUUAACAAUUACAUAACAUUUGAUAAAACCGUACUAUUAUUGCAUUAUAUAAAAUAAGUUCAUACCUCGAUAACUUUUCCUUUAUUCUUGAAUGGGUCGCCUUCGAUUAUCUUAUCGCUUUUUGAAGUGUGUCAUCUGAGGAUGCGGGGGAUGGGUAAGGACUCAUCCAUUAAUUUUCUAGCAAAUUCUCCAAGAUGAGGAAAGACCUCAUAGAUCCAAUUCUAUAUGCAGUACAACAGUGAAAAAAAUAACUAUGAGUCUAUGACAUAGUAUAAAUAAAAUGAUAAUCUACGAUAAACUCACUAAAGGGUUUAUGGUAGAUACCAUGAAUUCCCAGGGAAAUUCAAAUAGAGCAUAGGAUGCCUUCUGCUUCUCAUUAAAUACUUCCUUCUGCCUCUUCAGGUCACUUUUCUUCUUUAGAUAGUCCAUAGUCAGUUGAAAUGUCUCUUUCCCCCACGGAUACUUCUCAAAGAAACUCAAAGAGUCGACCAUUCGAAUCAGUUUUGUGUCGACAACCUUCGUCGAAUAUUUCGCAAGCAACAUGGUGUGCAAGAACCACAGUAUACAAUACUUGAACUUCUGGUCCUCGUUCAGCUUAUUCCCUCUGAUCAGGUGUAAGAAGUUCGCCGCCGUGAUGUUUUUAUUUUUUGUCACCUUAAAACGAAAAUUGUCCCCCUUUGCUAACACCUUCUUCAUUUUUGAUUCACGAGGGUAUGAUGAGCAGUUCAGCCCCGUGAUCAAACAAAACUCUUUCAAGCCAAAACAGGCGGGCUUGUUGUUAACGCAGAACCACAUCUCAUGACGUAUCUUAUCGUUCUUAACGCAUCGCAACAACAAAUAAUGGACCAACUGCCCAUUGAACUUGAGAUGUUCCGGCAGAUUUCUCAGGUGUCCAAAAUAGGACCGCUUGAAUCUUUUCUUCAAUUCUUGAUCGACAAGAAUUUGCUUAAAUUCUCGAUAAGCAGCCAUUCUUGAUCUGAUCGAUAUCUUUGCCGGGAAAGAUCCGACCUCGUCAAUUAUCGUUCGAAGGUCAUACCGCUACACGAAAAUGCACCUUGAAAGAUAUGACACGGACAAUGAAUCAUUAUCCUCAUCCUUGGAAUAAGUGGAAGGGUUAGGUGUAUUAUAUUAAAUUUGUAAAGUUGUAUAAAUGAUAAAUUGGUCCCUUGGCCCACGUGUGGGCCCCACUUUUUUCACUAUUUACACCCUAAACCUAAAAAAUGAAUCAAAAAAAAUUAAGUGGGUAUUUGGCAAAAUAGUUUUACAAAAGUUCUUCUUUGCCAAUUAUUCCCAUCACUCUCUGCCUCUAAGGUGGUCGGAGGUUAGGUCUGCAUACAUUCUAUCUUCCAUAGAUUUUACUUUUUGUGGGAUUAUAUUGAAUAUGUUUAUGUUGUUGUGUUUUUUCGUAAAAAACAGUUUGUAAUUAAUUAUUAAAUUUUAAAAAGAAUGUUUUAGCAACUACUAAUGUUUGACCAAGUAUUUUAAGGAGUACUUCAAGGUUUAUUUUUUUGAAAAUAUUUUUGAAAAAACUAUUUUUAGAGAAAAGUAAUUUUUUUUAGCCUCUACAAACAAUUUCUAUUAAUCAAAGAACAAAACCUUAGCCGAUGGCCCGAUAGAUAUUAUUUAUUCUCUCCUUAAAAAUUAACAAAACACCUGUCGUUUUUAAACAAAGAACAAACACUUUUGACCUUUUAAAACCUUAACCAAUAGAUAUUAUUAACUUGUAAAGUGCAUUAAUUGGAUAAUGUAAUAUACAUUUCACUUACCUCGUUACAUUCGCAAAAGUGACCAAAGGAGCAAAGCCUUGCCCCAUCCCUUUAACAAGUCCUGCAGCCUACAAUUACUCCAUGGGUGUAAAAAUAUGUACCAGUAUUGUAAUGUUUAGAUACAAACUGACCUCCGAAAAUUGAUUUUUUUUUUUUUUUUUGAAGAAAGACCUCAGAGGUUGUUUUUAUAUAAAAAAGGAAUUUUUAAAAAAUUGUAAAGUCAUAACCAACAAGCGUAGUAUAAAUGGUAGUUUGAAUCAUAGUUGCUGCAUUUUAUUAUUGUUUAAUGAUUUAUAAAUUGACUUAAUAUAUAAGAUUGAUGUUCUUAUAAAAAUUAAAAUAAAACUAAAAACCCGACCUUUGGAGAAUUAUAUUUUCCAUUUUUUUUCCUUGACCUGAAUUUUACUGACCUUUGAUAUGCGAUCUAUUUGCUAGAUGAACUGUUGACAUAAUUUUCUUCGAAAAAAGUUUUAAGAAAACAUAAGAACUUACUAGUAUCGUCUUGUUGUUGCCAAGUGUUAAAGGAGUAAUAAUUUCACUUUCGGAAUUGCUACUAGCAACACUUAUCAUCCAUGGAGAAGUAGCACCAACGACUGUGUAAGAGUCUGGUCCACAAUUUCCUGCGCUAGCAAUAAAAGGUAUGCCAUGGGAUACUGCAUGAAAAGAUCCUAUCCCGAAAAUUUUUUCCUCGUCAAAGUCAGCCAUGUUGAUAAUACUUUUACCACCAAUAGAUGUUGAUAUUAUGUCAACCCCAUCUUUUAAAGCAUCAUCAAUGGCAGAAAGAACAUCAAUAUUACUAAGCAUUGUUCCAUUUGUACCAUCCCAACCCACCUGUUAAAAAUAUUAAAAAUACGCAAAUAAAAUUGUGUUUAGAUUCUCUAACGUCUUAAUCUUUUUGAUAAGAGGAUCAAGGCUCAACAAAGAAGGUUUUUGGUUCAAUUUUGUAAUGACUUGAAUUUGUGAUGAGUUUCGAUUUUUAUAUGAUUUGAUCAUUUUAUUUUUUCCCAUAAUUGUUACAUGUCGAUUUUGGGGCUUGGGGGUGGUUAGUACAAUUUCUAAUGCAAUUGGGAAUGAUUUGUGCAAGUUUGUGUUUUUUAAAAGCUUGAAAAGUCAUAUAAUUGACUUAGAUCAGCAUUUAUUAUUUUGAGUGUUGGAUGAUAAUUUGGACGGCACUAGUAGAUUCAAAAUAUCUAAUUUGAGUUAGUAGUAUAGUUGAUUCGGAUUUGGGACUUUUAUCUUGCAUUUCGAUACUUCAUUUGGAAAAUAGUGAAAAGGGGUCCCCAAGAGUCAAUUUAGAGAAAUUAGUUUUUUCUUUUCCAAAAAAUAUGAUGUUGCUAUUGAGUCCAGAACGUGAAAAUAAACUAGUAGAAUAGUUCGUUUGAGUCCAUGGAAUUCUGAAUGAAUCUCGAGGUCCAAUCGUAAACUUGACAUUUAGCCAAGUUGUUGAUUUUGCUGUCAUCUAGUACAACCAGUUAAAUGGCCAAGGACCACUUUAGUGGCCUGACAUUGCUCAAGUGAUAGCCACUUUAGCGGCCAUGUGUUGAUUAAGCGAUGGCCGGCCUAAGUGGAUUGUCCACUUUAGCGACCUUUUAGCUGCUUAAGUGGUGAUUUCUUAAACGGUCAAUUAUCUUAAGAGACGUCCAUUGAUAUUAUUAUUUUCAAUGUUUUGGGGUACACAAAUCUGUAUUUAGGCACACAACAACUUCAACACAAGUUCAAGUCUAAAACAAGAACACCUAUGAAGUUACACAACACCUUCAACACAAGAUUAAACAUAAUCUAUCCAAGAAGUGUGUUAUUAUUUCAUACUCCCUCUGUUUAAAAAAGAAUGACCUACUUUGACUUGACACAAAGUUUAAGAAAAUAAAGAAGACUUUUGAAUCUUGUGGCCUUAAAUUAAAGUAGUGUCAAAUGUACCAAAAUGCCCUUUAAUCUUGUGGUCCUAAAUAUGUCAUGUGGAAGGUUGAAAUUAAAGUAUUUCCAAAAAAGGAAAGAGGUCAUUCAUUUUGAAACGGACUAAAAAGGAAAGUAGGUCAUUCUUUUUUAAACGGAGGGAGUAAAUAAGAUGAAACAGAGAGUUAAAGCCAAGUCUCCCGACUUUACAGAGUGUCCUUAAGGAAUAAUUCCCCUCACUGUACCCGAGCUUAUGGAAUUUUCCUCCCAGGAUAAAAUGACUUUCAAUCCAACAAUUGUGGUACCUCAAAUUCUUGGAUUCGUCGAACUACUUAACGGCUAAGGAUCACACUGAGUUUUUGUAGAGAAGAAGAGUGUUUAUGCUGUCAAAAAUCAUGUAUAUACCUGAGGAAUAUGUCAGGUAUUUAUAGCCUUAAGGUGUCCCUUCAGAAAGAAAGCAUUGGUGCAGCAAAAAGGCACUUAUUCAGUAUAGUCAAGUCACCUUCGCCCAAUCUGUGCUAGAACUGCGCCUGAUCUGCGGCCGUAGGUGACACUGUCCAAAUUUCAGUAAGUACCUGUGCUGCAUCUUCGCCCGCAGGUUACUGAGGUGCGCGUGUAGAUCGCCCCAUUGCGCGAAACAGUGUGCGGCCGCACAUGAAAAAAAUUUCUAUCAGAUUCUUUGGAUUAAAAUUUUACUUGUUUAUCAAGUUUCAAAUAAAUUUUUUCUAAAAAAUAGAUCUCAUUGAUCGAUCAUUUUCCAAAUCCAAAUCCGGAGCUAAAGACAUGCCUUGUGAGUGACGACGAAGACGGCGCGGGGUACCACCUUGUUCUUGCCUCACUAUCCAUGUGGAGAUGUGUUUCUCAAUAUAAAUACAUGAAUGCUUCUUUCUUCCACCAAUGUGGGAGAAUUUAGUAAGCUUUCCAUAAAAGAAUACACAAUCCAUUUUAGUGACUCUCUUUUCCGCCAUUAUUUUUUCCCUCUAUUUUCUAUUUAUACAUACACCUUGAACCCAACAGAUAUAAAAACUCAUUUUCAUAUUUUUUUCCUCCAUUUCUGAACUUUUGAGCUUUGGGUGUGGGCCAUUCUUGAGAGCUUUUGUUUUCAAACUCAUUUUGCACCUGGCACAAAUAUGUGCAAUAUGGAUAUUUUUAGCUUUCUUUUAAUGCAUAGAAGUUAUAUAUAUAUAUUUGAAUAUUGUAGUUGAUUCUGAGGUCGUUCAUAAAGGGGAGGCUCCAUAUUGAAGCACUUUGGAUUGGGAUUUCUUUGUUUUGUGGUAAGUUAUGACUUAACUUCUUUCAGAUUGAGUUGGGUAGUUAAUAAAUAAGUAAAUCAUGUUAUGGGUUGGGUAAAUAAAUAUGAGAUUUAUAUUUUGGUAUUAUUAAUGUAUGCCCAUGUGAAGGCUUAUACUCUGUUUUGUUGACUUGUGAUAUCUGAUAUUAUGUGUUGCCUGUUUGAGGGCUUUAUUUGACAUCAUUGAUAUAAUCUGUGUAUUAGAAUAUCUUUAUUAUAAACACCUUUCCAUUGCGAUCCUUCCAAGUGUGACAUACCAGUGCCCCCAUAAGGCAACAACAACUUUCUUUGGAAUACAAGGCUAAUGCUUCUCUCUGAUUUGAUCUAGUAUUUGACUCAUACUUUCUCUCUACAAUGCAAUACCCAUUCACGCCAAUAGUGCAAUUCUCACUAUAUUAAACCAUGCACAUUCCACAAAUAGAUGUUGCAAGUGUUGUCACCUCUGCAGAUAAGCCACAUAAACAACAAUCUGGAUCAUUUACAAGGACAUUCAGCUUGAGUGGCCUCCUCUUAGUCAGUAGUGUUAUUUUGUAGUAUUUCCUUCAGGUACACAAAAUCUGUAUAAGCAGAACAACAACUUCAACUAGAGUUCAAGUAUAAACAAGAACACAAUGAAGUAUAUCAAAUACCCUCAACACAAUAUCAAAAUGACUUUUCCAAGAGGUAUAUUUUAUUUUUUCCAGAAAAUAGACGAAACAGAAAUGAAUAAGGCCAAGUCGUCCGAAUUCAUGGAGUUUCCUUAAGGAAAUAAUUCCCCUCACUUUACCCGGGGUUAUAGAAUUUUUCCUCCCAGGAUAAAAUGGCCUUCAAUCCAAAUAUAGAGGUACCUCAAAUAUUUGGACUCUUCGAACACACUCAACAUUUUGAAUGAUCACAUAGAAUUUUUGAAGAUAAGAAGAGUAUUUUUUAUUCUGAAAUUUUGUAUCGAAACCUGUAAAAGAAAGCAGGUUUUUAUAGACAUAACAUGCCUCUUCUGAAAAGAGGCAAUGGUUUAUGUCAAAGGUUACACAUGUUCUGUAAAUUCAUGUUUGUUUAUCCAAAGAUUGCAUCUUUUCUUGAACAGUCAUCUCGUUUUGUGAAUUAGUGUGUCACUUUAUUGAAGGAUUACAUCCUUCUAAAGCAUCAUUUUGAACCAUUGCAACUUUCUGUAGCCUCAGAAUAAUGCAUCAGUUCACUUGAAACAGUGCAACUGUUACUGCAUGUAUAUAUAAAUGGAGGUUCGAAACACUGCAGAAAAAUUUUACUGCAUUUUUCUUGUCAUUCUUCGGAAUCCAAAUAAAGUUUAUCCAAAAAGAUAGAUCUCAUCGAUCGAUCCAAAUGCAAAUCCAAAGCCGAAGCCGAGCCGAGCAACGACGACGACGGCGUGAGGAAUCUCUUAUUACUUGCCUCACUUAUCCAUGUGGAAGUGUGUUUCACAAUAUAAACACUUUAAAGCUUCUUUCUCCCACCAAUAUGGGAGAAUUUAGUAAGCUUUCCUAUUUUUGAGUACACUUUCCAUAUUGGUGUGAUCUCAAUUUUUCUCUUCCACUUGGUUUUAUCCAUUUUCCAUUCACACUUCUCAUUUACUAUGAACCCAACAAUCCCCCACAUGAAUGGGAAUGGCUAUUUUUUGUAAAAGUUUUACGGACAAGUAUGUGAUCAUCAAGCAAAGACUAAUUGCAUUUGGAUAAGUGGGUUUCCCUUUGAACUUUUCGUCUUGAAGAUGUAUCGGAUGCACUCGGUCAAUCGGUAGAUUUGAUAUCUUUGAACCAUCGAUCUUUAAUGUACACCUAGAAUAUACAUGUCACAAAACCAUCCUUUUACUGUUUUAUGGUUCUCACGAUUUUGUUCUUUUCAUCCAUGAACACGUCCCGAUUUCGUGAGAGCUUAGAGGGUAGGCCUUUACUAACAUUCUCUUUGAAGCGACUUCCACUUCGUCCUCACAUAGGUGAUUUUAAUACAUUCAAUCCUAUAUAUUAAACUAUUUGGUCAAAUCUGCCAAAUUUAGAUAAUCAUUAAAAGACUUUUCACCUUAAGUCUUAUCCUUGUUUACUAAACAUUGUCUAUAUCAUGAGAAUGGGUUGGGUAAUUGACAAUGUUGAACCUGUCAGACACAACUUUAUUUGAUCUCCUUGAACCUAUCUCUUGGGAUCUCCAGUCUGCUAGGUAGAGUUACCGCCAUGCCGACUUAUCCUAGGCCUUAAACCCAUUCCCUUUGAUGUCCUUUCCACUUCUUCUCUAGAUAGGCCUUUUGUAAGUGGAUCCAACACAUUAUCCUUUAACUUUACAUAGUCAACAGUGAUAAUUACACUAGAGAUAAGUUCCCUAACGGUAUUAUAUCUUCAUCGUAUGUGAUGAGAUUUACCAUUGUACAUCAUGCUCCCUGCCCUACCUGUUGUCGCUUAGCUAUCACAGUGUAUACAUAUUGGUGCCAGUGGCUUGGACUAAUAAUAAAUAUCUUCUAAGAAAUUCUGGAGUCAUUCUGCUUCUUCACCGGCUUUAUCCAAUGUGAUAAAUUCAGAUUCCAUUAUAGAGCGAGAAAUACAAGUCUAUUUGGAUGAUUUCCAAGAGACUCCUUCUCCACCGAUAGUAAAUACAUAUCCACUUGUGGAUUUUACUUCAUUCGAUCCAGUGAUCCAAUUUGCAUCACUAUAUCCUUCAAGUACCGCAGGAUAUUUAUUAUAAUGCAAGCAUAGUUUUAGUGUAUUUAAGAUACCCCAAAACCCUUUUCAAUACUAUCCAAUGAGUUUUGUUGCGAUUACUUAUGUACCGACUUAAUUUACUGAUAGCCCAUGCUAUGACUGAUUGUGUACAGUUUGUUAUAUACAUUAAACAUCCCAAUACUCUUGCGUACUCCAAUUGUGAGUCACUUUCAACUUCAUUCUUUCGACGUGCAAAGUUCACAUCCAAUGGAGUCUUGGCAAUACCGAAUUCCAUAUACUUGAACUUGUCAAGUACUUUUUAGAUACAAUGAGACUGUGACAAUGCCAACCCUUGUGGAGUUCGAUAGAUUCUUAUGCCUAAGAUCACAUCUGCAACUCCAAGGUCUUUUAUAUCAAACUUGCUCUCGAGCAUUUAUUUUGUUGCACUUAUGUUAGAAAUGUCUCUACUGAUGAUCAACAUAUCAUCCACAUAUAAACAUACAAUGACUUGGUGAUUUGGAGUGUCUUUAAUAUAAACAUAUUUAUCACAUUCAUUUAUUUUGAAUCCGUAUGCCAACAUGGUUUGGUCAAACUUCACAUGCCAUUGUUUAGGUGCUUGCUUUAGUCUAUACAAUGACUUAAUAAGUCUGCAUACCUUAUUUUUCUUCCCUGGAACCACUAAACUCUCAGGUUGUUCCAUGUAAAUUUCUUUCUCUAAUUCUCCAUUUAGGAAAGCGGUUUUCACAUCCAUUUGAUGGAUUUCAAGAUGAUAUACCGCAGCCAAGGUAAUUAACAUUCGAAUCGAUGUUAUCCUUGUUACUGGCAAGUAUGUAUCAAAGUAAUCAAGACCUUAUUUUUGUUUGAAGCCCUUUACUACAAGUCUUGCCUUGUAUUUGUCAAUAGUGCCAUCCGCUUUCAUCUUCCUUUUGAAAAUCCAUUUAGAACCUAAAGGUUUAUUUCUGGGAGGAAGGUCAACCAAUUCCCAUGUAUGGUUGCUUAAGAGUGAAUCUAUCUCACUAUUGGCUGCCUCUUUCUAAAAGGAUGAAUCCGAAGAUGCCAUCGCUUCCGUAAAUAUUUGAGGCUCAUUUUCCAAAAGAAAUGUCAUAAAAUCCGAUCCAAAUGAAGUAGACGUUCUUUGACGUGUACUACGUCUUGAAUUUUCUUCAUUAUGUUCAUUCUCAAUUGGUUCAUCACAAGGUCGUUUAUACCCCCCACUAGACUGUUCAUGUCUAGUUUUAUACGGAUAAAUAUUUUUAAAAAAUUUAGCAUUGUCUGAUUCAAUUACCGUAUUUUCAUUAAUAUCCGGAUGUUCGGAUUUAUGAACCAAAAAUCGGCAUGCCUUACUGCUUUUAUCGUAUCCUAUGAACACCCAGUCCACUGUCUUAGGUCCUAUCUUUACCCUUUUAGGCACAGGAACUUGGACCUUUGCUAGACACCCCCACACUUUGAAAUAUUUCAAGUUGGGUUUUCUUUCUUUCCACUUUUCAUAAGGAAUUGAUUGUGUCUUACUAUGGGGAACUCUAUUGAGUAUACGGUUGGCCAUAAGGAUAGCUUUCCCCCAUAAGUUUUGUGGUAAACAAAACUUAUAAGUAAGACAUUCAUCAUUUCCUUCAAAGUUCAGUUUUUUCUUUUCGCGAUUCCAUUAGAUUAGGGUGAAUAUGGGGCCGUAGUUUGAUGGAUGAUUCAAUUCUCUACACAUAUUUGCGCAAAAGGAGAUUCAUAUUCUCCACCCCUAUCACUUCUUAUCAUUUUGAUCUUUUUGUCUAACUGAUUUUCAACUUCAGUUUUAUAUUGCCUAAACACAUUUACUGCUUCAUCCUUACUAUUUAGCAAGUAGACAUAACAAUAUCUAGUGCAAUCGUCAAUAAAAGUUAUGAAAUACUUUUUCCCACCACAUGAUGGUGUUGACUUCAUAUCACAAAUGUUAGUGUGUAUUAAAUCUAAGGGAUUGGAAUUCCUCUCAACGAACUUAUAAGGAUGCUUUGCAUACUUUGAUUCCACAUAGGUUUGACACUUUUAUUUAUUGCACUCAAAAUUUGGUGAAACUUCUAAGUUAAUCAGUUUUCGUAAUAUUUUGUAAUUAACAUGGCCUGAACGUUCAUGCCAUAAAUCAUAAGACUCAACCAAAUAAGAAGAAUUUGAACUUUUAUUUAUUUCAACAGUCAUUACAUUCAUCUGAUAAAGGCUUUCGGUCAGAUAGCCUUUUUCUACAUACAUUUCUCCUUUGCUAAUUACAAUUUUUCAAGAAACAGUUACACAUUCGAAUCCGUUAUUGUCUAGAAGUGAAACAGAAAUUAGGUUCCUACGUAACUCCGGAACAUACAAGACAUUGUUAAGUGUCAAGACCUUUCUCGAAGUUAUUUUCAAGCAUAUUUUUCCUGUUCCUUCCACCUUAGCAGUAGCGGAGUUAUCCAUGUAGAUCAUUUCUUCUACUUGAGCCAGAGCGAAUGACGAAAACAACUCAUUGUUGGCACAUACAUGGCGGGUGGCACCAGAAUCCAUCCACCAUUCGCGAGGAUUCCUUGCCAAGUUGCAUUCUGAAAACAUAGCACACAAAUCAUCGCAUUCUUUGUUGGAUUCAAUCAUAUUUGCUUGAUCCUUCUUCUUGCCUUUCUUCGGGGCUCGACAAUUCAUGAACUUUUGUCCAACCUUGCCACAAUUGAAGCAUUUUCCCUUGAAUUUCUUCUUGGAUUGAUGGCUUCCUUGUUCAACUUUCUUUCUUUUCUUAGAAUUAUUUUGAUCAUCUUUUACAAUAUGUGCUCCAUUAAUUUUAGAAUUCCCUUUUGACCUUCUCUCGGCAGCUUUAUUGUCCUCUUCAAUACGCAGUCGGACAACAAGAUCUUCGACAGCCAUCUCCUUGCGUUUAUGCUUCAAGUAGUUUUUGAAGUCAUUCUACAUUGGUGAUAACUUCUCAAUUAUCGUUGCUACUUGGAAAGCAUCAUUCACAAUUAAACCUAUAAAACAGUUUAUAUGAGUAUUAAGAACUUUUUCAACUAAGGUAUUUUCUAAAGAUAUACCUUCUGCUAAGAAAUCGUGGAUGAUUACUUGCAACUCCUACGCUUGAGAGACAACCGAUUUGCUAUCUACUAUUUUAAAGUCCAGGAACCUUGCAAUAAGGAAUUUCUUAAUUCCCACAUCCUCCAUCUUGUAUUUUCGUUCAAGUGCCCCCCACAAUUCCUUCGAUGUCUUAGUUCCACAAUAAACAUUGUAAAGGUCAUCUUGGAGACCACUUAAUAUGUAAUUCCUGCAGAGGAAGUCUAAGUGCUUCCAAGCCUCUACAAUUACGAAGCGCACUUUGUCCGAGGUUCCCUCGGGCACCUCAGGAGCGUCUUCGCUAGUGAACCGUUGCAGACACACAGUGGUGAGGUAAAAGAACAUCUUUUGCUGCCAUCUCUUAAAGCUGAUGCUCGCAAACUUUUCGGGCUUUUCCGCAGGUGCCAUAUGUUGUGGAGCAUUUGCGCGGCUUGUCGUAGCAAUGCUAGUCGCCGCCACAGUCGUAACAUCUCAUGCAUUUGACUUUCAGUUGCCAUUUUUCUGUCACCACAAGACAGUAAAUUUAGUAUAUCAAAAUAAAAAAAAAUUGCAACUACUUUAAACACUUCUUGUUUCUAGUUAACAAUGAAGUUUUUAUUACUUCCAAUUGUCAACCGAGUGAAUUUUAAACUUAUGAUGAAAAUUAUAUGUCUUCUAAUCACUAGUUAAAUUCAAACGGAGUAGAAAGCCUAAAGCUUUAAUCUCCAAAAAUAAGUAUACAGAUUCUUAAAUUUAUUUCCUUAAGAUUGUUAUUUUGUAGUAUUUCCUUCAGGUACACAGAAUCUGCAUAAGCACAACAACAACUUCAACUAGAGUUCAAGUAUAAACAAGAACACAAUGAAGUAUAUCAAAUACCCUCAACACAAGAUCAAAAUGACCUUUUCAAGAGGUGUAUUUUAUUUUUUUCAGAAAAUAGAUGAAACAGAAAUGAAUAAGGCCAAGUCGUCCGAAUUCACGGUGUUUCCUUAAGGAAACAAUUCCCCUCACUGUAUCCGAGGUUAUGAAAGUUUUCCUCCCAGGAUAAAAUGGCCUUCAAUUUAAAUAUAGCGGUACCUCAAAUAUUUGGACUGUUCGAAUGCACUCAACAGUUUGAAUGAUCACACAGAAUUUGUAAAGACAAGUAGAGUAUUUUUUAUUCUGAAAUUUUGUAUCAAAACCUGUGGAAGAAAGCAGGUUUUAAUAACCAUAACAUGCCUCUUUUAAAAAGAGGCAAUGGUUCAUGUCAAAGGUUACACAUGUUCUGUAAAUUCAUGUCUGUUCAUCCAAAGAUUGCAUCUUUUCCUGAACAGUCAUCUCCUUUUGUGAAUCAAUGUGUCACUUCAUUGAAGGAUUACAUCCUUCUAAAGCAUCAUUUCGAACCAUUGCAACUUUCUGUAGCCUCAGUCCUUGGCAUUCUUCGGAAUCCAAAUAAAGUUUGUCCAAAAGAAUAGAUCUUAUCAAUCAUAAUCAUUAUACAAAUCCAAAGUCGAGCAACAACAACGACGACAACGCGAUGCAACUCUUAUUCCUUACCUCACUUAUCCAUGUGGGAGUGUGUUUCACAAUAUAAACACUUUAAAGCUUCUUUCUCCCACCAAUGUGGGAGAAAUUAGUAAGCUUUCCUAUUUUUGAGUACAAUUUCCAUAUUGGUAUGAUCUCAAUUUUUCUCUUCCACUUUGUUUUCUCCAUUUUCCAUUCACACUUCUCAUUUACUAUGAACCCAACAAGUAACCUGUCUUUACUAGCCAACCACACAAUAAAUCUAUGCUCAGGCUGAGCAGCUUUAGAGGACAAUUUGUAUAUACUGAGGAAGUUAUAGCACAAACCAAAUAGGAACAAAUUAAUAGGCUAGCUAGAACUUUCAUAUCUAGCAAAGAAAAUAACCAGAUGUAGAUGCAUAAUGCAGAGAUUAACUUUGUAACUAGUUUAAUUUCAGUUUUAGAGGUAAGGAUGACUGAGGUGAUCUUAGGAUGUAUUGAUGAUGGUUGUGUUUGUCUAUGUCAAUGUUUACAGUGUUACUAAAAGAAUUACUUUAAAUUUUUACUUGAGAAAGAUAAAUGCACAAGCAAUUCAAUGAUGACACCUUAUACAUAGCUAACCGUGCAAGUGGUGCUCCUCCUCGUGUUGUUCCCAUAUUAACACCAUGAUAUUUCACAUUGUUAAUAUAAGAACCAGCAGCUGUAUAUGCAACAUGAGUACCAUGCCCAUUAUCAUCUAAUGGUCAUAAUUUAUAUAAUUUUUCAACCAUUGUUUGGUUUAGUUCAUUAUCUUCCAUCGCUCCUUUUAUGUACCAACGAGCUCCAAUGCUUUCGAAUUAUCUCCCCAUGCAAUACCUACAAAAUGUUGCUAGUUCUUUUAGAGAAUUUAACUUCUAUGCACACAAUAUUUAAAAUAUCAUGAUUUUUAAAGAUAAUUCUCGAUAGAAUUGUAACCUAUAAGAAAUAUUAUUGAUUAUUCUAUUAUAACAAGAUAAAUUACAUCAAUAAUCUAAAAUUAUUUUUUACAAUAUUAUUUGUGCAUCAUAUUUAAAUCCCUUUUUAACAAGAUUUUUAGCUGCAGAGAAAUGUUAUUGGGUUAAGAAAAAAACAAAAAAACGGAAAAAAAGAAAAAGGGAGACACUUAACUUGAAUCUAAUAUGCCAAUAAUUAUUCUGUCACCCUGAUUUGUUUUGUUGACAAGACUAUUAGGAUCAUGUUUAGAAAGACCCAACUCCUUGACGUAUGAGUCUUGUAAAAAUGAUUUGGUAUAACUUGAACCACAUCAGGUAAUUCUGAAGUACGAUUACAACACAUACAUCAAUUAAGAGUCGUAUAAUGAAUAAAAUCCUUAUUUUCAUAAAAUUAUUUUUUAUUUCCUUUUAUUUAUUUUUUAUAAUUUUCUGCUAGUAUUUAAGGUAAAAAUGUGUGACAACAGAGAAUUAAAAUACCUUCAAUUUGUUUGGCUUGAGAAUAAGUAAGAUUAGCAGCGAAUCCAGAGAAGCCAUGCCUAUAACUAUACACCAUCAAUUUUUUUAGCUUCUUCUUUGCUGCAUAACAAGAAAAUACGAUUUAGCUUUUAAAGAAUGAAAUACAGGAAAUAAUAUUUUUGCAAUGAGGUCAUUUGUAGCUAAUUAGAGGUAACUGUUUCUAUGAUAAGCUUUAAUAAGAAAUUUAGUUAAAAUAGUAAUCUACUAAAUUUCAUUAGUUAAAUUUAUAAAUUUCAUUGAUUAUUUAAAGAAUAUGCAUACCUCCCAAUUACUUGACCUAAAAGUUUGUGAUGUGAAUCGGUGAUAAGUUCAUGAUCAUUAUGAGGCUUGUGUCCCAAAUAGACAAUGUAAAACUAUAGAUCAAAAAAUACCAUAGAAAACAAACCAAAAAAAUUAAAUUAAUGAGAGAGAUUAAUAUUCGAUAUGAUCAAUAAUCAACUGAAAGGAUAUCAUAUAAAUCAGAAGAAAGCUAACUUUUUGAAUCAAUCAUUCACAUCGUCAAAAAUACUACUCCCUUUAUUUCACUUCAGUUAUUACGUUUGUUAAAAAUAAUUAUUUAAAUAUAUUUGUUAUUUUAGAAAAUAUUUGACGGAAAAUUGAUUAUUUUUUUCAUUUAUUUUUCGCUUACUUUAUUAUAUAUUGAUAGAUUAACAUGAUAAGAGAAAUUAGUAAUAUGAUGAUGUAAGGUUGCACCGAAUAAAUUCUUACGGUUUGGUUCUUUUCGACCUUGCAUAUAGUGAGAACUUUAGUCACCGGCCGGGGUUGUAUUUUUUGAGAUGGUAACAAAUUGAGAAAAUAAAAUAAAAUUAAAUUCAAGAAUAUCCAAAAUGUACCUUAGCAUCGGCAUUGUCUGCUUUUGUAGUUAUUUCACAUAAACAAGUAAAGAUUAACAAAAAAAAUAAAAUAACAAGAGAAGAAAUUGGAUUAUUCAUCAUUUUUUGUUUCCCUCCUUUCCAUAGAAAAUGUGAAAGGAGGAAGAUAACCCAACUUCUGAUGAAUUCAAAAUAUAAUUUGGUUAAUGAAAUUUGAAAAUAAUUGCAAUUUAUUUAGCACUAGAUAGCUUAAACUCACCUCACAAAGUAGACAAAUUAAUUCGUGGCUAGUAUAUUAAGCGUAAAUUGUAGCCACUCGAAUACAAAUAGAUAAGUUAUUCUACUUUUACUCCUUUAAAAAAAAAAAAUUAAAUUUUUUUAGAACGUAUACUUUGUAUUUUCAUAUGAGUGAUUAAGAGCACAAGAAAGGAUUUUGGAGUUCCACUCACCAUCAUAUUUUUCCUCAUAACCUGUGUAAAUACCAUUGUUUUUCCUCAUAAUGGCACUUAGGAUUUGUUUAUAUAUGAAGUUAAAUUUAUGGCCAAGUUGAGCCAUGUUUGAGAAAGAGAUAAGCAUUCAGAACCUCUCGAAUUAUGGUCAGAGUUGUUAUGACACAGUACAAUUUUAUAGGGGUUCUAUUAAUCUCCUGAACUCAAUUUUAACAUAUUUUUGUUAUCCUUUUUUGGUGUUGAUAUGACACUUUUGUAACAUAAAAUGAGGCUCACAUCAAUAAUGUCACGUCAGUUAAAAAAGUUGACAAAAAUACAAUACAAUUUAGUUAAAUGAGGUAUUUGAACUCUAGUGAAGUUGAAGUGUAUCGUUAAAAAUUUUAAAAAAUUUGGUCAUAGUCAUGGAUAUUUGAUGCUUUACUUUGGAGAAAUAGAAAAAGAAAUCUUUUAAAUGUUAUGCUAAGGAAUAUUCUACUUAAAAUUCAACUUAGUUUUUCUUCUUUUACCAAAAAUAUGACUUGUUUUUCUAGUUAUAUAUAAAAAUAUGGGGUCUCAUAAGUAUGAGGUCCUGGACAAUCGAGAAAUAAACGAUACUCUGUCUAUGCUUUAUUUUUUAAAAAUCAUUUUAUGAGAUUUUACAAAUAUAUUAUUGUUUUUAUUGUUUAGUCCAAUGAAUUCUAGGAUAUAUUUACUCAUGUUAGUGUCCCUUUUUGUUUUUUAUUAUCUUCUUCAUUGACUUCAAAAUUAGUGCCGGAAGUAGGAAACCAAUCCUCCGAUCCCUGCCUAAUGUUUUUGAUUCAAUCUUUUAAUAGGUGGAUAGGAUUGACCCAUAAACAAGAAUUUUUGACAUGAAUUUAGCAAAUUACUGACCUGUUCAAAUACCCUACGUUUAUAACUAGGCAAAUAAAAUCACAUAUUGUCCUGUGAGCUAUGGAAAAAGAAUCUAAUUUCUCAGCAUAUACCCACAAAAUAGAAUCUGGGAGGGGAAAGUGUACGCAGUCUAUAUCAGUAUUCCAAAGAUGAUAUAAAGAGGUUAUUUCCGAUAGACUCAAGACAAAAAUAGUUCAACUUCUCAUAGUUUAGAUGAAGAUAAUAUUAUAUUAUUGGACUCACCUCCCUUUUAUGCUUUAGAUGAAAAAUGUUUGUAUAAUUUGAGAAGGAAAUAGAGGUUAGCUGUUUCCUCGUAAAAAUGUGUAGCGAACUUAUUAAUUCCCCUGCGACAUACAGCUAAUUAACCUCCAUAAAAUGUGACUAAUUAUUCUUAACAAUGAUUUGUUGAUCAUCAAAGUAUAUAUUUGUGCAUGCCACGUUAUAUUCUAAUUAGUAUGUAGUAUAUGACGACCACCAAUUAAUUGAAGAAGAUUAAUGUAAGAUGAACAAAAUAAAGGUUAUUUGAAAUCUUAGUAUUUUCCUGUGUGUUUCGUUACAGAGGUGGUGUGAUUUAUACACCUUUGUAGACUUCAAUAUGGGAGUUGGAUACAAAGUCAACUAAUAUAUCUCUUGGACUCUCAUAUUAAGGUCCGACUAGAAGUGUUAGUAGAUAAAUAUUUGGUCUGCGUUUCAGUAAACAUUAGGUGAUCGUUCUGAUAUGAAACUCGAAAAAUUGGGAUAAUUUAGCUGCGUUUUCGACCCUUAGCCCCAGAAUUAAACACAAACACUUGCUACAACUUGAACGAUUAGCGAUGCUACUGCUAUCUAUUAAACUAGAUAUUGACGGCCCGUGCUAGCAUGGGCGCAAUUUAUCUUAUUCUUUAUCUUAAUUUAUGUGAUACAAAUAGAAUUUAUAUAAUCAAUCAUUAAAAUAAUUUUAGUUUUUAAUUAUCGUGAUUUAUAAUACUUUUUCUUCUAUUUCAAUUUAACUGACACUAAUAUAAUUUCGACAGUCAGCAAAAAUAUUUUAUACUUUUUAAUUAACGGCACAUUCGACAUAUGUGCUUAUUGUCUAUAAAUUACAAAGAGGGGUAUUCUUAUCAUUUUAUUCUUCAAGAGAUGUGUACUAUUCUAAGUUAUACCACACCGCCUUACAUAGUGUCUCUCAAUAAAUAAACACGUGUUCAGCCUAAUUUAGGGAUGUACCUUGAAUGUGUAUAACAAUCUAAUUACUUUACACAUGUGUUGAUAGUGUGAUUAGUAGAUGUGUUAGUUAUAGUUUGUUACAAUUAGCAAGUUAGCUAGAACAUAACAAUUGCCACUUUGUAUAUAUAGAGGAAGGCACCAAUUUGAGCUAACUAGAGAAGAUAUUUUUCAUUUUUCUCAACUUCUUUCUAUCUAAUUUGUGAUAUAAAAUUAUAAAAGGGAAGGAAUGAAACUAGAAAAAACUUGUAUUAAUCUUUUCUUCUUUUUUGUACCAAACUUUCAGCAAAUGUAAGGCUAUUUAUAGUCAUAACAAUCAAUUAAAUAAGAUUAUAUAUUCCUUAGUGGUGGAGUGUGAAUUGACAUAAAUUGCCCACAAAUCAAUUAUCCACUUAAAUAAAGUUGUCCACUUAAAUAAAAGGUAGAUAAAAUGGCCUACAUGUCAUCCAUUUACAACACUCUCCCUUGGAUGACCAUGUAAAGAAAAAUCUAUUGAAUACGCAUAUGAGUGUUGCCUCAUUAAAAAUCUUAUCAGGAAAAAUCCAGUGGGAUAAAAACCUUGGUUAAGGAAAAAAGAGUACAACACAUAUUCUUACUCCCCUGAUGAAGACCUCGAUUCAACCAGUUUAUUCUUCGCAUCCCAAUCCCGUAUAUCAUCUUCUCAAAGGUUGAAGUUGGUAAAGAUUUGGUGAAUAAAUCUGCUUGAUUGUCAUAGGAACGGAUCUGCUGCCCAUCAAUAUCACCAUUCUUCUGAAGGUUGUGCGUGGCAAAAUGUGCUUUGUUCUAUCUCCCUUUAUAAAGCCUCCUUUUAGUUGAGCUAUGUAUGUUGCAUUAUCUUCAAAUAUGACUGUGGGUACCUUGGUAUCACGCUUCAGGCCACAUCUCUUUUUAUGGAAUGUACUACUGAUCUCAGCCAUAUGCAUUCUCUACUUGCUUCAUGGAUUGUUAUUAUCUCCGCAUGAUUAGAAGAAGUAGCAACGAUGGACUGCUUUGUCGAUUGCCAUGAUAUUGCAGUACCUCCAUAUGUAAACACAUAGCCUUUUUGGGACCGUAUUUUAUGUGGGUCAGAUAAAUAACCCGCAUCUGCAUAACAACAAGAGCUGGACUAGCUUUGUUAGUAUAAAACAAACCCAUAUCAAUAGUCCCUUUUAGGUACCUCAAUAUAUGCUUAACUUUGUUCCAGUGUCUUCGCCUAGGGGAAGAACUAUACCUCGCUAGCAAAUUAACAAAAAAUGCUAUAUCUGGCCUCGUAGCAUUAACGAGGUACAUAAGUGCACCAAUAGCACUGAGAUAUGGUACUUCAGGACCAAAAAUCUCUUCACCCUCUUCCAAAGGUCAGAAUGGAUCUUUACUCAUCUCGAGUGAUCGAACAACCAUUAGAGUACUUAAUGGAUAUGCUUUGUUCAUGUAAAAUUAUUUCAAAACCUUCUGGGUAUAGAUAUUUUGGUGGAUGAAAACUCUAUCGGCUAAAUGUUCAAUUUACAGACCAAGACAAAGUUUUAUCUUUCCAAGAUCUUUCAUUUCGAAUUCUUUCUUUAGAUACUCGAUUGCCUUUUGGACCUCUUCUGAAGUCCUAAUGAGAUUUAUAUCAUCCACAUUAACAGCGAGUAUAACAAACCCCGACGUAGUUUUCUUAAUGAAAAUACAAGGACAAAUAACAUUAUUUAUGUAACCUUCAUUUUUCAAGUACUCACUUAGGCGAUUAUACCACAUACGCCCUGAUUAUUUUAGACCGUACAACGAUUUUUGUAAUCUGAUUGAAUAUAAUUUUUUAGACUUUGAACUAUAUGCUUCAGGAAAUUUUAAUUCUUCUGGGAUUUUCAUGUAAAUAUCGUUAUCAAGUGAACCAUAAAGAUAAGUUGUAACCAUAUCCAUUAGAUGGAUUUCAAGAUUUUCAUGUACAGCUAGACCGAUGAGGUAUCGAAAUGUUAUUGCAUCCAUGACAAGUGAAUAUGUUUCUUCAUAGUUAAUACCGGGUCUUUAAGAGAAUCCUUGUGCAACAAGGCGUGCCUUUUAUCUUAUAAUUUUAUUUUUCUCAUUUCUUUGACGUACGAAGACCCAUUUAUAGCCAACUGAUUUUACACCAUUUGGGGUUUGGACUACAGGUCCAAAAAUCUCCCGUUUAGCAAGUGAAUUCAAUUCAAAUUGAAUCACCUCUUGACAUUUUUGGCCAAUCUUUUCUUCAUCGACAUUCUGCAACAGAUAGAGGUUCAAGUUCCUCAUUGUCUUACAUGAUGUUUAGUGCAACAUUGUAUGCAAAAACAUUAUACACCAUAAUUUUCGAUCGAUCUAAAUUUACCUCAUCAGUAGUAGAACUUAUUGAAAGUUCUUCAUUCACUCGAGUCUUGGGUUCACUGAUUUCUUCAGGAAUAUCAGGAUUAAUCAGAUUUUGAGUCUCUUCAGGAGAAUCUUUUAUAAUACCAUCUUUAUCAUUUUUCGCGGUUCUUUUUCUAGGAUUUUUAUCCUUUGAACCCAACGGCCUUCCACGCUUCAGGCGUGCUUGGGAUUCAGAAGUUAUUACAUUAGAAGAUGGUUCUUUUGGAACUUCAAUUCGGAUAGGCACAUUUCGCUGCAGGGAUAUGUGACUUGGUUAUCCUUUUCAAAUCAGUAAAUGCAUCUAGAAUUUGAUUUGCUAAUUUCUGUAAGUGAAUAAUCUUCUAUACCUCACUUUCACAUAUAAGGGUGCAUGGAUCAAAAUGAGAUAAUGAUGAAACUUUUGACACAAUUUCUCUUUUAAGUUCACGUUUUUCUCUCCUUAAUUGCGAAAAAUUUAUUUCAUCAAAUUGACAAUCUGCAAAUCGAUUAGUAAAUAAAUCUCCCAUCAAUGGUUCAAGGUAGCGAAUUAUAGAGGGUGACUCAAACCCCACAUAUAUUCCUAACCUUCUCUGGGGGCCCAUCUUAGUACGUUGAGGUGGUGCAAUUGACACAUGUACAACACAUCCAAAAAUUCGUAAAUAAAAAAUAUUUGAUUCAUGGCGCAAAAUCAAUUGAAACGGGAGUAUUUAUUAUAAUGAGUUGGCCUGAGACGAACAAGUGAUGUUGUAUGUAAGAUAGCAUGACCCCAAACAAUAGUAGGCAAUUUUGUUUUCAUAAGCAGUGGUCUUACUAUCAAUUGUAGGCGCUUAAUAAAUGACUCAGCAAGGCCAUUUUGAGUAUGAACAUGAACAACAAGAUGUUCAACUUUUAUCCCAACUGACAUGCAAUAAUCAUCAAAAACUUGGGAUGUAAAUUCUCCAGUAUUAUCUAGGCGAAUAGCCUUAAUAGGAUAAUCUGAAAAUUGCGCCCUUAAUCUUAUUAUUUGUGCCAAUAAUUUCGCAAACGCUAGGUUGCGAGAUGAUAAGAGGCACACAUGCGACCAUCUUGAAGAUGCGUCUAUUAGGACCAUAAAAUAUUUGAAUGUCCCACUAGGUGGGUGAAUAGGUCCACAUAUAUCCCCAUGUAUACGUUCUAGAAACUGAGGGGAUUCGAUGCUAACUUUCAGUAGCGAUGACUUAGUUAUCAUUUUGCCUUGAUAACAAGCAGCACAUGAAAAUUCAUCUGGUGUAAGAAUUUUCAGGUUCUUUAACUGAUGCCCUUUUUAAUUUCAAUGAUUCGUCUCAUCAUUAUUGAGCCAGGAUGGCCUACUCGAUCAUGACAAAGCACAAAUGUAUCAGUAAACUUCCGGUUUAUGAUAGAGUGUGCUUCAAUUGUACUAAUUUUGGCAUAGUAUAAGCUGGAAGACAAAACUGGUAAUUUCUUCAACAUUUGUUUUUAACCUGAGACAUUCUUUGUAAUGCCAAGAUAUUUGGCAUUCAUUUCAUUUAUUGUCUUAACAUGAUAUCUAUUUCUGCGAAUAUCUUUAAAACUCAAUAAGUUUCUUAGGGAUUUAGAAGAGAACAAUGCAUCUUCUAUAACUAGUUUUGUCCCCUUAGGCAGAAAUAUAGUAGCUCUUCCGGAGCCUUCGAUCAAUUUUGAAUUACCAGCAAUUGUGUAACAUUUUCUCUUCUUCUGAGUAAGUGAAAAAAGUAUUUUUCAUCUUUAAAUAUUUCAUGUGUUAUCCCACUAUCAACUACACAAAUAUCGUCAUGAUCGAUUAUUGAUCCAAAUACGACUUGAGGAGUAUCCAUGAACAAAAUAAACAUUAUAAUAUAACUAGCACAUAAUAUCAUGCAUUUACACAUUAUUUUAUAUUUUAAUUGCAGUUGUGUUCUAAACAAUUAACAUCUCUAUUACAUAAUAGUUUUGCUAUUACUAACCAUGUGCAUCUAAAGUACACAUAUUUAAUAUUGUAUGUAAUAACAUGAUCUAUUGGCUACUCAUGUUAAUUUCAUAAUAUGUCUUCUAUGAAUAUUCAUUACUGCAAUAAAUAAUUCCAGUCAUAAUGUUAAAAUAAUUUAUGUACUAUAACAUUAUAUAAAUAGCUCACACUGUAAAAAUUUCAUGUGCGUACUACAAAACCAAAAUUACUUAGUGAUCAUAAUACUAUACUAUGGCACUAGCACAUAAUAUAUUAUAUAAACUUUAUAAGAUUAUUAAAAUAUUAAUAAUUGAAACGUAAAUUAAUUUUAACUUAAACAAACAAAAGAAAAUAAACUAAUACAAACUUAACAGAAAAUUAACAUAAUCGGAUUAUAUCAUUAUUAUCACCUACAAAGUGAUUUACUUGUUCUUCAGGAACUGCAAAGAAAUCUGACAUUUUCAAGUCCAUAGGCUCAACAUUAUCUUCUAGGAGGAAGUUUGUUUCAACAUCAUUUUCUGGCCUUUUCAGGGACGGCUGAUAUUGUUUUACCGGAUGCUUAGGCGUAUGACAGGCAUGCUCCCAGUGCCCCUUUCCUCCACAUCGAUAACAUCUACUUUCAGGGUUCGUCCUUGGUGCUACUUCAGGAGCUUUACCCCUCUUUUUGCACAGCUGGUGUUGAGGAUUGUUGUUUAUUGUAAGGCGAUUACCCUGAUUGAAAUACCUGUCACAACCACGACCAUGAUCAUGACCUCGACCUUAACCUCGACCACGACUAGGGUCAGGAUUUCUUUCACUCCAAGUUGGAUGAAAAUUUACAGCAUUCACUUCUGGAAAUGGAGCAGUACCAGGAGACCGAGUUUCAUUAUUUUUUAUUAAAAGGUCAUUAUAUUGUUCAGAAAAAGAAGAUGACCAAUUAAUUCAGAAUAUUUUUUUAAACCCAUUUCUCGAUACUGCUGCUGCAGGAUCAUACUCGAGGAGUGAAAAGUAGAAAGUGUUUUUUCUAUCAUGUCGUGAUCUGUGAUCUUUUCGCCGCAUAAGUCAUACUGCGAUUUAAUUCUAAACAUCGCAGAAUUAUAUUCAGUUACAUUACGAGCUUGUGGGAGUAUGACCAUCUUCAGGUGGUCAUAUCUUUCCUUUAAAUUGUUCUACAAUGUAAGGGGAUCUUUGAUCUUGAGUUACUCCAUUUUUAACCCUUCGUCAAGAUGCUGACGAAGAAAUAUCAUGGCCUUGGCCUUAUCUUGUUCUGACGCCUUAUUAUUAUUUUAAUGGUGUCUGUCAGACCCAUUGCAUUUAAAUAUAUUUCUGCGUCUAGGGCCCAGGACAUAUAAGUUUUGUCAGAUAUGUCUAGGGCAUUAAAAUCCCGUCUGAAAAUAUUAAUCAUUAUUUAAGAAAAUAAAAUACUAACCUUUAAAUACCCUCGGAAUGAUUUUAUAGAGGCUUGUGUUGAUAACGUGAUAUAAAAUUAUAAAAGGGAAGGAAUGAAACUAGAGAAAACUUGUAUUAAUCUUUUCUUCUUUUUUGUACCAAACUUUCAGCAAAUGUAAGGCUAUUUAUAGCCAUAAUAAUCAAUUAAAUAAGAUUAUCUAUUCCUUAGUGGUAGAGUAUGAAUUGGCACAAAUUGCUCACAAAUCAAUUAUUCACUUAAAUAAAAUUGUCCACUUAAAUAAAAGAUAGAUAAAAUGGCCUACAUGUCAUCCAUUUACAACAAUCUGGAGAUUUUUUAUGAACUUAAUAUGGUAUCAGAGCUUAGAAAUUGAAAAUGUUUUGCCGCAAUCUUCACAUGUUGUGAAGGAUUUGAGUAUUUCUCGCAUACAUUUUGCAAUUUGCAAUGUUUUUUUUGUGUGUGUAUUUUGAUUUGCAAUUUGUAAUUAAAUGAAAGAUAGUGUACUUUUUUCUGACACUUUUAAUAAGAUACAAAUAAUGCAACAUAAAAGAUAAAUUCUUUGAAUAAAUAAUUUUGUAAAAUGAUUAAAAUACCCUCAAUCUUUAAUUCAGUUCCUACAAGUUAACAUGUUGAAAGUAGCUUUGCUAACGGUCGUGUUAGCAUGGGCACAAUAUUUAAAAAUAAAAUUAAUAAUAUAUUUUUAUCAAAAUAAUAAUUUAAAUAAAUAUAAAUAAAAUAUGCAUCAUCUAUUUUGAUUUAAAUAUAUACAUAGCCUAUUGAUGUUCUAAAUAAAUUUAAAAUUCUCAAUUAUCUAUAGAUAUAGUAAUCACCGAGGAAAGGUGUUAUUUAGUUUUAUAGUUGAUUUUAGGGAUAUUACGAACUGAUAUAAUCAUACCAGAUUAGUUUUUAAGACUCUUUAAUUUAAAUCAUAAGUACGUUAGGUUUUUAAUUUAGAAAAAUGAAUUAAAAAAAUUGAAUUGAUCGAAUAAAUUUAUAUGAAUGUAAUGUGUUUUAUAUAUUAAGUUUAGCGUAAUGAAUAUUAAAAAUUUUAUUUUGGAUUUGAGGUAGUGAAAAUGAGUAGAAGCUACUGAAUAAUUAACAUUCAAAAUUUCAAUUGAAAAAUAACUCAUAAAAGUAGUAUAUUUAAUCAAAUUAAGUACAUCUAAAUUUCUAUCACCAUAUAUACACUCAUUUAAUUUCUGAGACCAUUUGGAAUUAGCAGUAAGAUAUAGGUUUCCUUAAUUUGAUUUUAUUAUUCGGUAUCUAAAGUUUACUGACUCUAAUUUAGGUUCAAACUUUAACUCAUAGAUAAUUAGGACUUGUCUAUUUUAGCAGUGGCGGAGCCACAGCCAACGAAGGGUGGUCAGAUGAACACCCUUCGUCGGAUAUUUUUUCGAAUAUAUAGGUUAAAUAUAGACAUUUAUAGUUAUAUACAUGUUGUUGCACACCCUUGACAAGCUAGAGAAGCAUAGUCCAGUGGUCAAGAGUGUGCAUUUCAGCAUUAACAACUCGGGUAUGAACCUAGACAGGUGCAACGGUGUUUUAUUUUCUUUAUUUUUUAAACAGUUCUUUGCCCAAGGGAAAAUAUGAAUACUCUUAAUCAAAAGUCUGGCUCCGCCACUGUAUUUUAGAGAUACUUGGUGAACUUUUGUUUAAUUAUUUUUUCUCGUCACUACUUGAAGUUGUGGGUUUCCUUAGUACAUAGCAAGACAAAGGAAACAGUUAUAAACAAUUGUUUAACAUUGCUAACGGUUGCAUUAACACUUUGCGCUUUGCCAUUUAAAAAAAAAAAGAAAUCCACAAUGCAUUGAUGUCUUCUACAAUGUAUUGACGUCUUCAAUUACAAAGAAGAGUUGCUUAGAUGGCCUUAAAUACCCUCCAUCUACAACUUGUUGGGUUCGAAAUCGUGAGGGCGUCAUGCGAAAGCUUAAAAUUUGUAAACUAAUAUGGUGAUAAUUCAGAUGACACAAAGCUAAACUAAAAAGCAUUAUAUUGUUGAUGUGAUUUGGCCAAUGAGCCUACAUAUUAUAAAACCUAAUAAUUAAAAAACACAAAAACUAAUGACAGAGAAAAUCUCCCCUAACCAAAACUCUUAAACACAUUGUGGAUUCUACUGUAUUUUUGUAUGAGAAGGAGACUCUUCUAUUUAUAGAGUUCCAAAAUCUUUCCUCUUUAGAACGAGUUUUUCCAAAUAUGAAAAAGUUUUAUAUUUUUCUUUUAGAAAAAGUAAAAGUAAUUAUGAUAUUACUUUUAUUUUCCUUCUAAGAAAAUAAAACUUAAAUUUGGUAAGAAAAUCAAGGCAAAAACCCUAAUAAAUCUCUCCUUUUUGGCUUAGUUUUCUUGACUUGUUUCUCCUUCUUCAUGUCAUAUGCAUAAUUUUGAUCCUUCACAUAAUCUUUAUUUAUCUCUGUAGUUUGUCAUGCUUAAAAAAUUGAGCCUUUUGGGGUUAAAAUAUAUCAGCUCUUUUUGAGUUAAAAGUAUUGGAACUCUUUUGCAGGGUUAAAAGUGAGCUUUCUUUUUAAAUAUGUGACAGCGGGAUUAUUGAAAUAUGAUUGACAAUUGUCUCCACGUGUAGUUAGACAAAAUCGUCAUUAUCGCCAAAUUGGUUGCAUCUUCAUUUGAAACUGCUUUGAACUUAUUUAAUCUCGUUUCACCAAACUUUUGGACCUUUAAAUCGUAGUCUCUGAUAUCACUUGUUGGGUUCAAAAUCGAGAGGGAGUUAUGCGGAAGCUUAAAGUUUGCAUCCUAAUAUGGUGAUAAUUCAGAUGACACAAAGCUAAACUAAAAAGCAUAAUAUUAUUGGUAUGGUUUGGCCAAUGAGCCUACAUAUUAUAAAACCUAAUAUUUAAAAAACAUAAAAACUAAUGAGAGAGAAAAUCUCCUCCUAACCAAAAAUCUUAAACGAUUACAUUGUACAUGUUGUUGUGUUAUGGUAUGAGAAGGAGGGUCUUCUAUAUUUAUAGAGUUCCAAAAUCUUUUCUCUUAGAACAAAGUUUGCCAAAUAUGAAAAAAAAUUUAUAUUUUUCUUCCAAGAAAAUAAAGAAAAAAUAAUUAUGGUAUUACUUUUGUUUUUCUUUAAAAAAAAAUAAAACUUAAAUUUGGUAAGAAAAUUAGGGAAAAAACCCUGACACAACUCUAAGAUUGUGGGUUCUAAGUCACUAGGAUACCUAACAAUCAGGAAUAUUACUUACUAAUAUUUGGUAUUAUUACAUAAAAUGUAAUAAGGAUCCAUGAAGAGAAUUAGGAUUUUUUUUACCUCUUCCUAGAAGUUUCUAUCAUUUUCGCUUUUGUAAUGAUCUAAUUUGUGAAAUUUUACUUUUUAUGUAUUAACUGUUUUACCUUUCCCGUAGUUGUUACAUGCUUAUUUUGGGGUGUAGAAAUGAUUGACACGGUUAUCAAUGGCUCCGAGUUGGUUUAGGGAGAGUUUGAGACUUUUAGAGGCUUUUAAAGCUACUAGUUUGACUUUGAUCAAUAUUUGAUAUUUAGAGUCCCGAAUGAUGAUUUGGAUAGUUACAUUAGAUCUGAAACGUCAAUUUUGGGCUAUUAGUGGAGUUGGUUCAGGUUCGGGACCUUUAGUUUACAUUUUGACCCUCCAUUUGGAAACUAGUUUAAACAAGCUUUUAGGGGUUUCAAAUGAUCCUUUUUCAAAAUUUUGACGUUGCUACUAAGUUCGUUUGAUUUUACAGGAUUUCAGAUGAAUCCCAAGGGGUCAAUCGCCAACUUUGCAAAAUAGAAAAGUUGUUGAUGCAAUUGCUUUAGUGGUAGUCGCUAUAGCGGCAAUGCAUCCCUUUAGCGAUCACUUUGACCAGCAAUGCUAAAACGGUUACUUUACCACUUUAGUGGGUGCCGCUUUAGUGAUGGAGGACCACUUCAGCAGAGCCAGCCCCGGUGGCUAGGCCGCUUUAGCGGAUCCAGCCAUGGUUGUUAAGCCGCUUAAGUGGUGACUACUUUAGCAAUCAUCUAGUUGCUUAAGCUGUCAAUGUUGGAAAAGUAUAUAUAAUUUAUUUUUGCAAUUUUUCUCCAUUUUUGGACCUCCAAGUCUCAAAAAAAGUGAUUUUCUUGGGUUUCUUCAUCACUUUUCAUGUGGGUAAUCUCUAAAAUCAUUUUUUUCAUUAUUUACUAUUGAUUAUGUCUUUGAAAACACCUUUUAACCUUGAUUUUGAAAUGAAUUUUUGAAAUUUUAUCGGUAAAGCUUGUAUUAAUUUUUCUUUGAAUCGAACAUCAUUUUUAACUCAUUUUCGCGUGGGUUUUCAGUUGUAGAUUCCUAUAACCUUAGGGAAUAUGUUUCUAAAAGAAAAUUUCAGUUUUACCCAUUUUCUUUUCUAACCUAUUUCUGAACCCUAUUUUGAACCCGUCUUAAAAAUAAGCAUUAUGGAUAUCAUUAGUUUUCUUUUGACCCGUAGGUGUUACCUUUGUAUGUUUUAGUUGUUUUUGAGAUCGUUUGAAAGAGAAAGGCUCCAUGCUGAAGAACCCUAGGUGAAAUAUCGAUGCUUCGAGGUAGGUUAUGACUGUUGACACCUAAUGUUUGCCCUCCACAACUAAGUUUAGUCCCGAGUUUCUUUGAAAUUUAAAUAAAAUCACAACAUUUAUUUUAUCCAGAUAAAAGCUCUCCAAAGUAUUUAUCUAGGUAAUUUUGUCAUUUUAAAGGACGAUUAUAUAUUUUUCAUAUUCAAUUAUACAAAAUCAUAUAAUUUUGUUACUUAAAUAUAUAUUCUAUGGAACACAGGAUUUUAAUCAAGUCUAUCAUGAUAAUUAGUUCAAAUGAUUAAGACCUUAGUUUAAUUGUAAUUUGUGCUUGAAAAUAAUUUAUUUUAAAAAAAAUAUUUGGUUGAUUUUAUUAAACCAGGAACUCAAAAUUAAAUUGGUUUAUAAUUCAUAUAAAAUUUUGAUUCAAUUUAGCCGAUUCAUUGAAUUGAGUAAUAUCCCAUGUAAUUGACUAUUUUUGUAAAAAUAAAUUCAAAUCCUAACCGCCACUCAAUUAAUUAGCUACUAGCCCACUCCAGCAGGCCCAAUCAACACCCGUCCUAAGCCCACUCCAUUCUACUGACCCAACCCACUUCAGCCCAACACCCUAUUUCCCCUCUUCUCCUUCAAACGAACAGCAACAAUACGCACAACAGAGAAACAACAAACAGUAACUCCAAAAACCCGAUCCCCACCUUCAAACCGCCCUCCCCCCAACAACCCAAACGUCGUUGCGACGUAAAGGGGUGUGCGUGGAAAAAGCUGGAAGCCACUAGAACCUUCUAGAAAGGUACUAGGUGGCAGCCAGGUCAUUGGUCAAAGAAUAUUCCGUAAAAAAUUCCCGCCAUGGAGUACAUAUAUUGCUCUAUUUCAAUUAGGGCUGGAUAUAUUUUGAUUUCGUUUUUUUGUUUUUUCGAAUCGAUUUCGAUUUCAAAUUUUAGAAAUGUAGUUAAAAGUUUCAACUUUUGUUUUUUUCAAUUUUUUUUUGAUUUAACUGAUAAAUUGAAAUUAUAUAAAUAAUAUAUAUAUUUAUUAUAUAUAUAAAUUAUAUGUAUAUUUUUUAUUUUAUAUAUUCAGUAUAAAUAUUAUUUUUUGGCUAUUUCAUGUUAUUUCAUCCUUGUUGAGUUGUUUAUAUUUGGAAAUGAAAAAAAGAUUUGAAAAAAAUAUUUUUUUUUAAAAAAAAAAUCACUAAAUUUUAAUUCCUAGUCAUGACAGAAAAAACUCACUACUUUAAUCUUCAAAACUGAAAUAAAAUUUUGAAAUAACCGAACCAAAUGUAUAGAAGCCGAACCAAACUAAAUUUAUUUUGGUUUGGUUACGGUUGUCAUUUUCGACAAUCAAAAAUAAAAAAACUAAAUCAAUACUAAAUAAUUAAAUCGAAUAAGCUGAAUGUCCAAUAUUCCUGAUUUCAAAUUUUCUUCCAGAAAUUCAAAAUUGAGUACAAGAAUGACGUUGCAAUUUGUCCAUAUCUAAAAAUUCAAAAUUUCCCUUUAAAUAAUUCUCAAAAUACUCCCGAUUUCCUUUUUGUCCACAUCGGUUGAGCUAAAAAAAUCGAUCCUAUUUUUUUAUUUUUUUGUUAUAAAUAGCUCACUUUAGAGCGAAAUUGGCAAGUCUGAAGAGAGUACGGAAAAGCUUUUUUUGAGAAAACAAGUAGUAAAUUUUUGAGUAAAGGCCCAAAAUCAUACAUUAUUUUUAUUUUAAACACAAAAUAAUACAUAUUCUUUCAACUGGUGCACUAAUAGUCCUUUUGUUUUAAAAGUGGUGCAUUUUUAGUCAUCACUCGAACACUGUUAAUUUUUUUUUAACAUCAACCAAUUACCUUUCUAUCACACUAUUUUUUUUCCUCCAAAGAAAAACUCACCUGCAAAAUGUUGCUGACAAGGGCUUGAAUCAAUUUGAGUCUUGAAGUGUCACUAGUCACUAUGAUUUUUAUUUAGUCAUAAGGGCAUAAGUUCUUGGGGUUCUCAUGAGUUCAUGGACUGAAUGCACAGUCAAUGAGGGAGGAAAAAAUAUAUUCCCAUAAACACAAGAACUUCGAGAUCAGCCUCUUCACCAACAGCUGGCCGACGAGGACGAACCAAGUAUAUUUGGGUUGCACACCAUAAGCAGUAUAAGAAAGCAAUUACCAACAUCAGCUUGACAGAGUUGAAACUCGUAACUUGAGCAGUUUCAGUGGCUUCACAUUGCAAGAUAGUUGCGACCCAAAAAUAACACGUUAACGACAGAGCAAGCAAUUGAAACGAAAGUAAAAUAUCAUUGACUAAUCCAUCAGUAAAACCUACUUUUUAUGAUGAUGUUCCUAUCUCAAAUUCUCUUCAAGUGGAACAUUUCACAAAUAUGACAUUUAAUCACCUCAAAGAAGUUAAAUUGGAAGGUUUUGUAGUCUAAGAGCCUGAUUUGCAGCGUAUAAAACUUCUCUUAGCCAAAAUCUUCGAUGCUGAUGAAAAUUCUAACUAACCUCUACUAACCUGCUGAAGAAUCUGGCAUCGCCUAACAUAAAAGUUGACGUCAUCUUUUAUCUUCAUGAGUCUUAUCAGACCAUGAAAUUAAUAGAUUGAAACAAUUGUUGAUGUAGUGAUACAGAGAAGUCUGAAUUGUUAAUGCAGUGUCGAUACCUCAAGGCUUAUUUGAUGUGUUUUUGCAUUGAUUUUCCUUGCCUAAUGGUGCUCGUGUUUACUUAAUAUGAACGUGAGGAGGCUGCUGUUAAAAAAAUUUACAGUGUUAGGGUGAUGACUAAAAAUGCACUCAGUUUUUAAACAAAAAAGAUUAAUAGUGCACUAAUUAAAAUAAUAUAUAUUAUUUUAUGUCUAAAGUAAACAUAAUGAAUGAUUUUGGGCCUUUACUCUAAAUUUUCUUUUAGUAAUUUAUUUAAAAAAAAAAAACAUCAGCUAAUCGAGAUUCUCAAAGUUUCAAAGCUUUCCAAUGGUGGCGGAUUCCAAUGAGGCUUGAAGUUCGGUUUUUCUGCCCUAAAAAAGAUAAACACACUUUUUUCCUUUUAAUUUUGUUAUCAUUUUCUUCUUCAUCUCUUUCUCUGUAGCAAUAGUUGUGUAGUCAUAAUCGUGAUAAUGCUGGGAUUGCUUGUUGUAGAUGGCUACAAUUGCCGUAGGAUUUGAUUGUAUUGGUUGUUAUUAUGUUGUUUGCUGAAUCAAUAUUUAUUUUGUUGCUUACGUUUCGGUUACUUUGAACGCACUGUUUCAUGUUAAUGGUGUUGAUUAGUUGCAGAUUUUUAAAGUAAUGAAUGAAUUCAAUGUCUCAUGUUACUGGUGAUAAUUAUUUGUAAGUUUAUAGUAUGAAGCUGCAUAUAUCAUGGAAUUUUUGUCUUUCCUUGUCUUGUUCACUAUCUUUGAUUUAAUAACUUUCGUUGCGAGAUAUUAUGUCACUGUCUAGCCUUAACGUUGUUUGAUGAAAGUUGAAUGUAUAGUUUCUUUUGAUUUAUUUUGAAUUGGAGUUGGAUAUAUUAAUUUCAUAAUUUUUGUUUUGCUUUCGAAACCACUAUUACACUAAGUUUUGUUGAUCCCCAGCAUGCUAUUUUUAUACUUAAAUAUUAUGAUCUGAUUUGCUAUCUGUUUAGGCUGAAUAUCCUUGUUUUAGUCUAGAUACAUCUUCCUAAGUUUAGUGUAAUUUUGGUUUGCUUUGAUUCCUCCCUUAAUUUUGUUCCUAUUUCAAGGUCACUGAUGGUGGUUUAAUUUACUGUGUUAACCAGAUACAAACUGCCUCCUAAUUCUUUUCUCCUUUAAAGCCAAUAGAGAUAGUGGUUGUAUGUCUGUAGUAAGGUCACGAUCUUAUGAACCCUCAAGGAUCUUUUCUUUGACCCUAGAAAGUUCAUUUCUAGUUCGUCAAAGAGAAUAUGAGGAUGAUUUUGUAGUGUACUCCUCUUGGGAUUAUAAGUUGUAUUUCUCUCUGUGUUAACUAUGUAAAAAAUGUCAUUGUAAAUAAGAUUACUUAUAUGUUCUGCACCUGCAUAACUAUAUUUUAUUUUAGAAAUUGUCUAGCUUCUCUUGCCUUUAUUUUCCUUCCCAAUUUGAUUACCGCACAUAUUCUUGAUCUGCCUGAAAGCGUGAUUUCCUCUUCUCUUGUUGAUUGCAUACUUGUUCCUUCAUUUGUCUUACUGGCCAUGUCGAACUUUGCCCCUUAAAUGUGAACUUUGAUUUUGUCUCGUUGACAAUAUGGUGGACUCAUGUCGUCUAAGUUUGAUGUUAGGCCCUUAUAUUGUCUAUUUGUAACUUGGUACAAAAGUAAGAUUUUCAAGUUCGUUUAUUUUGUGAUGAUUAUAGUGAUUGUUCAUUAGUAUUUUUAUCUUGAUUGGAUUUUGGCUCAUGGGCCUAAAGUUUUAAGGUUUCGUAAGGCUAUUUAUGUAAGAAAUGAUGUUCUAUCUUGUUUAAUGAGGUGGUAAAAUCAGUCAAUUUGAAUAUUAUUUUUUUAACCUAUGUUUCCUACCGAUUUGAAGUUUAUCUGCCUCUCCGUAAUGUUUUGCUAGUGUGUUGUAUUGAUAGUUGUUGAUUCCUUUAUCUGUGUUUGCUUUCGAUUAUCUAUUACUUGGCUUCAAGAAUCGUGUGAUAUAGCCGAUCACUUUCUAAUCCUUGAUGUCAUUUCUCAUUUUCAGAAGCAAAUACUGUAUUUUUCGCAUUUUCUGAGUUGCAUUUAGAUGCUCUACACUUAUGACACUAGAUGUUUGAGGCUUUAUGGUGUAUCAUUCAGACUUCCGUUUUACGUAUAUAAAUUGACUUGACUUCAUUCUAGAAGUCUCGUUUGUCUUAUUCUAAUUGCAAUUCUUGAUUUUCUUUCGAUUUUAGGAAAUCCGCUUACUCAUCAGGGCUGGGUCUCGGUGAGUAUCAUCAGGACCUCAACUUUUGAAUCUUGACAUCUUCACCGAUGAUUUUAAGUCAUUCUCAAAACUGAAGGUGGAGGGUACUUAUCAUCCGAGCAAUCCCCCUAUUAUCUUGAUGGGAUAUGAUUUAAAAACUAAGUUGUCCCGUCAAACUCACUACCUCAAAAUUGAAAGUCAGCGAUGCUUACCAUCCGAGCAACUCUCUCUUGGAAUGUUUUUCCUAUUCCCUUGGAUAUAAUCAUCUUUUUUGACCUGAGAAUUAGUGUCUGGAAGAGAGAAACCAAAGACGCCUGGCAAAUAUAUUUGAUUUUAGAUAUGGUUCAAUCUUUUAAUAGGUACAUUAUAUCCAUGACACUCAAGAGUGUCGGACUAAUUAUUGACCAAACAUAUUCUUUCUUCUUGAUACACAAUCAUUAAACUAAUUUUUAUAUAUUUUUCUUUUAACAACUAAAUGAAAUCUAACAGUUAAAUAUCAGUAUACACUGUACAUAUAUAUAACAACAUUCCACUAUAAUAAUCAUGAAAUUUUCAGACUAACCUCUAUUACUAUAUUUCUUGGUUUCAUGGUAUACUUUCAAUGUUUCUAUUGACUCGAUUAAUAGAUUUUAGUUUGAUCCAGAAUUUUAUAAUGUGAGUUUUCUCUACCCACAUGGAAUAUUGAGAGAUAUAUGUUAAAGUUGAUCUGACCUUCAUGAGGAAGUGAACUCCUGGGAAGCUAAGAUGCUUAUUUUAGAUGACUUGGAUCUUCAAAACAACAAUGAACAACAGAGAGAAGAGCUGAACAAAGGAUAUGCAGAAUAUGUAAGAUGGUUGGGUCUACAAGACAACUUGUUCAGACAAAAGACACAAAUAAAUUAGUUCAAAGAAGGUGACUAUAACUCAAAAUACUUUCAUAGUAUUCUGAGAAAUAGAAGAAGGAAUGUCCAUAUGUAUUCUAUUAAAAACCAUAGGAACAUUUGGAUCCAAGGAGAUGAUAAGAUAGCAAAGGCUGCUAUCAAUCACUACAAAGAUUUCUCUAACCUGAGGCAACAUACCUAUAACAGUUCCAUUCUGAAUUGUAUUCCUAAUAUUAUCAACAGAGAAGACAAUGAGUAUCUUUCAAAAAUGCCAGAUGAAGAGGAGAUUAAGGAUACUGUCUUCAGUAUGGGUACAGAAAGCAGUGCAGGGCCUGAUGGUUUUAAUGGCAUGCUCUUUUAGUAUUGUUGGGAUAUUAUAAAGCAUGACAUUGUUGCUUUUGUCACUGAUUUCUUCAAGGGUAAAGGACUUACCAAAUUCUAUACUCACACUUGCUUAACAUUAAUCCCUAAAGUGGAUUCUCCUUCUACUUUUAAUGAGUUUAGGCCUAUUAGUCUUAGCAAUUACACCAACAAGAUUAUCUCCAAAUUGGUAGCUAGAAGAUUGAACCCUCUUCUUAACAAAUUGGUCUCUGAUAAUCAAAGUGAUUUCGUGUCCGGGAGAUUAAUUACAGAAAAUGUUAUGCUUGCCCAAGAGAUCAUUCAUGAUAUUGCUAAACCUAAUCAGGGAGGAAAUAUGGUGAUCAAACUUGACAUGGCAAAGGCAUACGAUAGGUUAUCCUGGUCCUUUCUUUUUAAUAUCCUGCAUAAAUAUGGUUUCAGUAGUGACUGGAUAGACCUUAUCAAAAGGCUCAUUUCUAAUGCCUGGUACUCAAUCCUAAGAAGUGGUACCAGACAUGGAUUUUUCCGUUUCUCUCAAGGGCUCAAACAGGGGAUCCCAUAUCCCCUUCCUUAUUUAUCUUAGCAGCCGAGGUUCUUUCAAGAUCUCUGAACAACUUCAACAAUGAUAACAAGUUUAUCCCUUUCUCCAUGAACAAAAGAGGGCCUCAAAUUAAUCAUUUAGCUUACGUAGAUGACAUUGUCAUAUUCUCCAGUGGUAAUACAAAUUCAGUUAAGAUGAUUAUGAAGCAAAUUAAGAGAUACGAAAAGGUUUCUGGUUAAAAGGUCAACAAUGACAAGAGUUUCUUUUUAACAUACCCCAAGACUAGUCCAUAUAGAAUCAAUAGAUUGAGACAAUGCACUGGCUAUAUGGACAAGUCAUUUCCUUUUUUAUUUGGGUUGCCCUCUGAAUUAUAGUAGAAAAAAAGUAAAAUAUUUUGAUGGUAUGGUUUCGAAGGUAGUUAAGAGGAUGAACGGUUGGCAAGGUAAGAUGCUCACGUACGGGGGAAGAUCCGUACUUAUUAAGAGUGUCCUUCAAUCUCUUCCGACUUAUACUCUCUCUGCACUUAACCCUCCUAAAGCCACUCUAAAUAUGAUUGAGAAACACAUGGCCAGGUUUUACUGGGGUUCUACAACUGAGAGGAGAAAGUUUCACUGGAGCUCUUGGACUAAUUUAUGUCAUCCAAAAGAUGAAGGAGGUAUAGGUAUUAAAAGGCUGGUUGAUAUCUCCAAUACCCUGGCUAUCAAAAGGUGGUGGAGAUUGAGAACGAAAAACUCUAUUUGGGCUGAUUUUUUGAAAAACAAGUAUUGCGCUAAUAAACAUUUGGUUCAAAAGAAAUGGAUGUCGGGUAACUCUUAAGGAUGGAAAAGUCUUGUAUGGGCCAGGAAUAUUGCAGAAAACCAUGUCAAAUGGAACAUCAAUAGUGGAAAUUGCAAUUUUUGGUGGGAUAGAUGGACAAAUUUCGGCACUUUGGCUCUUAUUCCUUCUAUCUACUGUGAUGGGCUUUUUGCCAAAUUGUGUUAAAGAUUUCAUGUUGGAUAGAAAAUGGGGUGAAAGAAUUUUGUCUUGUGUUCUUCCUACAAACAUUGUUCAAAGUAUUAUGCACAUCAACAUUGGGCCAAAUGACCAGGAUGAUGAUCCUAUUUGGAUGUGUACUGCAGAUGGUCAUUACUCUAAUAAAACCGCUUGGAAUUUGGUGAGAAAUGUGAAGUCAAAAAAUGAUUUUAUGCAAAAUCUGUGGCAUAAGUCUAUACCAUUUAAGAUAUCUUUUCUUGCUUGGAGAUUAUGCCAAGGGAAACUUCCUUUUGGUGAGGUUGUAUCUAGAUCUGGACAACAUUCUAAUGUUGAAUGCUACUGCUGCACAAAUCCUGUAACUGAUUCCAUCCAACACACCUUUACUCAAGGGAAUGCUGCUAUGCAUAUUUGGAAAUAUAUUGGUGCUCCUCUGGGAAUAAUCCAUCGGCCAGGACCUAUAAGAAGAAUUUUCAAUAAUUGGUGGAGUGUUACGAACAAAAAUAGUGUACACAGCAUGAUCAUUCAUAUUGCCCCUAUAUUUAUAUGUUGGGAAAUCUAGAAACAAUAGACAAAUUGUAAAUUUGGGGAUCAAAACAAGAUGUACCACAAGAAGAUGGAGUAUCGAAUAAUAUGGAAUAUUACUGCUGCCCUCAACAUCACUUUCCCAUCAGUAACCGUAACAGGAAAUUGGCCCAACAUGUGUGACACUUUUGAAAGAUUGCAACCUAAGGUCAAUGUCAAACAAGUUAUUUGGCAAAAACCAGAAGUAGGGGACUACAAAAUUAAUGUCGAUGGUAGCUACAACAAGGACACAGGACAAGCAGGUAUCAGAGGCAUAGUUAGAGACAGCAAUGGAGACUUUGUGAUGGCUUUUUCAAAGGUAGUGCAUUGUACCAGUAAUAACCAAACGGAAGCUACAGCUGCUAGAUUUGGGACUCAAUGGUGUGUGCAGAAGGGUCUUAAUAGUUCCGUUAUAGAAAUGGAUUCGAUGGUGAUCAUCAACAUGCUGAAAAACAAAGGUAUCGCUAAUCUCAAUCUGAAGAAGAUCAUUUAUGAUACUAACAAUAGUGUUAAAAAUGCCAAUGUCGAUUUCAACCAUUGCUACCGAGAAGCUAAUGUGGUAGCAGAUUACUUUGCUAAAAUGGCCUCUACUAUUGGAAAUGAAACCUUUUUUUACUCUUGGCAAUCCCUUCACCAAGAGAUCAAAGGUUAAUUCAACUAGACAAGCGACAAUUACCUUAUAUGAGGAGAAAAUAUGAAAAAUGUAAUUUCUUUGUAAGUUGAUGUUUAUAUGCUUUGGUAGAGAAGGAGAUUGUAUAGGCUACUCCUUCCUCACUCUUUUUAGUGGAUCUUUUAAAGAUGGAAUCUGUUGGUUAGGGGUAAGGUCCAUGUCCCCCUUAACAAGCUUCUCGUUGAUUAAUAGACAUGGUAGGGGUCAAGCCUAACCCCCUCACCAAAGGCACCACAACCUGAGGUGAUGGCUUAUUUUAAAAAAAAAAAAAAUUACUUCUCCACUUCAUUGUUUUUACAUUAAAAAACAUGGAGGAAGACUGACCCCCCCGGGGGGGGGGGGGGGGAGGGGGUUGAACAACAAGCUCACCAUGCAUUUUGACUUGCUUUCUUGUGGGAAAAUAAAUACUCACAUAAAUUUGGUGGAGGAUUCAGAAUUCUCAUUAAGAAUGUUAGAAAAACAAAAAAAUAUACUUGACAUUUUAACUGGGAACCUCAAAUUGAAUUUCUAAUUCCCUAAAUCACUAAACCAACGUGUAGUCUUGUAUUGAGGGGAUUCGAUAUGUAUAUUUAUACACAAAAAAAAUUACCUUACAUACAAAAUGUUAUUUUUUGUCGAGGGGUCCAGGAUAACACCCCGAACCCCCUAGAUCCAACCCCUGUACACAGAAAGAUGUGUGUCUUCACUCCACUCCACCCCAUACUUCCAUCUAAUAAAAGUGGCUACUUUUCCUUUAUUCAUCUACUUGCUUCCUCACAGCAAUAGGAAUUCUAACAAAAUGUUUGCCAUCACUCCAUGCCAAACUUCCAAAGGUAAAUUUACCACUUCUUUGGUGAGUAGAUGUGAUCUUUACCUUAAAGGAGAUCUUCUUUGUCUUGGCAUUAAACUUCAAGACAUCUGGAGUUACUUUAAUAGCAACGUUUCUCGGAGGUUUAACCACUAAUUUGUAUAUAGAGUUAACAUUUCCAACAUUAGUAACAGUUCUCUUGAUAGUAACUGAAUCCUUGAGAUUUGGAAUUGAUAUUGAAGGGAGAUUCAUAUCCAACCUUGACGGUACUACUUUGGGACACACAAUGCCUGCUGAAGAAGUAGAAUUUUUCUUGUCUGAAUAAUACGUAGUUACAUUGUAAACCCUAUCAUAACUAUAGCCCAAACUGCAAAGAUAAUUCGAAUAAUCAUUUUUCUCCAUAUCAUAAAUUAAACCAGGAUCUGCUGCUCCAUUUGGAUUGCAUAUGCCACCUCCAAAGUCAAAUGGAUCAGCAAAAUCUCCUCCAGUUCCUUCUGAAAAAAUUUCAGCUUUAUAUGUAUCCUCGUUCCAUGCUACACAGUUCACAGAAAAUUUCAAUCAGUAAAUACAUAAACAAAAAUGUUGAAAAGAAGGAAAGACUAUAUAUUUUGCUCAAGAAUUUAGUUGAUGUACGAUAGCAUUGUAAAACCUUUUGAGCAUGAUGGGAUUAAUUAAUUAAAGUGAUGUAUAACAACAUGAAAUACUAAUUUAAGUUUAAUUUGGUAGUAAGCAACCUUGUUAUAACUUAUAAUAUGUUAAAAUAUAUUAGUAGUGUAUAAAUAAUAAAUGUAAGGUAAAUCAUUUUGUCAAUGUGUUGACAGUAUUUGUGUUCUUUUAUGUUAAAUUAAUGUAUAGCAAUGAGAACUUUUCAUAUAGAAUUCGCUAAGGUAAUUUAGUAUACUAUAAUAAGUCGAAUUGUGCUAUUAAUGUAUAGAAUUUAAAUUUAUAAGAUAUUACCUGUUGUCAUGAGUGCAGACUUAAUAGCUGUUGGAGAUCAAUUAGGAUGUGCAGCUUUGAGGAGUGCAACAAUUCCUGCGACAUGAGGGGCUGACAUGGAUGUUCCUGACGCGAGUUUGAAUCCAUUGUAUCCUCCAGCAGCAGGUGGAAAUGCUGCGAAUAUAUUAACACUAGGAGCUGCAAUAUCAGGUAAUAAUAUUUAAGUAAAAUUUAUAAAUCACUUAAAAAAAUAUAAUAAAAUAAUUCAAUGAGAGAAUAAAAAUUGUUAAAUCAUUUUAUAUUUACCUUUAGAAUUUCUGGAGCAAAGGAAUUAGGGCCUCUUGAGGAGAAUCUAGGCACUGUUAUGUAUGUCUUCUUGCCCUUAAGAAUUUUAGUUUGUCCAUAUUUAAUUAUUGGAUCUUGAUUGAUGUUAAAAAUGAUGAAUCAAUUUAGUGAUCUAUAAUAACGCAAGUAAAAAAUUAAAAGUAUUUUGACGUGAUAAAAGUUUUUUUUAAAAUAAAAAAUUCCUUGUUUCUCAGAAAAUAAAUAUUUUUCUCAAUUUAAAAAUUUCCUCUCGCGUUAGUCGGAGAGUGAAUAAUAUUUUUAAGAAAAAUGUUUAUAAAGAUUGAUAAUAAUAUUAGCACCGACUAAUGCUUAGUAAAAAUUAUAAUUACUACUGACUAUUACUAAUAAUAUUUAAGUGUUGGUUUAAAAUAGUGACAUGAAUAUAAGAGUUGAGACAAUUGCUCGUGAUUUCCAUCCAAGAGCAAGGAAAGUUGUUUUUCUUUUUUUCGUAAAAUAUCUUUUCCAUUUUUAAUGACUUGACUUCUAAAAAUAUUUUACCUCAUAUAAGAUAUGGCUUAAAAUAUUCAAAAAUAGAAAAAAAAAAAAAAAAAAAAAAAAAAAAAAAAAAAAAGUAAAAACAAGAAGUAUCAAAAUAGGAGAAAUAUAUGCUUACUUCGAUAUACAAUGUUGAAUAUAGUCAAAAAUUUGAUUUCCUUGCUCAAAAUCAACCAUAAAAAAUGACAUAUUAUUUUGAGAAAUUUGAUUAAAGCCAUUAAGUUGAUCAGCAGGGAGUGUAGCACAAAUAUAAGCCAAAAGUCCUGUUUACUUUAGAUGCAUUACAGACAUUUCUGCGUCGUCUUCCUUUUGAAAGAAAAGUAGUAGAACUUUUCCUUUUAAUCCACUGGCAAUAGACUUAAUGUCUUCAACUCUGCAAUUGGAAAAAAGCAAGCAUUAAUAUAUAUUUGAAAAAUGCCUUUGCUGAGAAGCUAAAAUCGCUUUACCUCUAAAGUGAAGAAUAGGUCUAUGACAUCCUAUCCUCCUCUGACCUCAUUUUUUGGAUUAUAUAGAGUAUGAUGUUGUUGUGCUUUAAGUAAGAAAUAAUUUAUUUUUAAUUAAUAAACUUUAAAAAGCAUUUUUAAGAAACAAUCGAUGUUUGACCAAUUUUUUCUAAGAGUACCUCUCAGUUGUUUUUGUCCAAAGUGUUUUUCAAAAAUAUAUUUUUGGAGAAAAGUAAUUUUUUUUUUUUAGCCUCUAAAAACAAUUUCUACUUAUCAAUCACCAUAAUAUUUAUUUUCUCCUAAAAAAAAUAACGAAACUCCUCUAUAUUUUUUGAAACAAAGAAUAAACUGUUGUAAAGUGCAUUAACUAGACGAUGCAAUAUACAUUUCACUUACUUCGUUACAUUCGCUAAAGUGACCAAAGGAGCAAAGCCGUGCCCCUUCCCUUUAAUAAGUCCCGAAGCCUACAAUCACUCCAAAGGUGUUAAAAUAUGUACUAGUAUAAAUGAUUAUUUGAAUAACAGUUGAUGCAUUUUGUUAUUAUUUAAUAAUUUUAAAAAUUAACUUUAUACAUAAAAUCGAUUUUUUUUAAAGAAGUAAAAUAAAAUUAAAAUCCCAACCUUUGGAGGUUUGUAUUUUUCAAAAUUAGUUUUCUUAAUUGACUGAAGUUUAUUGACCUUUGAUAUGUGAUCGAUUGGGUCUAUUGGGCAAAAAGAUACUCUGUCAAACCAUAUUUAACAUUUUACCACAAGUUUUAAAACUUUUAAUAAAUAUCAAUUAUUUAGGACACCAUCAAUCUCACUUCCAAAGUAACAACUUCUAGCCUCAAAUUUUUAAUACUGAUAUUUGAUAUGAGGCCAGUUUGUUGUUGAUUAUAUUUAAAAAUGUAACUGCAUUAAGUGAAUUAGCUAGAUAAAUUAUUGACAUAUUUUUCUUCAAAAUGAAGUUUUAAGAAAACAAAAGAAUUUACUCGUAUCGUCUUGUUGUUGCCAAGUGUUAAAGGAGUAACAAUUUCUCUAUUGAAACUGCUACUAGCAACACUUAUCACCCACGGAGAAGUAGCACCAACUGUGUAAGAGGUCGGUCCACUAUUUCCUCCACUAGCAAUAAAAGAUCUACCAUACGAUACUGCAUGAAAAGAUCCUAUCCCAAAUAAUGUAUCCUCAUUAAUGUCAGCAUAAUUGACUGCACCACCACCACCACCAAUAGAUAUUGAUAUUACGUCAACUCCAUCUUUUAUAGCAUCAUCAAUGGCGGCAAGAACAUCGAUAUUACUAAUCAUUUCACCAUUUAUACCGUUCCAGACUACCUGUUUAAAAUAUUAUAAAUAAGUAAAAGAAUUAUAUAGAUUCUCUAACAUCUAAAACUUUUAGAUAAGAGCAUCGGAGCUCAACAAAGAAGGUUUUUGGUUUAACUUUCACUAAUUAUCCAUUAUUUAGAUAUGGGGAUUAUUGAACAUUAUGGGUGUUAGGGUUCUACGGCAGUAAAUUUGAUCAUUGAAUUCAUAAUCGACUAUUUACAUUUAUCAUCGGAAGUUUUUAAACUCAAAUUCAAUAUUCAAGUUAAAAUUAUUGAAUUUAGAUGAAUCCAUAAAAUAUACGCUACAUCCAUCAAUAUAUUAUUUAAAAGCUAAGAAUAUUGAUUUGUUUGGUUAAUAAAAAUGGAUAAAAUCUAGAUGAGUUGAAACUAUGAUUAAAUACAUUUAUAAAAUUACUUUAAACUUUUAAUUGAGAAAGAUAACUACACAACCAAUUCAAAAAUGAUACCUUAUAAAUAGCUAACCGUGCAAGUGGUGCUCCUCCUCGUGUUGUUCCCAUAUUAACACCAUGGUAUUCCACAUUGUUAAUAUAAGAACCAGCAGUUGUAUAUGCAACAUGAGUACCAUGUCCGUCAUCAUCUAUUGGUGAUAAGUCAUUAAAUUUUUUAACAAUUGUUUGAUUUAUUUCGAGAUUUUCCAUUGAUCCUUUUACGUACCAACGAACUCCAAUGACUUUUCGAUUACAAUAUUUUGUUGCAGUAAAAUUGCCUUCAGAUUUGCAGCUACCUUUCCAUCGAGAUGGAAUUGGACCUAGGCCUUCAUCAUUAAAAGCUUUCGAAUCAUCUCCCCAUGCAAUCAAUACCUACAAAAUGUUGCUGUUUUUUUUUUUUUUAAUAUUUAACUUCUAUGCACAAAUCAUGUAAAACAUCAUGAUACUUGAAGAUAAUUUUCUAUAUGAUUGUAAGGAGGAAGAAAUAUUAAUAAUUAACUUAUUAUAACUAGAUAAAGUACAUCAAUAAUGUAAAAAUAUAUUUUUACAAUAUUAUUUGUGCAUAAUAUUUAAAUUCCCUUUUGAUAAGAUCAUUAGUUGUAAGACAUAUUUUAUUUAUUUAAGAAAAAAGAACCAAAAAAUGAAAAAAAGAAAAGAAAAGAAAGGGAGACACUAAACCUGAAUCUAUUAUGCCAAUAAUUAUUCCAUCACCUUGAUUUGUUUUGUUCACAAGACUAUUGGGGUCAUGCUUAGAAAGACCCAAAAAGUCCCAACUCCUUGAGGUAUGAGUCUUGUAAAAUUGAUUUGGUAUAACUUGAACCACAUCAGGUAAUUCUGAAGUAUAAUUACAAUACAUAUAUCAACGAAGAGUCAUAUAAUGAAUAAAAUCUUUAAUUUUUCAUAAAAUUAUUUUAUUUCCUUUUUUUAAUAAUUUUUCUGACUAUUAGUUAAGAUAAUUCAAAUACCUCCAAUUUGUUUGGCUUGAGAAUCAGUAAGCUUAGCAGCGAAGCCAGAGAAACCAUGUCUAUAACUAUACAUCAUCAGUUUUUUAGCUUCUUCCUUGCUGCAUGACAAGAAAAUACGAUUUUAAGUUUUAAAUAAUGAAAUAUAUGAAAUAAUAUUUUCGCAAUUUGUAGGGUCAUUAGAGGUAAAUAUUUCUAUGAUAGGCUUUAAUAAUUUUUUUGGUUAAAAUAGAUUCUACUACAUUUCAUUGGUUAAAUUUAUAAAUUUCAUUGCAGCCACUUGACCUAAAAGUUCAUGAUGUGAAUUGGUAAUAAGUUCAUAAUUAUUGUGAGGUUUGUGUCCCAAGUAAACCACGUAAAACUAUAGAUCAAAAGAAUAUCGUCAAAAAACAAAUUAAUCAAUGAGAGAUUAAUAUUCAUUAUGGUCAAUAAACAAAUAUAAGGAGAUUCUAAGCUAACUUCUUAAAUCACGCAUUCCAAUGGUCCAAAAUACUACUCCCUCUAUUCCACUUUAGUUAUUGUAUUUAUCUAAUUUUAAAGUCUAUUAUGGACAAAUGUGGAUUUUGGUUAAUUAUUAUUUUGACACUUAAUUUCAUUGAGUCAUUUAUUUAUCUCCAUAUUACUAUUUACUUGGCUUCUGCAAUGUUAUUAUGAUGAUUAUUGUGCUUUUGAGGUUGGGUUAAGGGGAUGAUCUUCGAUCUUGGUGGAUUAAAAAUUAUUAUUUAAAUAUAUUUGUUAUUUUAGAAAAUAUUUAAGGAAAUAUUGAUUAUCUUUUGCAUUUAUUUUCUCUCACUUUAUUAAUAUUGAUAGCAUUAUCUGCAUUUUUGCAAGUAAUAUUUUCUCUCAAGAAUAUCUAAAAUGUACCUUAGCAUCGGCAUUAUCUGCUUUUGUUGUUAUUUCACAUAAACACGUAAAAAUUAACAGAAGACAUAAAAUAACAAGGGAAAAAGUUGGGUUAUUCAUCAUUUUUGCUUCCCUCCUUUCAACAGAAAAUAUGAAAGGGAGAAGAUAACCCAACUUCAAAAUCAAAUUUGGUUAAUGAAAUUAGAAAAAUAAUUGCAAUGUAUUAAUCAUUAAAUAGCUUAAACUCACCACACAGAGUAGAAAAAUUAAUUUGUGGCUAGUAUAUUAAGCGUAAAUAGUAGCCACUCACUCGAAUACAAGUAGAUAAAUUAUUCUAUUUUUACUCCUUUAAAAAUGGUAUAUAUAUAUAUAUAUUUUGAAUUUUUUAGAACGUAUACUUUCUAUUUUCAUAUGAGUGAUUAAGAGCAUAAGAAAGGAUUUUGGAGUUCUAAUCACCAUUGUUUUUCCUCAUAAUGGCACUUAGGAUUUAUUUAUAUAUGAAGUUAAAUUUAUGGUCAAGUUGAGCCACGUUUGAGAAAUAGAAAAAGAAAUCUUUUAUAUGUUAUGCUAAGAAAUAUUCUACUUAAAAUUCAACUUAGUUUUUUUUUUUCGGCCAAAAAUAUGAGUUAUUAUUCUUUUUUAUACUAACAAACUAUUUCAAUAACUUUUAUAAAAUAGUAUAUAACUAGUUAUAUUGGAAAGGGUCAAAAUCAUUUACACCCUCGAACUUUGUUGUAAAAAUCAAACACCCCCUCAACUUUGAACAAUAAUCAUUCUCCCUCCUUUUUCUUAUUUGAUUUUUCAAAAUACCUACUUUACCCUUUUAUUUAUAUCAACAUUUGAAUAUUUAAAAACAAUUUUAUUUUUAUAAACACAAUUUUUAUUUUUAAUCUAUAUAACAUAUUUUCUAUAAAAAGCUAAAGGUUAUUUUUUAGAUGAAAAAAUAAAAGUGAGAAAUAUUAAUUGAGUAUAUAAGUUAAUGACAUUCUAUAAUGAAAUAAAUGAGCAAAAUAAUAAAAAUUAAUUUUAUUAAAAGUAAAAAUUCUAAUAUCUAUUUAUACGUGAAAAUAAUAGGUAAUUAUAUUUUUAUAAAUAUAUUUCAAUGCAGGUAAUACAAAUUAAUUAAUAGUCGAGGGUCCUUCGAAAACAACUUAUCUACCUCCCCACGGUAGUGGUAAGGUUUGNNNNNNNNNNNNNNNNNNNNNNNNNNNNNNNNNNNNNNNNNNNNNNNNNNNNNNNNNNNNNNNNNNNNNNNNNNNNNNNNNAAUCAAAAUAUGUAUCUAUAUACAUAAUUAUAUAUACACACAUACACACUUAAUACCUAUAAUAUAAAAAUAUUGAAUGUAAAAAAUACCAUUAGAUUUUGUAAUUAAUUUAUAAAAGAAUUUACUAAUAAUGUAAACAAAUUUAAAUAAAAAUAAUAAAUACAUCGGUUAUGAAAGAUAAAUAUAUAUAAUAUAAAAAAAUAUUAUAUAAACAUAAGUUUAAAAAUAUUAAGGGUAAAAUAGUAUUACAUAGUGAAAAGGGGGGAGAAUGAUUGUUACUCAAUACUAAGGGAGGUGUUUGAUUGAUUUUCACCUCAGUGAAAUCUCCUAAGUGAGGUAUGAGGAGGGUAGAGGUACGCAAACCUUACCACUACCUCAGAGAGGUCGAGAAGUUGUUUUCGAAGGAUCCUCUACUAUUAAUUAAUUUGUAUUACCUGCAUUGAAAUAUAUUUAUAAAAAUAUAAUUACCUAUUAUUUCGUUAUAGAAUGUCAUUAAUUUAUAUACUCAAUUAAUAUUUAUCACUUUUAUUUUUUCAUCUAAAAAAACCUUUUAGCUUUUUAUACAAAAUAUAUUAUAUAGAUUAAAAAAUAAAAAUUGUGUCUAUAAAAAAGUUUUUUUUUAAAAAAAAAUUCAAAAGUUGAUAUAAAUACAAGGGUAAAGUAGGUAUUUUAAAAAAUCAAAUAGAAAAAAGAAGUGAGAAUGAUUAUUAUUAAAAAUUAAGGGGGUGUUUGAUUUUUACAACAAGAUUGGGGGUGUAGAUGAUUUUAACCCUAUUUGGAAAUAUGGGAUCUCAUAAUUAUGAGUUCCUGCACAAUUGCUUAAGUGACCAAAUGGAUCACAACAACAAGAAGAUACCAAUAUAUUCACUUAAAAUGGGAUAUGGGGAGGGUAAUUUAAAAGUGAGAUAAAGAGAUUGUUUUCUAUAAACUUUCAAGUCAAGAAAAAAAAAACAGUACCAAUUUCUUAUAGUUUGGAUGAAGAUAAUAUUAUAUUAUUGAACUCAAAUCAAUACUUUGAAACCAGUACCUACAUGUAUAAUAUAUAUUCAACCUCCUUAAAUUUUAUCUUUUAAUCAUUUGUUAGUUAGUAACCAAAAUAAAAAAAAAUCGUUUCUCAGUUCUUAAUCAAUCUAUAAAACUUGGUGAAAAUUUCAGGAAUUGCCUUUCAAAAUGCAUAAUUCUUCAGCCAAUCACAAGACUUUUUACUUUACAUGCACGACGUUAUUCAUAGUGAGUAUAGCACUUCACAAGGCAAAUUCCAAAAUUAGUCACACAAUAUGUACUUUUUGCCCAACAUGUGUUUGAUUUUCCAAAAGUACAUGGAGGUUUGCGUGAAGAAUAUUUAAGGAAAAAUUUCAAAAAUAACAACUCUGUAGCUUUAAUUAUAACUUUUAUAAUAACAGUUUUAUAAUUACGAAAAAUAGUAAAUUGUAUUUAUAUUUAAGUAAAAUGUUGCUAUAUAAAUACAUAUACAAAUAUGUAUAUGUAUUACUCAUAAAUACAUAUGCAUGACUGAAAAAUACAUAUUCUUCUAUUACUAUGAAGUGGGUAAAAUAUUGCUACUUUUGCUAUAAGUUACAAUUUUGAAGAAGUGUUGCUAUUUAUUGUAAUUAUAGUCUUAAGGAUGCUAGUUUGUGUAAUUUUUUCAAUAUUUAAAGUGGAUUUUUUGAAUAACAUAGUAUUUCUUGUAAAAUUUCUAGCAUAUCUUAUGUAAAUUCUAGGAUAAUCAUCUUGAAGAAAUAUCUAGAUAUUCUAGGUAAUUAUUCUAGAGAGAGGAAUCUUGAAAAUAUAGUCUACUUGAUAUUUGUAUUUAGGAAAGAUCCAGAUCUUCUAGAGUGUUACAUAUUCAUGGAAGAUGAUAGAAUACUCUAGAUUUGUAGUAUCUAGAAUCAUUCCCACACAAGAAUAAAUAGAGGAUGACAUUAGACAUAUGUAACCAACCAAAAAAUAAAAUCAAUUCAAGUGUAGUCUUUUUCAUAUUAAAGUUCUUCCUUCUUUUUUAAAGCUUCCUCUUCUUAGUUGAAUCUUCCGGUCUUAGUUAACGAUCUUGGGCUAGCAAAAGGUCUUUAUAGCUACACCUUUCUUCUGCUAUUCUCUACAUGGUAUCAGAGCCAAACUCACAAAUUGACUUGUGUCUAUUUCAAAAUCGGGUUUGUGGUUGAUUCAACUGAUUUGUGCAAAUGGAUUUUAGCGGUCGCGUUAGUAGGCUGGGAAUGGAGUUGUUGAAUCAGUCCAAUUACAAGGUAUGCAAGACCUUUAUGGAAUCAUACCUUGUGGGCGAGGAUUUGUGGAAUGUUGUUAACGGGAUUAACACAAGUCUUCCGAAUGACAGACCGGAGAAUAGUAGUGCAUACAAGAAAUGGAAGCAGAUUAAUGCAAAGGCGGAGUUCAUUCUAAAGAGCUCCAUCUCCUCUAAUUUAUUCGACCAUAUUAUAAGGUGUACAUUAGCUCAUGAUAUUUGGAGGACCCUCGACUAGUUGUUCAACAAGAAGAAUUAAGCUCGGCUACAGAUAUUGGAAAAUGAAUUGGCUAACACCACUCAAGGUAAUUUUUCUCGUGCCGAGUACUUUUUAAAAAUUAAGAACUUAUGUUCUGAGAUUUCUUUAUUGAAUACAGACGGGACUAUCUUUGAAGCACGAAUGAGAAGAAUUAUCAUUAGUAGUUUGAAACCAGAAUAUAUUCCCUUUGUGACAUCAAUUCAGGGAUGGGCUCAACAACCAUCCCUGGAGGAAUUUGAGAAUUUGUUGUCAUCAAAGGAGUUACUAGCCAAACAAUUGACUUGUGAAUUUGUCAAAGCAAGGGAAGAAAAUAUUCUUGUAUCCGACAAGAAGAACGUUAAAGGAAAAGUAAGAGAUAUGCCUCACACUCAAUUUUCAAAUGGUUUAAGCUCGACUAGAAAGAAGGAAGAGACUUUUAACAAUUAUACUAAGAAGUCUCUCAGAUGUAUCGGUGUGGCAAAGCAGGACAUAUAAGAAGAUGUUGCCGAGUCAUGAAAAGCAACAUGGUUCAUACUGAAAAAAUUGUUGAAGAAUAAGAAGGUUGGGAAAGAUGCUUAGAAGCUGAGAGUCGAGCAAUAAAUGCAUUAUUUUCAUAAUUUUGGAAUGAGAUUGGAUCGGAUAUAAUACAAUGCAUUAUGUGGAGCAGGAAGGCACCUAUAAGAAGUAAGAUGAUAUUAAAUACGUUCAUACUGGAGAUGUGGUAGCUGCUAUCAAUGAAAUCAAAGAAGCAGAUCCUAAAAAUGACAAUAAAAGUCUAAACAUGGAGGAUAUUGAAGUAGACUCUGAGCAGACAAUUUUUGAAACUCUAUAUGCUAGUGAUGACUUUAUCGGAGUAAGCAUUAAGAGAGAUAUAGUUGAAGUCUCUGAUCAAUCAUCUAUGGUAUCAAGAUCAAUUAAUAACUCAAAACAAAUAUUGAAAGUUGAUGAGUAAACUAAAGGUCAAGAAAAAGAAGAAGUUGACCGUGUAGACUCAGAUGGAGAAAUGGAUGAUGAAGAGGUUGAUACUGAUGAAAUUUCUUUGUUCUUUGUAGUUGUAUCUGAAGAAGAGGGUUCUAAAAUAUUGAACCCAAGAUUUUCAGAUUUGUCCAUGAGAAAUGAUUCUUCAAAGAAUAUAGUUGUUAAGGAGUUCAGAGAAAGAGGGAACUCGAAAACUCAACAACAUGAAACUCGACAACGACUAUUUUUUGAGAAACAAUUAACUUUUUAAUAAAAAAAAGACUUCUAUCCCGUCAAGGUACUUUUAAUUUUUUACUUGCUUUAUUAUAGAUCACUGAAUUGAUUCAUCAUUUGUAACAACAAUCAAGAUCCAAUAAUUAAAUAUGGACAAACUGAAAUUCUUGAGGGCAAGGAGACAUACAUAAAAGUGCCUAGAUUCUCCUCAAGAGGCCCUAAUUCCUUUGCUCCAGAAAUUCUAAAGGUAAAUAUAAAAUAAUUAAAAAUUUAUAUCUUCUUUUAAUUUAAUAAUUUCUCUCAUUGAAUCAUUUAUUAUAUUUUUUUAAAGUGUUUUAUAAAUUUUACUUAAAUAUUAUUUCAGCUCGAUAUUGCAGCUUCUGGUGUUAAUAUACUCGCAACAUUUUCUCUUGCUGCUACUGAUGGAGGAUACAAUGAAUUCAAACUCAUGUCAGGAACAUCCAUGUCAGCUCCUCAUGUUGCAGGGAUUGUUGCACUCAUCAAAGCUGCGCAUCCUAGUUGGCUUCUGCUGCUAUUAAGUCUGCACUUAUGACUACAAGUAAUAUCUUAUGAAUUUAAAUUGUAUAUAUUGAUAACAGAAUAUAACUUAUUAUAGUAUAUUAAAUUACCAUAUCAAAUUUGAUAUGAAAAAUUUUCGUUGCUAUUCAUUAAUUUAACAUAAAAGAACACAAAUACUGUCAUUGCAUUGAGAAAAUGAUUUACCUUACAUUUAUUAUUUAUAACUACUUAAAUAUUAUAACAUAUUAGUAUAAGUUAUAACAUGUUGCUUACUACCAAAUUAGACUUAAAUUAGUAUUUCAUGUUGUUAUACAUCAGUUUAAUUAAUCCCAUCAUGCACAAAAGGUUUACACUGUUAUCAUACAUCAAUUAAACUCGUGAGCAAAAUAUAUAGUCUUUCCUUCUUUUCAGCAUUUUUGUUUAUGUAUUUACUGAUUGAAAUUUUCUGUGAACUGUGUAGCAUGGAACGAGGAUACAUAUAGAGCUGAUAUUUUUUCAGAAGGAACUGGAAUAAAACUUGCUGAUCCAUUUGACUUUGGCGGUGGCAUAUGUAAUCCAAAUGGAGCAGCAGAUCCUGACUUAGUCUAUGAUAUGGAUAGAAAUGAUUAUUCGAAUUAUCUUUGCAGUUUGGGCUAUAGUAAUGAUAGGAUUUACAAUGUAACUAUGUAUCAUUCGGACAAGAAAAAUUCUACUUCUUCAGCAGGCAUUGUGUGUCCCAAAGAAGUACCUUCAAGGUUGGAUAUGAAUCUCCGAGAAAUGUUGCUAUUAAAGUAACUCCAAAUGUAUUGAAGUUUAAUGCCAAAACCAAGAGGAUCUCCUUUGAGGUAAAGAUCACAUCUACUUACCAAAGAAGUGGUAAAUUUACCUUUGGAAGUUUGGCAUGGAGUGAUGGCAAACAUUUUGUUAGAAUUCCUAUUGUUGUGAGGAAGCAAGUGGAUAAAUAAAGAAAAUGUACCAACUUAACUUUGGAGGUAUGAGGUGGAGUGAUGACACAUAUCUUGCUGUGUACGGGGGUGGAUCUAGGGGGCUCGGGGUGUUAUCCUGAACCCCUCGACAAAAAAUUACAUUUUGUAUGUAGGGUAACUUUUUAUGUGUAAAUAGAAAUAUCAAAUUCUCUCAACACAAGACUACAUGUUGGUUUAGUGAUUUACGGAAUUAGAAAUUCAAUUUGAGGUUCCCAUUUCAAAUAUCUAAUUAUGCAUUUUUGUUUUCCGAACGUUCUUAAUGAAAAUUCUGAAUCCCGCACCAAAUUUAUGUGUGAGUACUUUUUUAUUUCCACAAGAAAGCAAGUGGAUGUUCAAACAACUUGAAAAAAAUGCAUGAUGAGCCUGCUGUUCAACCCCCCUCCCCCCUUCCCCUACUUCAGUUCGACUUUAACAUAUAUGACUUUCAAUAUUCCAUGUGGGUAGAGAAACCUCACAGUUCCAUGUGUCUACAAGCUCACAUAUAUAAUGAUAAUUCUGGCUCAAACUAUCUGUUAAUCGAGUCAAUAGAAAUAUUAGAUGUAUAUCAUGAAACCUCGUAAUAUAGUAGCAGAGGUAGUCUGAAAAUUUCAUAAUUGCUAUAAUGGAGUGCUGUUAUAUAUACACGUUAUUGUAUAUUGACAUUUAAUGGUUAAAUUUCAUUUAAUUAUUAUAAAGAAAAUUAUGCAAAAAUUAGUUUAAUGAUUGGGUAUCAAGACGAACGAAUAUAUUUGGUCAAUAAUUAAUCUGUGUCAUGGAUAUAAAACACCUAUUAAAAUAUUGAACCAUAUAUAGAAUCAAAUGUAUUUGCCAGGCGGCUUUGAUUUCUCACUUCCAGACACUAAUGUUCAAGUCAAAAAAAAUGAUUAUGUCCAAGGGAAUAGGGAAAACAUUCGAAGAGAUUUGUUCGGAUGGUAAACAUGCUCACUUUUAAUUUUGAGGUAAUGAUCAGUUUGAAGGGACAACAUAAUUUUUAAAUCGUAUCCCAUCAAGAUAAUAGGAAGAUUGCUCAGAUGAUAAGUACCCUCCAUCUUUAAUUUUGAGGUUGACUUAAAAUCACCAAUGAAGCUGUCAAGAUCCUAAAGUUGAGGUCAUGAAUCAUGAAGAUACUCACCGAGACCCAACGCUGAUGAGUAAGUCGAUUCACUAAAGAAAAAAUCAAGAACUGAAAUUAAAGCAAGACAAAUGAGAAUUCUAGAAUGAAAUCAAGGAUAAAUUACACAAAUCCCAUACUUAAGAGAGACUAUAUUACCUAAUAUCUCUUACUUUUUAAAAUAUUUUUAAAAAUUUACAUAAAAUCCCCUUUUUCAACUUUACUUUGAUAUAUAUAUAAAAAAAAGAGUAAAUACAUAAUUACACCACUGAUCUUGUCCGAGAUUUUCGAAAAGACACCUAAACUUUGACAUCAACCUAUUACCCCACGAUUUUUCUUUAUUUCAUUGCAAACGCACCAUUUUUCGCUGAAUCUCAGUCACAACAAAGUGAGUGAAGACACACGCCAAUCAGGUGCUUCCACGUGUCAACUACGUUUAAUUUCAUAUUUUUUUAAUAAAAUUUUUCUUUUUAUUUAAUUUAACACCCCACCCACCCCCUUUUCCCCCCAAUCCAGCACCUCUCCUCUCUCCCCCUGCAUCAACAGCUCCCCUCAACCCCCACCCCAAUUNNNNNNNNNNNNNNNNNNNNNNNNNNNNNNNNNNNNNNNNNNNNNNNNNNNNNNNNNNNNNNNNNNNNNNNNNNNNNNNNNNNNNNNNGUUUUUUUUUUUUAAAAAAAAAAGCUUCAAUGGAGGAGCUUUAAUGGUGACAUUGUGUUGAAGAGCUUUAAUGGUGUUGAAGAAGACAUUGUGUUGAGAAAGAAAUGGUGGGUAGUUAAAUGAUAUGAUUUAAUUGUAAAAUAGAGCUUUAAUGAAUGAUUUCAAAAAAAAAAAAAAAACUUCAAUGGAAGCUUUAAUGGUGAAUUGAGUUGGAGAAGAAAGAGUGGGUGGGUUGGGGGGAGAGGGGUAGGGAUAAUUUUAUAAAAUAAAUAGAUAUUAUUUAAAAAAAAAUAUAAAUUAUAUAUCAAUUAUUUUACACGUGGCAGAUUUUGAUUGGUCCAAAAAGUCAAAUUCGAUCCCUUUCAAGCGCCUGUGGCGCGUGUAUAUACGCAGAGGAUCAAAAUGAUGUGUUUGCAACGGAUUAAGUAAGAAUCGUGGGGUAAUAAGUCGAAUUCAAAGUUUAGGUGUCUUUUUUGAAAAUCUCGGCCAACAUUAGUGGGUAAUUAUGUAUUUACUCUAUAAAAAAUCCCAUAUCCUAUUUAUACUCCACCAUUAACUUAUUCAAGAUUUCCUCCCCUAAAAUAUCUCCCUAAUUAUCAACAAUUAAAUCAUCUUCCUUCAUGAUUUUUUCUCUUCCAUUGAUGCUUAAAUAAUCUUCCUUCCUGAUUUUUUCUCCUCCAUUAAUGUGUGCAACUUUUUUUUUCUCUCCUAAAAUCUCUCCCAUCUUUUUUAAAAAAAAUCUAUUGAUACAUAUAUAAAUCUAUUUAGUUAUUCAUACAUGUUUAUUUUUUUAAUGGUGAUUCAUAUGAAUGAUAAAUAUGAUAUCAUUAUAUAGGUAUUAUGGUGAAUCAUACGAUAGAUACAUUUUGUAUGAUUUUAAUGGGUGAUACAUAUUGUAUUAUGGUGAUUCAUAUGGUAGAUACAAUUAUUUAUUUUAAUUAUUGGGUGAUUCAUAUGGUAUUAAUGGGUGAUAUAUAUGGUAUUAUGGUGAUUCCUAUGGGUGAUACAUAUUGUAUUAUGGUGAUUCAUAUGAUAGAUACAAUUAUUUAUUUCAAUUAUUGGGUAAUUCAUAUAUAUGAUAUUAUGGUGAUUCAUAUGGUAGAUAAAAUUAUUUAUUUUAAUUAUUAGGUGAUUCAUAUGAUAUUAAUGGGUGAUAUAUAUGGUGUUAUGGGUGAUUCAUAUGUUAUUAAUGAAAGGUAAUGGUGUAGUCAGUGUAGGAAACAAAAGUAACAAUAUUUUUUUAAAAAAAGACUAAAAGCAGAAUUGAAACAUAAUUAAAAUUAUAUCUAAAAAAGUAGACUAAAAUUAAAGACGAAAAAAAAGAGAAAAAAGACCCCAAAAAUAUAUCUUUCAUAAUUAAAGACGAAAAAAGAGAAACAUAAUUAAAACACCCAAAUUAAAUUUAAAAAAACAACAGAAAAAUUAGAUAACUUUUCUUAAAUAAAAGAAUACAAUGAAUAAAAGAGAAUCUAUUAUUUUCUUAAAUAAAUAUCUUGUUAAUUUAAAAUGUAUCACUUUUUUAUAUGUAUCCCCAUAUAACACAUGUAUCACAUUUCAAAAAAUCGAGAUAAAAUGUGAUUAACAAAAUAGUCAGGAUUUUAUGUAAUAGCACUUAAAGAUUCAGGAAUUUAUGUAAGUUACCCAUCAAGUAAACCCAUAUACCUAAAACUGAAGUCUGAAUGAUAUACAUAAAUCCUCCAACAUCUAGUGUCAUAAGUGUAGAGCAUCUAAAUACAAUUCAGGAAAUAUAGAAAAUAUUAUAUCUGCUUCUGAAAAUGAGAAAAGAUAUCUAGAUAGAUAAGAAGAGGUUAGGAGUCAACUCUGAAAUCCUAGAGCAUGCCAGUACCUCUACCACUAACUCUAAUAAGCACGAACUCGGCUACUGCACCUCAUACUUGUUGAUACAAGUAUGAUCAUGAUCAUGACACUUUUGAGUAUUUUUGAAGACUAGUCACUAAAGGGCUCUUUUGUCAUUUCUCUGUUAUUUGUAAUGUUGUAUAAAUAGAACCUUGUAGGGUUUAUUUUCUUAGUUUAUGUUUGAGAUUGUAAGAACACUCCUUUUGUGAGAGAGAACUCCAAAACCGAAAUUAGGGCAUAGCAUAGGCCUCAGUUAAGUGCCGAGUUUGGCGUAGUAUUCAUUUACACUUCAGGUCCUCAUGUUUUAACCCUUUAGUGAACUCUCCUUAUGAAAUGAUGUAGUGAUAAACGAUUGCUUAGAUGGAAUAGAGUAAAUAUUUCAUGAUAAGGAAAGAUUUUUUUUGCAUGCUUAUUUUACACGAGGCUGUGGUUAUGAAAAUAGGCUUGAAUAUCAGGUUAGUGUGCUAAGUAAAUGGCAAGCAAGAAGUUGUAUUUAGUUGUUGAAGGGAGAGAAAUCAAAAUUUUUCUUGAGAUGAUAAGUUGAGAAAAUGCCGAGUGUGAGUGUCUAUUCUGAUCCUCAAUUUAUGUCAGUAUCUAUCACGCAGUUAUCAUAACCUAGUAUUCAGUUCCACUACAGUCUCAGUUACCUUCAUAGUUACAACCUCAGUCCCAGUCUUAGUUCAGUAAUCAGAUCAGUAACUCAGUUCAGUUUCAAGUUUGCUUGACCAUAGCGUACAGUUAUCAACUAUUCAGUUAUCAGUAUUUCUGUAACACCCCACAUUUUGGACUAGAAUGAAAAUCCAUCAUUCAUAUACGCAGAUGUUCCAAAAGCCUCGAAUCCUAUGUAAAUUUAGUGUGUUAAUCAAUUAUGUAGUGUGGGAAUCUAUUUGAGCAUGAAUUAAGAUCAUAGAGGUCCCCUAACUCAAGGACAAGUUGAAAGCUUUCCUAUCGUUCAAGUUUUAGUGAGCAUCAAAACUUGGAUCAACAUCAAUCGACUAUAAAUCCUUGUAUAUAUUAAAUUAGAGGACCUACUAUAUAUCAAAUAAAAGCUCUUUGAAUUAUCUUUCCAAUGAUACCAAUUUUUCCCAAAUCCGAUAUCGGCGCAAAGAGUUAUGCCCAUUUUACUCCAGCAUGUUAGGCUGGGAAAUGGAGUGAUGACAUUCGUGAUAAGUUAUCACAAGCGUGACGACUUAUCACCAAUGUCGUCAGCCUUAGGCAGAUUUCCACCCCCAGUGAAGAUAUUUUGUGAUAAUUUAUCACGAGUGUGAUGACUUAUCACCAAUGUCAUCAACCUUAAGCAGAAAAUCACAAAUUUCACCCUUUUGUGACGAUAUUUCGUGACGACUUAUCACCAGUCUGAUGACUUGUCAUGAAUGUCGUCAGCUAUUUUUUUCAUCAAUUAAGGGACAUUUUUGCAAGGGUAUUUUGGUCUUUUCCCAUCUUUUGGAGGCCUCUAUAAAUAUGAGAAUUCCCAUCCAAACCCUAAUUUCUUCAUUUUCUCUUCCAAUUCUCUUAAGAGAAUAUAUCUAGGAUUUUAUUCAAGAAUAUUAAUCUUUCAAAAAUCAUCCAUAAAUCUUCAAGAUUUCUUUAAGAACUCAAGAAUUCCUCCGUCAAGUUUCUCCAAAUCAAGAAACUAAGGUAUGCAAAUGUUCAUUUUGGGUCCCUUCCACCCAAGAAGUUCAAAAAUCUCUUUUUAAAGUUCCAAGAUUAUAUUUUUAUGAAUUCUCAUGAGUUAUGUGGUUUGAAGAUGAUUUUCAUGUUGAUAUUGGGUUUUCGUUCAUGUUUUGAUCAUAAAAAUGCAAGUAUUGACUUUAGUGUGUGUGGAUUAUGUGAUGUUCAUGACAAGGUCCCUUCAAGAAGCAUGUUGAAUUAUGUAGGCAUGUUAAUUAUGGGUAAUGAAUUGUUGUAUGACCAAAUUGUGCCUCACAUGUGUAUGCUAGAAUGCUUAUAUGAAGAAAAUAGUACCAUUGUAGUAUACUAAGUAUAAAAUCCCCAAUGUGGUGACAAAUAAAGCAUGCCAAGUGUUUGUUGUUUUGCCAAGAUGAGUGAAGUAUGAUAUGUUGCAUGUACUCCCUAUUCAUGUGUCCUUGUGGAAUAAUUUAUGAGACAAUAGCAUGCCUCUAUAUACAAUCUACAUGGUUGAAUGUUCCCAAGUGCUUGAAGUGAUACGUCCUUGAUCAUGUUCCAAAUUAUAGACUAUUGUUAUGACAUUGGUGGUGAUAGAUUAUUGUUAUGAUGUGAUGUUGGUCAUAUAUUCAAGAGUCAAGUCCUGUCAUUUUACUUCCAUAGAGUCCUGGGGGUACUUAUACCCAAAAUAUAGCUGUGUGCCUAGAGCCAAGUCAGUCUCACGAUAAUCUUUGUCGUGCUAUGAUCAGUAGAACUCAGUCAAUGACUGAACAGUAAGAAAACUCAGUAAUCUCAGUAUUCAAGUUAAUCAAGUUUAGUACACAGUCCAGACCCUAGUAGUGUUCAGUAUUCAGUACAGGUUCUAGUAAAGCUCAGUAAGUUACAAAACUCAGUUGUAUUCAGACAGAAAGUAGAAUUUAGAAGUAUUUCGUCAGAGCACGGAACCAAGCCAACUCAUUUAGAUCAGUCAAGUAAGAUAAUCAAUAACAAUAUUUAACUUAGUCUAAGUUCAGUUAAGAAUCAGUUCAGAGUUUUUCAGUUGGAAGUAGGAGCUAGCACCGAGCGAGUGCAGGAUGGUGGCUUCUCCGUUAGAGAGAUGGAGUCGUUAGCAGCAAUCCCUGUACUCCAGAACUACGUAGCCAGCGCAGGAUGAGGAUUCACCCAUUAGAUAAAGGCUUUACUACCUGCAGGAGUACUCAUAGCCUUAGGCUUGACUUCCUCUUGAGGGUCACCCAUUAGAGAGGCUUGACCAGAGAGGUCUUUACCCAUGGCACGGUAUUGAAAUCCUUCCAGUUGGGGUUACAGGUUGGACUCCACCAAAUUUGGGGCAUUUCAUUUAAGCGAGAACUCCCAUAGUUGUAGUUUCAGUAUUAGUCUUCAGAGUAGAACUCAGAAAUCAGGACUGUCAGAUACAGUCAUCUAUCUCAGUAAGGAACUUAGAUAAUUUCACUGAUUCAUGGACUACCCGUUAGAUAGGCCUGGUCUCACAUAAAGUUAUUUAGUGUCAGUACUUACAAAGAUCACCCGUUAGAUAGGCUUAUCUCAGUCUCAGAUUCAGUUGAGUAUUCUCAUUACCAGUCCCAGAGAUCACCCGUUAGAUAGGUCUAAUCUCAAGUUCAGUUAAUGUUAAUCAUUAUCAGAAGAUUCAGAGAUCACCCGCUAGGUAGGCUUGAUCUCAAAUUCAGAUUCUUAUCUUUCCUUAUCAUUAUUAGAAGACAUAGAGAUUAUCCACUAGAUAGGUUUGAUCUCAGAUUUAGCUAGUCAAUAUCAGCAAGCUCAGAACUCAGUUGUCGAUAUUAGUUGAUUCAGCUCUUCAGUAUUCUAGAGCUAGCAAACUUAAAUAUCAAUUAUCAGUAGACUCAUCCAUCUAGUUCUUAGUAUUAAUAAGUACAGAUAUCAGUUUCAGUAGCUUUAGAUACUCAAAAUCUCAGUAUGUUCAGAGAUUUCAGAAUUAACAGUAUAUUCAAUAUCAGUUAUCAUAUUUAGUCCUAGUAUGCUCAGUGUCAGUAUGUGCGGUAUGUUCAGUAGUUCCAGAUUCUCUAUGUAUGCUAAUCCAGCUCUUACAUAUCAUUUAAUUAAGUAAUUAUGCAUGCAUAAGCCCUUAUAUUUAGCCUUACCUCAUUUACAUACUCAGUACAAUCCAAUAUACUGACAUAUUUGCACUAUGGUGUUGCUAUUUUACCUUCACCAUAGGUUCAGGAGCACGAGAUCCAGAGUACCCUUAGCAGUUCCAGACUCAGUCAGCAGCAGUAGACGUAUUAGUGAGUCCUCAUCUUUUGAGGACGAUUAUCAUUUCAGUACUUUAUUUUAUUAGACGGGGUUAGUUGGGGACAUGUCCCAUCAACUCUGUAGUUUAGACAGUUAGAGGCUUUUCGGACAGAUGUAUAAGUUUUCAGUUUAAAGACUUUGAUCAUUUCAUAUGUUUUGAACUUUAUGGCAAGUUUUCGCCAGUUUUCCGCAUGUAUUUUAUAAUAUUAUACAGUGACCAGGUACAAAUAUCAAAAGAGGGUUAGCUUAUGGUCCUUUGGGAUCAUGAGCACCGUGUGGCGUUCCGGUUAUACCAAAAUUGGGGUGUUACAAUUUCAGUACUUCAGAUUACUAAUUAUUUUAGAAUCAAGUUAUACGUUUUGUCUUGCAUUCUUAGAUAAUACAGAGUUCAUGAAUUCAUGCUCAGUUAUCUCAUGUUACUCAGACAGUCCUUACCUCAUACGUAUAAUACUCUAUAGUUUCAGUCCAGUUAUUCAGACUAAGUACGGUUCAGUCUUACAUGCCCUGUAUUCAGCUAUCAGCCUUUCAGUUAAUCAGAUAAGUUAGUAUGCUUAUGCAUUUGUGCUCAACGCCCAUGUGAAUGUUUCAGUAGUCUCAGGUGAAGCGUCGUACUUGGGUCGAGAGUAUAGUAUAGUUGAGAGAGUAUUCGAGGAAUAUAUCUAAGCUUGAAAAUUAUUAGUUGCAGUGUAUGAGGCUUAGUAACUCCAUAUUAGAUGAUAUUCUGUAGGCCUUGCUCUAUAUUAUAGAAUUGUAGCCAUGUAGUGAUUUCUUAUUCAGAUGUUUUAUUCAGACUAUGCCAAGAUUUCCUUGCUCCCUAAAGUUAGUAGAAAUCUAUAGAAAGGGUGUCAAGAAUUGCUACAGUUUAGUAUAAGUUUUCAGUAUGAGUAGUCUGUGUCACACCCCUUUUUUAAAUCCCAAAAGAUUUUAUUUUUAAGGUUCGAAAGGGUUUUUAUUAUCAAAGUUACAAAAGAUGAAAAUUUAUUUAGAAAAGGACCUUUUAUAUUCAAAACUCAGAGUCGCCACUUGGAAUAAUUCGGUGUGCCAAGGUACCUUUGAAAAAUCCUUUUCAAAACGUUUUGACUCUUUAAAACUGGUUUGCGAACAGAAAUUUCGGUUAAGGAAUUCUAUUGACCGAGGGAAAGGUGUUAGGCACUCCUCGAUCCCGUGGUUCGACCACAGUCUCUUGGUGGAGCGUAUCGGCUAAUUUGACAUUACAAAUGUAUAAACCGCACAAAACACAUAAAACAAUCAACUAAACACACGAAACAAAACAAAUCCAAAAUAUAAUGUUCAGUCCAAUUAUACAGUCCAAAAAUAAGAAAAAUGGAAAAAUAAAUCCUAUUGUAACCUCACUAGUACUAAACUAUGCUCCGAUGAUUUACUCCAUCCGAUGUUUCGGGUCUUGACCGUGCGCCGUCUUCAAGUACAACUUUCUCAGGGCAUUCCCCGGAUAAAGCAAUACAGAUACCUCGGGGUAUUCCCUGGUCAAAUGAGUACAUUUUUUCAAUUGUGAUAAAAAAAAUCCAUUCAACACAUAUUUCAAACAUUUCACUAAUUUCGCAAUCCCUAAGUGUGCCUACCCCUAUCGUUUGCCUAACAAUUCAUGGUCUAAAGCAUGAUACUAUCAAACUUAACAAAGUCGACGUUUAUUCCGAAUCUAGCAAUCGUUACUAAACCAAAAUAAAUCAAUAUUCACUUUUAACAAUUUUUGAUCUUUUUUCCCAAAAUCCAACUUAACCCUAAAUCAACUACGUGAUAAACAUACUUCACACCAGGAUUAACAAUCAAAUAACUACGAGCAAAAUCACCUCAAUUAAAUUCAACCAAAAAUCACACCAUUCAAAAACAUACACAAAAGAGGAGAUAAGAGAUAUAGAAUUGGACCUCAAUCGCUCAUUUUAUUCCAAAAUCAGUGAUGGAUUAGAAUUCACGGGUAACAGAACCUCGACUCAACUGGAACCUCAACGUCGAACCCGCAACUUGAACAAAUACCAAAGAGCACAACCCAACUCAAGUUUUUUGACUAAAAAUCUGUAAACAUCGUCAAUCCAAAAUGGACUACUAGGAACCAAACGAGACAACAGUAUCUAAAACCUGAACCCAUUCCAACGCUGAACCUUUUUUUGAACCAAUUUUUGAAGAAGAAUCUGGAGUCAUUUUUUUUCAUCUAUUUUCGGCGGGUAACGUUAGUGAUCCUCAGUUUUUGGUUGGAAAAAGGGAAACGAUAGAGAGCUGGUGGAUUUUUCGAUGGGGGGAAAUAAAUUUCGGCAAUAAUCUCGCUAGAAAAUUCAAAAUAUUAGCCUUUUCCGGUGACUUCCCCACUCCAUUUCCCUUUUCUCGUCUCUCUGUCUCCGAUCUACCUAUCAAUCGCCCAAUCUCUACUCUAAUUCCUCAACCCUCGAUUUCUCUCUCUGCUUGUAAUCCUCACACUCUCGAUCUCACUAUUCCUCUUUUGAUUCACCUCGCGUCUCACUAUUUUUCACCAUUUAUGUGUGAUUUGGGUAUGGAUGUGUAUGUAUGUGGCUGUGCUUGAGAGGGGAAUUGCGAGUUGGUGCGUGGUUUUUGUGUAUUAUCGAUCUAAGAAGAGAAAAAGAAAAAUAGAUCCCCCCUGGUAUGCCUGAUCUCUGAGGUAUAUGGUGUAUGUAGUAUAUGUGAGAUGGUGUUCUGUGGGUUGGAAGAAGAAGAACUAUUGUGUGUAUAUCUCUUGUGAAAAAAAUCCCCAAAAUACAUGGGGCCCUUUCCUUUUUAUUGUUAGUGUAUUGAACAUAUUAGGAAUAUUCUCCCGUGGGGCCCACUUUUUUUUUGUUUUCUUUUCAAAAUGGUUUCAAAUUGGAUAAAAAAACGUAAGGGAUAGGGAAAUUGGGGUGUGACGUGUCCUAAUUUCAUAGGAUACGGUUGUUAGGAUAAGGUGUAAAGUUGGUUUGGAUAAGGUUGUUAAUUUGUUAGGGAGUUUGUUAUUUUUGUAUUUUUGUGGGGUAUGAUCACAUGGAUGAGGACACGUGGUAAGGUGAGCUAAAAAUGGAUAAAAUCAACGUCGAGAGGGACAAAAUUAGGUGUCUACAGCUUGCCCCCUUUGAAUGUAAACAUGAAGUGUUUUUAGACAAAGAAGUAGACAACGAGACAAAAUUUUGUCCCGACCAUUAUUCAAAAAGAAUGAAACAGAAGGAAGGAGGGAAACCAAUUCUUGACAUUGGACGUCAUAUUAAUCCCUAGUUAUGAGGGAAUUAAGUCACAUAUAUCCCUAAGGACUGAAAGAAGAGGGGCUAUACCGAGUUGGAGAGUCGAGCGAGGUUCUGGUCCGCAGCUCUGUUAUUACAUCAAAAAUAAAAAUUAUAAGUUAAAACAAAAUUAAAAUUAUAAAAAUCCUAUCUAUGCAGCUUCUUUUGGACUCUUGACUUGAGUUUCAUUACCCUAUUCUUCAGGCGGGCUCCUGACUUGCAAUUUCUUCAACUUGUUGUUUGGCUUUCAAUUUCUUCAACUUGUUGUUUGACUUUCAACUUCUUCGCCUUGUUGUUUGACUUUCAACUUCUUGACCUUGUUGCUUGACUUUUAAUCUCUUAACCUUGUUACUUGACUUUCAAUUUCAUUACCCUAUUCUUCAGGCGGGCUCCUGACUUUCAAUUUUAUCACCCUAUACUUCAGAUGGGAUCCUGAUACCAAAAUCAAAGCUAAAAUGAAAAUUAUCCCAAACAAAUAUUAUGAUAAAAAAAGGUUUCAUUUUUUGAAAGUAUGGUCCUAUUUUCCAGGAGGCUCCUGAACAGAAAGUAAAAUCUCAUUUUCUAGGAGGGUCCUGAACAUAAAGUGAAUCCCAUUUUUCAGGAGGGUCCUGAACAGAAAGUAAAAUCCUAUUUUUCAGGAGGGUCCUGAACAGAAAGUAAAAUCCCAUUUUGCAGGAGGGUCUUGAAUAGAAAGUAAAAUCUCAUUUUGCUGGAGGGUCCUGAACAGAAAGUAAAAUCCCAUUUUGCAAGAUGGUCCUGAACAGAAAGUAAAGUCCCAUUUUUCAGGUGGGUCCUGAACAGAAAGUAAAGUCCCAUUUUCCAGGUGGGUCCUGAACAGAAAGUAAGAUCCCAUUUUCUAGGAGUGUCCUGAAAAAAAAAUCCCAUUUUCCAAGAGAGUCCUAAGCAGAAAGUAAAUUCCUAUUUUCCAGAAAGGUCCUGAACAGAAAGUAAAAUCCUAUUUUCUAGGAGGGUCCUGAACAGAAAGUAAAAUUCCAUUUUUCAGGAGGGUCCUGAACAUAAAGUAAAUCCCAUUUCCAGGAGGGUCCUGAAUAUAAAUUAAAAUCUCAUUUCGCAGGAGGGUCCUGAACAUAAAGUAAAUCCCAUUUCCAGGAGGGUCCUGAACAUAAAGUAAAAUCCCACUAUCUAGGAGGGUCCUGAACAGAAAGUAAAAUCCCAUUUUUCAGGAUUGUCCUGAACAGAAAGUAAAAUCCUAUUGUCCAGGAGGGUUCUGAACAGAAAGUAAAAUCCCAUUUUCCAGGAGGGUCCUGAACAGAAAGUAAAAUCCCAUUUUUCAGGAGGAUUCUGAACAUAAAGUAAAAUCCCAUUUUCCACGAGGGUCCUGAAUAGAAAGUAAAGUUCCAUUUUUCAGGAGGGUCCUGAACAAUAAGUAAAAGCCCACGAAAGUGCUUUUCCAAUGGUCGCUAAAUUAAGUGAAUCGAAUUUGUCCCCAUUUCAACAAAGAAAAUUUAUCAGUUAAAAACUUAGUGAUGGUUUGCAACACUUGGAUUUCCUGACACCUGCUCCAAUGUCCAUUCCCUUCAUUUUGUUUCAUAUUGCUGGCACUUUCCCCUACUUUAUCGUGUCAUUCACCCAAACACAGAUUAAGGGAAAUGACUCUAAAAUAAACAUAGUAUCUUUGCUUUGCCAUGCUCCUCAGAUAAACCCUUUGAACCUCGGUAUUUUCAUGAGUUCCCAGACUUGUCUAUUGACAAAACUUUCUGCAUGCCUUGUUUUGACUUGCAAUCUUAUUUCUUUUUUGUGCUGGCCCUUGGUUUUGCUUUGUGUAAUUGAAGAAGCUGGUAGACAGUUUUAAAAUCUUUUCUCACUUGUUUUGACAUGGACUUGACUCAAAGACAAGAGAAAAAUGACAACAAAUUUUAUUUUAUUUGGAUAACUGAUUCAAGAAAGAUAAAACAAAAAUAAAGAGAAGAAAGAAAAGAUAAUGAAUGACCCUUUUUGAAACAAAAAAACAAAGAUUUAUCUAAAAAUGACAAUCAACUCUAAUGAUCAUUCCAUGCAUUUUGGAUCAAACUGCCUAAUCAUUCUAUCCAAACUUUCUGCCGAAUGUUGUUAAGUUAACGACCUCGAAAUUGAGUUGCCUCCUUAGGUCAAUUGUAUUUAAGACCUCAUUCGAUUAAUGACGCCUUAAAGGGUUUUUGCCAACAAGCCUCUCUCAUUUUUUUUUCCUAGCUCACCAUUUUCUUAUGGUGUCCGUGGGGUUUUCACCAAUAAGACUCUCUUAUUUUUAUCUCUCUCAGCUUACCAUGAGGGUUUUCACUGGUAAGACUCUCUCAUUUUAUUUCUCUCUUGAUUCCUUAUGUUGGGGAAGACAAGUAGUUCCCUAAAUGCAUCCUCAUAUCUAUUGCAUGCUUAGCCUUAAUAUCCUCAAAGAUUGAUCUGAAGGUCUUUCUUUGGUUGUAACUCGACUUUUGGAUAGGGUUAGAAAGAAAGGAUGGCAUGGGGCCCAAACGACACUUGAUGUGGGAUAGAACUUACAACUUUUGGAAUCGACUCAAACAAUGAGGAUUAACUCAUUCCCCAGUUUUUUUUGACUGGGCAAUUCUAAAUUGUUUAUUUGGUUGGACCGAGCCUAAGAUAGGGCAGCCUACGUAUCUCACCUUCGAGAGAGGAGAAUCAGGCCAUGGUAGUUCUGGCAACUUGUUUUGCUUGAUUCUAAUUUAUUUUUCUUCUAUGUUUCUUUUAUUGACUCUUUCUCUUUUGGAAUUUUCUGACUCUAUUUAUCUUGACACUCUUUUUUUUUCUUUUUGGACACAUUUUUUUUUCUCUUCUUCUUUUUGAAGACUUUUCUGACUCUAGUCUUUUACUCGACACUUUUCUUUUGAGCUUUGUUGAAUCUAUCUUGAUUCCAAAAGAGGGGUAUGAAAGAAAAUAAUACUAAAGCUCAAGUGGGGUAAACAAAGGAUGACAUAAUAUUUAGAUAGCAGAAUGAAAUGCCUUCAUCAUAUCAAUCCCUGAAAAUGCAAGUACAUAUCAUGCAAUAUGAAAUAAAAAAUGAAGAUCAUUUGUGAUACUUUAACAACACUAACUUUAACUGAGUAUGUGUGCCACUUCUUUUUCUAAACUUGUCAAACUUACAAACUCCACCUUUGUUGUAUAUCCAUCACCUUGAAUGAUUCAUGCCUUCGUGGAGUUGAUUUUCUUUCUGUUCCUUUUGAUAGGAUCACGCAGACACUGUUUGACCUAAUUAAGACAUGUCUUUCAAUUGAUGACCAAGUUAUCCUUGUGAUUCUCAAAAUAAAAGUCUAAAUUUUCAAAGAAGGCUUCAACUUGAUCACCAAAUUCCCUAACACUCUAUCUAUUUUCUCAGAUGCUCUAUUUUCCUAACUUUAACUCUCUGAUUCAAUGCUUCAUAAUUAAGCUGGAUUUUAAGAUCUGACUGAAAAUUCUACAAAUAUGUCAUAUCACUAGAAUCAACAUAAAAUGUACUAUAUAGAGAAAACAAACAAACAACACAUAUUUGAAACAUAAAAGGAAAGGGACACUUCAGUUAGUCGAAAUGAAAGAUAAAAAGGUUUGAACAUAAAUGAAAAAGGGACAAAAUAAGAUAGAUCCCGCACUACAACCCUGAAAUACUUCAGAAAAUAGAAAAGAAAAUAAAACAAACUACCAGAUCUUUUCCUAGUAGGGAGAGAGGUGACUUCUCAAUUGCUCAGCCUGACAAUUUAGCCACUGGUUUGCAUAUAAACAUGACUAGAGCUUCCCUCACUGUCAAUGUUCUGUACCAUAAUUGAUCCAUCUUGAAUCAUUUUUUCAAUUUCCCUUUUCAAAUCUUGACAAUCUUUAAUACUAUGACCCUGAGCACCAGAAUGAUACGCACAUCGUACAUUAGGGUCAAAAUUUCUUGAAUGUCGAUUAAGAGUGCACCCAAGGAGAGGAGUGAUCAUGUCCCAUUAUACCAAUCUCUAAAAUAAAUUGGCAUACGGCUCUCCAAUUAGUGUAAAGCUAUCUCUCAACUUCUGCCUCAUUUCAUCGUUUGGCUUGGAUCGAAAAUCAGGCUUAGAAGGGUUUUGGUAUAUUUGUGGAGUUAGAGGAUGACUCUGAGGAGUUGAUGUGUUCCACUAUGGGUAAGAUGGGGGUCGAACAUGUGGUUGUGCAUUAUACACUGGAUAUGGAUGUGGAGGAACAGAGUAUAAUGACUUUUGGGAGUGAUUAUGUAAAGCUUGGGAAUGAACUUGGGUUUGAGCCUGAGAGUGACGAUGACGAGGUCUUCUUGACCUUUUUUGCUGUCCAACUACAGUAGCAGAUGCAUCUUCCCCAUUCUUUUUCUCCCCAACACUUUUUGAACCCUUUUGAAUUGCUUGAGUAGUCGCUUUCAAUAUUGCAAAACUCACAAUACGACCAGUCUUAAUUCCCUCUUCUAUCAUCUUCCCCAUUUUAAGGACCUCAAUGAACGGCUUGCCUAAUGCAGGUAGCAAGUGUUGAUAAUAUGUUUUGUCCUGUGCCUGAAUAAAUACUUCCACUAUUUUGCUUUCUUUCAUUGGUGGUUUUACUCUAGCAGCUUGUUCGCACCAUCUGAUCGCAUACUCCCUGAAACUCUUAGUAUUCUUCUUUUUUAUACUAGUUAGGGAUUUUUCGUCAAGGAUCAGCUCCACAUUGUAUUGUAAUUUUUUCAUAAAUUCAUUAGCUAGGCCAUCCCAAAUAAUCCACUUGUCAAUGUCUUGGUCAACAAACCAUUCUGAAGCUAGGCCUAAAAGACUCUCAUCGAAAUAUGCCAUGAGUAAUUCUUCCUUCCCUCCAGCGCCCCUUAGCUGGUUGCAAUAGCAUCUCAAAUAUGCUACAGGAUCGCCAUGUCUAUCAUACGUCUCAAGCUUCAGUAUUUUAAAACCAAGAGGAAGAUAUACACCUGGAAACAUGCACAGAUCUUUAUAUGAGACACUUUUGUACCCCCCAAGUCCUUGCAAGUUAUUCAUAGUCAGUUCUAAACUUCUUAAUUUCUUGGCCAUUUCCUUUUGUUCUUCUGCAUAACAGGCUUCUUAGUGUAAGAAGAAAAUUCAUAAGGUUAAGUGCAGUCGUAAGGACCAGUCGACUUAAAUGUGGACUUGGGAGCAUAAUGCUGAUCACUAAAAUAUUCAAUACAGGGUCGCUUGUAGAGUGAGGAAUCACAACCUUUGGAUUGACAUUAAAAGUAGGAGCUUCAGACGAGAGUGGGACUGCAAAAGCAUGAAUAGCAGGCGGAGCCGAGCAUGUGGUAAUUUUGUAUUGAAGAGCGAGCAAAUGAAUAUUAGAAGUGUUUGGAUACUGUUUCCCCGGAGUAGGUCCUGAUGUAUGUUGUGGCGUGUCGACCAAAAUAGGGAAUUGUGCAUGUGACACUGGAGGCAAACUAGAAAGAUAUUCCAGAUUAUCAGUGGGAAAUGGAGAAGCCGGCUACCCAUUAGCCCAAGCUUGAUGCAUUUCUAUCAUUUGCUGCCUUAAUUUCCGAAUCUCUUCAUUAGCUCCUACAACCUUAAUUUCCGAAUCUCAUCAUUAGCUCCUACAUUCUCAUUCCACGAACUCCCUAUCUGAUUAGUGACAACUAACUCAGUAUCCUUGUUGGCCAUAACUUUCUCUGUGAGUUGGAGCAAUAUGGAGGACCAGCUAAAAUGCGACAAACCAACCACCUUAAACUAACUGGACAAGAGAUAGAAAAUGCGUUAGAGUUCAACAAUUUUUCAAAACCUCUUUUUUUUUUCUUGAAAAGAUCACCGAACCCUAAAAGGGCGCCUACGUAUCUCGCCCCAAAAAGGGGAGAAUCGGGUGUGCGUAGUUCGUGAAGUCUUGCUAAAAUGACUAAUUAAACUCUUUUUCUUUUUAUUUUUCUUGAAAUUUUAAGAAGAAAAGAAAAAUAACAAAUUGUCAAAAGAAUAGACGAAAAUCUUUUUGAAUUUUUUAGCUUCCUAUACCAAAUGAAACUUAUGAUUACCAAAGAAAAAUCUUUUUGGAUUUUCGACUUUGAAUUUCAUAUGAAAAUGAAACUUGAACCUAUUAAAGAAAAAUUUGUUUAGUGUUUUUCUUUUAAAGGUGUAUAUGAAACACCUACUCUAAGUGAAGAGUGAAGAAAAUCUUUUUGGAUUUUUAUGAAAUAAGAUCCCCAAACCAACAAUAGGUUGCCUACGUAUCUCACUCCCGAGAGAGGAGAAUCAGGGGUACGUAGUUCGUCCUGAUUGGAUAAUUAAGGAUUAAAUAACAAACUAAGACUUGACCUGAGAGACAGACAAUGAAAGACGUCAAUAAAAUCUUUUUGAGUUUUUUUAAUUUGACACUUCACAUAAAACUGACACCAACAAUUAUGAAAGAAAUUUUUUUUUGGGUAUUUUAGUUAGAUGAAAUGUACAAAACAUCUACCAUCUUUUUGCAUUUUUUCCUUUAUAAAAAGCUCCAAUUAAAAAAGCAUUUUCGAAUUUUUUGAAUUAUGAAUGCAUGGUAAAGGAACAAAAGGAAAAUCUUUUUGAUGUUUUUGAGAAAAUGAGUGAGAAAGGUAAAAAAAUCUUUUCGAAUUUUUGGAUUGUGAAAAACAAAAGCCAUAAAAAACUCUAAAAACUACAAAACUCUUUUUUCCUUUUUGACUUAAUUUUUCAAUUUUUCCUCUUUUUUUUCAAUUUUUUCUUGCCUACACACUUUACUUCUAACACAUGCUUUCCCCAAAUCAGUCCGUCAAAUGACCACGUUAUCCUCAGAGAUGCAACAUUUAGCACGUAGGGAUGCUUUAAAGGUGAGUCUCCUACAAAGGACCGUGUGAGUCCUGCUAGGUCUCAAUAUGAUGCACAUAAGAAUGACCUAAAGGCUGACUUACGUUGUGGUUUACUAACAAGGCCGUUCGGGGGAGCAUAUGGUCAAUAGUGGCUGCUUUGCUUUUCACCUACUCCAUAUAUCCAACAGCUCCCCCCCCCCUAAAAUAAGGGUGACUCAACUAGAGUUCGUGCAUACGACGUGCACUCCAAGACGUUGCAGAAAGAAUUGACUCGGGUUAUGCAAAUGAUGUCAGAUAUAUAAUGGUAACACAUAAAGAAAAAUUGUAAAUAAAGAGUACAGAAAUGCACAACAGUGAUAACAAUAACACAAACAAUAAUCACAAACAAUGUUUAUACACCCAUAAUGCCAAACAAAGCCGAUACGACUCCCCAAAAAAAAAAGCUCGAAUUCUUAAAGAUUCUCCAGCAGAGUCGCCAGAGCUGUCACACCCAUUUUUUAGCUCCCAAAAGAUUCUAUUUUUAAGGUUCGAAAGGAUUUUUAUUAUCAAAGUGACAAAAGAUGAAAAUUUAUUUCGAAAAGGACCUUUUAUAUUCAAAACUCAAAGUCGCCACUUGGCAUAAUUCAGUGUGCCAAGGUACCUUUGAAAAAUCCUUUCCAAAAUGCUUUGACUCUUUAAAACUGGUUUGCGAACAGAGAUUUUGGUUAAGAAAUUCUAUUGAUCGAGGGGAAGGGGUUAGGCACCCCUCGAUCCCGUGGUUUGACCACGGUCUCUUGGUGGAGAGUAUCGGCUAAUUUGACAUUACAAAUGUAUAAACCACACAAAACACAUAAAACAAUCAACUAAACACACGAAACAAAACAAAACAAAUCCAAAAUAUAGUGUUUAGUCCAAUUAUACAGUCCAAAAAUAAGAAAAAUGCAAAAAAUAAAUCAUAUUCUAACCUACAAUAGUACUAAACUAUGCUCCGAUGAUUUACUCCAUCCGAUGUUUUGGGCCUUGGCCAUGCGCCGCCUUCAAGUACAAAUUUCUAGGGGCAUUCCCCGGAUAAAGCAAUACAGAUACCUCAGGGUAUUCCCCGAUCAAAUGAGUAUAUUUUUCAAUUGCGAUAAAACAAAUUCAUUCAACACAUAUUUCAAAAAUUUUACCAAUUUUGCAAUCCCUAAGUGUGCCUACCCCUAUCGUUUGCCUAACAAUUCAUGGCCUAAAGCAUGAUACUAUCGAACUUAACAAAGUCGACGUUUAUUUCAAAUCAAGCAAUCGUUACUAAACUAAUAUAAAUCAAUAUUCACUUUUAACAAUUUUUUAUCUUUUCCCCCAAAAUCCAACUUAACCUCAAAUCAACUACGUGAUAAACAUACUUCACACCAGGAUUAACAAUCAAAUAACGACGAGUAAAAUCACCUCAACCAAAUUCAAUCAAAAAUUACGCCAUUCAAAAAUAUUCACAAAAAGAGAGAUAAAAGAUAUAGAAUUGGACCUCAAUCGCUCAUUUUAUUCCAAAAUUAGUGAUGGAUUGGAAUUCACGAGCAACAAAACCUCGACCCAACUGGAACCUCAAUGUCGAACCCGCAACUUAAAAAAAUACCAAAGAGCACAACCCAACUCGAGUUUUAUGAAUAAAAAUCUAUGAAAAUCAUCAAUCCAAAACGAACUACUAGGAACCAAACGAGACAAUAGUAUCCAAAACCCGAACCCAUUCCAACGCUAAACCUUUUUUUGAACCAAUUUUGGAAGAAGAAUCUGGAGUCGUUACUGUUCACCUAUUUUCGGUGGGUAACGUUAGUGAUCCUCAGUUUUUGGUCGAAAAAAGGGGAACGAUAGAGAGCUGGUGGAUUUUUUGAUAGGAGAAAAUGAAUUUUGGCGAUAAUCUCGCCAGAAAAUUCAGAAUAUUAGUUGUUUCCGGUGACUUCCCCACUCCAUUUUCCGUUUCUCGUCUUUCUGUCUCCGAUCUACCUCUCAAUCUCCCAAUCUCUACUCUAAUUCCUCAACCCUCGAUCUCUCUCUGCUUGUGAUCCUCACUCUCUCGAUCUCACUAUUCCCCCUUCGAUUCACCUCGCAUCUCACUAUUUUUUCACCAUUUAUAUGUAAUUUGGGUAUAGGUGUGCGUGUAUAUGGUUGUGCUUAAGAGUGGAAUUAUGAGUUGGUGCGUGGUUUUUGUGUAUUGUCGAUCCAAGAAGAGAAAAAGAAAAAUGGAUCCCCCCUGGUGUGCCUGAUCUUUGAGGUAUAUGGUGUAUGGAGUAUAUGUGAGAUGGUGUUCUGUGGGUUGGAAGAAGAAGAACUUUUGUGUAUAUAUCUCUUGUGAAAAAAAAUCCCCAAAAUUCGUGGGGCCCUCUCCUUUUUGUUGUUAGUGUAUUUAACAAUAUUAGGAAUAUUCUCCCAUGGGGCCCACUUCUUUUUUUGUUUUCUUUUCGAAAUAGUUUCAACUUGGAUAAAAAAAAGUGAGGGGUAGGAAAAUUGGGGUGUGACGUGUCCUAAUUUCAUAGGAUAUGGUUGUUAGGAUAAGGUGUAAAGUUGGUUAAGAUAAGGUUGUUAAUUUGUUAGGGAGUUUGUUAUUUUUGUAUUUUUGUGGGGUAUGAUCACAUGGAUGAGGACACGUGGUAAGGUGAGCUAAAAAUGGAUAAAAUCAAUGUUGGGACGAAUAAAAUUAGGUGUCUAUAGUCCGUAAAGCCAACAAUUCAAUUUAGCAGUCAGGCGGACAGGUUCAUAUGGUUUCCUAUCUUUUCAUCUAAUCGCACUACCUGAAGUCUCAUGAAUAUAACCAUUCCAAGCUGGGGCAACCAGGUAGUUGCGAGUUUAGCUCAGUUCAUGUAUUAUGCCUCAGUUUCAGAUCCUCGAUAUGCAGUCAAGAUUCAGUUAAUAGGUGCCCUGUGCAUCGUCUCAGUUUUUCCUCAGUAUCUCAGCCAAGUCAGCAUUCUUCAGGGGAUAUAAUGUCCCAAGGGGGAGAUGCGCUAUAAUCCCUCGAGCUUUUAUGACCUAAACCUUCCAUCUUCUCUUUAUGUAAUGAAUCCAAUUUGGAGUAGUGGGUGCUCAUAGGUGGACCCUCAAGUACCAAUAUCAGUCGUAAGCCAUGCAUCCAGGGGCUCAGUUUAGUUUAUGAUAUUCAGUUCACGUAUCACAUUUCAGGCUUAGUCAUGUUCUCAUGUUCCCGUUCAUGCAUGUUUAGUAAAUGAUCUCAGGUUCAUUAGUAUUCUCAGUUUAAGGCAACAGGUUUCCUUAGAUUGGCUUAGUUCCAUGUUCAGGUUCAGCUACCGUUGCACAUUCAGUCAUACAUUUAUGAAUCAGUUCAGUCAUGUACUCAUUCAUCAGAUAUGCAUGUACAGAUUGAAAACUCAACUUAUUAGUAGUUUCAGUCAGGUGUUUGUCACGACCCGAACAAGGCCCUGGCCGUGACGAGCAUCCUGAGCUGUAAAGGCCCGAGCUCCCCUUUAUUAAUAGGCAAUCAUACACACGUUCAUACAAUCAUAAAGAGAAUGCGGAAUGGAUUCAUACGGAAACAUGGUCAAUAACAUCAUACGACUGAAAAGUCAAAGAUUUCAAUAAGACCUUCAACAUCAUCUAACAUCUAUCUGCAAAAUCUCUAGUAUAUCAAAACCAGUCAUCACAACUAAAACUGGGAUAAGGUCCCCAGUGGACCUAAACCAAAAUAAAUAAUAUAUGACAGAAAGAAAUAGACCUUUCGGAAUAAAGAAGGCUCACCAAUUGCAACACACUUCACUUCUGCCCGAAAACUCUACGGCUUUUCAGGAUCUCUAGACUGAGCCUCAGAUACUGGAAUAUAGGGGGUCAAAUCAAUUGUAAUGUAGCAGAGUAAUCCAAAAAUAAAAUACAACUUUUAUAUAACAUAGGUGAGAGCUAUUAUAAAACACUUUAACGUAAAAUCGUUUGAAAACACAUUGGCAUAGUAUAAUGAUUUUUCAACAAAAAUGCAGCACUAUUUAGCUAGAUGGUACACCCUACAAUUUCACAUUUUCACCAACUUCCAAGUCUCGAUUGCCACCAAGAUUGGAGUAUUAGUGAGGAAAGGACACACAAGAUCAUACAGCAGGGUGCCACAAUCCCAAUCAAUUCAAUAUGUCGUGGUUGGGCUCAAGAUCAUAAAGCAGGGCUCCUAACCAUUGGUCCCAAUUUGGGAUGAUAUAGUACUAGGUACACAAGAUCACAUAGUAGGGUACCAAGUUCCCGUGUUGGCAAUUCACGGUUCCCAGCAUAGAGUCAUCUGACUCAUGCUUUCUUCAGGUAACCAUCUAACUCAUAUCAAUUUAAUAUUUAAGUUUGAUAUAAGACAAAACAUGCAUCAUACUCACAACAUUCUCUUCCUCUUUUUAUUCGAGGAAAUUCCUUCACACGUUUUAUGCAAGUCAUUAUAUGAACACCAACAAGACUCCCAUACACCAACAUAAGCAUAUCGAUUCCCCAACACGAAAUAGUCAAGAAACUUCAACAUUUACCAAGAAACCAUCAGGAUAGCCUAGUUGCUUUGGAGGGCGGUUACCCACCCGGGUGACCAGGGAUCGAUUCCCCCCUCAAUGCCUUCUGGGUUUGAGCCUGUCGCACAGGGCUUGCCUAGUGCGGUUUAUAUCCCCAUGUGGUUUGUAGGCUAUUGCAUCGGGGGGUUUACCCAGUGCGCAUACAGUGCUCACCCGAAGGGAAGAGGCUGUGGCAGAGGGUGUAGCGGCUGCGGGUUUUUCUGGAAAGUUUCCAAAAAAAAUACAUUAUCCAAACACACUUUUCCAUGAUAAAAAAGGGGUUUUAAAAACACAUGCUCUCAAUACUUUAACAAUAGCAUUAUGUGGGGUUCAUAAACAUCAUCAUGAGAAAUAAAGAAUUCACAACUCAUGUUCAUAACACUUUUUAAAAUUCAAAUCACAUGUCCACAAAUCCAAAAAUUGAGAUACAUAAGCAAACAACCCCAUAUUCUUUCAAUAUUCUUCUCAAAACCAUAUCACAAUGCAUGCUUUUUGUGUUAAAACGAAACCCCACUUAUAAUGGCAUACAUACAUACAUACAUAAUUAUUAAAAAAUCUUAUUUAAAUUCAUAUCAAAAUCAUGUCCAUGAGAUUUAGGAUAACCCCACAUACUUUAGAUUAAUUAGUUUAGAGAGAAGAACCUGAAUCUCCAUUCAUUCUUUGGAAAUCUUGAACUUAGAGGUUGGUUCUUGAUUCCUUGUUCUUGGGAGAAACCCUAAUUUUGAUGUUAUGAAUGAAUAAGGAGUUAUGUCCUUUGAUUUGAUGUAAUAAGGUGUUAAAAAAGUGAAAAAGACCCAAAAAUUUCUUUAAAAACGGCUUUAGAUCACUAAACGGAGGUUCGAGACGGUUUGGGCGACGAACCGUCACCCCAGGGAUGGACCGUCCCUCAAACCAUCACUUUUUGGCCAGAAAAUGGACUUACUACCUCAGUUGCGAUGGUUUGGCUGGCGGUCCAUCGCUGGCGCGAUGGUCCGUUGGCCUUCUCGUCGCACUUUGGCAGUUCGUAUAGCUCCAAAUAAGUUUUUCUAAUAGUAAAAAGCACCUUAAAACCACUCAUAAGUUGGAGAUGAGGAUGAUGAGUUGGGAUCCGGCCAUAACUUUUUACCCCGAUAUCGGAUUUAGGAAAAAUUGGUGGUGUUGGAAAGAGGACUCAAAGAACUUUCAUUUUAUAUAGAGUAGGCCCUCUAAUUCUAUAUAUACAAAAAGUUAUGGUCAAUUGAAAUUAACCUGAGUUUAAAUGCUCACCAAAACUAAAUCGAUAGGAAGGCUUUCAACUCAUCCUUGAGUUAAGGGAUCUCUAUGAUCUUAAUUCAUGCUCAACUAGAUUUCCACACUAUUAGUUGAUUAACACACUACAUUUACAUUAGAUUUAUGAUUUUUGGAUUAUUUACGCGUGGAAAUAACGGUUUAUAUUGUUUAAUUAUAUUGUUUUUAUAUCUCUAUUUUGAGAUUUUUUAUUGUGUUAAUGUUAAGUUUAAUUGUAUUUUUUGAUAUCUCUAUUAUAUAGUAUUAUUUUGUUGUAGUUUACAAGUGGUAGAUGGGUGUCAGAUGGCUUUGACAAAUUUUUUGUGUAAAGGUUAGAUUUAAUUAUACUGUUUUGACUAAAAAAAAUAACUACUCCCUCCGUUUAAAAAAGAAUGACCUACUUUCCUUUUUUGUUGGUUUCAAAAGAAUGACCCCUUUUCUUUUUUAGCAAUACUUUAAUUUCAACUUUCCAUAUGACAUGUUUAGAACCAUGAGAUUAAAGGACAUUUUGGUACAUUUAACCUAAUUUUAAUUUAAGGCCACAAGAUUCAAAAAUCUUCUUUAUUUUCUUAAACUUUGUGCCAAUUCAAAGUAGGUCAUUCUUUUUUAAUGGAGGGAGUAUCAUUCUUUUUUGAACUUGAAAUAUCAAGGUGAAUUUUUUAUGGAGAGGAUUCGGAUGAACACCUUCGCCCCUAAAUCCAACCUUGUACAUAAUGACCAAGUUUUUUUUUCCUUCUAGCAUGCAUCAUGUGUGUCAUCACUUCACCUGAUACUUCUAAAUCUAGCUUGGUACUCUUCUUUUAAUCAUCUACUUGCUUUCUUACAACAAUUGGAAUUCUAACAAAAUAUUUGCCAUCACUCCAUGACAAACUUCUGAAGGUAAAUUUACCACUUUUUGGGCAAGUGGAUGUGAUCUUUACCUCAAAGGAAAUCUUGGUUAUCUUGGAAGUAAACUUCAACACAUCUGGAGUUACUUUAAUAGCAGUAUUUCUCGGAGGUUUAACCACUAAUCUAUAUAUAGAGUUAGCAUUUCCAACAUUGAAAAUUUAUUCGGGUUGUGGAUCGAAGAUAAUAUUUAAGCUCUUCCCAAUAAUUUGAUGUGUAAGCUCUCUCAUCAACACUGUUCCAACAAGGUAAAUCAUAAAAGGAAUCAGGAAAACUAUUAUGUGUCGGCCUUUUAGAAGAUGAUAGCUCCUCGGGAGGAUGAGGAGCGAUAGUUGGAGUGAUAUUUGUAGGUACUACUAAAUCAACUAAAUCAGCAUAGUGAUUAUAUAAUUUUUCUAUAUAUUCAUUAGCAUCACCCAUAGUCGUCCACAAAUCAGAUUGUACUUGUUCAGAAUCGUUGUUAGUAUUUAUUUCUAAGUUAGCAUAAAUAAGAGUACUAAGUGGCACAUAGUAUUAUAUUUCAUGCACGAAUUUAGCAUAGCACCAACCAAGUAAAUAAGGGGAAUCAGAAAAAAAUAUUUUUUAAAUUUAGUAAACAUGGUACCAACAACUUCUUUAUAACCUUCUUUAUUUUUAUAUUCUUUGAGCAAACCAAAAAUAUUGACUAUAUAUACCAAAAUAUUACAAACAGUAGGAUAAUAAGCACCGAAAAAUUCAACCGUAGUUAUAUAAUUUUUUUCUAAAAACUUAACAAGAUCAUUAAUUACAACCUAAUCAGAAUCAUGUAGCAUGCAAUCAACAGAAUCAGCAAAUGAACCACAAUGUUGGUUAAAAGUUAGUGUAAUAGGAACUCUAUAUUUAUAACAAGUUUUAAAAAAUCAUACGUACAAUUCCAUCUAAUAUCCUCAGGCAUCAAUAUCGGUGCAAGUCCAUUUUCUUGACAUUUAACUUUAAAUUAUCUAAUUCUUUUUCUUCGAUUAUUGCCUUGAAUAAAACAAACAGCAAAACGAAUUUUUUCAAUAUAAAGCUCAAAAAACUCGAGAUCAUCUUUUAAUUUAAAUUAUAUAUAUGACAAGCACACUUAAUAUGAAAAAUUUCAGGUAACAGCGUAGAUAGGUCAGAUUUUAACUUUGUUAUAACAGUCUUGUUGUUAGAAGCAUUAUCAAAAGCAAUACAUAAGAUUUUAUUUUCGAUACCAUAAAAUUCUGCAACUUUAGCAAUCGAAUCAGUAAUAAAAUCUCCAGUAUGUUUACGAUCUUCAUCAUAUAAAAAAGCAAGAAUACGUUUUUGCAUCACAAAAUUACUAUCCAUCCAGUGACAAGUAACGGUUAAAUAAUCAUUUUUAUUUACAGUACGACCAAGAUCAGAAGUUAGGGACAAUCUACAUUGAAUAGUUUUUGACAAUGUUGAUAAAUAAAAAUAAUAUUGUGAAUGAAGUCUAAAAAUAUCAGACCGACAAGUACUUCUACGAAUACCAUUAAACAUAGGAUUAUAAAUUACUCGUAUAUAAUGAAUAAAGGCAUCAGAAGAAGGAAAACUAAAAGACAAACAAUCCAUAACUACCAUUUUAGUUAUUUUUUACCGGUCCCUCAAUUUAUUAUACUUCUUCAUUACCUGACCAGUUGCUGGGUUCAUUCUAGUUUGCGUUGGCCCACCAACAUCCCCACCACCUCGUGCAAUAUUUAACUCUCUUUCAUGAGCAUUACCUAUAUGUCUCAAUAAUGUACCCGUACCCCCUUGCUUGCCUCCGUUUUUAUACUUAUAUAUUUAUUGACAAAUAUUGCAUUGCACCUCAGUAUUUGAUAUACGUUCAAAAAAUUGUCAUGCAAUGCUAGUUGUUUUACGAGCUCUUGGGGCACGAGGAGGACGGGGAGGGAGAUUAAUUGAUUCAGAUCUAACUUUAGCAUUUCCUAUUGUGGGUGUCUCACCAAUAUUUUCAUCAUCUUCGUCCAAAUUAACCGUUUCUACUUUAUUUUCUUCUUCUAUACCGUAAAUUUUCUGAGCUUCUACAUAAUCCAUAUCGUGAGCACCUACACCUAUUUCUUCCUCAAAAGAUGUACCAAGCGGUACCGGAGGUGAAGGCACACGGGUAUAUCUACUACUUGAAGUACCUCUACCGCUAGUAAUUCACUUUUUACUACCACUACCGCUUCAGGGAUAAAAUUUUUUAACACUUUUAGUAGCGAGGUUUCUUAAUUUAUAUAUAAUAUAAAUUAAACAAAAAAAUUCAAAAUACACAAAUAUAAUAAAAUUAAAUAUUCAACAAUUAAUACACUAAAUAAAAAUUAAACGUAAGAGAUGGAACGACAAUACCAAAUUUUGAAAGUAUCCGAAGAUUGUGACUUUAGAAACUUUCACUCGUACUUUGUAAUCACAAAAUUAAAAAAUUAAAGUGAGCACUUUAGAAAAUUAAAUAUAUAGAAUAUUUGAGAAUUGAGAAUUGAGAUUUGAGAGAAUAAAAAAUUGUGUGAAAAAUGAUUUGAAGGUGUAGGGUAGUUAUAGAAUUUUUUUUGGAUUAAAAAAAUAAUUAAAAUGAAAAAAAAAUUAAUAAAAGGUCCCAAACUAGUUGUUUGGACCCAAAAACGGUUAUAUAGCCGUUGGGCCAACGGCUAAUUUGGCCCAAAUCUCCAAUUUUUUUUUUUUAAAAAAAGUUAACCGGGUCGGGCCGGUUAACCGGCGGACCUGAACCAGUUUUGGUCUGGGUUGGGUUAACCGGACCCAAUUUCAAAAUUAAACCGGUCCGGGACCUGGUACGCUACAGCUUGUGGGUUGAUCGGGCCGAUUUUUUUAAGUGGGCCGGGUUGACAGCCUUAACUUAUUGACAAAAUGGACCAGAAGCAAUUGCUAACCUCUUGAAUACAGGUUCGAUUCUCCUUGGGAAUUAAUAAACGUUCUUAAAGUAAUGUGAGAUUUUUGAGGUUUCAUAAAACUCAAAUCUUAAAUUUGUUUAUGAUGAGUAUAUGCUUUUAUACUCAAUUGCGGAGCUGGACACAUUGGGCGGACAGCACUCUGAUCAUGCAGCUUCUUCGUGCUAACCUCACUUUAUGGACCUCCGAUAUGCGGAAUGAUGGAACCGACGAGAUCAAAGAAGCAGCACCGAAACCAGAUAAUGAAUGAGAAGGCAGUAAAAACUGGUGAAAUUUCUUUUAAGAUUCAAACAUGCCAUGUUGUAACUUCGUUAUUUGUCUGGGCUCAGCUCUUUGUUAGUUCUAGAUCUUGUGAUUUGUAAUACCUAAAAAUCAACCCGUUGUUAUUUCUUGUUUUUCGUUUGUUUCUCUGUGGAUUUCUCUUGUAUUUGGAUUAUUUCCUUUUUCUCAAAGGAAUGACUUAUGGGAAGUUGGAUCUAUCUUUUAAUCCAAAAAUAAAAUAAAAUAUAUAUAUGUUGUAGUAUUGAGUGAUAUUAUAUCCCCUUUCUCAAACAUCGAUAUCCAUAGCUCUUUCUUUAUUUUUUUUAUUUUUGAAAACCAAGACUUCCUAGGACUCUAUUGAAUCUUAGACUAUGAUACUAAUUUUGUAAUAACCCAAUUUGCUAAACUAGAAUGCUACACAGUGCUUAUGACCCCGAAAUAUCACAAGCUAACCCAUGACUGAUAUCUGUACCUGUACACUGCAUAAUAUACAUGUAAAAUGUGGAAAACAUGAACAAUAGGCCAUAAGGUUCAACUAAAUAGAAUAUCUGAUAAAUAAUAACAUCCAUAUGGGGUAACAAAUAACCAAAACAACUGAAGCCUGGAUCAAAAAUUAAAAGCCUCUAAAUACUGUCUGAAAUAAGGAGUUGAGGGAAUAUGUCUCCAACUAACUCCGUCUAGCAAAACUGAACUAAAAUAAUGAAUAAAAUAAAAUAAAGUCAUCCUCAGAUGGAUGAGGACUCACUGCCACUCUGCAUACUGGAAUGCUACUGGUACUGCUGAUCUGUAACUCGUGACUCUGAACCUAUGGUGUAACAUAAAAGAAAGCACCAUAGCGAAAAUGCGUCAGUACAACUGAAAGUACUGAGUAUAUGAGUGGGGUAGGCUAAAUUCAAAAAGGUUUACAUGCAUGGCCAAUGCUUAUUGACUGACUAAUAUGAAUGUGAGAGUGUAAACAUGCAUACAUAGUAACUGAGAUCGUUAAUAUGUGAUAUCUGAAUCUGUACGCUAAUACAUAGUUUACUGUUAUCUAACAUGACUGAUACUGGAAUUUUGAUAACAUGGAUGACUGUGUCUGACAGUCUUAAAUCUAAUGGUACUACCUGAGUUCUGUACUGUAACUGAAUUGACUGUAACUGAUAGUCCUGGUAUACUAAAAUUUGAAGGAAUAUCUGAGUUCUUUUACUGAGAUUGGAACUAAAACUAUGGGAGGUAGUUGCUUAACCAAAAUGCCCCAAUAAUGCAUAUAGCUAAGUUGGGGUCCAAUCUCUGCCCCGACUGAAAGGUGUCAAUACCGCGCCACUGGUAAGGACAGCUGUGAGUGACCCUUAGCUGGCAGGUACUCGAAUAAGAAUGGUGGGAACCCUAAACUAACAGAUUAAGCCACCUCAUCAACCCUAAUCUGGUAGGUUAAGAUGUCUCAACCUACGCUGGCUACGUAGUUCUAGAACACAAGGAUUACUACUAAGAAUCACACCCUAAACUGGCAGGUGAUUUUCCAUCCUUGGGUUCACUCGGUGAUAACUUAUACUCCCAUCUAAAGAGACUGAACAUUAUUUAACUGGCUGUACAUGGACUGAGUAACUGACUUCCGUUGACUGACGAAAUAGAACUACUAUCUGAGAAUUCAUUGAGAUCAUGAGAUUUCUGAGAUUUCCUGAGUCACAUGACUGACUGAGUUCUAUAGAUCAUGCCUUGAUUGAGAUUAUUGUGAUAACGUGACAUGGUUCUGGGCACACAGCUAUAUUUUUUGAGUACAAGUAUCCCGAGGAAUCGAUGGAAGGAAACUGACACACAUAAUUGACUUGAUCAUAAAAAUAGAGUCCACAAUUCACCAUAUCAUAAGUAGGGGAUUUCACACUAAGCAUAGUUCUCAACACCUUGCGUAUGGAAGGGACACUUGCAUACCUUCAAUAUCAUACUCAAUCCAUAUCACAACAACGACGCAUAUCCAUCACGUGGAAUUCAUGUGUAAUCAUAAAGCAUAAAGCAUGGACUUGUCAUUUAAGCACUAUUAAAUUAUGGGACAUGAAUCUUAUCACCUUAAGCAUUUUAUCAAACACUUUGCAUGCAUUCUUUUAGCUUAGGUGUGUUUUCAUGAAUUUCCCCAUUUUAAACCACAUAAAGUUCAUGGAUUUCAACUAACGAACACAUAUACUUCUUGAAAACACCUUUAGAUAUCAUCUUGAAACUUAAACAACAAUCAUCAAUAUGUACAUGGUCAUAUCACAACAAGACAAUCACAAAAUAACAUUUAAAACAUGGUUCUUGAGCUCUAUGAACGAAAUGGAUCCAUAGAUGAACACUACGCAUACCUUAGAUGGAAGAUCCGUGAAAAUUAACGGUGAAAUCCUUUGAAUCUUAAAGCUUCUAUGAAAAACCUAAGGGAUUCUUCAGAGAAUUUUGAGUAAAGAGAGUAUAAUGUGGUUGUAUUGGGGCUAAAUUUCGUGUUUAUGGAAUAUAUAGGGGUGGAAAGAUGACCCAAAUACCCUUCUAGAUGCGUCAUUUAAUAUCUGUGAAAAUUACUCAAUUUGGGCCCCUGGUGCGAUGCAGAGAUAUCGUAUUGCAACCCGUUUGUCAUUUGGAAACUCACCGCGAUGUGGUGGAAUCGUGGAGAGACACUGUAAAUUGACGAACAUCAUUUUGGCUUAUGGUGCGAUGCGCCACUGACUGAAAUGACGCUGCUGAAACUUUAAAUAGCUAUAACUUCUUCACCGAGUGUUCGUUUUAGGCGAAUUUGGUAUCGAUGGAAAGCUUAUUCAAUUAUCUACGGGUAUAAAUCUACCAAAAUACCACCUAUUAAAAAGUUAUUCUUUUUAAAUAUGACCUAUGUUAAAUCACACACAAAAACUUGAUGGAUUUAAAAGUUCUUAGCUUGGCUUACUCUAAGUGACUCUUAUGAACAUGCUUAACACAUCAUAAGCUCUAUUAUCACUAGGAUACUCAUCCUAAUUCAUGUACUCAUAUAUGAAUCACAGGAUAGAAGGUUUCAUGUGUAGGAACAACGGUUCAUCUUCUAGCUUAGAAAUAUAUGGGGUAUUACAUAAUGACCUCAAAAUUGAGUUUCUUCCUUAGGUCAAUUGCAUUUAAGACCUUAUUCAGCUUGUGACGCCUUGAAGGGUUUUUGACAACAAGCCUCUCCCAUUUUCUUUUCCUCAGCUCACCAUUGCCUUAUGGUGUCCGUGAUGGUUUUUCACUAAUGAGACUCUCUUAUUUUCAUUUGUCUCAACUCACCGUCGUCUUACAGUGCCUGUGAGGGUUCUCACUGAUAAAACUCUCUUAUUUUAUCUCUCUCAGCUUACUAUCAUCUUAUGAUACCCGUGAGGAUUUUCACUGAUAAGACACUCUCAUUUUCAUUUCUCUCCUGAUUCCUUAUGCUGAGGAAGACAAGUAGUUCCCAAAAUGCGUCAUCACAUCCAUAUCAUGCUUAGCCUUAAAAUUCUCAAAUAUUGAUUUGAAGGUCUUUCUUUGGUUGUAACUUGGCUUUUGGAUAGAAUUAGAAAGAAAGGAUGGCAUGGGGCCCAAACGACACUUGUAGUGGGGGUGACUUACAACUUUUGGAAUCGAUUCAAAUAAUGAGGAUCAACUCAUGCCCCAGUUUAUUUUGACUGGGAAAUUCUAAAUUAUUUGUUUGGUUGAUCGAGCCCCGUAUAGGGAAGCCUACGUAUCUCACUCCCAAGGAAGGAGAAUCAGGUCACACGUAGUUCCGGCAACUUGUUCUUUAUCUUGAUUCUGACUUCUUCUUCUUUUUAUUGACUCUUGAGCUAUGAUUUUCAAUUGAUGACCAAGUUAUUCUUGGGAUUCUCAAAAUAAUUGCCUUAAUUUUCAAAGAAGGCUUCAACUUGUCACCAAAUGUCUCAACACUCUACCUAUUUUUUCAGAUAUUUUUCUGACUUUAGAACUAUGAUUCAAUGUGUCGUGAUUAAAUUGGAUUUUAAGAUCUGACUGAAAAUUUUGCAAGCAUUUGAUAUCACUAGAAUCAACAUAAAAUGAACUUUAUAAAGAAAAUAAAUUAACAAAUAACACCUAUUUAAAACAUAAAGGGAAAUGGACACUCCAUUUAGUUGAAAUGAAAGAUAGAAGGAUUUGAACAUAACGACAAAGGGACAAAACAAGAUAGAUCCAGAACUACAACCCUAAAAUAAUUUGAAUAACAAAAAAUAAAAUAAAACACACUACCAGACCUCUUCCUAGUAGGGAGGUAGGUGACUUCUCAAUUGCUCAUCCGUACAUCUUAGCCAUUGGUUUGCAUAUCAGCAUGACUAGAGCUUUUCCCACUGUCAAUGGUUUGCCCCAUAAUUGAUUUAUCUUGAAUCAUCUUUUCAAUUUCUCUUUUCAAAGCAUGACAAUCUUCAAUACUAUGAUCCUGAACAUCAGAAUAAUAGGCACAUCGUACAUUAGGAUUAAAGCUUUUUGAAUGCGGGUCAGAGUAUACCCAAAGAGAGAAGUGAUCAUGCCCCGUUGUACCAAUCUCUAGAAUAAACUGGCAUAUAACUCUCCUAUUGGUUUGAAGCUAUCUCUCAACUUUUGCCUCGUUUCAUUUUUUGUCUUGGACCAAAAAUCUGGCCAAGAAGGGAUUUGGUAUGUUUGUGGAGUUGGAGGAUGACUCUGAGGAGUUAGUGCAUGCCAUUGUGAAUAAGAAGGGAGUUGAACAUAUGGUUGUGCGCAGUAUACUAGAUAUGGAGGUAGGGAAAUGGAGUAUAAUGGAUUUUGGAAGGGAUUAUAAAGAGCUUACGUAUGAACUUGGGCUUAAGACUAAUGGCAACGACAACGACAUCUUCUUGGAUGUGACCGUUCUCCAACUACAAUAGCAGUUGUAUCUUUCUUAUCCUUUUUCUCUCCAGUUUCCCUUAAUUGAUUGCAAUAUUAUCCCAAAUGUUUCAUGGAUUUCUCCUGUCCAUCUUGCUCCUUAAAUUUCGAUGUCUCGAGGCUUGAAGGAGGGUUAACACUUGAAGAUAUGCCCCAGUUUUUGUAUGUAACAUCUUCUUUACCCGCAUGUCCUAGGAAACUUUUCCUAGCAUUUUCUGCACUCUUCAUUUUUUCAACCAUUUUCUCCGGCUCUCAUGGAAAGCUAGACUUCUUGUUAAGAAAUUUUUGUGGUCCAAUUAACAUUGAUGUGGGCUUGGGAGUAUAGCAAUGAUUAUCAAGAGUAUUGAACAUGGGUCCACUAGCAGAUUGGGGCAGCAUAACCGUUGAAUUGUUAUCCAAAGUGGAAGCCUCAACAGAAGGUUUAGCAAUAAAAGCAUAGGCAGUCAGUGGUGCGUUCAAUGUAGUAGGUUUAUACUGAGAAGCUAGAGGAAGAGAGGGGGAAGUAUUGGGAUGCUUUUGUCUUAGAAGAAAUUCUGAAUCAUGUUGCAAUGCAUCAACAAUAAUAGGAAACUUCCUUUGCAAUUUUGGUAGAAAACUCGAGGUAUUUGUAGAUCAGUAGCGGGAAAUAGAGGAAGAGGCAACCCACUGGCCCAAGCUUGGUGCAUUUUUGCCAUUUGUUUCCUUAGUAUCCUAAUCUCUUGCCUUAAACUCUCAUUUUCCUGAGUCUUGGUUUGAUCCGUAAUGUCAAUCCAUAUAUUCUAGUUGGAAACAACUAACCCUUUGGAAUUGGUGUGAUGUGAAGAAUCAACUACAAUGUCAAAAUGACACAAACCAACCACCUUAAACUAACUCAAAAGAAGAUAACAAACAUGUUAGAGUUCAACACUUUUCAAAAGCCUUUUUCAUUUUUUUCCUCCUUUUUUUUUUGAAAAAUAUCACCGAACCCAAGAAGGACGCCUACGUAUCUCACUCCUGAAAGAGGAGAAUCAGGUGUGCGUAGUUCAUGAAGUUUUGCCAAAAUGGCCGGUAAAACUCUCUUUCUUUUUUUUGUUGACACUUUAAGAAGAAAAGAAAAUAAUAAAUUGUCAAAAGAAUUGACGAGAAAUCUUUUUUUUGCGUUUUUCAAUUUUAACACCCCUAUACAAAAUGAAACCUACGAUUACCAAAGAAACUCUUUUAAGGUUUUCAAUUUUGAAUUUCAUACGAAAAUGAAACAUGAACCUAUUAAAGGAAAAUUUUUUUAUAUUUUUCGUUUAAAGAUGUAUAUGAAACACCUACUCUAAAUGAAGAGUUAAGAAAAUCUUUUAUGAAUUUUUUUUCUAUAUUCAUAUACAAAAUGAAACCUAUGAUUAUCAAAGAAAAUCGUUUGGAGUUUUCAAUUUUGAAUUUCAAAUGAAAAUGAAAAUUGGAACUAUAAAAAAAAAUCUUUUUGUAGUUUUCUUUUAAAGAAGUAUAUGACACUUACUCUAAUAAAGAGUGAAGAAAAUCUUUUUGGAUUUUUCAAAUAGGAUCCGAGAACCAACAAUAGGCUGCCUACGUAUAUCACUCCCAAGAGAGGAGAAUCAGAGGUGUGUAGUUCAUCCAGACAGGACAAUUAAGGAUUAAAUAACCGAUUGGACCCUGACUUGAGAGAUGCGACCACAAACAGAAGAUGAAAAAUAUCAAUAAAAUCUUUUUGAGUUUUGAAUUUGACACUUAACAUAAAACUGACACCAACAAACUAUGAAAGAAAAAUCUUUUUGGUAUUUUCGUUAUAUGAAAUGUACAAAACUUCUACCAUCUUUUUUUGCAUUUUUCCUUUAUAAAAAGCUCCAAUUAAAAAUAAUCUUUUUGAAAAUUUUGAAUUAUGAGUGCAUGGUAAAGGAGCAAAAGGAAUUUUUUUUUUAAUUUUUUUUGAGAAAAUGAGUGCAAAAAGUAAAAAAAAUCUUUUUGAAUUUUUAGAUUGUGAAAAAAAAAUCAAAAGUCAUAAAGAACUCUAAAAACUAUGAACUCUCUUUUUUCUUUUCGACUCACUUUUUGUUUCUUUUUUUUUUUCUUUUUUUUUAAUUUUUCAUUGCCUACACACUUUACUUCUAACAUAUGCUUUCCCCAAAUCAGUCUGUCAAAUGACCACGUUACCCUCAAAGAUGCAACAAUUAGCACGUAGGGAUGCUUUAGAGGUGAGUCUCCUACAAAGGGUCACGUGGGUCCCUCUAGGUCUCAAUAUGAUAAAGAUAAGCAUGACCUAAAGACUGACCUACAUUGGGGUCCACUAACAAGGUUGUUCAGGGGAGCGUAUGGUCGAUAAUGGCUUGCUUUAGCUGUCCACCUACUCUAUACAACCCAACGGCUCCCCCUCCUAAAAUAAGGGUGACUCAACUAUAGGUCGUGUACACACGUGUACUACGGACUUGUUGCAGGAAGAAAAACUCGGAUUAUGCAUGCGAUGUCAGCUAUAAAGCGGUAACAUAUAAAGUAAAAAUUGUAAAGAAAGAGCAUGUAGGCACUCAACAAUGAUAAACAAUAACUCAAAACACAAACAAAAUGUCUAUACACCUGUAGUGCCAAACAAAGCCAAUACAAAUCCAAAAUAAGCUCGAAUUCUGAAAAAUCCCCAGCAGAGUCGCCAGAGCUGUCACACCCCCCUUUUAACCAAAAAAUUAUUUUUAAAAUUUGAAACUGUUUUUAUUAUUAAGUGACAAAAGAAAAUGAUUUAUUCUGUAAUGGAUUAUUUAUAUUCAAAACUCAGAGUCGCCACUUGACAUAAUCCGGUGUGCCAAGUCACCUUUGGAAAAUUCUAUUCAAAAUGAUUUGACUCUUUAAAACUAGUUUGUGACAAGAGAUUCCGGCUAAGGAAUUCUGUUGACCGAGGGGAAGGUGUUAGGCACCCCUCGAUCCCGUGGUUCGACCACGGUCGCUUGGUGGAGCAUAUCGGCUUAUUUAAACACUAUGAAUGUAUAAACCACACAAAAGCACAUAAAACAGUCAAUCAAAACAAACCUAAAAUAUAAUGUCCAGUCUAAUUAUACAGUUUGAAAUAGAAAAGUGCGAAAAAUAUAAACCUGCUCUAUUCUAACCCUAUACUAUGCUUUACCCGACGCCUUGGGCCUUCAUCACGAACAUCCUCUGGGUACAGGAUACUUUGGGGCAUUGUCCGAUAAAUAAAUACAGAUGGACUCGGGGCAUUCCUUGGCUAAAUAAAUACAUUUUUAGUGCAAGAAAAUCAAACCACUCGACGAAAUUUCAAACAUUCAACAAAACCACAAGUCUUAAACUUUUUCUACCCAAAACCUAUGAUUUGCCUACCAAUCCUCGGUCUAAACAGGAUACUAUCGACAUUCAACAUCAACAAUGACUCAAAAAUACCAUAAUAUCCACUUUUUAUUAAUUUUCUAUUUCCACCCCCAAAUCCAUUCUCAAUAUGAUUAAACCAAUUCCAUACUCAAUCCACCAAUCAAGUUUUAAAUCCAACAUAAAACACCACACAACAAAGAUUUGAACACACAAAUCAUUCACGAUUAUGUAAAAAUUAAAGGGAGAGAAGAUAGAAUUGGACCUAAAGAGCUUUUGAUUGACGUAAGAAGAGAAAUAAGAGCCAUCUAUCCCGAGAACCUUAAAGAAUACCAACAAAAUCUUGACUCUCCAAAUCAGUCUAGAAACAGUCCCAAAAACAUGAUAACUCGAAUUUCGAUUUGAACGAAAAAUCUACUAAGCACGGAUGAAUACUAGAGACCAAAAUGAUGAGAAAACUAAUAGAAAUUGUGUGGUCAAAACUCCAGUGAACGCAAACUGUGGCACAAAUAGCCGGAAAGAGGAUCAAAUAUUUGGCAGAUUUGAAGGUUUUCUAGAUAGAAUCACUUGAAAACAACUAGAAACAGACAGUUUCGGUGAAGAGGUCGCCGGAAAACUAAAACCCACCAGAUUCUACUCGAUCUCCUCUCUUUCUCUCUCUCUCUCUUCAUUACUCUCUCUGUUACUCAUCUCUCCCUCGUGAUCUCCCUCUCAAUUUCUCCAUGAGUGUGAUUUUUGUAGGUGACGGUGUGUGCGAUGAAGCUCUGUUAUGUGGAGAAGACAGUGGUUCAUUUAUUUAGUGAGGAUUAGUGUAUAUUCAUAUCUGGAGAGAUUAUAUUCGUGAGUUGUCCUCUCAAAAAGAUGAUGGUUGUCCCUCCCUUUGUAUCUGUAUGGAGUAUAAAAAAAUGGAGAGCUUUUCUGUGGGUGUCCUUCUCAUGUGUGUGAGAAUAUGAUGAAUGUAAAAAUGGAAAUUAUAUCCCCCCCCCCCAAAUGGAAAAUUACUGUGGGUACCUUUAUGUGAAUUUUUAUUCUCUUUUUUGUCCAUUCUAUUAUGGAAAAAGGAUGAGGAAAAUGUCAGUAAGUAAGAAGUGAGCGUGGAGAACACAUGGCAGGGUAGGGGUAGGGGUAAGAUAGGUGAGGGUAAGGGUGUGGGUGAUAGGAGGAUUAAAAAAAGAUAAAAUUUAUUAGGAAUUUUGGUAAGGGUUAUUAUUUUUUGUAUUUUUGUGAGAUAUAAUCACAUAGGUGAGAGUGUAUGAUAACAAGAGGUAAUAAAAUGGAUAAAUUGAGUUUUGCGAGGGACAAAACUAUGUGUCUACUGGUAGUACAUAUCUCAAGGCUUGUGAUGUGUGGAUGGGUAUUAAAUAAAGAUUUGAUAAAACAGAUGGAUCAAGAACUUACAAUUUGUAUCAAGAAAUUACAACUAUGUCCCAAGGUGUUCAAUAUGUUUCAUCUAUUUCACUAAGUUGAAAGUUUUAACGGAUGAGUUUGAGUCAUUAGUCACAUCACCUUCUUGUAACUAUGAAAAAUCAAGAGAUUUUUAGCUUUUCUUCAAAGGCAAAAGUUGUAUUAGUUUCUAAUGGGCUUGAAUGAUUCAUACUCACAAGAAAAAGCCAAAUCUUGUUAAUGACACUACUACCUACUGUUAACAUGGCCUACUCCAUGAUCAUAAGUGAUGAGAAUCAAAAUUCUAUAGCUCAGUCAGUACAGGAAACAAGUCUUCUUAGUGUGCACCUAUUACAAUUGAUGAUGUUGCAAUGUACUCUAAAACUGGAUAUCAAGGUGGUUAUCAAAAUUGAAAAAGGAACUAUGUUUCAACUUAUAACUCAAAUGAUGUUUGUGAUCAUUGUAAGAUGAAAGGUCACUAUAAUAUGGAUAUCUACAAGUUAGUUGGAUAUCCACCAGGUCAACCAAAACAUGGAGAUCAAAGAGUUAACAAUGACUUCAGAAGUGGCUUUGAUGACAAAAUUAACCAGAGAAAGGUUGCUUCUAGUGCUCAUAAUGUUAUGGUUGAAGACUGGCAGCUACAACCUCAACAGAGUCAAUCACAUGGUGCUUAUCUGGCUUCAAAAAAUUUACCAAAGGAUGGGAUGAUUACACCAAUGUUUACACCUAGCAGUAUGAUCAAAUUUGCAAAAUACUGGAACAACAGAAUCAAGUUUCAGCAUUUAUGCCCUCUACUAUUGUAGCAAAUAUGACAGGUAUUGGUAGGGCCCUGUUGGUCCACAAUAAACCACAUGAGUGGAUUAUUUAUAUAGGUGCUACAAAUCACAUGACAAUAGACAUUGAACUUCUAAAUAAAGGUUCAAUAUCUGAGUCAAUACAUCCACAAAAAGUAACAUUACCAAAUGGUGAUAAGUCAAUUGUUACACACACUGGAUCUAGAAGUAUCUCUAAUAGGAAUACUAUAUAAAAAGUGUUCCAUUUACCUCAAUUCAAAUAUAACUUAUUGUCGGUAUCACAGGCUACUAAAAAACUUAAUUGUUCUGUAACUUUCUUUCUUACCUUUUGUGUGUUUCAAGAACUUUGGCAUGGGAAGGCAAAGGAGAUUGGAAAAGAGAAAAAUGGACUAUACUUCUUAUUGAGAAAAAAACUUCUAGGGCAUGGCAAAGUAGCAGGUUGUGUGUUCAAUACUCAGAAUAUAAAUAAAUUUGAUCUAAGGCUUUGGAAUAAGACACUUGGACAUGUUCCUUUUAGGACACUAUCUCACAUGUUUUAUAUGUCAAAAACUCAUGUAGAUGACAAUAUAUAUAAGUGUGAAGUCUGUCCAUUUUCUAAACAAACUAGGCUAACCUUUCCUUCUAGCAGUACAUCUAGUGUUAAAGCUUUUGACUUAGUGCAUAUGGAUCUCUGGGGUCCUUAUAAGGUUUCUACUUAUGAUGGACAUAGGUCCUUCUUAAUUGUUGUGGAUGAUUUUACUAGAAUGACAUGUAUAUUUUUACUUGAAUUGAAAUCUGAUGUUGUAGCUAUUUUGAAGCAUUUCUUAUCUUAUGUUCAUACUCAGUUUAAAACAUGUGUAAAAGUCAUCAUGAUAGACAAUGGAACUGAGUUUGUUAACAACUCAUGCACUAAUUUGUUUGCAAACUUAGGGAUAAAGCAUCAAACCUCCUGAUCUUAUAAAUCCCAACAAAAUGGUGUGGCUGAAAUAAAGCACAAGCAUUUGUUGGAAGUGACCAUGGAUUUAAGGUUUCAAGCUAAUAUACCUUUAAAGUUUUAGGGAUAUUGUGUACAAGCAGCAACAUACUUGAUUAAUAGGCUUUCAUCUGUUAUGUUAGGUUAUAUGAUACCUAAUGAGAGGAUGCAUAAUAGAAAACCUUCCUUAGAUCAUCUAAAGGUAUUAGGAUGUCUAUGUUAUGCAAAAACUGUCAAUGAGUCGGAUAAACUAAUGCCUAGAUCUAGAAAAGCAAUUUAUAUGGGAUAUUCAAAAACAAAGAAGGGCUACAUUCUCUAUGAUCUUACUAACAAAAUUUUCUUUGUAAAUAGGGAUGUGGUGUUCAGAGAGGACAUAUUUCCAUUUAACACCGAUCUAGAUCAAUCUCUAUAACAUGUGUUUGCUCCAUAUGAUCUAGAAGCGAAAUCACCUAAUACCACUGGAUUGACUAGACCUCAACCUGAUGUUGAUCUUUAACAGUGAACCAUAAGUGACUUUACUACAGAUUAACCAAGUACUACACAUAGUCAACCAGUACAACUCACUGCACAGGAUCACCAUGUACAACCUGUUCCAACAAGAAGAAUAACAAGAUUUAUUACUAGACAGCAGGUUGCAGAACAGACUGUCACAACAAGGAUCACAACUAGACCACAACCAACUACUCAACAAGACCAAAUAAAAUCUACUAGGGGUUCAAAUCCGCCUGCAUGGAUGAAAUAUUUUGUGUCAUUGACUAUUAAUGACAAUGUUUUAUACCCUUUAUCUAAUUAUAUUUCUUAUGAUAAUAUAUCUACUAAGUAUCAAUGCUACCUAUCCAAUUUUUCUAACAUUAUGAAGCCUACCUCUUAUGCAGAAGUAGUAAAGGAUCCAAGAUGGGUAGAUGCUAUACAAACUGAAGUGGCUGUACUUCAAAACAACAAUACCUAGUAAGUAGUUGAUCUUCCAGCAGGCAAGCAACCUAUAAGGUGCAAAUGGAUCUACAAGAUCAAGUGUAAGCAUUAGGAAAAGUAGAAAAAUUUUAGGAAAUACCAGUUGCAAAAGGUUUUAGUCAGAAAGAAGGCAUAAACUACCAAGAAACAUUUUGUCCAGAGGUAAAAAUGAUCAUAUUGAGAAUAGUUUUGGCAAUAGCUACUACUAGACACUGGCACAUUCAUCAAAUAUAUGUGUUCAAUUCUUUCCCACAAGGAUAUUUAGAGGAUGAUCUACAUGAAGCUCCCACAAGGAUUUAGAGGUCAGGGGGAGAAUAAACAAGUACAUAGACUUACUAAAUUCUUGUAUGGAUUGAAACAAGCACUAAGACAGUGAAAUGCAAAGCUUCUCAGGCAUUAAUCAACUGCAAAUUUAGGUAAAGAAAAUAUGAUCAUUCAUUAUACAUUAAGGAAAUCAAUGAUGAAAUGAUUGUUGUACUAGUAUAUGUUUAUGAUAUACUAGUAACUGGGGAUAAGAUAGAUCAGGUAAUGGAGACAAAGGAAACUCUUCAUAAGGCCGUCAAGAUGAAAGGCUUAGGAGAAUUGAAAUACUUUCUAGGUAUUGAGUUUGCAAGGUCUAAACAAGGGAUUGUGAUGUACCAAAGGAAGUGUACCCUUGAGUAGUAACUAUGAUCAACAUGUUUCAUCAGUUGUAAGGCUUAAUGAUGAAAAACUGUAUGACCAAAGAAUGUAUCAAAGAAUAAUAGGGAAGCUUCUAUAUAUUAUAGUAACAAGACCAGACAUAGCUUAUAGUGUUCAAACUCUAAACCAAUUCUUGUAGAAUCCAAAAUAAUCUCACAUGAAUGUAGCACUCAGAGUUAUCAGAUAUAUAAAAGGAAAUCCAGGACACGGACUUCUGAUGUAUAGUGCAAGAAGAUGUUCUUGUUAAAUCUCUUAUUUUUUAAUAAGUGGUUUCAUAUUUUAUAAAACAGUCCUCCGGCCAAAAAGUCAAAACUUCUAAAAUAAUAUUAUUACUAGUUUGUUAUGAUAUUGAUGUAUAUUAGUUGUAGUAAAUGUCUAUCAAGAAUAUAGAUAAUAUCUGUCAAGAUUUAGCUGAUAUCUUCAGUAUUUGAAGUAGCCAUCUUUUAGAGGGAAACUGGGAGUAAAUUUCUCCUAUAUAAGGGCUUCCUUUAUUGUAAAUCGUCCCUCAAGAGAAAAAAUAAUUACUCUCUCUAAUCUUGUUUUUCUGUACUUUAUUUUUUAUAACAUGUUAUCAGCAUGAUACUCUACAAGUGAAGAUAUUUAUUUGAUUGAUUCUGGCACUACACAUGCGAUAUUCAAAGACGAUAAAUAUUUCUCUCAUCUAAACAUGAGCUAUAUUAAUGUUACUAUAAUUUCUGGUAGCACUAAUUUGAUUGAAGGCUUCAGAAAAGCCAUUAGAAUCUUGCUCAAGGGAGCUAAACUCAUCAUAAAUUAUGCUAUGUUUUCUCUUAAGUUUGGGAGAAACUUGUUGAGUUUUAAAGAUAUCUGUGAAAAUGGUAUCAUAUCAAGACAAUUGAUGAGAUGAAUCUUGAAUAUCUUGAUAUCACCAAGAAUGUCUCUGGGAAGACAUGUGUUAUAGAAAAGUUCUCUGCUUUAUCUUCUGGCAUGUAUUGAACAAAGAUUUGUACAAUUGAGGUACAUUUUAUAGUAAACCAGAAGUUUACUAAUUCCAGUACUUUUGGACUUUGGCAUGCUCGUCUGGAACAUUCCAAGAGGUGGGUGACAAUAGGCAUGAAUGCAUACAUGGGGAUAUUUGUGAACCCGUUCACCCACCUAAUGGGUCGUUUAGAUACUUUAUGCUCCUAAUAGAUACUUCUUUUAAAUGGUCUCGUGUGUGCCUAUUGUCAUCUCGCAACUUGGCAUUUGCAAAAUUAUUGGCACAAAUAAUAUGAUCAAGGGCACAGUUUUCUAAUAAUCAUAUUAAAUCUAUUCGCCUUGAUAAUGUUGCAAGACUUUCAUCCCAAGCAUUUAAUGACUAUUUCUUAUAGAUUAGGAUAAGAGUGAAACAUCUUGUAGCUCGUGUUCACACUCAAAAUGGCCUUGUCGAGUUAUUAAUUAAACAUUUUCACUUGAUAGCAAGACCAUUACUUAUGAGAACUAAGUUUUCCACUUCUAAUUGGGCUUAUGUGUAACACCCCGUAUUUUUCUAGUAUAAUUUAAGUCCUAAUAUAUGAGUAUUCAUAUAUAUAUAUAUAUAUAAAUAUAUAUAUAUAUUAACACUCAUUAUUUUUCAGUUUAGAGUCUGCCAUUGUGUAGAAAAUUAAAGUAGCUUUCCAAAGAUAUAAAAUUUGCCAAAAUUUGAUAAUCGGAUAAGAAGUUAUGGCGAUUUAAAGUUUCAGUCAUUAAACACCGUUAUUUUAACCCUUAGCGCGUUGUGUAGGCAGCCCAAAUGACAAUUGUCGAUUUCCAGUGUGACUCCGCGAUUAUGGUGCGUCGUGGAGAAGGCUAAUUUCCCAUUUGUCAAUUUUCAAUGAACCUCCGUGAUCAUGGAGCACCGCGGAGAUGGAAAAAUUGGCAUCCAUAGGCUUACCGUGAUAUAUAGUGGCGUAUUGCGGCAUUUGUUCAGGUCCCAAUUGUCCUUUUUUCAGUGGCUUGAUGCGAUAGUGACGCAUCACGCCAAGGCCAAAAAUCAGUAUUUCAAUUUCCAGCUUGUGUUUUAAAUUUGUUUAAGAGUAUUUGAGUCUUUUUCCUAAGACUUAAACUAGUCCUAAACAUAAAAUUUAACCCCUAAUUGACCUAAAUACUCAUCAUUAUUCACUUUCUCUCAAAUUAAAAAUCCCCUUUUUCAAGAACAAGAAACCCUAGCUCUCAAGAAUCAAGGCCAAAUCUCAAGAACACACCAUCAACCAAUUCAUCCAUUAAGGUAUGUUGGAUGUUCAUACAUGGAUACCUUUCAUCCAUGGAGUCCAAGUAUCCAUUUUAAUGACAAAUCUAUCAUAUUUUCAGGUUUAUUUGAUUUUAAAUUAUGAUUUCAUCCAUGAAUCUCCAUGUACUAGUGAUUUCAUACCAUGUCACCAUGAAAUUAUUGUUAUUAUUCAAUCCUCCAUGUUUUAAUAUUGUUAUUUACUGAACAAAACCAUGAUUUAACUCUAUUAUGUCGGAUUUAUGCUAUUUCUAUAUGUUUUAGGACAUUCCUAUGAUUGUUUUGAACCAUGAACUAUAAGUGUUUGAUAAAAUGCUACAAGAGUAAAUGUUUUAUGGAAGCCUUCAUGUUAUGUCCUGCAAUGUUUUAUUGUCAUGAUAAUAUUAUUGUUUUGAGUCCUGGGGGUAUUAAAUACCUGAAACCAUAGUUGUUUACUUAGUGUUGUUUUAGUAUCUUAAGAAUAACUUUAAAUUAAAUCAUGAGUAUUAUCAGAACAGUCAGUUAAACUCAGAACGAUUAGUUGGGAGUAGGAUUUAGCAUCGAGCGAGUGUAGGCAUGGAGGCUUCCCCAUCAGAUAGGCAGAGUCUUUAGUAGCAGUCCUUAUACUCCAGAACUACGUAGCCAGCAUAGGAUAUGAGAAGUCACCCAUCAUAAUAGGCUUGACUAUCUCGCAGGGUCACCCGUCAGUUCAGGCAUGACACCCUUAGUCCUUUGGACAUUAUAUCAGUUUAGUGGAUCCACACAACCAAUGUUAGUACCCGUGACACGGUAUUAACACCCAUCUAAUUGGGGUUAUAGGUUGGACUCUGAUUAGCUCAGAUUAGUGCAUGUCGGUUAGAUGAUACCUUCCACAGUCUCAGAUAUAGUCCUAGUUCAGUUAUGCAGUCUUAGAGUUGUUUGACCAAAGCAUACUGAUAUCAGUAUUUUGUCAGUAAUUUAGUUUAAAGAUUUUACUCAGUCUAUGUUAUAUGCUUGGUCAUGCAUCCUCAGGGUCUACAUAUUUUCAUGUAUUUUCAGUAUUUAGAGACUCUCAUGCAUAUAUAGUAUUUACUGAUUUACAUAUCUCCGGUAUCUAUAGAUUUCAUGUCCUAUACUCAGUACUCUAUGCUUACAUAUAUAUUCAGAUAGUUUAUUACUCCUAUUCAUAAAACCUUGCAUGUCAGCCUACCUCAUUUAGCAUACUAGUAUAUUCAAAGUACUUAUCGCAUACUUUUUAUUUUGCACUAUGAUGUCUCAUAUCAUAGAUGUUGACGCUCAGUUCCUGGAUCAAACCUAAAUUCUUAGAUUAUGAGCAGUACAAUAGCAGUGGUGAGUCCUCAUCAUCCGAGGACAAAUUAUAUUACUUCAUGUCCUUAUCCUAGUAGUUAGUAGAGUUAGUUGGGGGCCUGCUUUAUCAACUCACAGUAUUCAGUUUAGAGGCUUUCCAGACACUACAGUUAGCUAUUCAGAUUAUUCAGAUUUAAGUAUUAUACCAGAUUCAUAAUUUAGUAGUCGUUUCAUUAUUAAAACCUUAUGGCAUUUUAGUUAUUCUUCCACAUUCAUGAUUAUAUUAUUCAGUGCUCAUAGCAGGUACCAGCUGAUGGGUUAGCUUGUGGUCCCUCAGGAUCAUAAGCACCGUGUAAUGACUAAGGGUAGUCUCAGAUCGUUACAUCAUGCGAUUUUUCAUACUGCAAUACUUGUUCAUCUUAGACUGACAAAUCAUCAUAAAUUUUAUCUAUUGCAAUUGGUUGGCUCAAGAGCCUAAUACAUCUCAUCUGAGAAUUCUUGGGUGUGUUGUAUAUGUGCCUAUAGCACCACCAAAUUGCACCAAGAUAGGCCCCCAAAGAAGGUUAGGAAUUUAUAUUGGGUUUGAAUCACCCUCCAUUAUUUGCUAUCUUAAACCAUUAAUGGGAGAUAUGUUCACUUCUCGAUUUGCAAAUUUUUAGUUUGAUGAGACAGUUUUCCCAAAAAUUAGGGGGAAAAGAUAGUGACAUCAAAAGAGAAAUUUUAUGAAAAAAUUCAUCACUGUCUCAUCUUGAUCCACACAUUUUUAAUUAUGAGCAAGAAAUACAAAAGAUUAUUUAUCUGUAGAAAAUUACAAAUCAAAUGUCAGACAUAUUUACAGAUUUAAAAAGGAUCACCAAAUCAUAUAUUCUUGCAGAGAAUGUACUAAUUCGAAAUGAUAUUCCUAAAGGGCCAUCCACCAGUGUCAUACCUAAUGAGUCCAAAGUACGCUUGAAGUGUGGUAGAUCAUUGGAUUCUAAGGAUCGAAAUCCUAGAAAAAAAUAAAUUAUCAAGAUGACACUAUGAAAGAUCCUCAUAUGGAAAUUCAAGAUUUGGACAAUGUUGAUAUCCUUAAAGGAAUCAUUGGGCCUGAGACUCAAGAAAAUGAGGAACUAUCCAUAAAUUCAAGUGAUGUUGGAACUAAUUUGAACCGAUCCAAAAUAGUAGUGGAUUAUGUCUUUGCAUAUAAUGUUGCAACAAAAAUCAUACAAGAUAGUGAAGAUCUUGAAUCUCAAUCUAUCACAGAAUGUCGACAAAGAAAUGAUUGGCCAAAAUGGAAAGAAGUAAUUCAAUUUUAAUUGAAUUCACUUGUCAAACAUGAAGUUUUUAGACCUAAUGGUGUUAAGCCUAUUGGCUACAAAUGGGUCUUUGUACAAAAAAGAAAUGAGAAAAAUAAAAUACUAAGGUAUAAGGCACGUCUUGUUGCAUAAGUAUUUUCACAACGGCCUGGUGUCGAUUAUGACAAGGCAUAUUCACCAGUUAUGGAUGCAAUAACAUUGCGUUAUCUUAUUAGUUUCACUGUUCAUGGGAGACUUGAAAUGCAUUUGAUGGAUGUGGUAACAACCCAUCUAUAUGGAUCACUUGAUAAUUAGAUAUACAUGAAAAUUUCUGAAGAAUUUAAAAUUUCGGAAGCAUAUAGUUCAAAACCUCAAAAAAUGUAUUCCAUUAGAUUGCAAAGAUCAUUGCAUGUUUUGAAGCAAUCUAGAUGCAUGUGGUAUAACCGUCUUAGUGAAUAUUUAUCUAAGGAAGGUUAUACAAAUGAUGAAAUUUGUCCAUGUAUUUUUAUAAAGAAAACAACGUCGGAGUUUGUUAUACUUAUUGUCUAUUCGGUGACAUAAACCUUAUUGGAACUCUAAUAGAGCUUCAAAGGUUCAUUGAUUAUCUAAAGAAAGAAUUUGAGAUGAAAGAUCUCAAAAAGACCUAAUUAUGUCUUGGUUUGCAAAUUGAGCAUUUGACAAAUGGUAUCUUUGUCCAUCACUCUCUCUACUCCUUUUUCCUUCCAUACACGAUUGAAGUACCCCUUCAUUACUGAUUGUAGAGGAUUCAAACCCAUCACAUAGCAUAUUACCGCUGACUCCCAAAAAUUUACCUCCUUUUGAACAUCUUGCAUCGUUAUUUUAACUGUAGUACUCGGCUCCUUAAGAUUAUCCAAUUCAAAUUCCUCUAUAUUUCUCCCAACACUUACAAUUCACUUCAUUUGUUCUCACUAGAUUUCAGUGCCCAUGAGUCAUUAUGGUGUAUGACUGGGUCUUCCUCAACCAUAUCUACCCAGCUUGUUUUGCCUUAACUCUUUGAUUGCGAAGUCAUCGUAUCCUCCAAAUUUGAGGUUUUGGUCAUAGGUGUACUGUGUGGUAACUGGAAUGGCACUAUCCUUUGUAAUUCAUUCACAUUCUGUAUUUUUUUUGUAUCUCCCGAUUGUGGUACUGGCUUUGUAUUAUUGUUGGUGGACCGAUUUACUAUUUGGCUCUGUGAAUUUGUCCCUCCGAGCUUCGAUUUCCUUGCCAUUUUCGAUUUUCACUAAGAGAGAUCGCCAUCUCUACAAAGAGAAUUUUUUUGCAACUUAAAGCAGUACUUUCUUGAUUAACGAAUAGGAAAGGAUUUUGGAGUUCUAACUUCUAACCAUCACGAAGUUUUUUCUCCUCAUAUAUAACUGGUGUAACUACCUCUAUUAUAUUUUUCUUCCCUUUAUUUUUCAUAAAAGGACUAGUCAUAGUUACUCGAGAAAAUUGAAGAAUAGGUGUCUUUUAAGUCUUGAAUGAAGGAUUGGUGACAUUGACCAUCAGAUAGGGGUCAAAUAUUAUUAGGAAACUUGAUCAAGUUAAUUGUGGACUUGAUUAAUAUUUUCAAAACUUUCUAAUUUUUUCAAAAAUACAAAUCAACUCAACCCACACCCUCUUCAAUCCAAAUCAACCACUCUCUUCUCUCUCUCGACAGCUUCUCUCAACUAACAGUUCUGCAAAAUUUCUCCCUUCAACCCCCGACGAUAAAUAGUUGGGCUUCGAGUACCCCUCUUCAAUUCAAUCAACCUGUCUCUCAUCCCUCAGCUUCUCUCAACUCUCUCCCAACCAACUAUUUUGCAAAUUUCUCAUUUCAAUCCUUGGCGACUUUAACAUUUGACUAUAAAUAGUUGGGCUUCGAGUUCCUUUUCGACUUCAAUCAAUGUGACAGCCUUGCUCUCCAACACAACAACUUCGAAUUCUUCAUCGGUCCUUUUCUUCUUUCACAGGUAAAAAUUUAUGGCCUUUUUAGUUUUGAAGAAAAUGAGGAACUUGAGCCAACUUCUUUUACAGUAUUGGUUAACAAUUUCAAUAUUUGUUGUACUAAUUUAAAAUGUGGUCUGAAUAAAAUCCUAAUUUCCAGUAUUUCUUCUCUUCUCUUUUUGAAGUGAAUUAUGAUAUUUUGUUGUUUGUUACAUUUUUUUGAAGUUUGAUUUUUAUUGUUUGUGUUUAUAAAAACAAAAGGAAAAUUUUAUUUGAUUUGUUCUGUUCUUGUUCUUCGUAAAAAUGGUGAAAUUGCUGUUUUUUGUUUAACAAAAUUGUGCUACUGUUUCCCCCGAUAGAUUACCCAUCUGGUGCAACAUAUUAACCAUCUGAUGUAAUAGAUUUAUUAUAUGAUGCAAUAGAUCAACCAUCUGAUGCAUCAGAGGAACCAUCAAAUUAUAAUUCUGAUGCAACAGAUUAAUAAUCUGACGCAACAACUUUACCAUAUGUUGCAACAGAUUAAGCUUCGGCUAAAAAAUCUGAUGCAACUAAUUAACCAUCUGGUGCAAUGGAAGAACUAUCAGAUUAAUGAUCUGAUGCAAUAGAUGAACCUCCUAUUGGAUAAAAUCCUACCAACUCUUCCUACAGGAAAAGUUCAAGACUUGAUUUUUCCAACGCGAUAAACGACCCUACGUUGGAAGAAAUUUAAACAAUAUUGAUCGUUGAUAACUGUUCCAACGGAUCACUUAUGUGUUGCAAUAGAUGUCUGGCCUGUUGCACAGACCAUUCAUCUUUCUCAACAGAUGAGUGAUAUGUUUUGUAUUAUUGCAACAGAUUACUCAGCCAUUGCUACAGAUUAUUUAACUGUUCCAAUAGAUCACUCAUAUGUUGCAAUAGAUGAUGUCACAACAGUUGUGUGAUCUGUUGAACAGAACAUUCAUCUAGCUUAAAAGAUGAGUGUAUGUUUUGUAUUAUUGCAACAGAAUACUCAUCCGCUGCAACAAUUUAGUUAUAUGCUGCAACAGAUAUACUACCUAGUGUAACAGAUCGGUGAUCUGUUGCUACUGUUAUUUUACUAUUUUGCUUGUUUGAUUUACUAUUAUCCUUUUUUAACGAUACAUUAAUCAACAAUAAUAUAUUAUUUUAUGUUCCUGUUAAUUUUAGAUAAUAUGAUUCUCAAAAGAACAAAAACCGAAUCAAGUCCAAGUAAAGGAACAAGUGAAGCAGCUAGGCUAUAUCCACCACUCUAUGAGCUUGCUUUACAAGCGUUAUCUAAAUCUGGAAUAGAAUAUGAUGAACACGGGGAGGAGGAAUGUUUCAAAAGAGAUGAUGCAGAUGCUAAUAGCCCUUCCACCGAAGAGCUGGUCAAAGCCUUCAACAUUGAUCGUUAUCCUAUGAGAAUGCAGUGCGAUGGUGCCGCAGAUUUAAUGGGUGAUUUCAUGGUUAAGUUAGCCAUGGGAAAAUCUUUCGACGCCUUCAGAAAAAUACUUCAAGAAGAAAAAUUGGAUGCUUAUUUGGACAGCUGCUUUGGGAAAUAUCUUGAUUUGCCGAAGGAUAACAAUGUUCGUUUCCAAAUGAAAAUGGUAUAUGAACUUCUUAAGCUUAGGUUUAUGUAUGAAAACAAAGAUAAGAUGGCUGAGGUAUGGAUAAAUUACUGUGGCAUGCCUGUUUGUUUUGGUUGGAAGGAGUUUGCCAUAGUUACUAGACUAAAAUGUUAUCCUCCUUCUCAAGUUAUACCUAUUCUAACCCCAAAAAAGAGCACCUCGCACACUCAAAAAAGGCAAAGGCAAGUCGUGUGAUCGUAAUGACCUGGUGUCCAUUGUUGGUCCAAGCUUCAAAAAUAAAAAUUUGAUAGAAGGGUUGAAAGCUAAAGGACUUUCAAAGAAGCAAAAGCAGUCAUUGUGCUUGGUUUGGUUUGUACAUAAUAUUCUUUGGGCGAGAGACAUUAACAACAACAUAAGCAUCAGUUUAAUAAAUCUCUCUGAGGAUCUUGAGGCAUUUAACAGCUAUCCAUGGGGGUAUGAAAGCUUCAAAAUGACUGUCAAAUAUUUAUUGACUCCGUUAGCGCCAAAGACAGUCAACUUAUAUGGCUUCCCAUGGGCUUUCAUGGUAAAUGUUUCUUUCUUUCAAUAAUGGUUUUGAUUUAUUUACGUUAUUUUAUAGGCUUGGGAGUUUUAAGCUAUUCCUUAUUUGAGACAGCAAGUGAACUACCAGGAAGGAGUUUCCUGUCCAAGAAUCUUGAGAUAGUUGUCGGCCAAAACUGAUAAAAAUGUAAAAUUUCUUGAUCUCUUCAACCCUCGAAGGAUGCAGUAAGCAUAAUUAUAAUUAAUUUUUUAUUUUAAUUAAUGUCUUUUUUUGAAUAAUCUAAUCAUCAUUCUAAUAUAUGUAAUGAUUUGUGUUAGAAUGUGCAUCCGUCGCUAGUUCCGACCAAUUGAGAGUUGAAGAUGCCAUUUUUUCUUACUUUACGGUCUGUGCAAACUUUAUCGGACCCUAAGGUCAUUGAAGAAUAAAAAUGGAAUUGUUUGGAGCAACAACCAUUACAAGAAAAAUAAUUUUGGAGGGUGGGAUUGUUGUUGUUGAUGGAGCUGUUGGUGGUGGUAGUGGUGUUGCUGUUGGUGCUAAUGAUGCUCCUCUUACAGUAUUCAAAGCAAAUCAUUAUAAGUAUGAUCAUACUGGUUAUACAGAUUUUGCCUCUCCCAGCCAAUGUUUUGCAUGCAAAUGUCAAGACUGCAGGGCGAAACAUGAUAUAGUGAUUAAUACUAUUAAUGCAUUAACUCCUUCUGUAAAGAAAUUGACAUCUAAGAGGGGUCUUAUUCCAUAAAAGAGGAUUUUAUUUCCAUCCUCUAGAUUAGAUAUUAGGGCUAAGAGGAGAGGGAGAGUGAUUUUUAGGGCAUUUCAGGCAUCCAAAAAAGCAAAAUUGUAACUCCUCUGUCUGUGUGUUGCACUGAGCAACGUACAAUGUCCAAAGGAGAGCAGCACGAGCUGAAGAAAGUAAAUAUAUUAUAUGUCUUCCAACUGACAAAACAAACAGACACAUAUCUGUUUCAACAAAUGACACAUCUGCUGAAAAUUAUCAAAUCGAUAUCUAUAUUUGUUGCAACAGUUGACUAACCUGUUGCACCAAAUACUUUAUCCGGUGCAACAUAUGUCUCGUCUAUUUUAGUAAAUCAAACAGCUCUUUGUACAGCUUUUAUUUGUACUAACAGGUGACUUAUCUACUGCAACAGAUGAUUCAUAUGUUGCAAAGGAUGGUUCAUCCGUUGAAAAUUAUCACAAAGGGUUUUCCUCAUGUAAAAAUUUGUUCCAACAAUUGAUUCAUUGUUCCAACAGAAAUUUAAUAUGUUUGGGACAAUUUAAAAUGGGAGGAAGACUUGUUUGAUUUGCUAAAAGAGAUGAGUUAUCCUAUUCCAUUUUGUUAUAUCUCCGUGAUUAGCAUUGACCAAUUCUAGAUCACCAGGCGGAUGUAGAAGAAGCUACUGCUGAACAAUAUUGACAAUAUGCUACUCUUUUUAUGGAAAUAUAGAGAACAGAAAGCGCAGAAACCGUACGCAAGCGACAAUGAAGAUCCACGACGAGCAAAGCCAAAUUCCAUAGCACCGGAUGAAGAACAACUUGUCCAUACUGAGUAGAUCUUUAUAGCUUGAGCCAGUCAAAGUAAUCCUUGGCAGUAUACUUAAAUUGUUGUUGAUGUAUUUGUUAAUAUCUGUACCCAUAACAAUUUUUUUACAUUUCAUUUAUUUGUUGACUUAUUUCAGCUAAUUUAUGAAGGCUUCGAUUUAUUUUAUUUUGUCUAUGAAUUUUAUUUAUUCCUUAGAUUUGAACUUAUUAAUUGAAAAGGAAUACUAGAUUCAGAUAUUGCAAUAGAUAAUGUAUCUGUUACAAUAGACGACACAUCUAUUGGAAAAUUCGAACAAAUUUAGACAUAUGUUGCAACAGGUAGGUGGUCUAUUGAAAUUUAUCAAACAGGUCUUCCCACUGUUGCAACAGAUGGACUUUAGAUAAAAACAUCGAGAUAAUGCAACAGAUAACACAUCUAUUGGAAAAAAGAACAGAUUUAGACAUAUGUUGCAACAGAUGGACUUUAUCUGUUGCAACAGACGACACAUCUAUUGGAAUAAUCAAAUAAAUUUAUACAUAUGUCAUAACAGGUAGGUUAUAUUGGAAUUUAUCAAACAAGUCUUCCUACUGUUGCAACAGAUGGACUUUAGAUAAAAACAUCGAGAUAAUGCAACAGAUAACCAACCUAUUGCAACAGAUAAACUAUAUGUCAGAAUAGGUAGGAUAACUGUUACAACGGAUGGAGAAUCUGUUGCAUUAUAAAAAUUCAACUUUUGUUAGACAUAAAAAAUUGUCACUACGUAUAAAAAGGUUAAAGUGAAUUGAAAUAAAAAAGGCNNNNNNNNNNNNNNNNNNNNNNNNNNNNNNNNNNNNNNNNNNNNNNNNNNNNNNNNNNNNNNNNNNNNNNNNNNNNNNNNNNNNAUUGUCUUAUAUAUUCAUCUUCCUCCUAAAAUUUAACCCUAAAUUUCCAAAUCUUCUUCUUUAUUGUCAUCUUCUUUUAUCUAUCCAAAUUCUUCAAAUUAUUACUUUUAUUUUUUCCAACUGACCUUGACAAUGUCAAGCGCAUCUUCCACUGUUUUUUGUGAUAAAGAUUUUUGAUAUUGUAAUUGCGGUCAUGAAGCUCUGUUAAAGAUUUAUUAGACUCAACAAAAUCCAGGUCGUAGGUUUUUACUUAUAAAAAAUUUUAAAGGUAAUAUUUUUUAUUUAAUUAAUUAAUUAAUUAUUGACUUGUAAUUAUUUUAUAAUUGUGUUCUCUUUUUUAUAGAAAUUGGGUGGAUGCGAUUACUUUGAUUGGUAUGAAGAACAAAUUCCUUCAAAAGCAAAUCGUUUAAUCUGGGUUUGUUGAACAAAGUCAAGGAUUCUGAAGAGAAAUAAAAUCGAGUAAGAAGAUACCACAUUGUUGUCAUUAUUGCUACUGGUUUGGUGUUGUUGGGAACAUAGAUAUUGAAGCCUAAUUGCUGAAAUUUUCAUGGUGGUGUGUGUAUUUUCUACUGGUUUGUUGUCGACGAGCACAUGGAUAUUCAAGUGUAGCUGUUGAAAAAUAUCAAAAAGAUUUAGGCAUAUGUUGUAAAAUUUAGGUCAUCUGUGGAAAUUAUCAAACAGGUCUUCCCACUGUUGCAACAGAUUAGACUUAGAUUAUUAGAUUAUUCAUAGAAAUUAUCAAAUAGGUCUUCCCACUAUUGCAACAAAUUAGAAUUAGAUUAUUAGAUUAUUCAAACAGGUCUUUCCACUGUUGCAACAGAUUGAUAAUCUAAUCUAUUGCGUUAUAAAAAACUCAACUUUCAUCAGAAAAAAUUAUUACCACUACAUGUACAUGUAAUAAAGUGAAGGGUGACUUGAAAUUAAAAUUUUCUAUUUCACAGGAUCUUCUAUAUACACAGGCUUCAAGCAUCCAGUUAGUACCCCAUAAGCCCAGACCUCUUGCAGGUUUGCCACAGUGUUGUCGCAUAGAAAAGUCAUUGGCUCGGCCAUUUCUAUGCUGGUCAGCAAAUAUUUGAUGUGUGCAAGAGCAUACGAGCCGCUCGCUUUAGCAGCAUCAUCUUUUGGAAGGAUCAUUCCCCUGUUUCGACCUUCAAAAUCCCAUGAUUUCUUCAUCAACACUUCCUUUGGCAAAUGAUUCAUCAGUUUACUUUUCCUCAACAAGAUGGGUAACAGCACCAUCAGUGGCUCCACGAGGAGAAAAAGAUCAAAAUCAUCGAUGAGAGGUACGUUGGAGUCAUAAACAUUGAUCUUUCCCUCCUCGAGUAGUAUCUCAAUAGCCCGAUAAUGCAUGUCGUUCAUGCUAAUAACUGCAAGAAUCCUUUUUGUCUCGGUCCAGCUCUUUCCGUAUGGAUUUGGCCUGUCCCCUCUAACAUAUCUUAAUGUUUCUUCUUCAUCCAAGACCAAUGUAGGAACUAAGAAAUCAAGUCCCACGCCAAGGCCUGACACCUCUCAAUUGAGUUGAUCAUACCUAUAUUUGAGCUUCUUGCAGAAGUCGAGGUCCAUUAUUCUAUCAGCAGCAUCAUAAACUUUCCGGUACAUUAAUUUCCUUUUCCUCAUGAGGUAGAGAAUUAUGUCAACAUGCUGUGAGAUAAGAAGUCAAUUUUUAAAGAAGUCAAUUUUUAAAUAGGUUAGUAAUUGUAAAAAUGCAAUGGAUGGUCUAUCUGUUGCAUAGGGUUCUCUGAAUCAAUAAUCCAACGCAACUUAUGCAACAAAUGGAUAAUGAGUUGCAACAAAACCACAACCAGUUGCACCAAUAUACCCAGCUGUUGCAAUAGAUGUGAAAUCUAUUGCGUAGCUUCUUAUUCAUGGGGUCGAUUAGAAGGGCUAGGUUAGGAAAAGUAAACUUGCCUUGUCCUCGUACGGCAUACGCAUAUCAGUCAAUGUCUGGAAGUCUUAGGGGGAAAGGGAGGCCUGGGGUAAUCUGGUGCGCGUGGCUUGGAAUUCUUGGCCUGUCGCAGAUCCCUCUUCUCUUUGGCGCCAAGUUCCACAUAUAUGUCCACCUUCUUGACUAGCCCCUAAACUUCAAUAGCUUUUGGAGAGGGAGGAAUUGCAAUUUCUUUUGAUUUUCGAGCGGAGAGUACGUCUCUAAUUGCUCAUUUCUUUCUCCUAACCAACGCUAUAGAAGUGUGUGGUUCCUUCACCUUCUUGGAUGGUAUGACACAACUCUUGGAUUUGAAUUCCUCUAUAUCUUUAGAGAUAGCCUCUACUUUUUCAAAGAUUUUAUCCUUUCUGUUCUUGUACUCAUCACAUUCGCAACGAGAACACGAGGGUGAAGAGGGCUGAGAGGGACCUAUGUAAGGGUGAAAAGGGGUUUUUCAAACAUAUUUAUUCUUUCUUGAGCAUCAACAUGCUCAUCAUCAUGAGUGGUAGCAGCAUCAGCAUGCCUACCACCAACACCAACAACUCCACCAGAAGAAGCACCCGGAUCUACCUUAGUAAAAGGUUGGUCAUGAAAAGCCUCAACAUUAGGCUGACCUUGCCUAACUGCUCUUCUUAUGGUUGUUGCUCCAACCAAUUUCUUAUUUAUUAACUCCACCGUUGGGUCCGCAAUAGUAUCAACAUGACCUAGAGUAAUAUAAAAAGUCAUCACGACUCCUCCUCGGUAGGCACAAUCCAUGGAUGCACAACCUAUAAAAAAGAAAAAAAAGAUAGAUGCAUUUAAAUCAUAUAAUAUAAUAAUUUUCACAAUUGGGCUAUAUUUUAAAAAAAUAAAGAUCCAUCUGUUGCAUAGUUUGCAGUAUAUGGUUAAAAUUUGUUUGAGUCUGGUUCAGAGAAACAGAGCAACACAUGGAUAAUCUGAUGCAAAAUAUCAAUCAUCUAUUGCAACAGCUGCACAAGACGAGUAAUAUUUUAUGCAACAGAUGAUCUGUACGUCGCAAUAGAUGAACGAUAUGUUAUCAGAUUAAACAUUUGUUACAUAAUUUGCAGUAGAUGGUUAAUCUUUUAGGAGUCGGGUUCAGAGAGCCAAAGCCACAGAUGGGUAAUCUGAUGCAAGAUAUACCUCGUCGCAACAAAUGUCCCAUCUAGUGCAUCAGAUAUAACAUCUCAUGCACCAGAUAUAACAUCUGUUCAAUAUCUUUCUUAUCUUUGAGUAGAAUUAUUUUACUUGUAGAAGACAUACUGCAUCAUCCGGAGAGUUAAAGAGAUCAGCCUCCUUAAUAUUGGUGUUGCUCUUUGCAGCCAACCACCUAAACAUCCUUGGAUGAGAAACCUCAUCCGGGUAAUCCAUUAACUGCUUUCGGAAGGGAGGAAUGGGUUCAAAUGCCCAAGCCUAAAAAUGUAAACAGGAAGCAAGCAAAAAAAAUCAUAAUAAAUAUAUUCAAUAUAAAUUAAUGGAUGAGUAAAAUUAGUUAUUAAUUUUACCAUGAAAGCCCAAGGAAAGCCAUAUAAUAUGGUCGUCCCUGAGGAUAGCUUUGUCAGUAAAUAUUGGACAGUCAAGUAGAAGCUAUCAUAUCCCCAGGGAUAAUUGUUGAAUUUAUCAAAAUCCUCAGCAUGCGCUAGCAAAUCAUCUUCUAUGACCUUGUUGACGUUUCUUGCCAAUAUAACUGAAUGGGUAAACCAAACUAAGCACAAUUGCUCCCUGUACUGAUCUGGUAUAGUUUUAUCCUCGAGAUCUGUCAACAAAUCUGAUGCUUUAUAGCCACGAUGGCAUCUCAAGCCCGUCACUAUGGCAAACUCUUGCAAGCCAAAACAAACAGGCAUGCCACAGUAGUUGAUCCAGAUUUCAUCCAUCUUCUUCUUGCCCCUCUCCUCCGAAUCUUUAUACCAUAUACCAUCGUUAUAGGGAAAUAGAUACGGGCAGAGGGGUCCUCAGUCAACUCAAGAAAGCAUCCAAAGCAGCUCUUCUUAAAAAGUCCGCCUAUGUUUUCGUUCUUCAUAAUUUUCAUGAAAUGUUUAAAAAUUUUCCCCAUCUAACAUUUAAGUACAAUUUGACAAGUUAGUUCUUUUCCUUCUGGGUCAUUUAUCGGCAUCGCAACUUUAAACCUGUCAAUACUAAAAGUUUUGAUAGGAUUAUGCUGGGAUAUCGAUAUUAACUCACUCCCCGUCGGUGAUCUAUUAUCAUCAUGUUGAUGAUCAUCUUCUUUAUCUUUUUGACUCUCCAAUUCCUCCUCUUUCUCACUUUCAUUUUGUUCAUCACCAUCUACGGACCCUUGUCCACCUCCCUCAAUGUUGUUUUCACAUCUCUCCUUAGCUUCACUUUUUCCUGACUGAGAUUGUUCAAGAAGCUUCUUCAAAUCCCUCUGUACUGUAGCCGAUUUUUUAGUAGUCAGACAUUGAUCCACUUUCACUUUCUUUUUUUGGGGGAGACAUGUUUUACCUACAGACAAAGAAAAACAAAAAUUACAUUACAGCUGAUGUAUGCAUAGAUUUUAAAAAAUACAUUACAAACACCAUGAAUACUGACACACCAACAGCCACCACCACAAACACCACCAACCAAUGCCAACAAACAAACAAACACCACGAAUACCGACACCACCACAAACACCACCAACCAAUGCCACCGCCAGUGCCACCACAACGACCAAAAACACCACCACCACUACUACCACCCACACCAUCCAACUAUACCACGACAGUCAACAGAACACUGCGACGGAAACUAGGGAUUUCUUAAGUUCUUCCUACAAUUUUACCAUCAAAACUAAAAAUUGUAAAUCCAUUCUCAAAGAUAAUAAAACUAAAAGUUUUAUUUUUUAUCAUUAACUUAAAAUACCUUAUUUUUUAGAGAAAAAAAUAAAUAUAGAGCUCUUCUCAAACUCUGUUGCCUACAAAGACAAAGAAAACGACUAAUACAAGCAAGAAUGAUGUCAAAAAUAACACAUAUGUGGUCGGAAAUGAGAAGAAAAGUGAUCUGUUGUGGAAGGUUGAGCAAAUUUGUUGAGUAGUUGUUGUUUGUACUGUAUUGUUGGGUGAGAAUAAGAGAGAAAGAGCCAGACCUCGAGAUUUGAAAUGAUGAAACGUUUUGUAUGGGUUGAUUUGUAUUUUGGAAAAGAAUGACAAGUAGUUUUGAAAAUGUUAAUUUUGUCCGAAAUGAUUUUAAUUAUUUUUAAAAUCAUAAAAUAUAUGUGUAAUUUUUAAAAUCAUAUAAAAACAAUUGAAGUUGUAGUUGACCAAGUACUCUAAGAGGUGACCCUGUGAAAACUCACCCCUGGUCCUAGAUUAAUCAAUUUAGGAGUCUAACAUAUGAACUCAAUUGAAAUUGUAAAAAACAAAUGUUCAACAUGUUGCAUUAGAUUUCUCAUCUGUUGUAUAUUAUCAAUCAGAUUAGGUAACAAUAGAUUAUGAAUCUGAUGUAUAUUAUCAAACAGAUUAAGUCAUCUGUUGUGAUAUAUUACCCAUCUGUUAUAAAUUAUCAAAUGGAUUGUCAUAUGUAGCAACAAAUUAACCAUAUGUUGUAAAUUAUCAAAUAGGCGUUGUCAUUUAUUGUGGAUGACCCUAUGAGAACUCACCCCUAGUCCUAGAUUAAUCGAUAGUUGACCUUAUGAGAACUCACCCCUAGUCCCAGAUUAUUCAAUCAAGGUAUUAGUACCCUAGUCCUAGAUUAAUCAAUCAAGGUAUUAGUCUAACAUAUGAGGUAGGAAAAAUCAGUUCAGCUCAAAGUGAUCGAUCGCCGACUUUGGUCGGGAGGAACGCAAUACCGUUUCAUCAUGCAAUUGACAAAAGACUCAAUUGAAGUUGUAGUUGACCCUAUGAGAACUCACAUUCAAUUAAGGUAUUACUCUAACAUAUGAACUCAAUUGAAUUAUAUAUAAAUAAAUGUACAACCUAUUGCAAUAGAUGUCUUUUCUGUUAGAUCAAAUCAAACAGAUUAUGUAAUUUGUUGCAAUAUAUUACACAUCUAUUGUAAACUAUCAUACAUAUUAAGCCAUUUUUUGUGAUAGAUCACGAAUCUGCUGUAAACUAUCAAAUAGAUUAAGUCAUCUAUUGCAACAGAUUACCCAUCUAUUGUAAACUAUCAAAUGGAUUGAGUCACAUAUUGCAAUAGAUUACCCAUCCGUUGUAAAUUAUUAAAUAGGCGUUGUCAUCUAUUGUAGUUGAAAUUAUGAGAACUCACCGCUAGUCCUAUAUCAAUCAAUUAAGGUAUUAGUCUAACAUAUGAGGUAGUAAGAAUCAGUUCGGCUCAGAGUGAUCUAUCGCUGACUCUGGUCAGGAGGAAUACAGUACCAUCUCAUUAUGCGAUUGACAAAAGACUCAAUUGAAGUUGUAGUUGACCCUAUAUUCAAUUAGGGUAUUAGUACCCUAGUCCUAUAUUAAUCAAUUAAGGCAUUAGUCUAACAUAUGAGGUAGUAAGAAUCAGUUCGACUCAGAGUGAUCGAUCGACGACUCUAGUCGGGAGGAACACAGUACCAUCUCUUUAUGCAAUUGUCAAAAGACUCAACUGAAGUUGUAUUUGACCUUAUGAGAACUCACCCCUAGUCCCAGAUUAUUCAAUCAAGGUAUUAGUACCAUAGUCCUAGAUUAAUCAAUUAAGGCAUUAGUCUAACAUAUGAGGUAGUAAGAAUCAGUUCGACUCAGAGUGAUCGAUCGACGACUCUGGUCGAAGAAACGCAAUACCGUCUCAUCAUGAAAUUGCCAAAAGACUCAAUUAAAGUUGCAUUUGACCCUAUGAGAACUCACAUUCAAUUAAGAUUUUAGUCUAACAUAUGAACUCAAUUGAAAUUAUAUAUAAAUAAAUGUUCAACCUGUUGCAACAUAUGUCUUUUCUGUUGAAUCAAAUCAAAUAGAUUAGGUAAUAUAUUGCAACAUAUUACGCAUCUGUUGAAAACUAUCAAAUAGAUUAUGUCAUUUGUUGUGACAGAUCACAAAUCUGUUGUAAACUAUCAAAUAGAUUAUGUCAUCUGUUACACUUAAAUAUUUUUUGAUCCUUUUUUUAUAAAGCAAUUUAGGUAUUUCCUGUCCGAGAUAAAAUAGUAAAAAUAAUAAAGUGGUAAAAAAUAUUACUCGGUAUAACUUUGAUAACUCAAAAAUCUCCUGAGUGAGUAGUCUUAUCUGGUCUUUUCAAUGUCACUAUCUCCUCAUGCCCCUCAAAAGUUAUUAAUGAAUAUUUAAAACCCCCCAUACCUAGAACUCUCUCUCCUUCAUCCAUAAAGUAGUCUAGACUAGACUUAACUCAUAACUUUUCUUUAUUCUUUAUUCUCAAUUAUCUUUGUUGUUUUCUUUUUUUUCUCUCUUUUCUCUCUUCUUUCUGAUAAGGAUCCUUUGGAAUCACAACCAAUCAAUAUCUUUUCUCAACUGAACUAGAUGUUCUGAUCCAUUUGCUUUUUUGACAUUGCAGGUAUGGUUCAAAGUUGCUCUUUUCAUCUCGUCUUUUUCUUUGUAUAUCAUUUAAAUUAGUUACUUACAUCUGUUGCUAUCAAUGAUUUACCCAUUACCAGUUUGCUAUUUAUUGACAAAAUUGAAAGAAAGGUGACUUUUAAGUCUUGAAUGAAUGAACCAUUGUUCUUAUUAAAAUAUGUGAAAAAAGUCAUCUAUUGGGAGAACUUAAAAAGCCUUGUUAUCAAUAUAGUUUUUUUAUGUCUUUUGUUUGUUACUUUGGUGGUGCUGUUGUUGGGGGUGGUGGUUUGUUGGAAUAUGUGAUGUUUGUGUUAUGGAUGGUGUUGGAACAUAUAGUGUUGUUUUGUUUAUUUCUUUGUUGUUGAUGAUGUUGGUGGUGGUGUUGCAAUAGUUUUCUCAACUGUUGCAACUGAUGAAUCAGCUGUUGGAACAGACGGAGCAGCUUUUUUAAAAAAUCAAACCAGUAGAAAGGCUGGUUUGAUUUAUUCCAACAGAUGGACCAUCUGUUGCAACAUGUCAUCUAUCCUUUGCAAACAUUGCCUCAUCAAUUGAACAGAUGGGUAAUCUGUUGCAUCAUAUUGGUCAUCUGUUGAUUCACUCAAUUUUGUGUUAUCCUUUUGUAAUGUUCUUUUUGUUCUUCUCUUGUUUGAUAUCAAAUGUAUUUCUCUUGUUUGCAGACAAAAAGAAGUGAAAUUGGAUCCACUUUUUCCCUGACAACAUUAAAGGCUAGAGUAAAGAUGGGUUCAAAGAAAUAAGCUUUUUGCAGAUGGAACCACUUCAUAUGUGGAGGGUAUGUAUUACUGACCAACCUAUCAUGAAAACAAACAUCCAGUACAAUGAUUUUGUAAAUGUUUAUUUUUUACCUAGUAGGCAUUAAUUCUUCAAACAAGAUAUGAAAUUUUACAGUUAAGAUUGUUAGGUUCGAACUGGUAAGGCUGACAGACUAAGACGAUGGUGUCGAUAUCCCGUUACAAUUUAAUGACGGUUUAUGCUCGUGUUUUUAUGUCAAGUUUGGGGAAGGUUUCAAGUUUUUGGCGGCAGUGUAAAUAUUCCAUAGUGAUUAGACCGAUUUUAAUGGCACAAUGGACUUCUUGAAAGGCCUCCGAAGCCUCGCAAUGGAACAAACAAUGAUAGAACCAAUAGAAAUUCCCCUGGUCUAAAUUUAUAUGGAUGGGUUGUUGGCGGAGACUAUUAUACAGCAGAAGGUGUUUGGGAGAAAACCUGUGUGGGAAUAGGGAGGUUGGGAAGGCCAUAUAUCAUCUUAGUACUUGUUUAAGAGGAUAAACAGGAUCGGAAAAGUGUAGCGAAAUUAGCUUAUGAAAUUGACAUGAAAAAUGAAAAAACUGGAUGAUAUGAGAAUGUAAAAGUGUAUCAAAAAAUGAAAAUCCAUCAGUCGUUGAAGAAAAAGAAGAAUGGUCAAGAGGAAUUGACCUUGUGUAUCCUCUUAAACAAGUACUAAGAUGAUAUAUGGCCUUCUCAACCUCCCUCUUCUCGCACAGGUUUUCUGCCAAACACCUUCUGCUAUAUAAUAGUCUCCUCCACUAAUCCAUCCAUAUAAAUUUGGACCAGGGGAAUUUCUAUUGGUUCUAGCAUUUUUUGCUGCAUUGCGAGGCUUCGGAGGCCUUUUAAGAAGUCCAUUGUGCCAUUAAAAUUGGUCCAAUCACUAUUGGAUAUUUACACUACCGCCAAAAAUUUGAACCCUUCCCCAAACACAAAAUCAUAUGCAUGAAUCGUGUCAUUAAAUUGUAACGGGGUAUCGACACUACCAUCUUGGAACUCUUUGGCCUUAUCAGCUCGCACCUAUCAAACUAAACUGUACAAUUUAGGAUCUUGUUUGAAGGAUCAGUGUCUAAUCAUCGAUAAAAAACUCCAUUCACAAGAUCAUUGCACUUUAUGUGUCUUCACGGUAGCCUGAUCAAUAAUAUACAUAACUCCAUGCAUGAAAAUAGGAUCCAUUGCACGCAUCUUAUUCUUCCUACCCCAUCAGGACAUAUCAGUGUUUUUUAUUCAUUUGCAUGAAUAUGAUGACUAUUAAAAUAGAGGUGUGAAGAGUCGUGACUUUUUAUCUUAACACAUUCAAAAUAGCUGAUAAAUCCAAAUCUCCAUCUAUUGCAACUGAUGAAUCAGCUAUUGGAAGAAAUCAAAACAUCUCCUCCAAACAUAUGGUCCAUCUGUCGCAACAGAUAAUCUAUAUGUUGCAACAGAUGGUAAAUCUGUUGCGAUAGACCUGACUUUUUUUUAAUUAAUCUGCAUGUAUGUGAUUAUUUCUUUCUAAAUACAUUUGUUUCAAUUUAGUAUUCCUAUUUAUAAAAUCAAGAGAAUUUUAUUAUAUUCUUUCAAGAUUACCCCUAUUAUUAAAUGACUACAUAAAGUAUAUUAUUCACAUUUAUACUUUCUAAUCAUAAUUAAUAAGGCCAAUUUGGUAAAACAAUCACCUAAUUUAUAUUUUUAUUAAUUGGUGUGGCAAGCCCAUGGGGCCCAACUAAUACGUAGCAGAGGGACUAUUAAAAAGAGGUGAAUACUUUUUAUCUCACAUAUUCAAAACAGCUAAUGAAUCGGAUACUCCAUCUGUUGAAACUGAAACUAAUGAAUCAGCUGUCAGAAGAUAUCAAAACAUCUCCUCCAACUUAUACAUACUGUCCAUCUGUUUCCACAGAUAAAUCAGAUGUCUUAUUUGUUGCAUAUAAAAACCAUCUAUUGCAACAGAUGGUAAAUCUGUUUUGACAGCCGUCUAUUGCACAUUCAAUCCAUCCAUCUGUUGCAAAAGAUGCUAAAUCUGCUAAAAAUGUUGGAUGAUCUGUUGCAACAGCUCAAUAAUAACAGCUUUUAUCGAGUCUCAAACCGCUAUGAAAAGGUAAGAAGUAAUUGGUGUAAAAUAAAAAGUCACGACUUUUCACAGAAAAUAAAAUGCCACCAGUUUGAAUGUAAUUAAUACAAUAGAGCUGAACAGCCCUGCCUUUUGGCCUGACACGUCCAGAUUAUAUUAUAGGUCCCUCAAUCUUCAUUCAACUCUAUUUAUUUCUUGCAUUUUUUCCUUUCAUGUUACAUCUUCAACCACUUCUCUUCAAAGAUCAUAUUCUUUUCUCGUUGAGGUAAGUUUUUUUUUGGCAUAAAUUUACCAGUUGGUCGUAUACGUUGUAUUACAUUGUGAACAUUUUUCUUUACAUGUGUCAAUUCAUGAGUGUUCUAGAUAUGGCUGAUCCUUUUUCGGACAUUGCUAUUCUACGCGACACAGUUCGGGAACUUCAAAGGCAGGUUAAUGACCUACAGAGCGAGUUGAUCGCUGAGAGAGCGACAAUGUUCAAAGAGAUGUAGAGGCUGAUGAGAGCCCUGCUGCUGCGAUUUGAUUGACCGACUGUCAUUAAUGAUGAUAAUGAUAAUAAUAAUUAGAAUGUGCUUUUUCUUUUAGUGUAUGUAUUUUAAUUUUUCUAUAUUGGAUCUAUACCUAAUGUAUUUUAUUUUUCAUUUAAUGGAAAAUUUACUUUUAGUCAUACUUUGGCGUUUUAAUUCUUAUUCAAUUUUCAUUCUGUUUUCUUCUAAUCUAAUACAUGUUGGAGGCAAUGUUGAAUCCAGUAGCACUAGCAAUUUUGGCUUUUGAGUUCUUUCAACAGUUGGAACCGAUUGUCAUCUGUUGGGUUUCAACAGAUUAUCCAUCUGUUUUGACAGAUUUUCAUUUGUUGGAGAAAAGCAUUCCAGUUGUUUGUGCAACUGUUGAGAAUAAUUGUGGUCUGCUAUAUAAUUUAAGUUCAUGUUUUGCCUCAUUUUAUUGAUGCACAAGUUAUUUAAAAAAAAGGAUAUUUUAUAUAUAAUAAAUGAUAACAUUAGAUUCACAACAAUGAGUUAAAUAUAUAAAAUUCCACAACAAACAAACAAAUAAACAACAACACAAGUUUCUGCAAUUACAACGAUCAUGGUGGAUUAUGAUUCAGGCAUGUAGUUCUUUUGUCUCUAGCGCAAUUACAUAUGGAGCACUUGUUUCUUCUUGAUGAAAAUGAUCCUCCAACUCCACGCCUCCUUUUAUAUGACUUUCUUCCCGGUUUGAUAGUGCUCGGGUCAAUAUAUGGAGGAGGUAUUAAUCUCCCCAUAAGCUCUACUGAAACAACCCAAGAUUCUUCGGGAGGCACUGGAGUAAUAUGUCCACUAUAUGCCAUUUCAUAUUUUUCCACCAAAUAAUAUUGAGAGGAGUGCUCGUAAACUUCAGGUCCAUAUUUAUGGCCGUAUUGAGCUCGAAGGGCUGCCAUAGCAUGUGGACAAGGUAUUUUGUCCAAGUCAAAAACUCUACACGUACAAGAUCUUGUUUGAAGUUAGACUGUGGCAGCAUCACCAUGACCGGUGAUAUGAAAUUUGUAAUCUGCUAUUUUAUGAGAGAAUAACCUAUUCCCCAAACUGAUGUUCAUUGAUAUUUUCUUUUCGAUUUUGAGAAGAAAUCAGGUUCUUUUUCUGGAAACUUGAACUGUACACGCCUUUCAUUAAAAAAAUUGCUAUAUUUCUCGCUUAUUUUUUCAAACAUAGCCUUGAUGGAAAAUUUUCUUUCAUCGCCAAACAAUGAAUUCACCGAUUCAGCUAUGUUUGAUGUCAUAAUAUUGUACCUAUCACUUAGUACGACAUCAAACUAAAAUUGUAAAUCAAACAAGACAUUAAAUUCAUAAGAAUGGACCUAUUUGCUGGACAGAAUCCCCGGCUCCAUCUCUCGAAACCGACACGUGCAAGAAAUUCUGCUACCUUGGGAUUCACAUCCGCUAUUUGCUUAACUCAAGUGAUCUGCUUAUAUAUUCUUAUUUGAGUCUUCUAACCUCUCCUAUCUAAUGUCACGCCCUUGAUAAAAUGAAAUUGUGUCAUUAUUCCUUGAUAAUCACUUCUCUCUAAUACUUCUUGAAUCUACCUUCAUAUUCAGCCUUACAUACCUCCACAUUGGACUUUCAUACAUCUUCUUUGCAUGAUUAGAUUAUUAAUUUAAUGAAUUUAUAAUUUAUUUUUUGGUUAGAAAUUAUUGAAGUUUGUAGAAAAUGUCCUUUCUGGCCCUGUGAACAUCUUUUCUCAAUGUAUUAAAGAGGGCCUCUCUAACACAAUUCUUUUAUAACAAAAAAGAAGGAAAGAAAGAUUGUUUUCUUUCAACAAUAAAACUAUUUUAGACCUUGAAUUAAUCCUCUUAAAUAUUCAUAUUCUCUAACAAAAAGUCUUACAACAAAAUCCAAAAUAAUAUUGUCACGACUCAAAUUUGUUGUGAGUGGCACACACAUUACUAAUUCAAUGGGAGAAUCAUCUACCCUAAAAUACCAUCUUAUAAUCAAAGUUUAGUAUAGGACCACCUAUUAGACUUGGUCUUGGCUACCAGAAGGUCACAGUUUAGGAGUCCUAUGUCGGAAAAGGGAUGGACAAUUGGACUUCUUAUAUAGACUUAAACAAUUCUUUCUUUGUGAACAAAUGAGCUAACUUUUGGGGUUAGAUUAGACCCAAGAUUCAUUUUUUGUCGGUCACAAAUACAAUAUUCAGUAUCCAAGUCCACUUAGCUUAUAGAACAUCAUGACGUGCAAUGAAUUGCAUAUAAAACUCUUUGUUGCCUGUCUACUUGAUCCAAAAUAAGAAAAAGAAAAUUUCCCAAUUCGUUUUUAUAGUUUUCCAAUAUUCACAAAAAUAUAUAGUUUUUCAAAUUUUUUCCGUACCUAAUUUUCAAAGUUAAUCCAAAACCAACUCUUUAAGGGAACCUUCAUAUCAAGAGUAUAACAAUCAUUUUUUCAUCAUAGAAAGCAUGACUUUUGUGCAUGAGUUUAACUUCAAAUUUCAUUAUUAAAAAUGAUAGUUUGUUCUUUUCAUUGAAUUUUUUAACUCCAAAAGACGAUUUUAAAGCGGAAUCCCCAUUUAUUAGAUAGAGAAGAUCACCAAAAUUUCACGAUCCGCUAUCGAAUUUAUUCCAAUUCAGAAUGCUCAUUGAAUGAGCAUUCUCAAUAUUAUGCCUUGAAGAGGACUCGAACCUCCACGCUCUUUAGCAUGAGAUUUUGAAUCAAGUGUGUCUACCAUUUCACCACCAAGGCAUCUUGAAAGUGAAUCGUAUUCCAUGAAUACGAUAUCUAUCUAGUGUGAUGUAUAGAAUAUAUGACAAAGGUGGAUCUAUUGAUCGGUUAUGUCAUAUAGGCCCGAGUUGGACAUCCAAUUGCUUCGAUUUAAAUUAUUUGGAGAAUGCAAUGCCUGAUAUCUAUCAAAAGAUGGACAAUCAUUAUGCAAAAUGAUAGUGUAGAAGCAGGUAGUUAAAGGAGUUCCAACUAUAUCAAAUUACUACUGCAAUGAAUUAGUGAAGUUAAUUAUAACUAACCUCUAGCUCACCACUAACCAACCAACUAACCUACUAGUUGUCUUAGCCUACUUACUAACUGUCUAUAGAUACAUAUGUAUCAUGUACUAUUGGAUAACAACUUGAAUACAAAGAAUUAUAGUUUUGGCUAAUGCUCUAUGAUUAUUAUCUGUGCUCUCUUCUUCUCUCUUCUCUCUUACUUUCCUGCCUUCUUGCUUAGUUGUUCAUAGUGAUUACCAUUAAGAUCACCUAAUUCUUCAUGGUAUCAUAGCUUGCACUGAAUUGAAUCAAUACGUGAGACUAGAUUCUACAUUUGUUCUUGAAAUUAAGAACUACAGAAUCUGGGAGUUUAUUUUUUUGCAAAUCUUCUGUAAUAAAUUGCAAUGGCGACCGAUGUUGAUGGAAUUGGUAGUUGAAUUGUACCUUCAGUGAAUAAUGCAAAUUCCAGUACUUCAUUUCAGUUUACAACUACUACUAGAGAUAUUAAUCACCCUCUAUAUCUCUUAACUGCAAAUAUUUCAGGUACUUCACUUAUUUCAUUUCAGCUGCAAAGAAGUGAAAAUUAUGUAGUAUGGAGUAAAAUAGUUAGGAUACAUUAUUAGGUAAAAAUAAGUUUGGAAUGGUUGAUAGUUCUUGGAGGAAAUAAAUCUUCUCUACAGACUUAGCUAAUCAAUGGGAAAGGGUUAAUGCAAUAGUACUGUCAUGGCUGAUUAAUUCAGUGUCUAGUAACCUUCUUGGAGAGGUAGUACAUGUCUCAAAGCUUGUGAUUUGUGGAUGGGUCUUAAAGAAAGAUUUGAUAAAACAGAUGGAUCAAGAACUUACAAUUUGUAUCAAGAAAUUUCAACUGUGUCCCAAGGUGUUCAAUCUAUUUCGUCUAUUUCACUAAGUUGAAAAACUUAAGGGAUAAGUUUGAGUCUUUAGUCCCAUCACCUGCUUGUAACUAUGAAAAAUCAAGAGAUUUUUUAGCUUUUCUUUAAAGGCAAAAGUUGUAUCAGUUUCUAAUGGGCUUGAAUGAUUCAUACUCACAAGCAAAAAGUCGCAUCUUGUUAAUGACACCACUACCUACUGUUAACAUGGCCUAAUCCAUGAUCAUAAGUGAUGAGAAUCAAAAGUCUGUGGCUCAGUCAGUACAGGAAACAGGUCUUCUUAGUGCUGCAACUACUGCAAUUGAUGAUGUUACAGUGUACUCUAAAUUUGGAUAUCAAGGUGGUUAUCAAAAUGGAAAAAGGAACUAUGUUUCAACCUAUAACUCAAAUGAUGUUUGUGAUCAUUGCAAGAUGAAAGGUCACUAUAAUAUGGAUUGCGACAAGUUAGUUGGAUAUCCAUCAUGUCAACCAAAACAUGGAGAUCAAAGAGACAACAAUGACUUCAGAAGUGGCUUUGAUAACAAAACUAACCAGAGAAAGGUUGCUUCUAGUGCUCAUAAUGUUAUGGUUGAAGACUGGCAGCUACAACCUCAACAGACUCAAUCACAUGGUGCCUAUCUGACUUCACAAAAUUUACCAAAGGAUGGGAUGAUUACACCAAUGUUUACACCUGACAAUAUGAUCAAAUUUCCAAAGUACUAGAACAACAUAAUCAAGUUUCAGCAUUUGUGCCCUCUACUAUUGUAGCAAAUAUGACAGUUAUUGGUAGGGCCCUGUUGGUCAACAAUAAACCACAUGAUUGGAUUAUUCAUACAAGUGCUACAAAUCACAUGAAAGUAGACAUUGAACUUCUAAAUAAAGGUUCAAUAUCUGAGUCAAUUACCAAAUGUUGAUAUGUCAGUUUUUACACACACCGGCUUUAGUAGUAUCUCUGAUAGGAACACUAUACAAAACGUGUUCCAUUUACUUCAAUUCAAAUACAACUUGUUGUCAGUCUCACAGGCUACUAAAAAUCUUAAUUGUUAUGUAACUUUCUUUCUUAAUUUUUGUGUGUUUCAAGAUCUUUGAAAUGGGAAGGUGAAGGGGAUUGGAAAAGAGAAAAAUGGACUAUACUUCUUAUUGAGAAAAAAACUUCCAGGGCAUGGCAAAGUAGUAGGCUGUGUGUUCAAUACUCAGAAUAUAAAUAAAUUUGAUCUAAGGUUAUGGCUAGGCAUAAGACACUUGGACAUGUUCCUUUUAGGAUACUAUCUCACAUGUUUUCUAUGUCGAAAACUCAUGUAGAUGACAAUAUAAAUAAGUGUGAACUUUGUCCAUUUUCUAAACAAACUAGGCUAGCCUUUCCUUCUAGCAGUACAUCUAGUGUUAAAGCUUUUGACUUAGUGCAUAUGGAUCUCUGGGGUCCUUAUAAGGUUCCUAAUUGUGAUGGACAUAGAUCCUUCUUAAUUGUUGUGGAUGAUUUUACUAGAAUGACAUGUAUAUUUUUUCUUGUAUAGAAAUCUGAUGUUGUAGUUAUUCUGAAGCAUUUCUUAUCUUAUGUUCAUACUCAGUUUAAUACGUGUGUAAAAGUCAUCAGGAUAGACAAUGGAACUAAGUUUGUUAACAACUCAUGGACUAAUUUGUUUGCAAACUUAGGGAUAAAACAUCAAACCUCCUGAUAUUAUACAUCCCAACAAAAUGGUGUGGCUGAAAGAAAGCACAGGCAUUUGUUGAAAAUGACCAGGGCUUUAAGGUUUCAAGCUAAUAUACCUUUAAAGUUUUAGGGAUAUUGUGUACAAGCAGCAACAUACUUGAUUAAUAGCCUUCCAUCUGUUAUGGUAGGUUAUAUGACACCUAAUGAGAGGAUGCAUAAUAGAAAACCUUCCUUAGAUCAUCUAAAGGUAUUAGGAUGUUUAUGGUAUGCUAAAACUGUCAAUGAGUCAGAUAAACUAAUGCCUAGAUCUAGAAAAGCAAUUCAUAUGGGAUAUUCAGAAACAAAGAAGGGUUACAUUAUCUAUGAUCUUACUAACAAAAUUUUCUUUGUAAACAGGGAUAUGGUGUUCAGAGAGGACACAUUUCCAUUCAUAAUCGAUCUAGAUCAAUCUCCAUAACAUAUGUUUGCUCCAUAUGAUCCAGAAGCAGAAUCACCUAAUACCACUGGAUGGACUAGACCUCAACCUGAUGUUGAUUUUCAACAGUGAACCAUAAGUGACUUCACUACAGAUUAACCAAGUACUUACUCAGAGUCAACCAGUACAACUCACUGCACAGGACCACCAUGUACAACCUGUUCCAACAAUAAGAAUAACAAGAUAUAUUACUAGACAACAAGUUGCAGAACAACCUGUCACAACUAGGAUCACAACCAGACCACAACCAGUUGCUCAACAAGACCAAAGAAAAUCUACCGGGGGUUCAAAUUCUCCUGCAUGGAUGAAAUAUUUUGUGUCAUUGAAUAUCAAUGACAAUGUUUUAUAACCUUUAUCUAAUUAUAUUUCUUAUGAUAAUAUAUCUACUAAGUAUCAAUGCUACCUAUCCAAUUUUUCUAACAUUGUGGAGCCUACCUCUUAUGCAGAAGCAAUAAAGGAUCCAAGAUGGGUAGAUGCUAUGCAAACUGAAAUGGCUGCACUUCAAAAAAACAAUACCUAGUAAGAAGUUGAUCUUCCAGCAGGUAAGUAACCUAUAGGGUGCAAAUGGAUCUACAAGAUCAAGUAUAAGCCUUAGGAAAAGUAGAAAGAUUUUAGGCAAGACUAGUUGCAAAAGGUUUUAGUCAGAAAGAAGGCAUAGACUACCAAGAAACAUUUUGUCCAGUGGCAAAAAUGGUCACAUUUAGAAUAGUUAUUGCUACCAAAACUCCCCAAGAACACACGAAAAAAACACCAAUCAGUCCACUAGUUUAAGAACUAUAGACCCUUUUGAUGACCUAUCUCGGAUUCGCAAGAGGAACAAGAAAGGAAGUGAUAUCAAGAGUAAACACACUAAAAAAAAGCAAAAACACGUGAUGAACAAGAUGAACACAAGAACACAACUUUCAGAUUCAACAAGGUACAAAAACAGUCCACUGCAAACAUACAAAAUGCAAUAAGAUAAAGAUAGAUAGAUAGAUAGAUAAAUGAAGAUGUAAUAUUAACAACCCAAAAGCUUAUUCCACUUUUGGACCUUUAAUAUCACACACAACCUAAACCUAUCUCUUACGUGACCUUAAGGGAACCGGAAUCCCCAAGCAAUCUCUGUUUCUAAGUGAUUCAUCAACACAAGGAUUCCACCUUGCCCAAGGAUUUUACCUUGCUAAGAGGCUCUCAAAAGAGGCUACAAAUAUCAUCAAAAAUCAGCCCUAAAAUGACCUAAUAAGGUUAUAUUUAUAUCUAGGAAAACUUAUUACAAAUGAUCAAAAAAGCCUUGCAAAGGGGCAGAUGAAUAAUGAUGGAUGAACAGUAAUAGCUUUGGAGUGUGGGACUUGCUCUCUACACUUUAAAGCCUAUUCCUUGGAUGGGCAGCCCCACAAGAUGGGGUCUUCACUCACGUCUUCAUGUCCUCAAGUGCUAAAAUGCCUUUUUGACCCCUAUCAUCCUUCCCUCCUUAGAAAGGAUUCGUCCUCGAAUCCGAACCUUGCAAAAUGAUAGGAAGGACAAAAAAACAUAAUUUCCUCAAUGUAUGAGGGUUAGGGUUAGUGUAAUGAAUCAUAGCAUUAUGCCAAGGUUUCUCAAACUUCACGUAUACCCAAACAUCCCUCGAGUUCUCAAAAAUGAUACACCAAUCAUAGGAAACCCGAAUUACGUACAAGACAUGCUUAGCAUCAACAUAAUCAUGCUCACACAAUGCACAUAUGUCAUUCCCAAAUAUGGUUUGAAAUGAAUCAAUAUCACACCUUAAGUUAUCAAUGGGAUCAAAGGGGUAGGGUAUCUAUGGACAUGGAUGGAGGAUAUGCUUCUUUUCCCCGAGACUACCACCAAUACAAUCACAUAUUCCCUUUAUGCUAGGAUGAUCUACAACAAAAACAACUAGAGGUUAAUCUUUAGUCAAUCGAACAAAUUGUUCAACAUCACCAUUUUCACACAUAAGUUGGUUGUCAUGACUUCCAUAAGACAAUGUACUAUCACUUUCCACAAUGGAUUCAACACUAGGUGGAUCAACUAGUAUAUCUACAAUUUCAAGUUGUAAAUUAUCAUCACAAAAUAAAGGCACAUUCAGCUCACUUAAAGACAAACUAUCAUUCACACUAAGUUGGCUAUUAUCCUCAUUCACUAGAGUGCAAAAGUUAGUUUGAUUACCUUGUAGCUCAUGUGGAGCAUGGCCACUCACGAAAAUUUGAUUAGGAAGGCUUUGAUGCUCCAUCAAGUUAUCCAACUUCUUGCAAAGAGAGCCUUCCGUCCCUUCUAAUCUCCCUUCCAUUCUUUCCAUUAUUUGACCAUCGAUGGCAUCAAGCCUUGACAUGAUGGAUUUAACCCAACUAGGCAUUUCAGUUUCAUUCACCAUUGUACCUAUCAAGAUCUACUAAACAAACAUCACAAAAAUAUCAAACACGUUAAAAAAUUAGCAAAAAUUAGUCCGCAUGAUGUAUCAAAACAGUCCGCACACUCUCAAGCUCACGCUUUGGAAGUUUUCACUCUAUUGGCCUCACAAGUGUUGAUAACUCGCAUGUACUCCAAUGAGGUCACUUGGUUCCAACUGUGGCUAGAGGGGAUUAGAUUCUUGUUUUAAACGACUCAAAAAGUAAUGUACGAACUUGAACCAAAAAGAAUACUAUGACUCAAAAACGAGAAAAGCACACAACAAAUGCUAAACACGAAUGAACGAACACAAAGACUAACUAACAAUCUAGUAGAUGAGUACUAGUUUGCCAAUUAGUAUUGGAACCAAAGAAAUUGAAAGUAAGGAACAACAAAAGGAAACUAAGAAAUAUAAAAUUUGAGCCAAAAUUUGAUGAAUGAACAGUAUCUUGAUGAUGUGGCAGCCACGUAUUGGUCGCGGUUUCUACAAUUUUUAUUUUCCAAAGUCCAAUUCUUGACCAAUUUUAAUUUGGAUUGGUAGAAUUUGUUUCAAGGAGGGAAGAAUAAGUCUUGGAGCCUUUUUUUUUCAAGUUUCACAUUUCAAGACUUGACUUUUCUAGUACUUUUCCUUCAAACAUGGACCCUUGUUUCAUGGGAAAGUGGUUGAGAAGUGAUGUAAAGUCUUUAGUGUGUAGGAAAAGUCUUUGAGUCACAAGUACUACACCUUGAAACUUGGAUCNNNNNNNNNNNNNNNNNNNNNNNNNNNNNNNNNNNNNNNNNNNNNNNNNNNNNNNNNNNNNNNNNNNNNNNNNNNNNNNNNNNNNNNNNNNNNNNNNNNNNNNNNNNNNNNNNNNNNNNNNNNNNNNNNNNNNNNNNNNNNNNNNNNNNNNNNNNNNNNNNNNNNNNNNNNNNNNNNNNNNNNNNNNNNNNNNNNNNNNNNNNNNNNNNNNNNNNNNNNNNNNNNNNNNNNNNNNNNNNNNNNNNNNNNNNNNNNNNNNNNNNNNNNNNNNNNNNNNNNNNNNNNNNNNNNNNNNNNNNNNNNNNNNNNNNNNNNNNNNNNNNNNNNNNNNNNNNNNNNNNNNNNNNNNNNNNNNNNNNNNNNNNNNNNNNNNNNNNNNNNNNNNNNNNNNNNNNNNNNNNNNNNNNNNNNNNNNNNNNNNNNNNNNNNNNNNNNNNNNNNNNNNNNNNNNNNNNNNNNNNNNNNNNNNNNNNNNNNNNNNNNNNNNNNNNNNNNNNNNNNNNNNNNNNNNNNNNNNNNNNNNNNNNNNNNNNNNNNNNNNNNNNNNNNNNNNNNNNNNNNNNNNNNNNNNNNNNNNNNNNNNNNNNNNNNNNNNNNNNNNNNNNNNNNNNNNNNNNNNNNNNNNNNNNNNNNNNNNNNNNNNNNNNNNNNNNNNNNNNNNNNNNNNNNNNNNNNNNNNNNNNNNNNNNNNNNNNNNNNNNNNNNNNNNNNNNNNNNNNNNNNNNNNNNNNNNNNNNNNNNNNNNNNNNNNNNNNNNNNNNNNNNNNNNNNNNNNNNNNNNNNNNNNNNNNNNNNNNNNNNNNNNNNNNNNNNNNNNNNNNNNNNNNNNNNNNNNNNNNNNNNNNNNNNNNNNNNNNNNNNNNNNNNNNNNNNNNNNNNNNNNNNNNNNNNNNNNNNNNNNNNNNNNNNNNNNNNNNNNNNNNNNNNNNNNNNNNNNNNNNNNNNNNNNNNNNNNNNNNNNNNNNNNNNNNNNNNNNNNNNNNNNNNNNNNNNNNNNNNNNNNNNNNNNNNNNNNNNNNNNNNNNNNNNNNNNNNNNNNNNNNNNNNNNNNNNNNNNNNNNNNNNNNNNNNNNNNNNNNNNNNNNNNNNNNNNNNNNNNNNNNNNNNNNNNNNNNNNNNNNNNNNNNNNNNNNNNNNNNNNNNNNNNNNNNNNNNNNNNNNNNNNNNNNNNNNNNNNNNNNNNNNNNNNNNNNNNNNNNNNNNNNNNNNNNNNNNNNNNNNNNNNNNNNNNNNNNNNNNNNNNNNNNNNNNNNNNNNNNNNNNNNNNNNNNNNNNNNNNNNNNNNNNNNNNNNNNNNNNNNNNNNNNNNNNNNNNNNNNNNNNNNNNNNNNNNNNNNNNNNNNNNNNNNNNNNNNNNNNNNNNNNNNNNNNNNNNNNNNNNNNNNNNNNNNNNNNNNNNNNNNNNNNNNNNNNNNNNNNNNNNNNNNNNNNNNNNNNNNNNNNNNNNNNNNNNNNNNNNNNNNNNNNNNNNNNNNNNNNNNNNNNNNNNNNNNNNNNNNNNNNNNNNNNNNNNNNNNNNNNNNNNNNNNNNNNNNNNNNNNNNNNNNNNNNNNNNNNNNNNNNNNNNNNNNNNNNNNNNNNNNNNNNNNNNNNNNNNNNNNNNNNNNNNNNNNNNNNNNNNNNNNNNNNNNNNNNNNNNNNNNNNNNNNNNNNNNNNNNNNNNNNNNNNNNNNNNNNNNNNNNNNNNNNNNNNNNNNNNNNNNNNNNNNNNNNNNNNNNNNNNNNNNNNNNNNNNNNNNNNNNNNNNNNNNNNNNNNNNNNNNNNNNNNNNNNNNNNNNNNNNNNNNNNNNNNNNNNNNNNNNNNNNNNNNNNNNNNNNNNNNNNNNNNNNNNNNNNNNNNNNNNNNNNNNNNNNNNNNNNNNNNNNNNNNNNNNNNNNNNNNNNNNNNNNNNNNNNNNNNNNNNNNNNNNNNNNNNNNNNNNNNNNNNNNNNNNNNNNNNNNNNNNNNNNNNNNNNNNNNNNNNNNNNNNNNNNNNNNNNNNNNNNNNNNNNNNNNNNNNNNNNNNNNNNNNNNNNNNNNNNNNNNNNNNNNNNNNNNNNNNNNNNNNNNNNNNNNNNNNNNNNNNNNNNNNNNNNNNNNNNNNNNNNNNNNNNNNNNNNNNNNNNNNNNNNNNNNNNNNNNNNNNNNNNNNNNNNNNNNNNNNNNNNNNNNNNNNNNNNNNNNNNNNNNNNNNNNNNNNNNNNNNNNNNNNNNNNNNNNNNNNNNNNNNNNNNNNNNNNNNNNNNNNNNNNNNNNNNNNNNNNNNNNNNNNNNNNNNNNNNNNNNNNNNNNNNNNNNNNNNNNNNNNNNNNNNNNNNNNNNNNNNNNNNNNNNNNNNNNNNNNNNNNNNNNNNNNNNNNNNNNNNNNNNNNNNNNNNNNNNNNNNNNNNNNNNNNNNNNNNNNNNNNNNNNNNNNNNNNNNNNNNNNNNNNNNNNNNNNNNNNNNNNNNNNNNNNNNNNNNNNNNNNNNNNNNNNNNNNNNNNNNNNNNNNNNNNNNNNNNNNNNNNNNNNNNNNNNNNNNNNNNNNNNNNNNNNNNNNNNNNNNNNNNNNNNNNNNNNNNNNNNNNNNNNNNNNNNNNNNNNNNNNNNNNNNNNNNNNNNNNNNNNNNNNNNNNNNNNNNNNNNNNNNNNNNNNNNNNNNNNNNNNNNNNNNNNNNNNNNNNNNNNNNNNNNNNNNNNNNNNNNNNNNNNNNNNNNNNNNNNNNNNNNNNNNNNNNNNNNNNNNNNNNNNNNNNNNNNNNNNNNNNNNNNNNNNNNNNNNNNNNNNNNNNNNNNNNNNNNNNNNNNNNNNNNNNNNNNNNNNNNNNNNNNNNNNNNNNNNNNNNNNNNNNNNNNNNNNNNNNNNNNNNNNNNNNNNNNNNNNNNNNNNNNNNNNNNNNNNNNNNNNNNNNNNNNNNNNNNNNNNNNNNNNNNNNNNNNNNNNNNNNNNNNNNNNNNNNNNNNNNNNNNNNNNNNNNNNNNNNNNNNNNNNNNNNNNNNNNNNNNNNNNNNNNNNNNNNNNNNNNNNNNNNNNNNNNNNNNNNNNNNNNNNNNNNNNNNNNNNNNNNNNNNNNNNNNNNNNNNNNNNNNNNNNNNNNNNNNNNNNNNNNNNNNNNNNNNNNNNNNNNNNNNNNNNNNNNNNNNNNNNNNNNNNNNNNNNNNNNNNNNNNNNNNNNNNNNNNNNNNNNNNNNNNNNNNNNNNNNNNNNNNNNNNNNNNNNNNNNNNNNNNNNNNNNNNNNNNNNNNNNNNNNNNNNNNNNNNNNNNNNNNNNNNNNNNNNNNNNNNNNNNNNNNNNNNNNNNNNNNNNNNNNNNNNNNNNNNNNNNNNNNNNNNNNNNNNNNNNNNNNNNNNNNNNNNNNNNNNNNNNNNNNNNNNNNNNNNNNNNNNNNNNNNNNNNNNNNNNNNNNNNNNNNNNNNNNNNNNNNNNNNNNNNNNNNNNNNNNNNNNNNNNNNNNNNNNNNNNNNNNNNNNNNNNNNNNNNNNNNNNNNNNNNNNNNNNNNNNNNNNNNNNNNNNNNNNNNNNNNNNNNNNNNNNNNNNNNNNNNNNNNNNNNNNNNNNNNNNNNNNNNNNNNNNNNNNNNNNNNNNNNNNNNNNNNNNNNNNNNNNNNNNNNNNNNNNNNNNNNNNNNNNNNNNNNNNNNNNNNNNNNNNNNNNNNNNNNNNNNNNNNNNNNNNNNNNNNNNNNNNNNNNNNNNNNNNNNNNNNNNNNNNNNNNNNNNNNNNNNNNNNNNNNNNNNNNNNNNNNNNNNNNNNNNNNNNNNNNNNNNNNNNNNNNNNNNNNNNNNNNNNNNNNNNNNNNNNNNNNNNNNNNNNNNNNNNNNNNNNNNNNNNNNNNNNNNNNNNNNNNNNNNNNNNNNNNNNNNNNNNNNNNNNNNNNNNNNNNNNNNNNNNNNNNNNNNNNNNNNNNNNNNNNNNNNNNNNNNNNNNNNNNNNNNNNNNNNNNNNNNNNNNNNNNNNNNNNNNNNNNNNNNNNNNNNNNNNNNNNNNNNNNNNNNNNNNNNNNNNNNNNNNNNNNNNNNNNNNNNNNNNNNNNNNNNNNNNNNNNNNNNNNNNNNNNNNNNNNNNNNNNNNNNNNNNNNNNNNNNNNNNNNNNNNNNNNNNNNNNNNNNNNNNNNNNNNNNNNNNNNNNNNNNNNNNNNNNNNNNNNNNNNNNNNNNNNNNNNNNNNNNNNNNNNNNNNNNNNNNNNNNNNNNNNNNNNNNNNNNNNNNNNNNNNNNNNNNNNNNNNNNNNNNNNNNNNNNNNNNNNNNNNNNNNNNNNNNNNNNNNNNNNNNNNNNNNNNNNNNNNNNNNNNNNNNNNNNNNNNNNNNNNNNNNNNNNNNNNNNNNNNNNNNNNNNNNNNNNNNNNNNNNNNNNNNNNNNNNNNNNNNNNNNNNNNNNNNNNNNNNNNNNNNNNNNNNNNNNNNNNNNNNNNNNNNNNNNNNNNNNNNNNNNNNNNNNNNNNNNNNNNNNNNNNNNNNNNNNNNNNNNNNNNNNNNNNNNNNNNNNNNNNNNNNNNNNNNNNNNNNNNNNNNNNNNNNNNNNNNNNNNNNNNNNNNNNNNNNNNNNNNNNNNNNNNNNNNNNNNNNNNNNNNNNNNNNNNNNNNNNNNNNNNNNNNNNNNNNNNNNNNNNNNNNNNNNNNNNNNNNNNNNNNNNNNNNNNNNNNNNNNNNNNNNNNNNNNNNNNNNNNNNNNNNNNNNNNNNNNNNNNNNNNNNNNNNNNNNNNNNNNNNNNNNNNNNNNNNNNNNNNNNNNNNNNNNNNNNNNNNNNNNNNNNNNNNNNNNNNNNNNNNNNNNNNNNNNNNNNNNNNNNNNNNNNNNNNNNNNNNNNNNNNNNNNNNNNNNNNNNNNNNNNNNNNNNNNNNNNNNNNNNNNNNNNNNNNNNNNNNNNNNNNNNNNNNNNNNNNNNNNNNNNNNNNNNNNNNNNNNNNNNNNNNNNNNNNNNNNNNNNNNNNNNNNNNNNNNNNNNNNNNNNNNNNNNNNNNNNNNNNNNNNNNNNNNNNNNNNNNNNNNNNNNNNNNNNNNNNNNNNNNNNNNNNNNNNNNNNNNNNNNNNNNNNNNNNNNNNNNNNNNNNNNNNNNNNNNNNNNNNNNNNNNNNNNNNNNNNNNNNNNNNNNNNNNNNNNNNNNNNNNNNNNNNNNNNNNNNNNNNNNNNNNNNNNNNNNNNNNNNNNNNNNNNNNNNNNNNNNNNNNNNNNNNNNNNNNNNNNNNNNNNNNNNNNNNNNNNNNNNNNNNNNNNNNNNNNNNNNNNNNNNNNNNNNNNNNNNNNNNNNNNNNNNNNNNNNNNNNNNNNNNNNNNNNNNNNNNNNNNNNNNNNNNNNNNNNNNNNNNNNNNNNNNNNNNNNNNNNNNNNNNNNNNNNNNNNNNNNNNNNNNNNNNNNNNNNNNNNNNNNNNNNNNNNNNNNNNNNNNNNNNNNNNNNNNNNNNNNNNNNNNNNNNNNNNNNNNNNNNNNNNNNNNNNNNNNNNNNNNNNNNNNNNNNNNNNNNNNNNNNNNNNNNNNNNNNNNNNNNNNNNNNNNNNNNNNNNNNNNNNNNNNNNNNNNNNNNNNNNNNNNNNNNNNNNNNNNNNNNNNNNNNNNNNNNNNNNNNNNNNNNNNNNNNNNNNNNNNNNNNNNNNNNNNNNNNNNNNNNNNNNNNNNNNNNNNNNNNNNNNNNNNNNNNNNNNNNNNNNNNNNNNNNNNNNNNNNNNNNNNNNNNNNNNNNNNNNNNNNNNNNNNNNNNNNNNNNNNNNNNNNNNNNNNNNNNNNNNNNNNNNNNNNNNNNNNNNNNNNNNNNNNNNNNNNNNNNNNNNNNNNNNNNNNNNNNNNNNNNNNNNNNNNNNNNNNNNNNNNNNNNNNNNNNNNNNNNNNNNNNNNNNNNNNNNNNNNNNNNNNNNNNNNNNNNNNNNNNNNNNNNNNNNNNNNNNNNNNNNNNNNNNNNNNNNNNNNNNNNNNNNNNNNNNNNNNNNNNNNNNNNNNNNNNNNNNNNNNNNNNNNNNNNNNNNNNNNNNNNNNNNNNNNNNNNNNNNNNNNNNNNNNNNNNNNNNNNNNNNNNNNNNNNNNACCAUGUACAACCUGUUCCAACAAUAAGAAUAACAAGAUAUAUUACUAGACAACAGGUUGCAGAACAACCUGUCACAACUAGGAUCACAACCAGACCACAACCAGUUGCUCAACAAGACCAAAGAAAAUCUACCCGGGGUUCAAAUCCUCCUGCAUGGAUGAAAUAUUUUGUAUCAUUGACUAUCAACGACAAUGUUUUAUACCCUUUAUCUAAUUAUAUUUCUUAUGAUAAUAUAUCUACUAAGUAUCAAUGCUACCUAUCCAAUUUUUCUAACAUUGUGGAGCCUACCUCUUAUGCAGAAGCAAUAAAGGAUCCAAGAUGGGUAGAUGCUAUGCAAACUGAAAUGGCUGCACUUCAAAAAAACAAUACCUAGUAAGAAGUUGAUCUUCCAGCAGGUAAGUAACCUAUAGGGUGCAAAUGGAUCUACAAGAUCAAGUAUAAGCCUUAGGAAAAGUAGAAAGAUUUUAGGCAAGACUAGUUGCAAAAGGUUUUAGUCAGAAAGAAGGCAUAGACUACCAAGAAACAUUUUGUCCAGUGGCAAAAAUGGUCACAUUUAGAAUAGUUAUUGCUACCAAAACUCCCCAAGAACACACGAAAAAAACACCAAUCAGUCCACUAGUUUAAGAACUAUAGACCCUUUUGAUGACCUAUCUCGGAUUCGCAAGAGGAACAAGAAAGGAAGUGAUAUCAAGAGUAAACACACUAAAAAAAAGCAAAAACACGUGAUGAACAAGAUGAACACAAGAACACAACUUUCAGAUUCAACAAGGUACAAAAACAGUCCACUGCAAACAUACAAAAUGCAAUAAGAUAAAGAUAGAUAGAUAGAUAGAUAAAUGAAGAUGUAAUAUUAACAACCCAAAAGCUUAUUCCACUUUUGGACCUUUAAUAUCACACACAACCUAAACCUAUCUCUUACGUGACCUUAAGGGAACCGGAAUCCCCAAGCAAUCUCUGUUUCUAAGUGAUUCAUCAACACAAGGAUUCCACCUUGCCCAAGGAUUUUACCUUGCUAAGAGGCUCUCAAAAGAGGCUACAAAUAUCAUCAAAAAUCAGCCCUAAAAUGACCUAAUAAGGUUAUAUUUAUAUCUAGGAAAACUUAUUACAAAUGAUCAAAAAAGCCUUGCAAAGGGGCAGAUGAAUAAUGAUGGAUGAACAGUAAUAGCUUUGGAGUGUGGGACUUGCUCUCUACACUUUAAAGCCUAUUCCUUGGAUGGGCAGCCCCACAAGAUGGGGUCUUCACUCACGUCUUCAUGUCCUCAAGUGCUAAAAUGCCUUUUUGACCCCUAUCAUCCUUCCCUCCUUAGAAAGGAUUCGUCCUCGAAUCCGAACCUUGCAAAAUGAUAGGAAGGACAAAAAAACAUAAUUUCCUCAAUGUAUGAGGGUUAGGGUUAGUGUAAUGAAUCAUAGCAUUAUGCCAAGGUUUCUCAAACUUCACGUAUACCCAAACAUCCCUCGAGUUCUCAAAAAUGAUACACCAAUCAUAGGAAACCCGAAUUACGUACAAGACAUGCUUAGCAUCAACAUAAUCAUGCUCACACAAUGCACAUAUGUCAUUCCCAAAUAUGGUUUGAAAUGAAUCAAUAUCACACCUUAAGUUAUCAAUGGGAUCAAAGGGGUAGGGUAUCUAUGGACAUGGAUGGAGGAUAUGCUUCUUUUCCCCGAGACUACCACCAAUACAAUCACAUAUUCCCUUUAUGCUAGGAUGAUCUACAACAAAAACAACUAGAGGUUAAUCUUUAGUCAAUCGAACAAAUUGUUCAACAUCACCAUUUUCACACAUAAGUUGGUUGUCAUGACUUCCAUAAGACAAUGUACUAUCACUUUCCACAAUGGAUUCAACACUAGGUGGAUCAACUAGUAUAUCUACAAUUUCAAGUUGUAAAUUAUCAUCACAAAAUAAAGGCACAUUCAGCUCACUUAAAGACAAACUAUCAUUCACACUAAGUUGGCUAUUAUCCUCAUUCACUAGAGUGCAAAAGUUAGUUUGAUUACCUUGUAGCUCAUGUGGAGCAUGGCCACUCACGAAAAUUUGAUUAGGAAGGCUUUGAUGCUCCAUCAAGUUAUCCAACUUCUUGCAAAGAGAGCCUUCCGUCCCUUCUAAUCUCCCUUCCAUUCUUUCCAUUAUUUGACCAUCGAUGGCAUCAAGCCUUGACAUGAUGGAUUUAACCCAACUAGGCAUUUCAGUUUCAUUCACCAUUGUACCUAUCAAGAUCUACUAAACAAACAUCACAAAAAUAUCAAACACGUUAAAAAAUUAGCAAAAAUUAGUCCGCAUGAUGUAUCAAAACAGUCCGCACACUCUCAAGCUCACGCUUUGGAAGUUUUCACUCUAUUGGCCUCACAAGUGUUGAUAACUCGCAUGUACUCCAAUGAGGUCACUUGGUUCCAACUGUGGCUAGAGGGGAUUAGAUUCUUGUUUUAAACGACUCAAAAAGUAAUGUACGAACUUGAACCAAAAAGAAUACUAUGACUCAAAAACGAGAAAAGCACACAACAAAUGCUAAACACGAAUGAACGAACACAAAGACUAACUAACAAUCUAGUAGAUGAGUACUAGUUUGCCAAUUAGUAUUGGAACCAAAGAAAUUGAAAGUAAGGAACAACAAAAGGAAACUAAGAAAUAUAAAAUUUGAGCCAAAAUUUGAUGAAUGAACAGUAUCUUGAUGAUGUGGCAGCCACGUAUUGGUCGCGGUUUCUACAAUUUUUAUUUUCCAAAGUCCAAUUCUUGACCAAUUUUAAUUUGGAUUGGUAGAAUUUGUUUCAAGGAGGGAAGAAUAAGUCUUGGAGCCUUUUUUUUUCAAGUUUCACAUUUCAAGACUUGACUUUUCUAGUACUUUUCCUUCAAACAUGGACCCUUGUUUCAUGGGAAAGUGGUUGAGAAGUGAUGUAAAGUCUUUAGUGUGUAGGAAAAGUCUUUGAGUCACAAGUACUACACCUUGAAACUUGGAUCUAUGUCUUGCAAGACUAACACAAUACAAACUCUUGUUCUUCAACUUCUAAGAUCAAUAACCAUUUUUUUCAACAAGGAGAUGGUGAAGAACACCAAGAACACAAACUUUGAGUCUUGAAGUUCUAAGGUUCAAGUUGGACCUCCCAAACAACAAUAAUAACUUCCCAAGCUUAAAUUCAACAACACAAAUUCCACAAUACACGUUCAAAACUUGAACUAACAACACAUCACACGUUCAAGUCUUGAACCCACAACAACAAUACCAACAACAAUCGGCCACACUUUGUUUACAUUAACAACAUCAACAUUUCAAGCUAAAAUAUAAGAUAUAGACUCAACGUGUUAGUGAAGAACAAAACUAACACUUAGAGACAACAAAGACAAGUAAAAAUAUUGGUCAAUACACAACAAAAACACAAUUUUUGGCCAAGAAAACAAAAUGGACAGAUUGAUAUUUUUCUGAAAUCUUCAAAUCUCAAAUUUUUAUUUUUAUUUUCAAGUGAGCUAGCCCAAGAUUUGAUCUUGUAAGAACAAUAUUAAUCUAUGCUCUGAUACCAAAUGAUACCAAAACUCCCCAAGAACACACGAAACAAACAUCAAUCAGUCCACUAGCUCAAGAACUAUGAACCCUUUUGAUGACCUAUCUCAGAUUUGCAAGAAGAACAAGAAAGGAAGUGAUAUCAAGAGUAAAUACACUAAAAAAAUAGCAAAAACACAUGAUGAACAAGAUGAACACAAGAACACAACUUUUGGAUUCAACAAGGUACAAAAAUAGUCCACUACAAACAUACAAAAUGCAAUAAGAUAAAGAUAGAUAGAUAGACAAAUGAAGAUGUAAUAUUAACAACCCAAAAGCUUAUUCCACUUUUGGACCUUUAAUAUCAUACACAAACUAAAUUGUAAUGUCCCAAUUUUCUGAAUUGAAAUGCUACACGGUGCUCAUGAUCCCAAGGGACCACAAGCUAACCCAUGACUGAUAUCUGUACCUGUACACUACAUAUAUAACAAAAUAAUGCGGAAAACAUGAACAUGUAGGCCAUAAGGUUCAACUAAAUACAGAAUCUGUCAAAACAUAAUAUCCAUAUGGGUGAAAAAUACCCAAAAUAGUUGAAAACUAAAUCAAAUCUGAACAUAAAUAUGAAUACUAAAUCUGAAAGCCUCUAAGUACUGUCUGAAUAAGAAGUUAAAGGAACAUGUCUCCAACUAACUCCAUAAACUGAUAACGGGCUAAAAUAAUAAUGAAUAAAUCAAAUCAUAUUGUCCUCGAAUGAAGAAGAAUCACUGAAUAUCUACGACUGGAAAUGCUCCUGCUAAUGCUGAUCUGGAGCUCGUGUCUCUGAACCUAUGGAAUAAUAUGAAAAGAAAUCACCAUAGCGCAAAUGUGUCAGUACGAUGGAAUGUACUGAGUAUACAAGUGAGGUAGGCUAAAUAUAAAUAGGGUUUACAUGCAUGAACAAUGCCAACUGUCUGACUGAUAUGAACGUAAAAGUACAAAUAUACAUACAUAGUAACUGAAAUUGUGGGUGCAUGAUAGUUAUUCCUGCAUGCUAAUACAUGGUUUACUGAUGGCUAAUAUGACUGAUACUAAAAUUUUGAUAACAUGGGCGACUGUAUCUGACAAUCCUGAAUCUGAUUGAAUUAUCUGAGCUCCGUACUAUAACUGAGUCUGACUGUAUCUGACAGUCCUGAUAUAUGAAAUCUGAAGACCUAUUUGAGUUCUUUUACUGAGAAUAAUUCUAAAACUGUGGGAGGUAGUUGUUUAACCAACACGCCCUAAUAAUGCAUAUAACUAAGUUAGGGUCUAAUCUCUGCCCUGACUGGAGGGGUGUCAAUACCGCGCCACUGGUAAGGACAGUUGUGAGUGACCCUUAGAGGGCAGGUAUUCGAAAGGAGAAUGGUGAGAACCCUAAACUGACAGGUUAAGCCACCUCAUCAACCCUAAUCUAAAAGGCUAAGAUGUCUCAACCUACGCUGGCUACGUAGUUCUAGAACACAAGGAUGACUGCUGAGAAUCACACCCUAAACUAGUAGGUGAGUUUCCAUCCUUGGGUUUACUCGAUGCUAAGUUCUACUCCCAUCUGAAGAGACUAAACAUGAUUCAAAUGACUGUACAUGGACAGAUUAACUGACUUCCGUUGACUGAUGGAGUAGUACUAUUAUCUAAGAGUUAACUGAAAUCAUGAGAUUUUGAGGUUUCCUGAGUCACAUGACUGACUGAGUUCUAUAGAUUAUAGCUUGACUGAGAUUAUCGUGACAACAUGACAUGGCUCUAGGCACACAGCUAUGUUUUUUGGGUAAGAAUACCCCCAAGACUCCAUAAAAGAAAACUGACACACAUGACAUAACUUGAUCACAAGAUUUGAGUCUACAAUUCAUAAUCAUAAGUAGGGGACAUCAUAUUUCAUAUAGUUAUUCUACAUCUUAAACAUUGUAGGGAAUGCAUGGAUAUAUUUUGUGCACAUAUUGUAUAUCUCCAUUAUCUUACAUGCUUCAUACCACCACAAUAGCAACACAUGAAAAGCAUGGAAUUCAUAUUGAAGUAUAUAGCUAACAUGGACUUCUCAUUUAGACAUCAUAGAAUCAUGCAAAAAUGAAUUUCUGGCAUCCUAAGCAUUUUAUCAAACACCUUGCAUGCAUUCUUUAAGGCAUAGGUGGGUUUUAUACUUGUACCAUAUUAAACCACCUAAAGUUCAUGGUUUUCAAUUAACAAACAUAUAUAUUCCAUGAAAACACUUUUAAUCACAUUGAAAAUUAAACAACAAUCAUCAACAUGUACAUACUCAUAUCACCAUAAAAAGUUUACAAAAUAAUAUUUAAAACAUGGUUCUUGAGCUCUAUGAAUGGAUUGGAUCCAUAGAUAAACACUACGCAUACCUUAGAAAGGAAACCUUGAUGAUUUGCUGGAGAGUUCUUGAAUUGGGAAAAUUAAUUAUCGAUUAUCUUGAAAAAAAGGCUUGAAUCUUGGUUUGGAGAGAUGAGUUUGAUGGAAACCCUAAUCUUGUAGCUGAGAGCGUAAGAAAGGGUUUUUGAGUUGCUUAACUGAAGAAAAAUGGAAAAAAUUACACCUCUUUAGGGUUAUAUGUCAUGAAAGGUGAAGGAAAUAACCAAAAUACCCUUAUGAAAUAAAUUUCCAGUUGCUGAAAAAUCAUAGCUAAUGACCUUCGUGAUAGGGCAUCACAAAUGUGAUAAGCUAUCACAAAUGUCUUCACUUAGGAGCUGGUUUCUACCUAAGGCUGACGACCUUCGUGAUAGGGCAUCACAAAUGUGAUAAUCUAUCAUGAAUGUCGUCACACUAUUUCCAGCCUGACAUGCUGGAGUAAAAUAGGAAUAACUCUUUUCUUCGAUAUCGAAUUUAGGAGAAAUGGGUAUAGUUGGAAAGGUAAUUCAAUUAUAUGUCUGUUGAUAGGUCAUGAGCUGAAAAAUUCCAAGUAUAAUGAGAUAUGUUCUCAUUUGAAGUUGACUAUACCAAUAUUCUUCUCAAGAAUUCAAUCGGUAAGGAAUGUUUGGAUUCGUCUGAUAGCUGGGAGUUAUUUGAAGCCUUAAUAUACAUCUAACUUACUCAUAAAACUAUAAAAUAACCAUGAUGUACUAUGCAUGAGCUUGGUACAUGGCUCUAAUAUUGGUUUGGAUUUUUCAGGGUAUUACAUAAACCUAUCUCUUACGUGACCUCAAGGGAAUCGUAAUCCCCAAGCAAUCUCUGUUUCUAAGCGAUUCAUCAACACAAGGAUUCCAUUGCCAAAACCCUUGAUUUUUUUAUUCAGGUAUAUUAUAUUACACUGGCCUAGUGUCAUGUGGCAUAUCAAAAUUAGAAACUCCAACCUUAGCGGCACACUCGGGUUGGGGGCUUCCUCGAGUCAAUGGCGGAUUCCAUACGGCCCAUGGGAUUUUAGAAUUGUAGGGGUGUACCACCUAACUCAGAAUUAAUACAAAGAUCAUAAACUGCAUUGUCAAUAAUGAUUUAUAAUUUUUCAGAAAGGUGCCCAUGUGUUUUGAAAACUAUUUUAUGUAUGAUGUUUUGACAAAUUUCUAUCCAUUAUUUUAUUUAUAUAAAACCUUUAUUUUUGGAUUACUUUGCAUACCAGUACAUCUGUAUUGACUCUCUCCCCCUCCCUCCAAGUUCUGAGGAUCAGUCUAGGGGUCCAGAUAAAUGGUAGAUAAUUCAGACAGUAGAUCAGGUUGUGCAGUGGUAAGCCUUCUCUAUUUUAGAAGUCCUGUUCUUUCAGAUUAUGUCCUUUAUUAUAGUUUUGGUCUACUAAGGGCCUUGUCCCAAUUUCAGACAGUUGUUAUUUAAUCAUGUAGUAGAGAUUUUGCAGACGGUGUUUGGUUGAUAUUGGAUUUUAUUCCUUAUUAUUAAACUAAAUUUAGAUAUUACCAUGUUUUCGUAGCAAAAUUUAUUUCUACAUUUCCUAUUUAUAUAUAUAUAUAUAUAUAUAUAUAUAUAAUUACAAUUUUGAAGGGCUCUUGGGCCUUCAUGGUUUGGGAUGUACGUCACGGCCAGGGCCCCGAUUCAGGUCGUGAAAAACUUAGUAUCAAAGCACGGUUCAUGGUCCUACGGUGUCUGCGAAAUUGCAUUGGGUAGAGUCUUGUUUAUGGGUGUGUAGUGCGCCACACUUAUAAGCAGGAGGCUACUAGGCGUUUAGGAGUGUCUCCCUUUCAUCAUGUUCUAGUUCAUGCUAUGGAGUUAGAAUAUUCCUCUUUCUUACUCUAAUUCGUUCUAUGGUGUCGCCCAUACGAAAGUAAUAGUCAUCCUUAUUUUUUCCUUACUAUGAUGUUCUCAGACAUGUCUCAUUAUUGGGGUGAUUCAAGUGCAAAAGUUUAGAGUUUCAAUGGUAUGGUCCUUUCUGAUUGAGCUAUAUAACAUUUUGAAAUUGUGAAAGGAAUUAUGAAGAGUCCAUUAGUGCUUGAGGUUGUAUUAAUUCUAGUGUGAACCUUGAUCUUGAUAAAAUCGUGCUUUUCAGCCAGCGAUAUUAAGUGUAUUCAGUCUUUUAUUCAAAAAUUUAUGUUGCAGAUGUCAUGCUUUUGGGAGGAUUAUGUAUAGCAGAAUGUUGGAACUGUAUUUCCACCUGAGUAGUAGUAUAAGUUAAGUGUCGGUGUCAUGACCUAUUGGUAGUGAUGUUGGACCAAGAAGUUGGUGAUGUGAAGUCACAAAGUUAGAAGUUAGAGUGAGGGUGACUUUUGUGUAAAUAAUAUUUUAUUUGCAUAACCAAUGUUGGAGGAUGAUCUACCCCUUUAUAGUGAUAAACUAAUGUGGUAGCUCGUAGCAUGUGUGUAUUGCAUGGUAGUCUGUGGGGGAAGUGUUUGACUCAGAUUUUAUUUAUACAGAGUAAGAUGUGUAUUCUUAGAUCAUUGAUUAUUGUGUGUCAAGUUUCUAACUCCUGUAAUCUUGUUAUCAUUGUAUUAUUGAAACUCAAAGUCUAGUGAAGCCGUGUGGGGCUCUUUCGAUUCACUAGCAUAGUUUCCUUGUCAUUCAUCUCAUUUCCUUAUUCAAAACACAAAAAUCAAAGUCUAGUGAAGUCGUGUGAGACCUAUUUUGAUUCACUAGCAACUUGUUGUUCAUCUUGUUGUUCUUGUGUUGGUUGGAACUGGGGUUUUAAAGGCGUAAUGGAAAGAAAAGUAGUAAGGGCUAUUUAUUGAAUAUAUGUUUAGCCAAUUUUUUUUUCAUGAGACUGAGUUAGUAAUGAAGUGAUACAUCCUUGUAUGUUAGUUUAGUAGAAGACAGAGAAGGAGUUAUUAGUCAAGGUGAAUUGUUGGUUGCCUGAAGUACGAAAAUGACUAGCUUGGCCAGUAAGUUAUAAUUAUAGACUCGUGGUUGUUUAUGGAAUCUGAAGGUAGUCUAAAUGUACGCUUGGGUAAGUAAGUGUGAUGUGGGAAAGAUGUAUAAUUAGAUAAGAUCGUACGGGGUUAUAAUAUAAGAUUAACGUUGACCAUGUCUACUAUGUGACUUUACCCCCCCCCCCCCCUUUCCUUCUUUUCGUUGGUAGUUGUAAACUAGUACUACUUGUGAGAAGGUAUGUAGUAGAUUUUUGAGGUAUUUGGAUGGAAUAUCCCAAUUUGAUGGACUAGUAUAUUGUGUUGCAUUCUUCAUCGAAGGUAAAUGAUUGAUGUUAGACUAUAGGCUUAAAUUUAAUGUAGGCUAUGACGGAAGUAGUAUGGUUCAUCAAAGGCUUGGUGAGAUCCAUGCUAAGUGUUAGAAUCUAAGUUUGAGUUUUUAAAGAUUGAGCUAAUAGAAAUAAGAGUUGAGGAACUAGAAGGUGUACACUCCGACUAUAGGGAUACUUGUGAAGACCCGAAGUUAGUAAGUGUGCAAGUAUUAUAUGAUGACAAUUGAUGGCUAUAGAAAGAUAAAGUGUAUCUUAGAAGGUAGUACUUUUCACUUUUAGGUGUAUUCAUUCGGUUUAAGUUUUAUGAUAUGCGUGUAUGGUCAUUUUCCAGACCCCGGAGUGCAAUGAGUGUAGUUCAGUUUAAAGUCUAAAAAGAGAUCUAUCAAACUUAAGUGGUGGCUUGAAGCUAAGGGGGAGAUGAUAGAUCAAAUAACCAAGUCAGGCUCUCAGAUUCUGAUAGUAAUGCCAGUGUGACAUAGAACAUUAGAAAGUGAGGGUGAGACUCAACCCAUUCUCAUCUCAGUAUUUUUCAGCUAUCCCAAUACCUACUCAUGCUUUGCGUUUCGGUUCAAUCAUCAUAGUUCCUGUUCAUGUAUAUGAUAGAGAAUCACGUGCUCUUCCAGUUCCUAAAUGAGAAAUUAUAGUUCAUUCAAUAGUCGGGAUCACAUUCCAUAAGUUAUGAACUCCAAAUUGAGGUCAUAUAGCUCAUAACUCGUGUACUCACGCUUUAUAGUUUGCUUAGUACCUAUAACUUAUGCUAUACACCUAAUGAUUGGCAAGGUUGAACCAUAUGGAAGAAUAAGCGAUGCACCCCUUGUUGUGUCCGAAAUAUAGAAUGAAAUAGAGGUAAGAUUAGCAAGUUGCUUCAGUUGUGUACCCUUUAUUUUCUCUUUACUCUUAGUAUACCCAACGUCAUUCGAGGACGAAUGUCCCCAAGGGGGAGAUAUUGUGAUGCCCCGCACUUUUCUAAGCUAGAAAACGAACUAUUGUUCGUAUAUGAGAAAACCCCAAUUUUGUAAGCCAUAUUUGGGAACCUAAACUACCAAGAGUACCCUAGUUAUAAGAGAGCUUAUGAUGUGUUAAGUGUGGUUAUAUGAGUCACUUAAGGUAGUACAAGCUAAGAGUUUUGAAAUCCAUCAAGUUUUAAUGUUUGAAUUUGCAAGGGUCAUCUUUGAAUGAGCAUAACUUGAUAAAUAUGUGGUAUUUCUGCAUAUUUCUACCCACAAAAUUAUAGAGAAUCGAAUUAGCUUUCCAAAGAUACCAAUUUCACCAAAAUCCGACACCCGAGCUAGGAGUUAUGGCUUUGCGAAGAAGAGUGCGUCGCCUAACCAAUCGCACAUGCACACUGGAAAGCAUAUGCGGCGCCUAUGUAAAUAUAGGAGAUAUCAUAUGCGGCGCCUAUGUAAAUAUAGACGAUAUCAUAUGUGGCGCCUAUGUAAAUAUAUGCGAUAUCAUAUGUGGCACAUAUCUAAUGGUUUCAAGUGACUUAAACACUCUGUUUUUGGGUUAUUUUGAGGGCAAUUAAGUCUUUUGGCACUCCUUACACACCCCUAAACUUAACCUUAUGAAACGAGUUACGGAUUUUAUCAUUUUUUUAACUUAAGAAAUAUGAGAUUACCCUUAAAAUGGAUUUUUCUUGAGAUUUUUUAGCAUAAUAUUGGGAGUAAUAUUUAGCACCGAGUUGGGUAUGUUACUACGGUUUCAUACCCUAGAACUACGUGCCAUCGUAGGUUGAGACAUUGACUUCCACUAUAUGUAGAAAAUUGAGAUAGGGAUCACUGAGAUGAGAUUGUUCUACACCGAUGGAAAGGGUAGGACAGCCCUAACCUUACGGGGGCAAGUCGUGGGACAUCAUGGGUGCUCACAUGGUGUACAUGUCGGUUAAAAGAACCUCCCAAAGAGUCAUCCCUCAUUCUUAGAUUGUUUUUACUGAUUUAAAAGAGAUUUGAAAUACAGAUUUAGGAUGUAUUCAAUAUUCCAGAUUUCACUAAGAUUUCUUGAUGAGAGAAUAAGAAAAGAAUCUUGAUAUUUGGAUUAAGUGUAAUGACUCAUGAUAUCUAGAUUGGCAUAUUUUACCAUUCAUUGUGUAUGAUUUCAGAUUUUAGAUUUCUUUCAAGCUUUAUGAGCCAUUUACAAAUGUCCUGCAUGAUUUGGAAAGAAAACUUAUGACAUGAUCGUUAAAUAUAUAUAUAUAUAUACAUAUAUGCAUAUAAAUAUGUUUAUUUCAUGCACCCCCAUGUACUCGGUACAUAUUCCAUGGUACUGACCCAUAUGUUCGCAUGUGGACUACAUUUUUCCUAUAAUGUAGGUUCAGGUGCUCAUUCCCAGGUUUGAUCGUGAUUAUCCGAGCAUGUAGAUCUACAUCCUCUGCAGUGGUGAGUCGUCAUGGUCCGAGGACUGGUUAUUUAGAUUUCCUCAUUUACUUUGAGUCGUUCAGUUUAUUUCCUGAGUUCGGGUCAGUUGGAGUUUGUCCCAAUGGCUCAUGGAUAUAUAGUUUAGUAGAGGCUUGUCACACUAGAUGGAUAGAUUGAUCAGAUUUGUUAGAGACAUCGUAUUUUGUUACUUUUCGUAUUUCAUUCGUAUUGCAGUAUGAUAUUAUGGAGGAUGUUUUGAUUAUGAUGACUUUGAUUAGUGUUGAAUGGUAGAAAAAUGGCUAAAAGGGUUAGCUUGGGGAUACUUGUAGCCUUAAGCACCGUGUGACGCCUCGGGACCCAUUUUCGGGGGGUUACAGCUAUAUCCUUUCUUAGAAGACAUAUCAUGUCCAUGUUAUUCCAUACCUUAAAGACUUUAACAUUCCUACUGUAAUGCCCCAAUUUUUUAAAUCGGAAUGCUACACGGUAAUCAUGACCCGAAGGACCACAAGCUAACCCAUGACUGGUAUUUAUACAUGUAUACUGCAUAAAACACUGUAUAAUGCAGAAACAUGUACUGAAAGGCCAUAAGGUUCAAAUCUGAAUAAACAUCUGAUAAGAACAAUGUCUGAAAAAUGGUAUAACAAUACCAAAACAAAUUUGAAAUAACUAUCUGACAUGCUAUAGUCUGAAAUCCUCUAAUUAUCUAAAUAAGGAGUUGAUGGGACAUGUCCCCAAGUAACUCCAAAUACUGAAAUAAACUGAAAACUGCAAUAGUAAUGAAAUCAUCAUGUCCUCGAAAGAUGAGGACUCACUUCUAACUCUGACUGCUGAGACUGGAAUCUACUACUAAUCUGGAGCUUGUGCCUCUGAACCUAUGGCGUAAGAUAAAACACCAUAGCACAAAUGUGCCAGUAUGUCUGAAUGUACUGAGUAUACGAGUGAGGUAGGCUAAAUUCAAAGGGUUAUAUGCAUGAACAAUGCUGACUGAUAUGAACGUGAGAAUACAUACAUGCAUCGAUAACUAUAACUGAACUCGUGUUGAUAUUGACUACUAUGUCUGAAUACUGACAACAUAAGUUUGCUAGUGCUGAAUAGAUGAAUGACUAUUUCUGACAGUACGAAUUAUGAAGAACUAGUCUGAUUGAUUGUGUCUAACAGUUUUGAAAUUGAAUACUGAUAACGUAAGCUAUGAUGACUAAUAUAGCUGAUAUGACUAUGAUGGUCAGCAUGACCGAUGUAACUGAUACUGAGCAAAUGUAUCUGAUAGUCUAAGUUCUGAUGGAACUAUCUGAGUUUCGUACUAUAUCUGAUUAACUGAAUUUGAGAUCAGUCCAAUCAGUGGAUUUGACUUAGUCUGAGAUCAGUCCUAUCAAGCGGGUGAUCUUUAAAUCUGAUGAUUUAAAUACUGAUUGACCAUAGUUGAGAUCAGUCCAAUCUAAUGGGUGAUCCCUAAGUCUAAUGAUAAUGAUAAGGAUUGACCGUAUCUAACAGUCCUGAAUCAAUACUACUGAGCUGAAUUGACUAUACCAGACAGUCCUAAAUCUGUAACUAAAACUGUGGGAUGUAUUCAUCUAACCAAUAUGCACCAUGCUAAGCUAAUUGGGGGUCCAAUCUCUACCCUGAUUAGAAGGGAGUCAAUACCGUGCCACCAGUAAAGACAACUGCUAUGGAUUCAGUCCUAAUCUAACGGGUAACCCCUAGGAUUAGUCCUAUACAUAUAAAUAUGCUAACUAGUGAUCCCUGAGUAUGUUAGCCCUAUCUAAUGGGUGACAUCUCGUACCUACGCUGGCUAUGUAGUUCUGAAACUUAGGGAUUGCUUCUAGGGAUCUCAGUCCUAUCUAGCGGGUGAGUCCCUAUCCCUAGGCUCACUCAGUGCUGAAUCCUUCUCCUAACUAAAAGAACACAGUUUUGAUUAAUUAAACUGAACUAGACUGAGUUUACUGAGUUCUGUGACUGAUGGAAUACUACUAAUAUCUGAUAGCUGGCUGAGUUCAUAAUAUUACUGAUCUUACUGAGUGUUGAGUUCAUGAGAUUACUGAUCUUACUGAGUACUGAGUUCAUGAGAUUUCUGAGAGUACUGAAUUAUAGAGAUUACUGAAGUUAUCAGGUACUGAGAUUUCUAAAAUUAACUGAGAUUAACUGAGAUUACUGAACUACUGAGAAUGCUAAGGUUUCUAAGUUUUCCUGAGUCACAUGACUAACUGAAUUCUAUAGAUCAUGGCUUGACUGAGAGUAUUAUGAUAACAUGACAUGACUCUAGGCACACAACUAUAUUUUUUUGGGUACAAGUACCCCCAGGACUCGAUGGAAGGAAACUGACACAACAUGACUUACUUGAUCAUAGGAGUAAAGUCCACAAUUCAUAAUGUCAUAAGUUGGGGAUUUCAUGAAGUACAUGGUCAUCAUAAUCUUGAACAUGGAAGAUAAUGCAUAUAACAUGUACAUACUUUCAUGGGUCCAAUUUCAUGAGCAUUCCAUAUCACAACAACAAUACAUAAUAAUUUGCAUGAAAUUCAUGUUGAGUCAUAAGGGAUAGAGCAUGGACUUGUCAUUUAGGUUCUACUAAGCUAUAAUGCAUGAUUUCUAGUCUCUUAGGUAUUUUAUCAAACACCUUGCAUGCACACUUUAUGGCAUAGUCAUAUUCAUCACUUUAAUAAUUCAAACCACCCAAAAUUUAUAUAUUUCAAUAUACAUGUCAUCCUAGUUUCAUAAAAUUACAUAAAGAUUCUAACUUGGGAGUUGUAUAACAAUCAAUCACACAAACAUAAUCGACCCACAACAUAACCUCAUGAUUCAUAAUUUAAAAGAGGGUUCUUGAACUUUAUGGAUGAAAGGGAUCCAUAAAUCAACACUACGCAUACCUUAGCUCUUGAUUUAUUGAAGAUUGACGGAGAGAUUCUUGAAAUUUGAUGGUGAAUUCCCUUGGAAUUGAUCAUUCUAUGAAAAUCCUAGCUUGUGUUCUUGAGAGUUUUUGAAAGAAACUAACAAUAUUUGGGUGAAAAUAUAAGGAAUCUCGUGUUAAAGUAGCUUAUAUAGGGGUUGGAAGGUUACAAUUUUGCCCUUGGGAACACGGACUGGAUUGCUGAAAAUUGGCCCAAGGCUAUAGCAUGGGCGGCGCCCUGCCUAGCCCGGGGGAAUAACCUGGGCAGCACCUAGCUACAACAGUGCAGUAACCAGGGCGGUGCCUUGGCUACAGCGGUGCUGAAAGCUGGGCGUCGCGGGCUUAACCCCUUUUGCUACUGGUUUGGCACACCAAACGUGCCCUUACGCUACUCCAAAAAUUUCAAAAUUUAUCCGAUAUGUACUACGACCUUGUCCCAUCGCAACGCAACUCGGAAAUUAAAAAAUGAAGGUCGGAAAGGUCUUCAAAUAAAUCCACAAAGUUCGGAGGUCUAAAAUAAGACUAAGUGUUGAAAACUUAGCAAAGUUUUCUAAGUCUUGGAGCUUGUGAAGCCUAACGAUCGAAAUUUUAGACUUAGGAUUUUACGGGGUAUUACACCUACCCAUCAUUUGUGGACGAAUGAUCCCAAGGGGAGAUAAUGUAACACCCCGCAUUUUCAGGGUAGAACAUAAACUGUCAUUCCUACAUGUAGAUAUUCCAAAAGGCCAAAAAUACAAUUCAAAUUUGGUAUGUUAAUCAAUUAUGUAGUGUGGUAACCUAUUUGAGCAUGAAUUUAGAUCAUAGAGUUCCCCUAACUCAAGGUCAAGUUGAAAGCUUUCCUAUCGUUCGAGUUUUAGUGAACGUCAAAACUUGAGUCAACUUCAAUUGAACAUAACUACUUAUAUAUGAUGAACUGGGUGGUCUACUAUAUAUCAAAUGAAAUCUCUUCAAAUUAUCUUUCCAAAGAUACCAAUUUCGCACAAAACCAAUACCGGAUCAAAAUGUUAUGCCCAUUUUACUCCAGCAUAUCAGCCUGGCAACUGAGUGAUGACAAUUCUGACGGCUUGUCACAAAUUUGAUGACUUAUAGAAUAUGUCGUUAGCCUUAGUUAGAAAAUCAUAAAUUUUAAAUCCUAGGUGACGACCUGGGCUGACGGGCUAUCACAGAUCUGACGGCUUCUCAGCCUUGGUCGUCAGCUGAAAAUUUCAGCAACUGGAAAGUGAUUUCGUAGGGAUAUUUUGGUCUUUUUCUCACUCCAAAAUUGUUUCAAAUGAAUUAAAUCACCCCUUAAGUGUUAUUAAUCCAUAUAUUAUCAGUUUUACAACAUCUCACUCCUCUCUACUCUCAAGAACAAGAUGAAAACUAGGGUUUCCUCCAAGAUCAAGAAAUCAAGAAAAUCAAUCCUUAAGUUCAAGAUCUCCAAGAAACAAAUCAAGAUUCAAGUUUCCUUCCCUUCCAUAUAUCAAGAAUUCAUCUUUCUAAGUGAAGAUAUUCAAGAAAGGGAUCAAGAUCCGGGUUUCAUCUAUCUAGAUCCGGGUUUCAUCUUUCAGAUCUUAUAAUUUAAGGUACGGGGGGGUUUUCUAAAAUCUCAUGAGCAUAGAAAUCAUGUUUUUAGGAAAAGGGUUUCAGACUUAUGAACAUAUUCAUGUUUUAGAAGCAUUGAUGAUAUUGUUUUGGCCUUUAGGCCUUCCCCCAAAUUGAUUUAAAGUGAUACAUAUAUAUAGGUAUGUGUUUUAAGGUUGAUAAUUGAAUUGAGAGCAUGAUUCAUGUAAAAUCUCUCUCUGGUUAUGAUUUUUCUUUUACUUAUGACAUGCUAUGGAUUGUUCCGAAUGUGUUUCGAAAAGCUUGAUAUGAAAGGUCUUGAAUAACGUCAUAUUCGGAUUAUGAUUUUGAUUUAUAAAAGAGAGAGGGUAGUUUACGUUGAUAAAUGUGAAAAUAUUCAUAUAAUGAAAAAGUGGAUGAUUUUUCCAAAAGCACAUAACCACCAUAUGUUUGAGGAAUUCUUGUAUAGUUUUGACUUAUGUUUCGGAACAUGAAAUCUCUUAAACUAUUUGCAUGUUUGGGUGGUCUGAGCUAUGUUUAAUGGAAGAAUCAUGCAUGAUGCAUUAUGGCUCAGAAAUAGGACUUGCAAGUCUCGGUGUGACGACACCAAUUCAGAUUAUGCCAUGAUAAUUCAGAAUAGAAUAGAAUGCACGUUUGAAAUCAGACUUUUCAGAUGUUGAAACUAGAAAAAUGCAUGAUUCAGAAUAGGAUAAAAUUAGGCAUAAAGAGAUCUUAGGAGGUUCCCCGAAGAAGGCACGAGUUCAGACAACUCACUUUCCAAAACUGUGAUUUGCCGAUCCGGGUAUAUUAUAUUACGCUGGCCUAGUGUCGUGUGGCGCAUCAGAAUUAGAAACUCCAACCCUUGCGGCACACUCGGGUUACGGGCUUCCCCACCAAGUCAAUGGCGGAUUCUAUACGGCCCGUGGGAUUUUCGACUUGUAGGGGUGUACUACCUAACUCAGAAUUAAUACAAAGAUCAGAAACUGCAUUGUCAAGAAUGAUUUAUGAUUUUUCAGAAAAGUGCCCAUGUGUUUUGAAAACUAUUUUAUGUAUGAUGUUUUGAAAAAUUUCUCUCCAUUAUUUUAUUUAUAUAAAUUCUUUAUUUUGGAUUACUUUGCAUACCAGUACAUCUGUAUUGACCCCCCCUCACUCCAAGUUCAGAGGCUCAGUCUAGGGGUCCAAAUAAAUGGUAGAUAAUUCAGACGACAGAUCAGGUUGUGCAGUGGUGAGCCUUCUAUAUUCUAGAAGGCUUGUUCUUUCAGAUUAUGUCCUUUUAUUAUGGUUUUGGUCUACUGGGGACCCUGUUCCAGUUUCAGACAGUUGUUAUUUAAUCAUUGAGUAGAGAUUUCGCAGACGGUUUUCAGGUGAUGUUUAGUUGAUAUUGGAUUCUUUUCCUCAUUGUUAAAUUAUAUUUAGAUUAUGACCAUGUUUUCGUAGAAGAUUUUAUUUCCAUAUUUCCUAUUUAUAUAUAUGAAUGGUGUAUAUGAUUACAAGUUAGAAGGGCUCUCGGGCCUUCAUGGUUUGGGAUGUCCGUCACGGUCAGGGCCCCGGUUCGGGUCAUGACAAGUUGAUAUCUAUCAGUAUUUGAAGUAGCCAUCUUUUAGAGAGAAACUGGGAGUAAAUUUCCCCUAUAUAAGGGCUUCCUUUAUUGUAAAUCGUUCCUCCAGAGAAAAAAAUAAUUACUCUCUCUAAUCUUGUUCUUCUCUACUUUAUUUUUUAUAAUAUAUUAUUAGUACGAGACUCUACCAAUGAAGAUAUUUAUUUGAUUGAUUCCGGCACUACACAUACGAUAUUCAAAGACGAUAAAUAUUUCUCUCAUCUAAACAUGGGCUAGAUUAAUGUUACUACAAUUUUUGGUAGCGCUAAUUUGAUUGAAGGCUUCGGAAAAGCCAUUAUAAUCUUGCUCAUGGGAGCUAAACUCAUCAUAAUUAUGCUAUGUUUUCUCUUAAGUCUGGGAGAAACUUGUUGACUUUUAAAGAUAUGGUGAAAAUGGUUAUCAUAUCAAGACAAUUAUGAGCUGAAUCUUGAAUAUCUUGGUAUCACCAAGAAUGUCUCAGGGCAGAUAUGUAUUAUAGAAAAGUUCUUUGCUUUAUCUUCUGGCAUGUAUUGAACAAAGAUUUGUGCAAUUGAGGUACAUUCUAUAGUAAACCAGAAGUUUACUAAUUCCAGUACUUUCGUACUUUGGCAUGCUUGUCUGGAACAUCCUUGAUCUAUAAUGAUGAGACGAAUUAUAAAAAAUUCAAAUGUGCAUCCAUUAAAGAACUUGAAGGUUCUUUCAAAUGGUGAAUUUUCAUGUAAUGUUUUUUAUCAAGGCAAGAUAAUUGUGAGGCAAUCACCAACAAAAGUUGGGAUUGAGUCCCCCACGCUCUUGGAACAAAUACAUAGGGAUAUUUGUGAACUCGUUCACCCACCUAAUGGGUUGUUUAGAUACUUUAUGGUCCUAAUAGAUGCUUUUUUAAAUGGUCUCGUGUGUGCCUAUUGUUAUCUUGCAACUUGGCAUUUGCAAAAUUAUUGGCACAAAUAAUAUGAUCACGGAAACAAUUUCCUAAUAAUCAUAUUAAAUCUAUUUGCCUUGAUAAUGCUGCAAGAUUUUCAUCCCAAGCAUCUAAUGACUAUUUCGUAUCGAUUGGUAUAAGAGUGGAACAACCUGUAGCUCGUGUUCACACUCAAAAUGGCCUUUAUGAGUCAUUAAUUAAACAUUUCAGUUGAUAGCAAGACCAUUACUUAUGAGAACUAAGUUUUCCACUUCUAUUUGGGGUCAUGUGCAACACCCCGUAUUUUCCUAGCAUAAUGUAAGUCCCAAUACAAGAGUAUUCAUAUAUAUAAUAUUUUUGAAACACUCAUUAUUUUUUAUUUUAGAGCCUACCAUUGCGUAGGAAAUUGAAUUAGCUUUCCAACGAUAUCAAAUUUGCCAAAAUCCAAUAAUCGGGUAAGAAGUUAUGGCGAUUUAAAGUUUUAGUCGUUAAACACCGUCAUUUUAACCCUUAGCUCGUCACGUAGGCAGCCCAAAUAACAAUUAUUGACUUCCAUUGUGACUCCGCGAUUAUGGCACGUCGUGGAGAAGACCAAUUUCUCGUUUGUCAAUUUCCAGUGAACCUCCGCAAUCAUGGCACGUCGUGGAGGUGGACAAAUUGGCAUCCACAGGCUUACAAUGAUAGUGGCAUAUCGCGGCAUUUAUCCAGGUCCCAGUUGUCCCUUUUUCAGUGGCUUGGCAUGAUAGUGGCGCAUCACACCAAGGCCAAAAAUUGGGAUUUCAGUUUCUAGCUUGUGUUUUAAAUUUGUUUAAGAGUAUUUGGGUCUUUUCCCUAAGCCCUAAACCCGUCCUAAACACGAAAUUUAAAUCCUAAUUGACCUAAAUACCCAUCAUUAUUCACUUUCUCUCGAAUUAAAAAUCCCUUUUUUCAAGAACAAGAAAUUCUAGCUCUCAAGAAUCAAGUUCAAAUCUCAAGAACACACCAUCAAUCCUUCGAAAUUCAUCCAUUAAGGUAUGUUGGAUGUUCAUCCACGGAUCCCUUUCAUCCAUGGAGUCCAAGUAUCCAUUUUAUUACAAAUCUAUCAUCUUCUCAAGUUUAUUUGAUUUUAAAUUAUGAUUUCAUCCAUGAAUCCCCAUGUACUAGUGAUUUCAUACCAUGUCACCAUGAAAUUAUUGUUAUUAUUCAAUCCUCCACGUUUUAAUAUUGCUAUUUACUAAAAAAAACCAUGAUUUAACUCUAUUAUAUCGAAUUCAUGCUAUUUCUAUAUGUUUUAGGACAUUCCUAUGAUUGUUUUGAACCAUGAACUACAAGUGUUUGAUAAAAUGUUACAAGAGUAAAUGUUUUAUGGAUGCGUUCAUACUAUGUCCUCCAAUGUUCUUGUGUCAUGCUACUAUUAUUGUUUUGAGUCCUAGCGGUAUUGAAUACCUGAAAUCGUAGCUGUUUACUUAGUGUUGUUUUAGUAUCUUCAGAAUAACUUCAGAUUGUAUCAUGAGUAUUAUCAGAACACUCAGUUAAACUCAGAACAGUCUAGUAUGUCAGUGUCUUUCAGUUGGGAGUAGGAUUUAGCACCGAGCGAGUGUAGGAAUGGAGGCUUCCCCGUCAGAUAGGCAGAGUCGUUAGUAGCAGUCCCUAUACUCUAGGACUACGUAGACAGCAAAGGAUAUGAGAAUUCACCCGUCAGAAUAGGAUUGACUAUCUCACAGGGGUCACUCGUCAGUUUAGGCUUGACACCCUUAGUCCUAUGGACAUUAUAUCAGUUUAGUGGAUCCACACAUCCAAUGUUAGUACCCAUGACACGGUAUUAACACCCAUCCAACUAGGGUUAUAGGUUGAACCCCGAUUAGCUCAGAUUAGGACAUGUCGGUUAGAUGAUACCUCCUACAGUCUCAGUAUAGUCCUAAUUCAGUUAUGCAGUCUUAGAGUUAUUUGACCAAAGCAUACAGAUAUCAGUAUUUUGUCAGUAAUUAGUUUACAUAUUUUACUCAGUCUAUGUUAUAUACUUGGUCAUGCAUCCUCAGGGUCUAUAGAUUUUCAUGUAUUUUCAGUAGUUACACUCUCAUGCAUAUACAAUAUUUACGUGCUUUACAUAUCUCCGGUAUCUAUAGAUUUCACAUCCUAUACUCAGUACUCCAUGCUUACAUGUAUAUUCAGAUAGUUUAUUACUCCUAUUCAUGAAACCUUGCAUGUCAGCCUACCUCAUUUAGCAUACCAGUACAUUCAAAGUACUGAUCGCAUACUUUUUCUUUUGCACUAUGAUGUCUCAUAUCAUAGGUGCUGGCGCUCAGUUCCUGGAUCGCACCUAGAUUCUCAGAUUAUCAACAGAACAGUAGCAAUGGUGAGUCCUCAUCAUCCGAGGACAAAUUAUAUUACUUCAUGUCUUUAUCCCAGUAGUUAGUAGAGUUAGUUAGGUCCUGUCCCAUCAACUCACAGUAUUCAGUUCAGAGGCUUUUCAGACACUACAGUUAGCUAUUCAGAUUUCAGUAUUAUACCAGAUUCAUAAUUCAGUAGUCGUUUCAUUAUUAAAACCUUAUGGCAUUUUAGUUAUUCUUCCGCAUUCAUGAUUAUAUUAUUCAAUGCCCACGGCAGGUACCAGCUCAUGGGUUAGCUUGUGGUCCCUCGGGAUCAUAAGCACCGUGUAAUGACUAGGGGGUAGUCUCGAGUCGUUACAUCAUGCAAUUUUGCAUGCUACAACACUUGUUCGUCUUAGACUGACAAAUCAUCAUAAAUUUUCUCUGUUGUAAUUAGUUGGUUCAAGAGCCUAAUACAUCUCAUCUGAGAAUUUUUGGGUGUGUUGUAUAUGUGCCUAUAGCACCACCAAAUCUCACCAAGAUAGGCCCCCAAAGUAGGUUAGGAAUUUAUGUUGGGUUUGAAUCACCCUCCAUUAUUCGCUAUCUUGAACCAUUAAUGGGAGAUAUGUUCACUGCUCGAUUUGCAGAUUGUUGGUUUGACGAGAUAGUUUUUCCAAAAAUUAGGGGGGAAAGAUAGUGACAUCAAAAGAGAAAUUUUAUGAAAAAAUUCAUCAAUAUCUCAUCUUGAUCCACGUGUUUUUAAUUGUGAGCAAAAAAUACAAAAGAUUAUCUAAAAAGGAUCACCAAAUCACAUAUUCUUGUAAAGAAUGUACCAAUUCGAAUUGAUAUCCCUAAAGGAUCAUCCACCAGUGGCAUAGCUAAUGAGUCCAAAGUACGCUUGAAGUGUGGUAGAUCAUUGGAUUCUAAGGAUCGAAAUCCUAGAAAAAAAAUAGAUUAUCAAGAUGACACUACGAAAGAUCCUCAUAUGGAAAUUCAAGAUUUUGAAAAUGUUGAUAUCCUUAAAGGAAUCAUUGGGCCUGAGACUCAAGAAAAUGAGGAACUAUCCAUAAAUUCAAGUGAUGUUGGAACUAAUUUGAAUCGAUCCAAAAUAGUAGUGGAUUAUGUCUUUGCAUAUAAUGUUGCAACAAAAAUCAUGCAAGAUAGUGAAGAUCUUGAAUCUCAAUCUAUCAUAGAAUAUCGACAAAGAAAUGACUAGCCAAAAUGGCAAGAAGCUAUUCAAUUUGAAUUGAAUUCACUUCUUAAACGUGAAGUUUUUGGACCUAUAGCUCAGACACCUAAUGGUGUUAAGCCUGUUGACUACAAGUGGGUUUUUGUACAAAAAAGAAUUGAGAAAAAUAAAAUACAAAGGUAUAAGGCACAUCUUGUUGCAUAAGGAUUUUCACAACGGCCUGGUGGCGAUUAUGAAGAAGCAUAUUCACCAAUUAUGGAUGCAAUAACAUUGCAUUAUCUUAUUAGUUUCACUGUUCAUAAGAGACUUGAAAUGCAUUUGACGGAUGUGGUAACAAUCUAUCUAUAUGGAUCACUUGAUAAUGAGAUAUACAUGAAAAUUUCCGAAGAAUUUAAAAUUUCAUUAGAUUGCAAAGAUCAUUGUAUGGUUUAAAGCAAUCUGGAUGCAUGUGGUCUAACCGUCUUAGUGAAUAUUUAUCUAAGGAAGGUUAUAUGAAUGAUGAAAUUUGCCCAUGUAUUUUUAUAAAGAAAACAACGUCGAAGUUUGUUAUACUUAUUGUCUAUUCGAUGACAUAAACCUUAUUGGAACUCCAAUAGAGCUUUAAAGGGCCAUUGAUUACCUAAAGAAAGAAUUUGAGAUGAAAGAUCUCAGAAAGACAAAAUUAUGUCUUGGUUUACAAAUUGAGCAUUUGACAAACAGUAUCUUUGUCCAUCACUCUCUCUACUCCUUUUUCCUUCCAUACACGAUUGAAGUACCCCUUCAUUACUAAUUGUAGAGGAUUCAAACCCAUCACAUAGCAUAUUACCGCUAACUCCCAAAAAUUCACCUCCUCUUGAAUAUCUUCCAUCGUUAUUUUAACUGUAGUACUCGGCUCCUCAAGAUUAUCCAAUUCAAAUCCCUCUAUAUUUCGCCCUGCACUUACAAUUCACUCCAUUUGUUCUCACCAGAUUUCAGUGCCCGGGAGUCAUUAUGGUGUAUGAUUGGGUCUUCUUCAACCAUAUCCGACCAGCUCGCUUUGCCUGAGCUCUUUGAUUGUGAAGUCGUCGUAUCCACCAAAUUUGAGGUUUUGAUCAUAGAUGUACUGUGUGGUAACUGGAACGGCACUAUCCCUUGUAAUUCAUUCACAUUCUUCAUUUUUUUGCAUCUACUGAUUGUGGUACUUGCUUUGUAGUGUUGUUGGUGGACCGAUUUACUGUUUGGCUUUGUGAAUUCGUCCCUCCGAGCUUCGAUUUCUUUGCCAUUUUCAGUUUUCACUGAGAGAGACCGCCAUCUCUACAGAGAGAAUUUUUUGGCAGCUUGAAGGAGUACUUUCUUGAUUAACGAAUAGGAAAGGAUUUUGGAGUUCGAACUUCUAACCAUCACGAAGUUUUUUAUCCUCAUAUAUAACUGGUGUGACUACCUCCUAUUACAUUUUCUUCCCCCCCUUUUUUUUUUUGCAAAAAAGAACUAGUCAUAGUUACUCCAUUCAUUUCAAUUUUUGUCAAUAUGUUAUUGUUUAUGGAGUCAAAAAAGAAUUUUCUUAAACUACAUUUUCUUAUUUUUUAAAAAAAUAUUUUAAACUAGAGGAGGAUCUAGUUAAAUCGAUUCACAAGUUCUUGAAAACCCAAUAACUUUUAUAUUAACCCUAUAUUUAUCAUUAAAGAUUUAUUAAAUACAUAUAAAAUAUUUGUUGGAAACUUAUUAACAAAAUAGACCAGAAACAAUUGCUAACCUUUGACUACAGAUUCGAUUCUCCUUGGGAAUUAAUAAAUGUUCUUAAAAUAAUCUGAGAUUUUUGAGAAUUCAUAAAACUCAAAUCUUAUAUUUGUUUAUGAUGAGUAUAUGCUUUUAUAUAUGUUGUAGUAUUGAGUGAUUAUAUACCCCUUUCUCAAACAUCGAUAUCCAUAGCUCUUUCUUUCUUUUCUUUUUUUUUUGAAAACAAGAAAACUAAUGAAAGAAAUAAAUUAGUUUGGACUGAUUUAAGUCUAUUUUAGGUCCUAAUUGAACUAGACUUAAAAUGGAAAUAAUUAUCUCAAUAUAUGCUCUUGAUUUUCAAUAAUUUUCAAAUCAAUACUAAAUGCUUAACUGAGAAAAAGUAUCAUUAUAUAUAUAAAAGUUUGUAGAUACACAGAACUGUGAAUAUUUUCAAGUUUUCUCUACCCACGUGGAAUAUAUAUUGUUCAAACCAGACGACUUGAAGGCCACACAGAACAAUAGUGAGUCAUAGACUCCAAAAAAAAAAAAAAAACUAUCAUUUUUAUUUCAUUUAUUAUAAAGUUGUUUGGACACCCACUUGCUAUCUAGAGAAAAAACUAUACUCAUACAAAUAAAUAAUCAAAAUUUUUAUUAAGAGAGCUUGAAAAAUACAAAUAUAGUACUUAUUUGGAAUUUUAACUUGAAAUGUCAAGGUGAAACUUUUAUGGAGAGGAUUCGAAUGAACGCCUUCGCUCCCUAAAUCCAACCUUAUACAUAAUCACCAAGUCUUUUUUCCUUCUAGCAUGCAUCAUGUGUGUCAUCACUCCACCUGAUACUUCUAAAUCUAGCUAGGUACUCUUCCUUUAAUCAUCUAAUUAUUGCUUUCUCACAGCAAUAGGAAUUCUAACAAAAUGUUUGCCAUCACUCCAUGCCAAACUUCCAAAGGUAAAUUUACUUCUUCUUUGGUUAGUAGUUGUGAUCUUUACCUCAAAGGAAAUCUUGGUUGUCUUGGCAUUAAACUUCAACACAUCUGGAGUUACUUUAAUAGCAGUAUUUCUUGGAGGUUUAACCACUAAUUUGUAUAAAGAGUUAGCAUUUCCAACAUUGGUGACAGUUCUCUUGAUUGUAACUGAAUCCUUGAGAUUUGGAAUAGAUAUUGAAGGGAGAUUCAUAUCCAUCCUUGAAGGUACUUCUUUGGGACACACAAUGCCUGCUGAAGAAGAUGAUUUUUUCGCAUCGGAAUGAUACGUAGUUGCA